GGUAGCUUCGUUGUCGUUGUUAAUGGCGGUGACGGUUGGGCGGUCCAAGUUAACGAUCUCUUUAACGGGGUCAAAGUUAAAUAUUUAAACAAUCAACCAUAUUUUUGGGUUUUGGCAUCUAUAAUGUAGCCAAAUAUAAAAUGCACUCAUGCAAAAUUGGUCAAUAAAACAAGAAGUCAUACAUAUUUCGAAAUGGUUUUAGCUAUAUGUUAAAAUCCGAACAUAAUUUUUUUCCGUUUCAAAUUUGGUGUCAUUUAUGAUUAUUUCAAAAAGUUAUGAUUGAUAAUUGUUAAAUAUAGGAUAUAAUUAAGCCCCAAAAUUUGAAAAGAUGCAGAGAUAAUAAGAGGAUAAUUGGAUUUGGAUCAAAUAACGGACAUGGAAAAUUAAAUCACAAAAAUAAAAGAAUAACAAACUGUUUUAUUUAAAAUAAAAUUAUUAGAUAUACACCAGCCAAAAUCCAAUCUCUACAGUCAUCCACUCUCCCACGGUCCCACCCAUCAUCAGAAGAUCAAAACACGUGCGUCGCUAACCCCCCGGCGGUCAAACCCGAUACAGAAGAAUCAUCAAUUAGUAAUAAUCGCGAUCAACAAUCAGCACCGAACAAAUGAAUCCAUGAAAAUACGAAAAUAAUAUAAAGAAAAAGUUAAAAAAAAAAAAAAACACUACUCAUCGACAAACAAAUAAGAAUAACAGAUCUAAAUUAAAGCCGAUAGAAGAUAGACCGGAAAUCAAAUAAAUUUCUAAGCCAUGACAAGGGCGAAGAAUGUUCCGGCGAGAGCAGUGCCAAAGAUAGCAGCUCUGUUGACCCAACCGUCGACGAAGCUACCACCGGGCUGGUUAUCAGCAGGAGUCGACUCGCUUCCUGGUGCAUUAGCUGAAGGUGUAAUGGAGCCAGGGGUGGGAGCCGGUGGAGGGGUUGUAGAUGGGGUUGGUGCUGUGGUGCCUGGAGCUGGGCUUGGCGGUGUAGUUGCUGGUGCUGGUGAUGUUGAUGGGGAUGGCGACGGUGAUGGCGUUGGCGUUGGCGUUGGCGUUGCCGGUGCAGGUGCUGGUGAUGGAGUUGGCGAUGGAGUCUUUGGUGCUGGUGCCGGAGCGGUUGGUGUCGUUGACGGUGAGGGUACCGGUGCAGCACCCGGUGCCUGGGCCAUGCAAGAGGUGGCCAAGAGACCCAAGAAGAACAGUACUUUAAGCAUUGAAGAAUUCAUUUUCUUCUUCUUUAAAGAUUCGAGAUGGCGGAGAGACGGAGAGAGAAUAUGGAAAAAAAAAAAAGAGAGAGCUUUUUGAGCGUUUGUGAAUUGUGAUUGUGAGCGUGGAAACUGAAAAGGGGAGUGAAUGUGUGUAUAUAUAUUAAAAAUAAUCGGAAAUGAGAAAGUGCGGGGGGUUGGAAAAGAGAGCAAAAAGAUUAAAAUUCUCUCAGUAAUCAAUAACGCUAACAGAUUCCUCCAAUCGUUUAAACUAUCUGUACCUAUUUAUAUACAUAAAAAUACAUGCACGCACAUAUUAUACGAUAGGCUAGUUAAGCAAUGGCGGUGUCAAUAAUUAGAUUUUAUUUUACUUUCUUUCUUUGAAGUUUCUUUAAGGAUGGGAUAUAGACGCGGCUUCUGAAAGCAUCAAAUCAGGAAAUGACACCUGUCAAAAUUGGGCCGUUUUAAUUAAGUUUGAUUGUGUUGCUAAGUCAGGUUAUUGGCCAGAUUUGUUUCUUAAUUUGACGAUAAUGCCACUAAGAUUGGACAUGUGUCGGUUAAUAAAGUUCAGUAAGAUGUCUCUUUCUUGACAAAUCAUAAAAAAUUUGGUCACCUUCUCUUCACAGACUGUCCUCCGCGUUAACCUUUUCCUUUCAACGACUCCAAGCCCAAGCGCGGUCGGUGUCAUUUUACAGGAAUACCCUCUCUUUCCAACUUGAUAAUAUCUUAAUCAUAAUCAUUUGACCACAAUUUCCUCAAGUAAUCAAAAAUCAACAUGGACUUGUCUAAAGUGUGGUGUGUAAGACAUUAAAUAACGAACGUGGCAAAUACGGAUUUCAUCAUCAAUAUGAUUAUCAGAAACCAAGUCUAAUCAAAAGCUUCGCUACACGUGUCAGAAAACUGUGCUUUUGAAAGAGACCAUCUGCUGUAUCGCAGAGAUUUUCCUACUUUACGUGGAGUUUCAGAUUUUUACUUUCUUUUUUUUUUCCUUUUUUUUUAAAGAUUAAAUUAGCUGUGUCUUAGAGCCGUUCUGUGGAAGAUAAUUGUGGAGAGAGAAAAAAAAAAUAUUAAAGUAAGCUCUUCAAUUGGAGAACACCUAUCAUGUUCAAUUUCUGUGCAAAAAAUGUUCAUGUCCUGUUGUCGUGCUCGAACAUGGAUGACUGUGAUGUGUUAUUGUGAUGGACAAUUGUCUGGAGGAACUAUACACUUGCCCUGCUAAGAAGCCACGUGUUAUCGUUCUAGUGUGACAACCACAUGUCGAGCUGGGACAACUGUUGUAAUGGUUUUCUAUGCAUCCGAAAUUUAUAGACAAUGGGAUCGAAAUAAAUUAGUCAAUCCCACCGUAUAAUUCAAGUUGCCUAAAUUACAAAAUAGAGAGCUGGCAAAAGCUGGCAAGAAUUAAUUACAUUAUAUCCAAAUUUUGAGAAUAUAAGCAUAUGCAAGAAAAUCAUUUGUUUUCAUUGCUCGCUCGGAAAGUGAAAAUGGGUUUUUUUUUUUUUUUUCCUUAUUAAGGGAACUCUUGAAUUAGACUCAUUUUGGGUACCCAAAAAUAUUAUAGAUUCCACUUUCUAUAUAUAAAAUUGGAUGGUGUUAAGAUAGCCAACCUUACAUAAUCUUUUAAUAAACUCGUGAUUUUUUUAAUGAUUACUUACAAAAGUAUUAUAUCAUUUUCAAUCCACCAUUUUAAAACACAUUAUUAUUUAAUUGACUUCAUUACCUAUUUAGGCUCCAUUUGAUAUAGUUUUUUUUUUUAAAUAGAGCUUAUUUAAAUAGAACUUUUAUAAAUAGAGCUUUUGUCAAAAAAAAUUAGUUGUUUAGUUGUCAAUGAAAAUUUUUAUUAAAAAUUAUAAAAUUACUUUAAUAGCAAGUUAUUUAAAGUUGUGUUAUGAAGAAAUAAAAAAGUUUAUGAAAUAAAGAAAUUCUAUUUUAGACAUUUUAAUAUUUUAAAAAAGCUUUCAACCUCUGCUCUUAAAAGUCUAAAUUUAAGCUUUUACUAGUAGAGGCAAAAUAGCUUAUUUAAUAUUCAAAAGCUUUACUCAAAAACAACUAAAUAACAACAAAAAAAUUUGAAAAGAGCUUAUCAGAUUAAACAAAUACUUACGGUUAUUAGAUAAACCAUACAUAACAGGCACUUAGAGAAAAAACACUAUAAUGUAAUUAGGCUUAGCUAUGAAACUGCCAAUAAAUUUGAUAUAAAUAUUAAAAUACUUUUAAUGUACUUACAUGGUUGAAAUAUAAUUUGUAUUAUAAUUGAAGCGAUAAUUUAUGUGUUAUUUUUAUAAAUAAAUAAUAUUAUAAAAUCAGUAUAAUAAUCAUAUUAGUAUAAAGUCAACAAUCACAUAAUGCAAAUAAUCAAUUAUUGAUGUUUUAAUCGGUAUAUAAUCUAUGUUUAAUCAGUAUAUAAUUCAUGUAUCACAAUCAUAUUAAUGUAGCGUUAUUGAUACUAAAAAAAAUUAACCAAAAAAAUAACACUAUUAAACGUGAUAGUUAACAUUAAGCAAAAGUCUUGGCAGCUCAAGAAACAAUUUAUUAGAAUGAUACUAAACGUUUGGAAUUUAAACUUAAAAACCCAUACAAGAGAGAAUGAGAUUAAAUUACCAUUAGACAAUACUUUAAAAAUCCAACACAAGAGAUAAAACCAUAUGACUGAGGCCCACAGAGAUUCAUGUUACAAUAGAAUAAGUUAAUAUCUUUUUCUUUUUACAAGGUUAACCGUCAAAAUAAGAUUUCGUUUUGGUUUUCCUUUUUUGUACUUAUGCCCGAGAACAAAUUAUUAUUUACUAGAAAUUGAACAUUUCCUUCCAAACGUCACAUUCUAAUUUAUGACUUUGAUCCAGAUUGCUAACAUUAAACAUAAAAUUAACACAUUAAUCCUUAGAACCAACAAGUAACAAAUGGGAGAUAACAUGUUCAAAAUUCAACAUAUUCUAAGAGAUUAUAAUGUAAUUGCUCGCACUCUAAUCAGUAAUGAUACUUAUAUUUAAAAGGAGAUUCCCUAAAUUAUAUAUAAUGUAACUUACACCCACUCACAUAAACAGUAAAUAAUAUAAGAUUUACUCAUUAUUUAUGUGAGUAGUGUAAACUAUAUUACAUGUAACUUAAGGCAUGUCUUUAAAAGGAUUCAUUUUCCUCUCAAAUUAUAUUUGUAUUCAAUUUAAGGGGAAACAUGUGGUGCAACUGUGGUACCGUGCUACAGUUGCAUUCAGCCAUUAAAUGUCAGUGAACCUCACCAAUCUAAGUACAUUCAAUAAUUAGAUAUAAUUAUAAUACAAUACUAUAAUUAUACCGUAGCAUGAUCCUCAAUUUAAUCAAAAUAAAUUAAUCCUUCCCAUAACAUUGAUAUUGAUUUGAUGCUGCAUUUAAUUCCCAAAGCAACAAGCGAAUUUAUUCAUUUGUUUAUUGUAGGAACACGAUAAGACUGGUUCGACUGGCUAGAAAACCGUGGGCUUUGCCUUUACGUAUUCGUGACACAAGAAUUUUGUGAAAAGAUGGUGCGGUGGUGAAUUUAGGCACACGUAUAACAAAGGGACUGGACGCGCAAAGCAACAAAUUGAAAAUGGACAAACGUAGGCACAUUGUAUUCCGUGAGCUGUGGGGAUCGAUCGAUUUUUCAACUCUGUAACAGCUCUUUGACACUAAUCUCUCAUCGGAUUGCUGGAUCAUUCUUCCAAGUCCCAGCCAAAUGUUUGUUAGACGGAAUCUUUCCAUUUUAGAUUCGUCACGAGUUACUAUCAUAAUUAGUCAGUUCCAUUCUAUUGUUUAUCUCUUCAUUGUUCUUUAUUGAUUAACGUUUUCCUUUCUUUCUUUUUUUUUUUAAAUUAUCUUUACAUAUUGUCAAUUUACGUUUAGAAUCAUUCUUCUCUCAAUAUAGUAAAGGCAUACGUUUUAGAUGCGACCAAUGAAUGAACGACCAGUUGCUUUAUGUUGUAAUUUCUUUCUUCUUUUUUUUCACUUGAGUGGCAGCUGUAGUUGUUUAAUACAGACCCUCAACCUUCUUUUAUACGGCAGAGAACCGGAGUAUGAAGAUAAGGAAAUACUUUGUCAAAGGUUAACAUAUUUCGCGGCUAUGAAGAUCUAAUCUAAAUGAUUUUUUCAAGUAAAAAAUUAAAGUAGACAGUCUCAUCAAGGAAAACAAAAAAGAAUUUUAUUAUUGAAAGAUAUUAAAAUAUAUUAUACAACCACUUUAUUUAUAAUUGAAUAAAUUCACUAAGUUAACUGAAUUCAAAUAUGAAAACUGAAUCCUACCUAAAACAAUAAUAAAUGGAAAACAUACCAAAUAAUGUACACGCUAAUAAAUUUUAGUUGACAAGAAUUAAAAUACUCGCUAAAAUAACUAAACCAUUACGUAAUCGUCCUACAUGAAGUAAUCAAAUUAUGUCAGCUUUUUAAUUUUGAGACAAUAAAGGUGGAGUGACAACAAUAUGGCUCUUAAAUAAGCCAUCUAAUAGUUUUAAGGAUUAAAUGAUGAUAAUCUACAAGUAUUUUAAGGUAAAAUAGCCAACCUAAAGUUGUAUUUACAUAGUUUCUGUUUUUUUUUUUUUAAAUUGCACUAUUUGCAUGCUCGAUUUCUACAAUUAGCCCAGGGUAAAGAAACUGAUAAACGGAAAGUAAAAAAAAAAAAAAAAAGGAAAAGAAAUAUGUUUAUCGCAGACAACCCCGGCCCAAUUUCCAAUUUCCAGGCCCAACUACUUGAAUCGUAAAACUAUCCCCUAAGUUAUAAUGGGCUAAUAUUCUUAGUACAUCCAACAACAUUUAACCAUAAACUGUUUGUUAAGGUUGCCAGUUGCUACCUCUUUAACUUUUUCGUUUGGGGGAUGGGACAUAGCGGAACAUUUAAGCCCAACACCUCUCCCAAUCAGCUGCGGAUUCAAUUUAUUCUCACACUUAAAUUGGUGGUUUCUGGAACAAUUGCUAUCAACAAACAUUUGUCUACGGAAAUAACUAUCGUUGUCACAUCGCGCAUAGCAAGUGCAUGGGAAUGAAGUCCAGAAGUAGAUUUGUGAAACUCAUUUGUUUUAAUUGAGCGGCCGUUGUCCUUAAGCCUAAGUGCUCGUUCGUUCAAUAAAUAAAAUAACUAAGAAGAAAAUGCUCUUUUUUAUUUUGUUGUUGGUGUUUGAACUGCAGCCUCAUUAAAGCCUUUAAUUUGUAUGUUCGGGACCACUCAACGCUCCAGUAACAACAAAAAACAAUUAGAAUACAGAACAGAAACGACAAACAAAUUAUACAUUAUGGGAAAACCGAUAAAUUCUGUGUCUUCAAGCGGUAGUUCGGAAUAAGCUUUGGUAAACCCAAUCAAUUUUUAAUCCCAUGCUCGUAUUCAGUGAAAAGAGUAAUCACCUGGCGAAACUCCGUAUGGCACUCUGUCGUGUAAUUACCAAUAUUAAUUUAUGUUAAAAUGGCGAUAAACCAUGAAUAUGAUAUAUGCAAACAGCGCUGCUACACACACCGGGUCAAACCCCGAGUCGCGCCCAGAAUUGUGAAAAACGACGCCGUUUUACUUUGUUACUUUUCCUUUUAAUUUCAGCCGAAAUAGGUGGGCAGCACGUGGGUGAGCAUAUGCUUCAAUUAAUUUCAAACCAAAACGACGUUGCCAGCAUAUGCUUUAUCCUUCUUUUUGCUUUCAACCACAACACUCGGCUGGGUUACAGAACUUCCACAAACUCCAAGCUGCAAACUACAAUUUAUAUUUUACUAAAGACUAUGAAGAAGGUUAAAUUAAAUGAGAAUUCUAGUAUUUUACCCAAAAAAAAAGAAAAAAAAAUGUCACGCUCUAUCUCAACAAGGCACUAAAAAUUCAAUAAUCACUUCCAGCAGUAAUAAUUCCAGCACCAACAAUCAUUUCCCAAUCAGCCAAAUAAUUUAAAAUUAUCAAACAACAAGUCCAAUAAUCACUUCCAGCAGCAACAAUUCCAGCACUAAUACUCAAUUCAGGCACCAAUAAUCAUUUCUCAAUCAGCCAAAAUCUCAAUCAACUAACUUUGUGAGUGGAUGAGGAUGGUCGCGUGACUGUCGGUGAUGGUAACAGAGACCUCGAUCAUGUGACGGCGAUGGUCCGUCGUCUGUGGCUCGUCCAUCGUCGGGCGUGAGAGAGUGCGUUUCUGUUUGCAGGUGCAGAACUAUUACUGUUGUUUGCAACUGUUGUACAAAAAGUAAAAGGCCUUGAUCGCGUGAAAACGAAAGGAAAAAUGCGUCGAAAUGGUACGUUUUCAAUUAUUCUCAAAACGGUGUGUUUAAUUCGAGGCGCGAGUCGGGGUUAAAAUCCGGGGAAAUAGCUUUUUCGGAUAUGCAAAAUUCAAGGUAGCGGGAAUAGCAACGCCCACGUCCCCCGAGUUUUGCAGUUUAAAAAAAAAAAACAAAAGAAAUAGAAAAAACGCUGCCUAAAAUAGUGAAAGAAAAGACAUUAACUUCCCUUCAUAAAGACAUUAAGAGCUCGUUUGGUAUUGUUUCUAAAUUUAUAUUUUUUAAAAAUAAAAAUAAAAAUAAAAAUAGUGUUUUAUAGUUGCUGUAUUUUGAAUUUAAAUAUGCGUCUGGUAUCAUUUUUUGUAUCCUAUAUUUUAAAACUGAAAAUAGUAAUAUGCGUUUAGUAAUACUUUUUUUCAAAAACUGUUUUUACUAAGUAUUUACAUUAUAUUUGUAGUCAUAAAAUAAUUAUUUGGCUAAUACAUACAUAAAUACAACAAAAUAAUUUAAACAAAUUUAUUAUUAAAAAAUUACAUGAUGAUAAAGUUUUAAAAUUAACAUUAAUUAAAAAAAAGUUUGAUAAUAAACUGAAAGCAUGCAUGGUAUGAACUAGAGUUAGUGCAAUUUAACAUGAAGCUUGCUCGUGCAAAAUUAUUUGGGAAAAGGACAUAAAGACCCCUAACGUUUGAAUAAGGAACACAAAACCUCCUAAUGUUUCAAAAAAGACACUCAGACCCCCAUUUCUUAAUAGUAAAUUAUAAUUUUACCAUUAUACCCUUAUAGCAUAUUAAAAAAUAAUUGUUCAUUAUCCAAUUUAUUUCUAUAUUAUUAAUAAAAUUACGAAUAUAACUUAAUUACCCAAUUUUUCCAUUUAAUUUUUAUCAAAUUUUAUCGUCAAACUAAAUAAAUUUAAUCCAUUGCUCAAAAAUAAAAAUAAAUUAAAUUGAUUAUUAAUAUAAUAAAAAUAACAAUUCUCCAUAUGUUAUUUCUUAUAAUUUCUUAUAUAUAAAUUAAAUUGAUAAUUUCUUAAAAAUAACAAUUCUCCAUAUAUAAAUUAAAUUUAUUUUAAUUUAAUAUAUGUUAUUUUUAUAUUAAAUAUAUGUUAUUUUUAUUAUAUUAAUAAUCAAUUUAAUUUAUUUUUAUUUUUGAGCAAUGGAUAAAAUUUAUUUAGUUUGAAGAUAAAAUUUGAUAAAAAUUAAAUGAAAAAAUUGGGUAAUGAAGUUAUAUUUGUAAUUUUAUUAAUAAUAUAGAAAUAAAUUAGAUAGUGAACAAUUAUUUUUUAAUAUGCUAUAAGGGUAUAAUGAUAAAAUUAUAAUGUACUAUUAAAAAAUAAGGGUCUGAGUGUCUUUUUUAAAACAUUAGGAGAUUUUGUAUCCCUUAUUCAAACGUUAGGGGUCUCUGUGUCCUUUACCCAAAUUAUUUUAUAUAGCAUUUGCAGUUUCAAUUUCCAAUUCCAAGGUUCUCAUUCCAUGCUCCCAAACACAGCAAUAAAUGUAAAUCCAAUUACACAUCUUCUUGGAACAACUUUUUGUGAAGUAAGUGCCAAUUUUUUUUUUUUUAGAAUGUUCAUUAUGAAAACACAUUAGACACGGAAUUAGAAAGCUGUUUAACUGCUUUCGCUCAAUACAACACCCCGUUCAAGGCUCAUCGUCAAGAACCCAAGAUUCAGUGUGUUUGCCAAGAAAGUUGGACCGUUCCCUCCAUUUCAGCUUGGCAAGUCGAAGGAUGAGAAUUCAUCUGAUGAAAGCUCAAAUGGUGAUUCCGGCAAUUCCAAUCCUUUUCGCUUCAACUUUGGUGAGGUGAGGGAUGUGACAUCUUUGAUCCUAGUUGUGAGCAGCCCUGGAACUGGGCUGUCAUUUGGAACUGGGCAGGCCGGCGUUCGUAUUUUGUGGCAACGGCCACGACGGAGAGAGAACGGCACACCAAAGGACAGCCACGGUAGAGACGAAGUUGCAGCGCCGGCAGAGAAAAUGUUGUUGGAGGGAGAAAAGGAGAAAGCACUGCUGCCGUGACUAGAUCGAGGAUGGCCGUGGGGGGGGUUGACCAGAUCGAGAACGAUGAGAGGGGGGAGAGGGUUGCUGCCGAAGAGAAUGGGUUUUGUUUCUUAAUCUAUUUUUGAGUUUAGUUUGUAAUAUUUAGGAAACAUGUUAAACACGUUUUCAUGUUUGUAGUUAUAACACUGGAUCUGAAUUUGUUAUUUUGUGCUUUGUUUUUUGAAUCCAUCUCACCAAACAUAUAUUACGUUUGUAUUAUGAAAACAAAAAUGAAAACAAUGGGUAAAAAACGCUACCAAACGGGUACAUCCGCCUUGGCCGUACAGCAGGAUUUGUUUUUUGAAUCCAUCUCACUAAACAUAUAUUACGUUUGUAUUAUGAAAACAAAAAUGAAAACAAUGGGUAAAAAACGCUACCAAACGGACCCUAAUUUUUAUCGUUUCUGUUUCCCCCCAAUAAUUGUCUUAAAAUAAAUAUUGUACUUCUGCGUAGUACGCAGCACAAGGACAUUAUGAACGGUAUUUAAUCUCGCCGCACUUGUUCACAAACAAUUUUGAAGUUUCAAAGGAAAUUAAAGAAAGCUUUAGUUUCCUCCCUUGACGUUGACGUUCUAACUGAUUACUUUACUUACCGUGCAGUCUUACCUCACCGAACACAAAUGACAAAUGUAUGGCGACUCUGACUCAAAUCUCAAUUGACGCACACAUUUUAAUUUAGAUUAUUUUGUAGCAAGACCCGUGACAGCGACUGUUUUCUUACUGUAGGAUUGUACUCAGUAUAUGAACUUUGAACAGAGCAUUGCAUAUAUUGAAGAUUACAUGGAAACACAUGGUCCUUUUGAUGAUUUGUUGGGCUUCUCUCAGGUGGGCACCUGAGAACUUGAACUAUUUUUGGUUUUAUUUUCUUCGAGUUUAUUGCUACUUGCCGCAGUUGUGUUCGGUUUCUAAUUUGACCGAUGAGAUUUUAGGGAGCAUUUAUAGCAGCUGCUUCACCAGGGAUGCAAGCAGAGGUACUUGAGAUGUCAAUUAUUAUUGUUGCUUAAUUUUAUCCCGUUCCUAAUUUUGAGGAGGAGAACAAGAUUUGAAGAUUUUUUUUUUUUUCCCACUAAUAUGCUCAAUUUCUGAAACUGUAGGGAGUGGCUUUUACUAAAGUACCAAAGAUAAAGUUUGUGAUAUUAAUAGCAGGGGCUAAAUUCCUGGGAUUCAAGUUUGGGCAGCCUAAGCUUGCGGUUAAUGCAUUUUCAUCCCCAGUCCAGUGCCCAUCUCUUCAUAUUAUAGGUCAGCACAAGAUUCAAAAACUCUGCAUAAUUUCUAUUGUUUACAAGCUUCCAAGGAAAGAAUACAAGAUUAAGCUUAUGGCGUCAAUCAUUAAUCUUGAAGCUUGAUGGCUCUUAUUAUUUUUCUAGGCAUUGUCACAUUUCAAUUUUCAAGUUCACAUGUUCCUGCUACAUGUCCGGGAAAAUUUGUAAUGAACGAUUACAUGAUUGUAUUUUCAGUGCUGUAACAAUAGCUUGUCUACAAAAGAAAAAAAAAAAAAAAAGGAAACAAGAUUAUAUAACGCUUACGAUUAGAUUUAGAACAAAUUCCAAUGAAACAAAAAAGACUAGAGGAGAUGUAUCUUUUUGUUAUCUCUGCAUCCGCAUAAUUUUUCAAUAAUGUGGGAAGGGAAGUUUAUAAGAGCCGGAGACAUAAUCAUUUUUAAUUGACGAGCAUGAUAUGUGGAUUGUGGUGCAGGAGAAAAUGAUUUCUUGAAGGAGCAAGGAAUGGUUCUCCUGGAAUCGUUUGUAGACCCUGUUGUGAUUUAUCACUCCAAGGGGCACACUAUCCCGAGAAUUGGUCAGUUCAUUCUUUCUUUGAUAAAGCUUAUGGUAUUAAAAUCUCACUUCAUUGCAUCAAUUUGCAACACGACUCUUUAAAAAAAUGAGUUGCCUGAUCUAAUUUUGAACUGGCUCUGUCUAUUAUGUGCACAGAUGAGAGAGGCCAAGAGACAAUGCUCAGUUUCAUCCAGAAAUUUCAAAUGAUAUGAUGCAAUCAUGCACAAUGAUGAUGCCUUUGGUGAUUUAUUACCGUUCCCCUUUCAUGGAACGUAAUAAUAUAAUAUAACACCUUUCUUUUUCAUUGUUCCAUCAAGGGUGUUCAAACAAAUCUCUGCUUUUUCACCUGAUAAAAUAUAUCUUUUUAAGAUGAUGGUAUCCCCAUUCAUAAUUAAUAAUCUUUUUCUCACAAAUAAAUUAAUUUCCUCUUUUCUUUUUUAAAUUUAUGUACUAAUAAAUCCAGUUAAAUAUAUGUUGAUUAUUGUAUAAGAAUUUCGUUUGAUUAAAUGUUAUUACAUUCAAUUUUUUUACAUCAAUCAAUCAAGUUUAAGAUUUCCGAAGUUAGAAUUAGACCUCUGCUUGUCUUUUAUCUUUGACAUGUAUUCAGUAUUCACAUUGGGCUUAUUUGAAUUAUGUUUAUCUUAGUAGUACAAAUCAAAUAAGAUUAAAUAGAGUUUUCGCACAUCUUAAGUGUCAUAUUCCUUUUUUGUUUUUGGUGAAAGAAUAAAUUGUCCAGCAAGUAACAUAAAAAAUAUUUUCAUGUUUGCCUUUACAAACUUUGGAUACUUUUCCUUAUGAAGAAAUUAUCAUUAUAUAAUUUAAGAGAGCCACUCUAUCUAUAACUUUAUUAUUGCGGAUGUUUAGCAAUUGGCAUGCUAUAAAAUUUGAGUUCAUGCAUCAUUGUAAGUAGGGGUGUUCAGAAUCCAAUCCGAUCCGCUCAAUCCGUCCGAUUUGCUGAAUCUGAUCUGUGGAUUGGUGGAUUGAAUAUGGAUUAAAAAUUAAAAAAUCUGCAGUCGAUGAAUUGGAUAUGGAUUUACUUCUAUAAAUCCGCAGAAAUCCGUGAAUCCGCAAAAAAAAAAAAAAAAAAAAAAAAAAAAAAAAAAAAAAAAAAAAAACAAAAAAUUGUAAAAAUUAUAAAAUAAAAUAAAAGGAAAGUCACACGCACUAGCAAAAGCAAAGUAACAUAACGCCAAGUCACCAACAAUUUGCAAACAAAAAACCCUAAGUUUAUCUGCCGUCACACACACUAGCAACACUUAAUACUGGUUGGAUACACUCUCGACACGGAUUUAAAGGACAUCAGCCGCGCGAUUCCGGCGAGAACAAGCUAUCUUCUUUCCCAGGUCCAUCGAGCUACUUCACAUUCAUUGGUUCCAGCUGAACAAUUUCACUAUCACAACCUUCAAGAUCGCCACCCAUAUGACUUCUCCUGGUUCCCAUCGUGGAUGGCUCUGUAAUCACCACUUUUCGACAGGCGCAACAGCCCUGGUGAAGGAUCAGACUGUGUUUGGUUUCCGAAACUUCGCCAUUUUAAUUAAUUGUGGCUUUAUUUGAACAAUUAAUUUAAGUGUUAUAUUAAUGUAUUAUUGUAAUUUUAUUUGAACAAUUAAGCUUGGUGUGUUAUAUUUUAAAACUUUGAACGCAUUAUUGUAACUUUAUUUGAAUAAUUAGUCUCGAUGUGUUAUAUUUUGAAACUUUAAAUGUAUUAUUUUAGCUUUAUUUAAACAAUUAAUUUAUUUAAAUUUUAUUCAAUUUUAAAUUUAAUUGGUAGCAAAAUUAUUUGUAUAUUAGAUUUUUUUAUUUCAUUAGUUGGAGAGAACUAAAAAUUUUUAAUUCGAAAACUAAUGCGCAAAAUGGUGGAUUGCAUAUGGAUUGGGUCAAAUCCGCAUCCGAUCCGCAUACGUAUGGAUUGGAUAUGGAUUAAGUCAAAUCCGCAUCCGAUCCGCAGAUGUAUGGAUUGGAUUUGGAUUGAAUUUUAUCAAUCCGUAGAUUGGAUUGGAUUGGAUUGGAUUAAAAAAUUAUAAUUCGCAAAAUCAUGGAUCGAAUAUAGAUUGAUGUCCAAUCCGUAAAAUCCGAUCCGCGAACACCCCUAACUGUAAGAAUGUGCAAAAGCAGUGUAUAAUUGCUAAAUGACUAUGUAUGACAUUAAAAUCUGAUUAACUCCGGAAUGUGCGUGUUGACACUACACCUGAGAAUUUUUAUUUUUAGAUGUUGUGGGGAAUAAUCUUCUAUUAUUGUUGUUUUUAGAAUGCAUAUGUUUUAAAUUUAAAAGGCCUUACGGUCACUUAAAUUACAUGAAAAAUAAUAUAUUUACGAGAAAAUUGAUGAAUGACGAGCACCAGUCAAGAUAGUCCAUCGAAUUCUCAAUCCCGCUUGGCGCUAAAAAAAGUCAUCAAUUUGUACGGUCAUGCCCUCUAAAUCCUCUCUCCCCUGUAGCGAUCCGAACAGAGAACUCAUAACAUUUGAAUAUCAAACCAUUCCCAAUCAAGACUCGCCACGCGCCUCCGAAGAACCUUCUGAAACAAAAUGGAUCAGCAACAAGCGCCCCCGAAGGCCGCAGCAGCAGACCCCGACCACAACAAGACAGAGUCCCCCGCUCCGAACCCGAAACCCGAUCCCAAUCCCAAUGGGGACGGCGAUAACUGGGCGAAUAUCGUCGUGGGAUCCGAGUCUGAGAAAGUUUCUGAGAAUGAGAAUCAAGCGCAGCCUCAGAAUCAGAUCAAGAUCCAAUUAGAAAGCUCCACGAAUUCAUCCGAACCGUCGCCAGCAUCAUCCGUGUCGAAGAAAUCGGUGCACUGGAGCCCCGACUUGGUGACCGAAUCGCACGCUCCCAAUACUCAUAAUUACCAAAAUACCAUGCCCCCAAUCGACGGAUCCAAUCCUUACGUCGCCCACACUCCUGCACCGCCCUCCAAUUCAUUUUCCUUCAAAGGUCCGUCCCGUAUUUGUAUUUUUGUUUUUCUAUUUUUUUUUGUUUUUGGUUAUUUUAUUGAGACGCGCCUCCUGUAAAUGUUAGUUAAUUUGGGAUAAUGAUUUGAAUCAGACGCGGUAGGGAGUGUGAAGGAUGUGUUGGGGCGAUGGGGGAAGAAAGUUGGAGAAGCGACGAAGAAAGCAGAGGAUCUCGCUGGGAACACCUGGCAGCAUCGUGAGUUUUCUUUCUUUUGUGUUUAUGCUAAUGUCAUUUAUCAGAUAAGAUACAAUGAGUUUAGUAUUAGAAUUUACGAAUGAAUUGAUUUCAACUACCGGUAAAAUUGGGUGGGUCAUGGCCUGGGGAAUUUUUUGUUGCGUCUUGUUUUACUUGUGAAAACAACUUUUUGGGUUUAGUACUAACUAAACCUGAUCUGAGGAAGAUUGGCUGCAAGUACUAACUAAUAGGUGACCGUCUAAAUCUAUGUGUCUACAUUUCUCUGUCUCGUCUCUUGGUUGGAUUUGAAUUGGUGAUGGGUGAAGAUAGAGAAGGGGGUGGGGGAAGGUAUAGAUAUUUUUCAUAAUAAGAAUUCAUUUGAUUUGUUGUAUUGGAAAAAAUGAAAUCAUCAAGCUACCUUUUGUCAGUUUUGGCCUUGCAGUCACUAUCAUUCGCCCAUUAUAAAUUUCUAGGUACACAAAUAUCAACCCUUGCACUUUGUGAUUUAUCCAUUUAAAAUAAGCUCUGGACUAUCUCUUUGGCUCUACUUUCCUCAUUUAAGGUGCCGGUAGAUAUAUUCUGUGCUGGUGAAAAUCCAUAUUCAAUCUUACUUACUUGCCCAAUCUUCCGUCCUCCAUUACCAAUACUCGAAACUUCCCUGAUGUCAAGUUUACCAAGUCAAGUUCGUCUUACAAUAAUUUUGAAUUCUCUAUGGGCAAAAGUCUGGCCGCCAGAAGCUUUCUAUGCAAUAUAAUCAGUAAUAUUGUAUAUCUCGUAAGAAUGCGAUUUUUUAUUAUCCCUGAUAUGAGCUGCCUACCUUACAUUGGGUAGAGUUUAUGCCAGUAUUGUUAGGUAUGAGUUUAACUUAUUUAUGAGAUUUGUUUUGAUCUUAACUAAUUAGUUAUGCUAUAGAUUUUCUCACGCCUUUCAUUGGCUAAACCCUAAAACUAACAUCUAAUAAAGCAUGCAAUCCUCUCUAGUAGGCAACCAAAAAGAAAAAGGAGCCAAAUUUUGAUUAGGCUGCUAUACUGAAAUUGAAAUUAAAGGGCAGGAAAAUAUAGAAUGAGUCUGAUUAAAGCACGACAUAAUUCUGUCUUAACAGCUUCUAAGUCGGUGUUUGCAAUCCUCAAAUCUAAUGGCUAUAAAGUUAGGUUGCUGGUAGAAUGUUGGAAAGAUGAAACUUGAUGGUAAAUUAAGCUACUUAGUUAGUUGGCAACUGUUUUUUGUUGUAGCACUCUGUCAUUCUUUGUUAGUUUAUGUCAUGAAAUUACUGGAAUGACCCUGUUCUCUCCUAACUAGUGAAAACAAGCCCGAGCUUUGCUGAUGCUGCUAUGGGAAGGAUUGCACAGGGAACUAAGGUUCUGGCAGAAGGCGGUUAUGAAAAGAUCUUUCGGCAAACUUUUGAGACAGUUCCUGAGGAGCAACUUCAGAACUCAUAUGCUUGUUACUUAUCCACAUCAGCUGGUCCAGUCAUGGGAAUCUUAUAUGUAUCUACUGCGAAGCUGGCAUUUUGUAGCGACAACCCGCUUUCCUAUAAAUCCAGUGGCCAAACUGAAUGGAGCUAUUAUAAGGUAUUUUCCUUGAGCCAUAUAUAUGAAAGAAAGGUAGUUUGGAAAUCCUCAUUAGACCUCCAAUCCAUGAGAUUGUGUUUUGGACUAUAUCUUUUACCCUUCACAUUUACAAGUUACAGGCACUUUUUUGCACAGUAGGCUCUUACUAUUUGCAUGUAGUUUGUUGUUCUGUUUACUUUGUUAGUCUCUCAUGGUUUCAAAGAUACCUACCUUUUCUUUCCUGUUCGACAUGGUCAGUGAGUUUGUUGGACAGCUUCCCAGCGUCCCCUGCCUGUAUAGUACCCCAACAAAACACUAUUAUUGUGUCACUGCACUUCGUUUUCAGUUGAGAUUGCAUUUGUCUCUUAACCUAUGUUACAGAAAACAUUAUACAAAUUUUUUACUUAGAAUUUUGUGCUCUAUGCUGUAAUUUGGGUCGGCCCAUACAAGAGCGAAUGGUGGUUGAUGUUUUCAAGGGAAAAUACAUUCAUGUUAAUCCUCUCUCUUAAGUUUCCAAUAUUUACUUCAUAUAUUGUUUUCCAAAACACAAACACCCCCCCAUCCCUCCCCUUUUUUUUUGGGUGAUAGACUGUUGGCUUUUUUGUUUUUUCUCUUUUUUUAUUGUUGAUUAUCCUGUGGCAAUUACUGAUGCUUUUCUCUGCUUAAAAUAGGUAGUUAUCCCAUUGCAUCAGCUUAGAGCAGUUAAUCCUUCAUCAAGCAGAAACAAUCCCGCUGAAAAAUAUGUUCAGGUUAUCUCCAUAGAUAAUCAUGAGUUUUGGUUCAUGGGCUUCUUAAACUACAACGGUGCUGUGGAAUGGCUACAGGGAGCUUUGGAGGCUCGCAACCUAGAAUCUGUGUGACUUGAUUUGGCUUGCGGUUUCACUCUAUUGUCUGAUGUUCCCCAUGGAACCGUGAAAUUUUCAUAAUGCAUGUGUCUCCUCUGUGGGAACUAAAAUUAGGUAAACAAUAGAGAUUAUAUUGUAUCAGGGAUAUAGUAGAAAAAUAUGUUGACUUUUUUUUAGUCCAUGUGAUUAUUUUGCAUGUUACAGCUUGUCAGGAAGCUUUAUAUUGUAUCCAAUCUGUUUCAAAAUGAGCUAGUUUAACAUUGCUUUCUCAUUAUGUAUUUAUUUUUUAUUUAUUAAAUGGUUAACAACAUUUGGAAUAUGACUGUAAGAUGUAUUUUAAGCCUAAUUGUUCUAUUUUCAUUAGCGUAUGUCAUGAUAGCUGAAAGAAAUUCAUGCCUAUUUGAAAAUUAUAAACAAAUUUACAUUUGCAGAACAUGCUGCAGCGGUAAAUAUUGUAUCUGCAGGCUUUGCUCAAUCGACAAAUGACUGGAAUUCUAAGUUAUGCUGGAACUAUAAUAGCCUCCUCCCUUUUCAUUGUCAUAGUUAUGGACCCAGUUGUGGAUUUUGUAUUGCCACUCGCCAACAGAGUUUUAUUUUAAAUUAUUAGAAAAGUAAGAGAAACGUGGAGAUAUACUGUAGGACUUGAGGGUAACUUUUAGCUUCUUCUGCGAAUAACUUGCAGAAUACAGUUGAGUGUUACAAUUUGUAGUGUGUGCCUGUGUGGUGUUGGCAACAACAAUUGAUGCCGACGGUUAAAUUAAUGAAUAUUUAAGUACCGAAAAAUAAAAAAUAAAUAAAUAAAUCAUAGUUUGGGGAUUGAGGUCUUAUUAUUAUAUAGGCCGGUGCAUACAGCCCAUAAUCAUAAGCAAAAAUGAUAUGAACUUUGGGAAUUGAGGUCUGAAAUGGCCCAUGGCCUAUCUAUGAAUAGGAGGCAGGCCCUCAGAUACUACUACACAGUUUAAAAAUAUUUGUCAACUCCACUUUCUUAUUAAGUUUAGAAGAGCUCCAGAGUCUGUCCAAAUUUAAGAAGAAAAAGAGUUUGAGAGCUGUACUAUCAUUUCAUAUAUAUUCAUAUUAUGUUUGUAAGGUUGGGAUUUGUAUUCCAAUAAAUUAUAGUAAAUAAAACUCUCCGAUGUUUUAAUUAAUCAAGUACUUCGAUUAGAAAAAAAAAAUUACAAAAAUCUACGGCUUUACUUUCAUUUUCAUGCAUGAUUUUAGUUAUGAUCAUUGACUUUGUAAGAGGUGGACCACCGAAAUUAACCUUUCGGCAGUUGAUUAAGCGGCCAACGCUAAUCUCCGUUGGAUUGUGUUAAUUAUGAGCCUAGCUAGCCAUAGCGUCUAUAUCAAAGGAAGAACCCUCAUAUAAACUGACUGUGUUUAACCUUUAUAGCGUUUUUUAGAUGACCCACCAACGAUUUUCCAACUGCACGCGCGAACGUCGUUUCAGAAGAUCACAACUCUCUUUUUUUUUUUUUUUUGGGUUAAUAAAUAAUAAUCAUCACGUCUUAUUACAGUGAAAUUAAAGCGACGCUUUCAUUUAUAAGACCUAUAAAGCCAAAAGGCCGAAAAGCCUACCGUGUCUUCUCAAAUUUUUUGCACCGGCAACUAAUCAUAACCAGCCCAAUGCUCAAUUUUAGAAACAAAGCCAUUAGAAGAAAUAGAAAAAAACCUGGACACAAACCACAUUCUUAUGCUUUACUAGGAGUUGAAUUUGUCACAGUAAAGUGCAAUUCGUAGCCAAUAAGUCAAGACUCUAGAGGCUAGACCCAUUAAUUUCAUGGCCCUUUAUAAUCACUUCCCAAAGUAUGCCAUUCUACUGUUUAAACCAAAUUAUUCGUCCUGAUCACAAACUCUUUCAUCAUCAUUUUCUACAAUCUUUUUUUUGUGGAAGUGGGACUUCAAAUCUCAUGCAAAUCAAUGUGUUUAACAGCUUUGUCGGUGACUUUUCAGUCCCAACUUAUUAUACACGCCAUAAUGUGUCUCACUCUUACUCAAAAGAAUAACAUCAUUUUCAAUAAAAUCAUCUUAUUUCUACUUAAAUUUUGUAAACUCAAAGAAACUAGCCUUCCUUUUCUUCUUUUUCUUUUUUAAUAGGAAUGAUUGAAGGAAUCAUUCCUUCAAUAAGCUUAAACAGUUCCACCCAUUUUAACAGAACUAUAUUCUCAUUGACAAUCUUCAUCAUCAUAUAAAGUAGGACGGGUUUAGCGUCAACAUAGGGCAAGUAAAGUAUUAUUGAACUCGCACGUUUAGUUUGGAAGAAUGUAAAUAUGUAGUGGCUUUAACUGAAAUUUUAUACCGUACCCGACUUUUCACCCUCUGCCUCACAUGGUAACUUUUGAUUCAAGGAAAGAACAAGGAGCAAAAGCUAAAAUUGAAAGAGUUGAAGGACAAACUGAUGCAAUUGUCAUAAAAUAACACAUGAUGGUGAUGAUGGAGAGGGAAUGGGGGACGCCUAAAGGAAUUCGAUUGCACGCAAGAAAUUAAGUGAUCAGUGAAAAGAAUAUCAAUAUCUUUCUAUUUAGGUGCAAGCUGGAUGAUAGUGGUGGAAGCAAUUGACAUUGUCAGCCCAAAUGUAGUUGGUAAUUGAUUUCUUAGUCUUUAUCUUUACCUCCCCUUCAAAAAAUAAUGAACCAUUGCUUGCCAUUCCCAUUCACAUUUUCAACCCACAAACUCAUUCUCUGUUCCCUUUAUCACUCAUAUGCAACCAACAUUGAAAAUUACAUCCAUUGUGAUUGAGUUACCUUUUUUUUUUCCCAUGUAAAUGACAUAUACGCUUAUUUAAAAAAAAAAGAAAAGAAGAAUACAAUUUGAAAGAUGACCAGCGGUUGUUGUUGAUGUAAAUUUUUGCUCAAUAUACAGUAAUCAUUUUGUGUUCUAAAAAUUCUUCUAAAUUAAGCUUUGCGGUCUAUGUCCUCCUUGAGGCAAAUGUUUAAAUCACGUGUCUUCAAUGGUCAAUCAUUCUGCAAAAGUUAACAACUGCCAAGGGGGGCCGGCGUGCUAGCGAUAAUUCUUUAACACUCAAGUCAAUUCCUUUUAACCAAUUUCUACAUAGAAAUUUUAGAAUGAGAUAGGUAUUAUUUUGUACCUCUUUUUCAUCUUACCUUCAAAUGUGGGAUGCUUGGCCUUUAUAUAAGGCCAAGCAUCCCACAUUGAUAGGUGUCCUCAUUGAUAAGUGUCCAUGCAUGAGGACACUUAUCAAUAUGUGGUAAGACUUGUUCAUCACAAGUCUUAUUUGGAAAUUUGACUUGAUUCUGACCAUUGACCUUUAAUGGACUAAAGCUUGAAUUCGACAAUUAUGUUGAUUUUCCCAAAGAAGAUUGAUUUUAUAACAUUUUAUCUAUAAGCAAAAUUUAUAAAGCUUUUGCUUAUAAGCACAUUGCACAAAAAUGUUUGCUAGCUUAUUUAUUUGCCCACUGGCAUAUUCUAUAGAAUAUCUGUUGGCUCGUAAGCUCAUUCCGUAAAAUAUUUGUUAGCUUGUAGGUGCAUUUCAUAGAAUGUUUAUUUGCUUCCAGACCCAUUUCGUAGAAUGUAUAUUUGUCUAUAGGCACAUUUCAUAAAAUGUUCAUUUACACGUAGACUCAUUCUAUAUAAUGUAUAUUUGCCCAUAGGCUCAUUCCAUGUUUAUUUGCAUGUAGGCUAAUUCUUUAGAAUGAUUGUUUACCCAUAGGCCCAUUUUGCAGAAUAUUCUUUUGCCUUGUAGGUGCAUUUUGUAGAAUGUUUAUUUACUUGUAGGCUAUUCUAUAGAACAUAUAUUUAAGUUCUUAAGUCAUUAUUUGUUAAAAAAAAAAAAUGAAUCUAGGUAAUUUUUUUAUAAAGAAUGGAUCUAAGGCAUCAUUUGUAGAAUCAUGUUUUUAGUGGUUUGUCGAAUACUCUCCCUUUGGAAGAUUUACUUAGAAAUAUUUUCUAAGUGCCUAAGUCAUUUUUUGUAAAGAACGAAUUUAGGUUGUUCUUUAUAAAUAGCGAACCUAAGUCAUUCUUUAUAAAUGAAUGGACUUAGGUUAGAAUUAAGCCUUUGGUACUUUGUCGAAAACUUGACUUUUGAGCAUUUAGUUAUAAAUACUUUUUAAGUCUUUAGGUCAUUUUUUAUAAAUAAUAGACAGAUUAUUCUUUGUAAAGAGUGGACUUAGGUAAUUUUUUUUUGUGAAAAAAUAGAGAUCUUUGUUUGUAGAAUAACACCUUUGGCGCUUUGCCAAAAACUCUCCCUUUAAACAUUUUACUUAGAAAUUUUUUUUGAGUGCCUAGAUUAUUCUCUGUAAAGUAUGAGCCUAGGUUCAUUCUUUGUAAAGUAUGGUCCUAGGUCCUUUUAUAUAGAAUCAUGGCUUUUGCACUUUGUCGAAAACUUUCAUUUGGGAUUUUUUACUUAGAAAUAAAUAUUUUCUAAAUACCUUAGUCAUUCUUUAUAAAUAACAUAUCUAGACUGUUUUUUAUGAAAAAAUUUUACUGAGCCUAUAUUUUUCGUAAGCUUUUGGGCCUUCCGUAAUUUAGUCUAACAAUUGCUAUUUAAUUUUUAAGGAAAGUUAAAAAAUAUAUAAAAUUUUAAAAGAAUAUCACAGAUCUAUUUAAGUUUUGGAAUCAUAUCAAAAAACUACUUUUUUAUUAAUUCUGUGAAACCUUUAGAAAAAGAUCAUUAUGCCUCUAAAAGUGUUUUAUUAUGUAAAUGACUUCUUGUUGGUUUAUUAAACUUUCACUAAUAAUUAGGGGGACGGGGGAAUGAAUUUAUUAGGAAAAUAAUUAUUUUAUACUUGUGACAUUAGCGUACAUUAAUGUAGCUUAAUGAAAAAGUGGUUUGGUGAUACACUUAAAAAUAUUGAAAUGGACCGCUAAUAAUUUUUAAAAAUUUUGCGUAUUUUUUUAACUUUUGUUAUAAUUAAUUAGACUGCUGAUAUUUUCCCUUGUCGAUCUUUUCAUUUUCUUCUAUAUAUAUAUAUAUAUAAAUUAAAAACCCAUUAAAAAAUAAAAGAGAGGUAUGAUCAUGAUCAGUACCUCGAAAGGGAAAAAAUAAUUCUCAUGAUGAACGAAGAGAAAUAAAUCUUUUCUAAAAUGAAAUCCAAAGAUAUGUGUUUUGUCUCUUGCUUAAUUUUGUAUCUUUAUGAGCUGUAAAAUCCAAGAACUAAUAAUGAUAUGUAAGAAAAUUUUUUUUAGAAAAGAGAAGGAGCAAAUGAUAUAAAUAUAAGAUAACAAGUAAAAGAAAACAAAGAAAAUGCGUUAAUCUGUUCAUAUGCUGGUGAUGCAAACAAGCAAGAAACAAGAAAUGGGGCCACCGUUUAACUCACAGCGUUUAGAUUAAUAAUAAUUAAAAACAAAAAACAAAAAAACAAAAAAACAAAAAGAAGGCUGCCAAAAAAUAUGGAAAUGGAAAUGAAGGUCGUCCCACUCUGUUGAUCGUAUUGUCACGAUCCGUUUCCUUUUUCUCCACAAAAUUUCGUCUUCUUGUUAAACAUUAAUUAAUUUAUAUUCUCACUUUCGAAUUUCAAUAUUUCAUCGUCCUUCUCCUCCGUCCCGUUUUCACCUGAACUCCGAGGACUCCGUUCCGUUUACUGGUGUAAUUAUUAUCAUGAUUAUGUGUUCGCAUGAGGGGAGAAACAGAGAAGGACAAGCGUUUCUUGUAUUGAUGUGUCUGCACUAGUGGUUUCCCGCCAGCUGACAGCACAUGCACUGCACGGGAGACGACGAUCCUGAUCGUGUCGUUUCUGUGCCUCUCUCUCCCUGUUAUGUCAGAAUUGACGUAUCUCGCUCUCUUACGUCUGUCAUCCUGUUUGGCUGUUUUUCAGGAUCACAUGAACCCUAGCUAAUAAGAUAAAUUUUUAUUACUUUUUAUUUAUUUUAUAUAUAUAUAUAUACCAAUUUACGAUGUUAGCAUUAGCCAUUAGGUGUUUGAAUGAAAACUGAGUGCAUGCUGCAUCAUAACAAUAACAACUUCACAAAUGGUGUGUAAAUCGUAUUAAGAAACGAUUUAAGUGUUAACCGACAAAAGUCAAUAUAAGACUACAUAUAUACAGAUGAAAUUAAUAGUUAAUAAAUACACCCUCCGGUUGAAUUAUUAGCAUCAAAUUUGACUUUUUCUUCACGAAAUCACUCCACCACAGCCUUUCGUUGCAUGCGUAUUUCACAAUUAAUUCAUUUUAACAUUAAAACAUUAUUUGUCAGGAUUUUGCCAUUUUCAACUGAAAAACUAUUAAGGGACCAACGUACGUACGAGCAGCCCCCUCUUAAACAGGAAUUAAUAAUACCCAAAUGAGCGACACUUGGCUACACAAAUCUAGGGGCUUUCUUAUAAUCACCAUCGUGGUCCACUCCCUCUCGAUUCAAGAUUAUCAACCUUUAGGCUAUAUAUCUAAUUUGUAGUGAUGGAUAACUUAAAAAUUAAUUGCGAUAAAUCCCUCUCCCUCUCUCUCUCUCUCUCUUAAUGGUAAGAAAAAUAAGCACUCUAAUAAUUGGUGUGUUUUAUCUUUUAGUACAUUAAAAUUUAUAUUCUUUUAUCCUUUAACUUGGUCAUAUCAUUUUAUUGAAACUUUAUCUACUAAAUGCAAUUUUUUAUUUAUACUAUUACUCGAACUCAUAUAAUUUUGUACAUGUAUGUUGAUUUGUUAUCAUCAAUAUCAUCUUUGAGAUUUAGAUAAACAUAUCACAAAAAAUCAUGGCUCUUAUAAAUAAUUCACAUCCAAGAGAUCCUCAUGAUGCAGAAUAUCAAAACACAUAAAUUUCAGCAGUUUCAUACAAAAACUUGUACAUGUAUGUUGAAUUGCCAAGCACUGGAUAUAAAUAAAUUCCGUAUCUUUUAAUUUGGUUAAUGAGUUUCUCACUCACCAAAACUCUCCCUAUCUUUCUCACAUAAAUUCCCCCAAAUGUAAAAAUUCUCUCCAAAUGUUUCUCUUCUUUUCCAAUAUUCUCUCUUUAAUAAAUAAAUAAAUAUGUAUGUAUGUAUGUAUGUAUGUAUGUAUGUGAACUUAUAAAUAGAGAAUCACUAUAUCUAGUAAAAGAAACUGUACUUUAAUAUGAUAAGAACUAAAUUAAAAGAUAAGAAAGCAUAAAUUUUCAUUCAACAGGGUGAAAACUGAAAAACAUCCAAAGCUGGUAGUAUUUAGUGUUCAUUCAUUCAUUCAUUGGAGUUGAGAUGAUGUCAAGUCUUAAAUUUGCGUUCCGUUCCCCCCCCCCCCCCNNNNNNNNNNNNNNNNNNNNNNNNNNNNNNNNNNNNNNNNNNNNNNNNNNNNNNNNNNNNNNNNNNNNNNNNNNNNNNNNNNNNNNNNNNNNNNNNNNNNNNNNNNNNNNNNNNNNNNNNNGGGGGGACUGCUGUACCGUACAUCCCCCUUGACGUAAAAUUUUGGAAUGAUAUACGGAAAGGACAAGGGAGAGUCAAUAAUGAAUUGAAAGGACAUCACAUUCGUAAUUAUCCUUAAAACCCCCUCCUCAGUCCUCACCCCACCCACCCGUUCCGUUCUAAAUACACAACGAUCCGUCCAAAUUAAUUGUGUAGUUACAAAAAUUCACAAACCAAAUUUUAGUAUUAGAUAAGGGCAAUCCUCCCCUCCUCAGUUACAAUAAUAAUAAUAAUAAUAAUAAUGAUAGCAAAAGAAAAAGGCUGCAGCAGCGCCCAUUGAUAUAUAUAAAGAGGAAAGAUUAAAGGAGGGCAGCUGAUCGAAGGGUAGGGGACAGGAGAAGAGGACAAUGCAUGCAGUCACUUCAAAUGUCAAUCAAUUAGUCAAACAUCUUGUAAACUUUAACACAGAAAUAGUGUAAGGCAUGAGAGGAUGGGGUUCUUGUACAUGCUCUAACUACAAUUAUUAAUAGCUAUUUCUGAUUUUGAUGUGAAUGCAAAUGGACUGCAUGACCAUCACCUUUUCUUUUCUUUUUCUUUUGUUAAAUAAAUUAUUGACAUUAUUUAGAAUCUUCAGAAGGACAUGAAUUACUUUACUGUGAUCGUCAUCUACCUGAUUAACUGAUUUUCAGCCUCAGAUAAGGUUUCCUUUUUCUAUUCAAAUUAGGGACCGACAUGUUUGUUUUUUUUUUUUUUUUUUUUAAAAAAAAAAUAUUAUGUGAAGUAUUAAAUCACGUACAGUACACGUUUGAAAACUUGAACUCUGCACUUCCAGGAUAAGGGGAGAAAAAGAAUGGACCAAACUCAACCAAAGAUUCAAGGACUAGUCAUCAUAUAUGAAGGUUUUGGUUAUUAGGGUCUAUUCACUUGCAUAUUGUUAUAUUAAUGGGUACGUAUAAAUAUUUGAAUGGAAGAUGUCUAAAAUUAGGUAAAAGUCUAUUUAGUUUUUGUAUUUUAAGAUUAGUAUCCAUUUAGUCUCUGUAUUUUUUAAAAUAUCUUAAAAUAUUCAUGCCGUUAAAGUAUUGAUAUCCCUACCGUUACUUUUUAUUUCUUUUGAUUUACUUUUACAAUAUCACCCUUUAAUAAUAAUUUUUUGUUUGGACAUUAAUAAAAAUAAAAUAAUUAAAUUACCAAUUUAACCAUAAAAAUAAAAAAUUAUAUUAAUUUUUAAUUGUAAAAAAUUAUAUGCAAACUACCAAGUGUGCAAACGGUGCUUGUAAAAAAAUUAAUAUAAUUUUUUUUAGGGUUAAAUUAGUAAUUUAAUUAUUUUAUUUUUAUUAAUAUUUAAAAAAUUAUUAUAAAAGGAUAAUAUUGUAAAAGUAAGCUAAAAGAAAUGAAAAGUAACGGUAAGCUGCUGUACGGCCAAGAAAAAUUGUAUGCAAACUACCAAGUGUGCAAACGGUGCUUGUAAAAAAAUUAAUAUAAUUUUUUUUAGGGUUAAAUUAGUAAUUUAAUUAUUUUAUUUUUAUUAAUAUUUAAAAAAUUAUUAUAAAAGGAUAAUAUUGUAAAAGUAAGCUAAAAGAAAUGAAAAGUAACGGUAAGGGUAUCAAUACUUUAACGGCAUGGAUAUUUUAAGAUAUUUUAAAAAAUACAGAAACUAAAUGAACACUAAUCUUAAAAUACAGGGACUCAAUAAAUUUUUACCCUCUAAAAUUCGACUCAUUGUCGGUCAGGACCUGGCCUUCAAUAAUAUGGAGAUUCAAGUUCGAAAUUAGAAAAUUAAUAAAUAAACAAACAGACACGCCCACGGAGAGACUCGAAGGUGUUGUUAGCAUACUGUUAUGAUAUUGAUUUAUAAUCAAUGUUGUUACUGUGAUGACACCACCGAAAUUUUACUAUUUCUUUCGUAUAGUUUUGAGUUGCUUCAAGUCACAUUUUAUGAAAUUAAUUUCACACAAGACACCAAUCCUGGACUAAUCUUAACUUUUAAUUAAACCAUAUUUGAAUUUUUUUAUUGGAAGCUUAAAUGAAAUCACCAUCAUAUUCAGAUUGUUCUAAUUCCUAAGCUCUAGCUAAAUUAUGUUGUGACUAAAAACUAUGCAAACUCAUCGUGAAUUCAGGAGUAUCGUAUUUUCUCAUCCCAUCAUUUAUCGCCAAAUUUAAGCAGCAUGCUGUGUUCGUUUAUUAAGAAACUAAUAAUUAAGAAAAACACAUCAGUUCAAUAGGUUGCAUUUUUUUUUAUUAGUCAUAUUAUGAUAACUAAAUCUUCUGACUACCUGAGUGAAUGGAUAAAUACUCUAAUUUUGAGGGCACUUGAACCAUUUAAUUUAGAGCUAACUUAGUUAAUUUUUUUUAGACUGUUAAUGUAACAGUUUACUUUUUUUUAAUACAUACGAAACUAACAUUUUGAAAAAUGAAUUAAUAAAAAUGAUAUCACGAAAACAAUAUAAUUUAAAAUAAUAAUAAUUUUAAAACAUAAUUCAAAACUAAUAACAAUUAUCAAAAAUUAAUUAUGAAUUACAAAUAGUUAUUUAGUGACAUCAUAUUAAAUUUUCUCUUCAAUUGAGCAGUACUUCAAAACAAUAUUUAUAGAGUAUUUAAUUUUCCACGAGGAGAAUUUAAAAAGAAGAAGAAGAAGAAGAAGAAGAAGAAAAGGAGAAAAAGCAAUGAAAAUUUUCCCAGAAAAAUUGGGAUGUGAUGGCAUCUACGAAAGGGCUAACAUGUCUCCCUCAGGUAUGUUAGCGCAAGGUUGGUAAAGAUGGAGACCCCCUCCCACCUUUAUUUGUGAAUUGUGAUGCUCGCAGCGCGUACUGAUCACGCGCAUCUGUUGCGAAUAUCUCAAUCAUACGUGCACUCUCGGCUUAUCUACGGCUCUGUUUUUCGCUCGCCAUUUUCUCUCAUUUGGGAUUUUGCCAAGUGCUAUUUAAUGCACGUUGAUGCACAAAGCGCGUCACCCUUGUCGGAGACCGAGUACACGUAAGUAGCUGCCUGGAGAGCCGACACAGCAACAUACUCCUCUCCUCUGUAUGUUUCGGUUGCCUCACGCGCAAUCACACGCGCAGCCAGAGCGCGUGGUCCGUUGGAUUGCGCUUUUGUGUAUUUCUUUUGGGCUGUCAAACUGCAGACUGUACUAGCACUCCACCUCACACGCCACAGUCGACACCGUCUGAUCCUUUACAGUAGUACCCCUUCACUUUAACGGUGCAGUGAAAAAAACAGACAAAAAAAAAUAUUACCGUUUACCGGGUAAGCCGGUUAAAACGAUGGUUUAAUUUCAAGAACGGGAAAGUAUAACAAGAGCUUUGAAGCAAAACAGGUCCUUUUUGCAGAGAGAGGGAAAAUUGACGUCCACAUUUUCUCACUCCUCUUAUCUUCUCUCUAUCUCUUAAUCUCUUUUUUGUUCACUCUAAAACCCAAAUAUUAUUACCUGAAAAGAAUUCUUUUUUUAUUUUUUUCUUUUUUUUUUAUUGUGUGUUGUGAAAAUGGAGUUUGAGGAUCAUGAGGAGCAAGAGGAGGAGAUGGGUCUGCCGGCGGGUUACGACUCGUCGCUAGGAAACUCAUCUCAAGUGAGAAUGGGGAGCUCUGGCGGGCAAGCAACAGCAGAGGCGGCUCAUCCCGGGAGGAAAGCAAGAUACAGAGAGUGCUUGAAGAAUCACGCGGUGGGUAUUGGGGGACACGCGUUGGACGGUUGCGGUGAGUUCAUGGCUGCUGGAGAUGAAGGCACUCUCGACGGUCUAAAAUGUGCAGCCUGCAACUGUCACCGCAAUUUUCACCGCAAAGAAGUGGACUCAUCAGUCGUGACUCCCAUGGCCGCUGGAGUCCCCGCUGCUGGUGGUGGUGAGGUUUUUUUCCAUCCCUCGCAGGUGCCGCAAUUCACGCCUUAUUACAGGACGCCAGCUGGGUACCUGCACGUGGCGGCUCACCACAGGCCACUGGCCUUGCCGUCGACGUCCGGUGGUGGUCACAGUAGGGAGGAUCAAGAGGACGCGUCAAACCUUGGUGGUAGCGGGGGUUCGAGGAAGAGGUUCAGGACCAAGUUUACGCCGGAGCAGAAGGAUAGAAUGCUGGAGCUUGCGGAGAAGUUGGGAUGGAGGAUUCAAAAGCACGAUGAAGAAGUAGUGCAGCAGUUCUGUAACGACACUGGCGUUAAGCGUCAUGUGCUCAAAGUCUGGAUGCAUAACAACAAGCACACUCUGGGUAAGAAACCCUAGAUUGCUCUACCUUUGGACUCAAAAUGAAGGAAAAUUUGCUUCUGCUGAGUAUUAUUGAUCAGUUAGCUCUAUUAUUAGUCUCUAGGGUUUUUUUUUUCUUAUUAUUUUUUUUUCUUUUUUCAUUUUUCUUUGAGGAAUUUGACAUCUGAGUUCGAAUGAUGUUUGGACGGAUAUUAUGAAGCUGGUUUUACAGUGGAUUAAUUAAUGUAGAUGGGAUGUGUUAAAUCUGAAUUCCACUUUGUAUUUUUCAGUGCAUUUGAUUUUUUAUUUUUUUUUCUAUUCAAUCUUAUUUCUGCUUAUGGGUUUUAGUGGAUAUCUAUUUGCUUUGUUGUUAGCAAUGAUCAGUUGCUAAGCAGUGCUGGGUAUUACAUCGUAAGUGGGAUUUAAGGUUUUUAGUGCACCAGGCUAGCUACCUAUGAGUAAUUAUUUGAGCUAGCUAGAGAGAGAUAAGAGAAACAUGUCAUGUGCUUUUUAUCAAGAAGCUGAUGGUAAUCAAACUGGUAAGGCCUGGGUUCAUCAUCAACUUUGAAUUUGACCUUUCAUUUCUACUUGUAAGUCUGCGUCAUCUUAUUCUUAAGCAGCAACGUGUUCAAAGCUGCAACUUAUGUUUACUGAAUCUCAUUCUACGUGUGCCUAUCUCUGCGUGUAUAUGUGUCACUUGUUACUCCUCUCCUAAUUAACAAUAAACCCAAAACUUUUCGUCUGUGUCCAGAGAUCCUAAAAUCUUCAGAGAGAGAUAUUUGGUUGAAGCACUAUGAAUAAAAUGUGGGUACUUUCGGGCAUUUUUUGUUCUGGGGUUUUUACAAAUCACAGUAACUUCUUCUUCUUCUUCUUCUCCUCCUCCUCCUCCUUCUUCUUACUGUAGUCUUCUCCUUCUUCUUACUGCAGUACUUUUUCUUCAAGUUCUUUUUUCCCCCUUAUAUGGGUACAUAUAGCUUUAAUGCGCUUAACUGAACAAAUGUUUGAUCAUGGGGCCUCCUUCUCUGGACUGUUUUUUCUGUUGCCAAGUCUUUGCUCCUUUCUGGUAUUUGCAUUUACUUUUGCAGUCUUGAGGGCAGACACUGAUCAUCUUUGAAUUUCUUUUUUAAAACAUCUCCUACUCUUUACAUAUUAAUUGAGUACAUACAUAAUAUAGUAGAAAUUUAUAUUUAAUUGUAUAUUGUACUAUACUUAUUCUUCGACUUUUCAAUAUUAAUUCGCAUGAUGAACCUCCUAUGAUGAGAGAAAAAUAGUAGCGAGAUGUUCGAUCAUUCAUGGAUCACCUUGGAAAGGAAACAACUGAGUUUUUUAAUUGGUUUUUUGUUCUCUUUAUUUUAUGUGAUUUUUGUAUAUUUCUUUUAGUUAUUAUUUUCUGCUUGUUUUGUUUUCACUUGGGAAAAAAAAAAAUGCAUCAGCAAACAAUAGCAAUAUUUGCUCUCGUGCAAACCCAAAUCCAGAUGUGGGCAAGUCAUGUUCGAGAAAGUCGAUAGAUCCAAAGUUGUCUCAGGUUCCAUUUCUUUCUUCUUCAAUUUGUUUUUUUUUUUAUUUGAAAAAAAAAAUACCUAAUUGGGAACAUGUGGGCUCUCAAGCAAGAAUCAAGAAGAGCGAGAAAAAAAAAAACUCAAAAAAUAUUGCGAAUGGCUGGGCACACCACUUUUGUCUGAAACUCUCUUGAACUACAUGCUAUCCUUGAAAGAUUCAGCCUUUGAUAAAAUAGUUUCCAUCAAGAUUCCUAGAAUCUCCAUUCAUCUUCUAUAAUUAAUUAAUUAAUUAAUCAAGAUUAGUCGAGUUAAUAUCGUUUUAUUAGCAAAUUAAAAGCUCAAUUGUCUUUUUAUUAGGGAUGCAAAGGGGCCUGAUAUGAGAUAGAUUAGACUAGUACCAUUAAUGGUGCUUAUCGUAGAUUAAUCAUGGUUAAUGAUUAAGAUUUACGUUCCAGGCAUAUCUAGGGGAACCUGAUUCUAUAUAUAAAGCAAGAAAGAAGAGAGAUGUCACUGUCCCUUGAGCUCUUUACUAGUUCUAUUUCCAAGCUUUGAUGUUUCAAGUUUACUAGCAAAAUAUACUUUUGUUGGAAGUUUGCUUGUUCAAGUAUCCAAGCUUACCUGCUGAACUUCUAUGUGCUUACACACGUCAAGUACUUUGCUUGAUUCAGAAAAAUUAAACACAAUGUAUGAUCAGUUAAAGCUGCAAGCGGGAAACUGUGGUCCUUUUGGGAAUCUUGGUCAAAGGUUUGCCCCCCCCCCGGCGUAAGAAAGUGAUUGAUGAUCUUCUUCUCACUUGUGAAUUAAUGUUGGAGUUAUGAUGUAUAAUGAAUAAUGAAUUGUCUCUAUACUUAGUUUGGCUAUUCAAAGAUAUCCAGAGAGAGUAGGGUUUUCAGUUCAAAAGUAAUCCAAAACAGGCAUUCUAGCUAGUUGAGUAGUGUUAAUUAAAUAAUGCUUGUGUCCAAAUUGAUUACCCUUUAACUAACUAGGGUUUAAUGUUUGUUUGUUUUUUAAUCAGUCAUAAUCUCUCUCUCUCUCUCUCUCUAUAUAUAUAUAUAUAUAGUCUCUGCUAGCUAUAUGACCCACUUGUUUCUUCUUUAUGAUUAGAAUCAGAAAUUAGUUCAUUUUUAGUCUCUGCUAGCUAUAUGACCCACUCAGCAGAUAUAUAUAUAUAUAUAGUCUCUGCUAGCUAUAUGACCCACUUGUUUCUUCUUUAUGAUUAGAAUCAGAAAUUAGUUCAUUUUCAUAUAAAUUACUAGGACGACAUCUAUGUUUACAUCUCAGGAAACGUUCUGGAUGCUUUGUGAUUAUAUAUGCCGCGUAGCUUAAGUGGAUGAUUUUGCAAAUUUAAUUUGUAUGAGUUUUAUGUUGUAGCCUGUGUAAGUAGGAACCGUAAAAUGAAAUCUGCCGGUACUACUGAUUGCCGCAAUCAUCUCUAUGCUGAUCAAAUGAAAGAAAUUCAGGCAUCAAGGAAUCAGAACAAGCGACCCAAAUCAUGGAUUAGAAUAAAGAAAAUUUAUCUUCUUUAAAUUACCAGUUAAUUAAUCUUGAUCCAUAGCCAGGUUUUGCCAAAUUAAUUCCUGGGUUUACUAUCCUUUCAGCUCUUAGAAUUUGAAACUAAUUGAAUAAAAUCAUUGAAAACAUUUUCAAAACUAAAAGCAUUUUUAAUCAUUUUAUUAAUUAUUUUAGUAAGAAUACCAUUUUCUUCAAACAAGUAUAAUAACUAGAGGCAUUUCACUGGCGCGGAUAUAAUAUCUACACAGUAACAGACAUUAAAACAACGAGAGGAAAAUGAAAUUAAAAAAUAAAAAUAAGAAAAAAAGGUUGCUGGACAUUUAUUUUUAUUUGGCUGCUGCCUCUGCUUGAUACAACACAAGAGCAGCUAGACCAGAAGGGGCCGCCAAAGAUUCGUUUAGAUUGUCAACUUUUCAAAAGCAAAAUUGGGUCACUUAAAAACAAAACAUCUAAGAAAUAUAAUAAAAAUGAAGUACUCUCGCGAUCACCACUCAGCGGCUUUUGCAACUCCCAGAUACUUUUUAGACAGUCGAAGGAUGGUGACGAUUCAAUGCCAAUGGCACACCAACUGGAGCCCUUGAAUUAUUGUCCCCACCCCGUUCAAUCCUCGGUCUAAAUUAAAUGUGCAAUUGAGCUUUCGAUGUGAUUCUAAUUUUCACGUUACGGGAUGCUCUACGGGACCACAAAAUUUACGGUUCCUUAUGUUGUUGUGUUUUAAAGAAAUCACUACUUUCAUUUUUUUGGAAUUUUAGAAGUCUUUGUAUCACUCCAACGGGUCACAUCAUACAUAUGUUGAAAUUGAAACCAAUACUUUAAUUUGUGUAAAUGUAAUUCCACACUGCACAAAUGAUAGUUUUUUUUUUAAUGACUAUAUAUAUUUUAAGAUUUUAAAGUGCGAGAAAGUUUGAAAAAACUUUAAAAUUGUGUGAUUCUAAAGUUUAAUUUCAUAAUGUUAUUAAACUCCACCGUUCUAAAAUUUUUACGAACUUUUCUGCACUUUAAAAUUUCGGACCAGAAAACUAUAUAUAUAUAUAUAUAUAUAUAAUAUGCUGCUGGAUUUUAGGAGGUGAAAUAAAAUAAUAAUAAUUUUAAGAAAUACUAAGAAAUUAUAUACCUCUUGCCUAAUCGGCGAGCAGGAUGAAUAACCAGAAUCAGCCCAUCAAGAACGAGAGAAAUUUUUCAUCAUGUAUGUCAAGAAACAAUCAAUUGCCAUUUACUUAUUUAUUACAAUCAAACACUUUACAAUUAAUCAUCCCAAAAUCAAAUCAUUUGUUAACACACACAUAGAUAGAUAGUCUCACAAUCAUUUGUUAACACACACAGACACACCUAGUUGGCUAUGUCAUUAUUGUUAUUAUUAUUUGUUAGCUAUCAUAUGCAGGAUUCCAAACACAAUUCAACAAAAACAAAACUCACGUACACACAUUGAAUAUAUACUCCAAUUUCACCAUUUCCAUCCCAGUUCUGCAGCCACUUUGGUAUCAACAACACCAGCAGUCCCCUUGCGUUGGCCAGACGCACUUCCACUCUUCUGGUUAACAUUGGCCUCAGAAUUCAUCCCCGAUCGUAGGCUCUUAGCCCAAUCAAACUUCUUCUUAUGCGAAACCGGCAUCACGUCCUUAACGUUUUCCGAUAUGGUAGAGCUCCUUGGCCGACCCUGCUGAGCUUCUUUCUUGAUCUCUUUUAUUUCGAUCUUGGUUCCUCCUUCCAUUUUUAUGCUUAUGUUCACUUCAGAAAGUGCUUUGCUCCUUUUAUCAAUGAGUGUUUCUCCUGCUUUUCUUUCUUUUUGGUGCUGAUAAAACCGGUGCAAUCUGAGAGCAAGAUGGUAGAUUCCAUCUUUAAUUUCCUCCUCCAAAUCUCUUUCUAUGUCCCUCUCAAGCUCCCCGCGAAUCUUUAUCUCCUCCUCGGACAUAAUGCUACCCCCAGGGUUUUGCUUUUUCUUCAUUUCAGUUCUCAAAUUGCCUUCAUUAACAUCAACCUGCCCCAACAUUAUCAGUUUUAUAUAUACAUAAAUAUAAUUUAUAAGCAUCAUUACCAUUACUGCAGCCAACGUUGAUCUUUGAUUCACAUAGAAAGAGCAAAAAGAUCCGAAUUAAUUAUACCCUUUGAUCAUCGCCUCGAGAAUCUCUAGAUAAGUCUGCAAAUUAAAAGAAUAGAAAAUUAUUAGUAAAGCUCAAAGUACAUGUAAAGCAGUCUGUGAUUUGCUGAAAAUUAAAGACGGACCGAGAAUAUCAGCCUUUUUGUAUUUGGAUUGCUGGUCCAUCUUCUAGUUCAUGAAUUAACUCUUCUUGCGUGCAGCCAAUUUUUAAAUGCAAGUAGAGCGAUUUUGACUGGCGAGGAUGGGGCCUGAUACGUAGUUGGAUUGAAGAGGACAUCAAGUGGAAUGUUUUGUUUGAUAAAUAAAUAUUAAAGACGCUAUAUAAGUUGGAAAAAUUCAAAUUUAGGCGCUAAAUACUUCUACGGUGAGGUUGAGAUUGCUAUAUUUCGCAUUGAGAUAAUACAAAGGAUAAUUUCCGAAAUUAAACAGUCCUUUACUUGUAAGGGAUUUUAGGGUUUGGGUUGCCCUUAAAGCACAAUCAAUAUUGGGCACAGUACCCACAUGUUUGAUAUAUGUGUCUCAAGAGAAGGGGAUAGUUACCCUUUACUAUUAAUGAGAUUCAACUUGCUCUGUUGUUGAAUCUUGAUCAUGUUACUUGGGGAUUUAAUUCAAUUUUAUUAAACCAAGCCAAUUCGAUGCAUUGAGUUUAAUUCACCCUCCGGAACUGUAGCUUUUGGACCAUUAUUGUUAAUUGGACCUAACAGAACCGAAACAUAGAGAUGAUAAUAGAUUUUGUUAUUCGAUUAUUAAAAGCACAUGACGAAAUCGAUCUACUCUGACAAAGAUAUAAUAAUCUUCUUUCUAGAAUCAUGAACCAAUUUGUUUAAUACAGAAUUUAGGAGUUCCAUCAAGGAAAAGUGAGGGCUAUUAAUUUGUUUAGUACUUUUGUGAAAGGGAUUGCAUCAUCAUUCAUCAAUCGCGGUAGCGGUUGUUAGUCAAUCCAUCUUUGCCAAUGGUUACUUGUCCAAUCAAUCCAAUCUUACUAAAACUACAAAAACCGUAUACAGCUUUCCAAGAAAAAUCAGAGAAGGUUUAUGAAUUCAGCGUUCAUCGUACAUCAGGAUGAGAAGUGGAUAAAAUAGCGUUGUCACAACUUCUUUGGAGACCCACAAUUUGAGAAUGGGACAUGAUAUUAAUUUCUGAUUUUUUAAUACGAUACCCAAUACAUAAUGCUUGUUUUAUCUGAUUUUAUUUACUUUCAUAUCAGCUGCUUUUUGUUCAUCUAUCCGCUAGCAAACAGAGGAUCAUUUCAGUGAAAAUGAUAGAGAAUAAAAAGGGUCUAUUAAACUGUUUUAAAAAAAUCAGAUCUCUUUCAAGGGGAUUUUUUUUUUCCCCGAUUACCACCCAAAAAUGCAUUUUUACGACAAUUGUAUGGCCACAAGAGCAACGGAAAUUUCUUUUUUUCUAAGUUCUAACAAUGAUUAUAAACAUUUCUUCAGAUCAUCUUCAACUAAAUAUGUAAUAAUAAGGAUCACCGUGUAUGAGAUAUUUUAUGUUUUAUGAUGUUAUUAUAUAAUUGAUGAGUAUGUACGUCUUUAGUUUCUCCUUUGAGGAGCUUAUUGUAUUCUCCCUCUUCAUUAAUUUAUUUAAUAAUAUUUCCAUUCUAAAGAAAUUAUUCAUAAAAUAUAUGUUUCUGGGCGUAGUUCUAUUAGUCAUAAAUACAUUUUAUGCCUAUAAUCAUUAAAAUUUUAUUAAUAAUAAGAGAUAAGAUUAUGUGUUUAGUGAGUAAACUUUAAAACAUAAAAAAAAUGUAGGACUUUAAAAUUUAUAUACCAAUAUGAGUUUUCUACUAUCCUUUGCUAGGGCUUUUUUUUACUCUAUUUUGAUAUAUAUGGUAUCGAAUUUAAAUAUAAGUUUAUGUUUGGGAUAAUAGUGGAUUCUCGAUAAUAUUAGAAGAACUACUCAAAUCAAACGUUUUUAAUUAAAAAAAAUUCAACAAUUCAAAGAUAAUUAGGGGGCUGCAAUUGAUCCACAAACACGCACUAAAUCAACGAAUUCCAAAUGCGAAAUAAAAACUGACAAAGGAAAUAAAUAAAAUGGGUAAUUUUUAGGGACCUCCCCUGAGGUUUGGGUUAUUAACAGUGUGAUAGAAUGUAUGACAAUAAUUACACAAACCUCCCUUGCCGUUAGUAUUUUGUAAUAUUGAUUGUUAGUGGACUGCUAAAAUUUCCAAAAUACCCUUGUCACCAAACAAGAAUGACGAAUAUUGUCGCCAACAUCACAAAACACAUAGAAAGCCCAAGAUUCCCAUUAAUUGUAAAAAGAAUUGACAUUGCAUAAUAAUAAAUAAAUAAUAUAUAAAAAUUUGAAUAAAGCUGCCAAUAUUACUUUAAAAUGUGGUGAAGGUGGUGAAAUGCACAGAUUGCAUGGUUUCUGUUGAUGUGGGAUUAGCAGUCGAUGAAGUUGUUGAGGGGAGUUUGGCAAUGGUGGGAAAGCACCCUGAUCGCCUAGAUUUUGGAUGGGCUUUUGGGGUUGGUUUUUCUUAUUUUGGUUUUAAGCGCUAAAAUUUUUAUUAUGAGAUGGCUGGCGAGAAGAGGGUACAGAUGUUGAAAUCUGUUUUGAGGAAGCAUGGCAGAGAGUGGUGGUGGUUGGAGGCGACAAAGAUGAAGUUGGUGGUGGAUCGGUUAGAUUUUUGUUUUCAAUUAUGGAACGUGACAAACUUGAUUGAGUUGGCUGGCGAAUUUCUGGUAGUACAGGGAGGAACUAUUGGUGGUUGACUACCGUCAUGGUUCACCGGGGCGUUUGCAAGAUCGUUUAUUAGUUACAACAACUUCGUUAAAGCGUUUGGUGCUGGAGAAUGGUUGUUGUUUGGUUAAUUGGUUCAAUGAAAAAGAAAAUGAUGAAGUUUAUGAAAGAGAAAUUGAAGCUAAUAGCCACUAGGUAUUGAUGUGUAUCAGUGAGCAAAACUCAGAUCCUGGGUUUUGUUUAUUUUUCAUUUUUUCAUGAUAAAGUUCAUGAAAGAGAAAUUGAAGCUAAUAACCACUGGGUAUUGAUGUGUAUCAGUGAGCAAAAGUGGUUUUGUUUAAUUUUUAUUUUUUCAAGUUUGUUUUAAAAUUACAAAUUUACCCACAAAUACUAAAGAUAUACGAAACUUUAUACUAACGCCAAGGGAGGUUUGUGUAAUUACGAUUAUACAUUCUCUUAAACUGUUAAUACGUUAAACCUCAGGGGAGGCCCUUAAAAAUAACCCUAAAUAAAAUAAGUCCAAAGAAAAGGUGGGAGGGGUUUUUGGUUAUUUAGGGUACAAAAGAAGGUUAUUAUAGUCACAUACAAAAAACGGGCGCUUCCUUGCAAAUUGCGAGCAUAGGCCAAAAGAAAAAGUUAAAAAGAGUUCCUCGGUUUUUCCAGUCAAGUGUACACUGAAUCAUUUAAUACAGCCGUCCGCUUUGUAUAAUUUGUUUGCCAAUGUCACCCACCCCCCUGCUCGCUGAACGUUCAACAAUAAACACAAUAAACUAAUUGAUUGUCUUCGAUCAUUCAUUCAGAGACGGAGUGACAUUGUCCGAACCAAAACUGAUCGUUUUACUUCGAUGGAAGCUCUCUCUCAUACUGUCGGUCCUACGGUCGCUCCUCUCCGCCCAAAGCGUCCUCUUCGGUGGAAUUGGAAUGGAUUCAGUUCCGUGCUCGUCCAAUCGAAGAAGAAUCACCCGAGUGGAAUUUGUAGGAGCGCUGCUGAUGAGAUUAGUCAAAGUGCUCGCGCUUCGGGCCUCGAUUUCAACGACCCCGAUUGGAAGUCAAAAUUCCAGAGUGAUUUCGAGAAGCGCUUUAGCCUUCCUCACAUCACCGAUAUUUUCAGAGAUGCCACGCCUAUUCCUUCCACCUUUUGUCUUAGGAUGAGGUCAGUCUAAGCCUCAGCUUGUUCGAGCUAAUCAUCUUAUUGUUACUUAUUCUUUCAUUUGUUUAGUUUUUUAAUUUAGUUCCUGUUGCAGGACUCCCGUGACUGAAGAUUUCGCGGAUGGCUACCCUUCUGAUGAGAAGUGGCACGGGUAUAUUAACAAUAAUGACAGAGUGCUUCUUAAGGUCUGUCUGUGUCUUAAUUGUUAUUUUGUUUCUUCAUUGAUUUUGUGUUUUUGUUAGUUGUUUACGCUCUGAAUGUUGCUUAUAAUUCAACGUUCUUUCUAUUUGCUACUUUACCACUUGGAAUAACAAAAGCAAUGAGCUGUAUUGGUGGCAUUCUCAUCACUUUUGGAUAUCAUUAUGUAAAUUGUCGUUUUAUGUUCAGAAUUUGUCAGGAUACAAUACACGGUCAUGUAACCAAAUUUUCCGAUGUAGAGCUCGAGCUCCUUGUCUGUUCAUAAAAGCUAGAAUUAUGAAUUUAUUACUUCCGAACACCAACAAUUCUUUAACAAUGUUUUAAUAGUUGCAAUUCAUUGCUACAACUCCCUUCAUUACAAGUUUUUGCAGUACUCUGCUUACGACUAUCCCAUAUCUUUCCUGAGUAAUCUGCUUUAGAACCUUUGAAAUUUUAUCCUAAUAUUUUUUAUUAAGUGAUGGGGAAACUAUUGGAUACAAUGAUGAAUCAGACCAUAUGCAACUUGGGAAACUAUGGUUAGAGUUGAUACAUUAUCGACAGCAGUAAAAGUUUAAGAUGAAGUAUGAGACAAAUUAAGGAGAGAAUAAGUGUGAAAGAUGAAAAUUCAUGCAAGCUAUGGUGUUAAUAAUUCUGACAAAGGCCUAUUGUUAAAAUCUCUGAAGCUCUGGUGGAAGAUUUGACUAAAAAUGAUUUGGUUCUUUGAAAUGUUGUAACUGAUUUUUCUUGAAAUAAUGAAACAUUUUCAGGUCAUAAAUUUCUCAUCACCCACAUCUGCUGGUGCUGAGUGUAUCGAUCCUGAUUGUACUUGGGUCGAACAAUGGUAAGUUUGCCUCUCAAUGAUUUAUUUUGAUCCUUAACGAUAUCCACGUGUUUUAAGCAUACGUGGGAUAUUUAUUUCCAAUAAUUAUCGGCAUUUUAGCUGUUGGUUAUGCUGAAAGACAAAAUAUUAGAUCUAAUCUCAUUUUAUCUAUUUACAGAAUUGUCAGUUAUUUUACACAUAUUCUUCUAUGUGUUUUAUGUUUUCACUGUUAAUUUUUAAUUUCAUAAUAAUAACUUAACACAAUGCAUUUGUAAAAUCUUCCUAGGGUUCAUCGUGCUGGGCCUCGGGAGGAAAUAUACUUCAAGCCGGAAGAAGUAAAAGCAGCAAUUGUUACUUGUGGUGGACUAUGUCCUGGUCUAAAUGAUGUGAUCAGACAUGUCAGUGUCAGCUCCUUAUAGUUUUCAUUAUAAACAAAAUUAGACUGUUCUCUGGAUGAAAUUAGAGAUUUUGUAUUCCCCUGUCUUGAGAUUUAUUUCAUCCUGCAUGCCUGAUUGGUGAUAAUUUUCUGCAGAUUGUCAUUACUCUUGAAAUAUAUGGUGUAAAAAAUAUAGUAGGGAUUCCAUUUGGUUAUCGUGGAUUUUGUGAUAAAGAAUUGACUGAAAUGCCGGUACGUUUCCUUUUUCUUUCAUGUACUGGUUUGUCGAAAAACUCUAUUGAUGUAUCUGAGCUCUGUUAUCUCAUAUGCUUGAUAAAAAACAAUAGAAGCAUUUCUUCUUUGCAAGAACAAUUUUGGUAUCUAGAUUAAUUUGUUUAGACUUGACUUUGAUUAUUAGCUGUCACGGAAAGUGGUUCAAAAUAUUCAUCUUUCUGGUGGAAGCUUAUUAGGAGUUUCACGUGGUGCACCCACUGUUAGUGAAAUUGUUGACAGUAUGGAGGUGCGCUAUCAAUAUUUUUUUCAAUACUUUUCACUCUGUCAUAGUUCUAUUAUCAGAAUUUGUACAGCUGAAAUGCUUGAUUACACCAGGCAUUGUGAGACCUGAUGCUUUUAUUUGGUUUUUUUAUGUCAGGAAAGAGGAAUUAACAUGCUUUUUGUGUUGGGUGGAAAUGGUACUCACGCUGGAGCCAAUGCAAUACAUAACGAGGUUAUUAUACAUGAAACCCCAUACUAACAGGUCACACUGUAAUAUAUCUUAUGAUUAAUAAUGCAAUUUUUUGUUGAUUUUAAUCUGAUGACUAAAGUAUUUAUGAACUUUAGUAAAUAAUUGUCCUUUCAUUUAUUCUCAAUUUGCCUGAUGUCGUGUUUAAAGUUUUUGUCUCCUAUAGGACUUGGGGAGGUCGUGGAUUCCAGGGUAGAUGAUAUUUACAUGUUAUUCCUUUUAUUGUGUUGUAUUUUACAUAUUGAUGUGAAAUUGGAUAUUCAAAUACUGCUAUAUCAUAGGUCAAGUUAGACAGUUAGAGGGUUCAUGCUGGAUCUCCACAAGUGACAACUUUCUAAAAUUGCCUCCAUGACUGAUGCAUGCUUGUUUUGAUGCUCUUCUUUCAAAAUAUAUGUUCAUAGUCUUUAAAUUUUUCCUAUAGUGUCGUAAAAGAAGGAUGAAGGUGGCUAUAGUUGGUGUGCCAAAAACCAUCGACAAUGAUAUUUUGCUGAUGGAUAAAACUUUCGGCUUUGACACUGCAGUUGAAGAAGCACAGCGAGCAAUAAAUUCUGCCUACAUUGAGGUACAAAUUAAAAUGCUAUUCAUAUAGCUCUCAGUAAGCAUAUUAUGCUCAUUUAUUGUUUUUCAUUUUUGUCUAAGAUUUGUGUAAUUAAUCUGUUUCCUAGUAUAAAAACUUGCGUACAAAGUUCAUUUCUUUCCCCUCUAACAUUAUUGUAGGCACAUAGUGCUUAUCAUGGCAUUGGAAUUGUGAAAUUGAUGGGUCGGAGCAGUGGAUAUAUAGCCAUGCAUGCAUCCCUGGCAAGUGGACAAAUUGAUAUAUGUUUGAUUCCAGAGGUAUUAGUGCUAAUUUCCAUUUGUGUUUGUAUAUUUGUGUGUGCAAGAAAGAGAGCUACACUAAUGCGAUCUACAUUUGUACUUUAAAGAGUCCUUUCAAUUUGCACGGGCCUAAUGGUGUUUUGAGACAUCUGAAAUAUUUAAUUGAGACAAAGGGAUCAGCUGUGGUCUGUGUAGCUGAGGGAGCUGGGCAGGUAUGAUUUUUCUCUUAUUAACAUGAUAUUUUGACAUCAGAAUUAGAUAGUUAAGUCUAUGUACUGGAUCUUUUUCCAGUUCGAUGAUGAUUCCAAUUCUUUACAAUCAAAGCCCCAGUCAUGUUCAUUGCAUUAGAUGGAUAAGUAUCUCUAGCAGUUGCUAAGAACUGAUGAAAGCCGCUUUGUGCACAAUUUUUUUUUAAUUUUUUCUGUUUUAAUACAGAUUGUGUUUUCCGAGUGUCUCGAUUAGGGCAUUUUGUUGGCAGAGGGACCAUUUUUUGUAAAUAUAACAGAACCACAUUUGGUAGGCGAGCUAUCCUAGACUUAUUGUCUACAUGCUGCUAACAUCUGGCAAGAAAUGUUGAACUUUAAAGCAGAAAAUUUUAUAUGCAAUGUGUUUAUAGAGGAACUCUGGUUUGGAAAAUAUUCCCCCUAUUUUUCAGUUGCCAUGCACCCAUCUCAUCCCAAACCCCCUCAAAUUGCACCAAUCCCCUGCUGAGGUUGGUGAGGUAGAUUCUCACCCUUGACCUCCUGGUUCCAUUAUUAGAGGCCAGAAUAAUUGGGCUGUUUAUUUAAUGAGUAGGUCUUAGCCUAUGCAUGAGUGGCCUUGUAUAUACAAAACACUGCUCUGAUUAGAAAAAAAGUUUUGUUUUCUUAUUUUGGUGUUAUAAUUGCUCUGUUUUCUCCUCCAUGCCUACCCUUGUUCCUCUCAUCCAACAGUCACCUUUGCUUGAGUGGUUCCAGCACGCCUUUCUCAAACCUAGAAUCUAAUAUUUCAAUUUAUCAGCAUUUUAUUCUGUCUUUCUUUAAGAGCAAGUGUUUUUUUUUCCCCCUGUACAUCUAGGAUGCAAGUGAACCUCUCAAUAAGAAUCAUUUCAGCGAGUAUUUCAAAUAAUUUUGCAUGCUAUCUGGUAAUGAGUUGAAGUGAUUUAUUCGAUUUAGAUUAAGUUUGUAGUAAGAGUAUAUUUUGUGUCUCUCUUUUUGAAUGUGAAAGUUCUGAAAUGAGUAGUUCCUUUGAAGCAGUUUUUAAUAAACCUUUUAUUUCUUGCCUUUCUUCAUCCUUUGGGCUAAAGUGCUUUGUGAUCUUUCUUAUGCAGAGUUUAAUUAAGAAAACUAAUGCUACAGAUGCAUCUGGAAACGUAGUACUUGGAGAUGUUGGUGUACUCAUUCAACAAGAGGUUUGUGAUUUCAUUUUCAUUUUCAUUUUUACCUAUUUCUGUUAAAGUAAAAGAUUCUUCGUUAACCAUAGGUGCUUUUGAGUAAUUUAUUGUCAGUGUUUUCUUUGAGCAGUGACAUGAGUUGAUUUUUAGCUUUUUCUAGUUUUUCUUUUAAGAAGGAAAAAAAUUUAUAAACUGAUGAUGACAACUCAGUGAAUCAGUGAACACUAAACGAGUCAUUUAUUUUAGAUAAACCGAUGAGUCAUUGGUAAUAACUUACUAUGUUUCUGUCAGACGAAGAAAUAUUUCAAGGAGAUUGGUGUUCCCAUCGAUGUGAAGUACAUUGAUCCCACAUACAUGAUCCGUGCAUGCCGUGCAAAUGCAUCAGAUGGAAUCCUAUGCACUGUUCUUGGACAAAAUGCUGUGAGUCUGCCUCCCUUCCCUUCUUCUUUUCUUUCAAAUAAGUAAACAUAGUAGAACAAAUAGGACAAGAAUUCUUUCAAAAAGUACCUAAGAUAAUUCGAUUUGGGCAGGUUCAUGGAGCAUUUGCUGGAUUUAGCGGCAUUACAGUAGGCUUAUGCAACACUCACUAUGCCUACUUUCCCAUUCCCGAAGUCAUUUCUUAUCCUAGAGCAGUGGAUCCUAACAGCCGUAUGUGGCAUCGUUGCUUAACAUCAACGGGCCAGCCUGACUUCAUCUAAUUAUCAAAGCCUUCUAAAUUAUCCCAAAUAGUUCAGUGAGUUUCAAAGUUACACACUUUCUGAGGAACAGAAAGCUAUGCUUGCCCUUAGCUUUCUAGUUAGCUUUCUCCUUGUAGGCUAGGCUGUUAAACAAAUAAUACCGCGGAUGAAAUUUUCACCAAACUAGAGAACUAAUUUUUAAAGUGUAUAGCAUUUGUGGCCGGGGUUCUCAACAGAGAGCGCCUCAGCCAAUUAAAUUUUAUACAAAUCACCCAAGCAUUUUGGGCCGGGUUUCUAUUGUUUGAUGUAACAUGUUUGUAUUCAUAGAAUCCUAUUUACCUGUUCAUGACAUUGUGAAAUAAGCCAUUUGUUUAUGCGAGUGGCAAGAUUUAUACAUAGAGAAUUCUCAAUUCUUGAAUGUAAGAAUAUUUUAUCAAUGUUAAUUCGUAUUUGAAUGAUGUUGCUGUUAUGUGAGUUCUUUAUUACUUAUGAAUUUAUUAAUGUUAAUUUGUAUUUGAAUGAUGUUGCUGUUAUGUGAGUUCUUUAUUACUCAUGAAUUUUCACAUCUAGUUGGUAACUAUCAUACUCUCUAAAUUAAAACAAUGGCAUGUCUUGUAUGAGCAUUGCUGAGAGAUGCUCAUUGGUCGGCUAUGACUGUGAGUGAGAGAGACAACAAUAAUCCUCACCAGCUUCAGAGCACAUGACGCCAUGAAUAAGUAUGACAAGAGCUCGUUAAACAAGGGUCACCGGAUAAUAUUACAAUUUUACAGCUUACAAGUUCAACUUGAAUGACCAUGACUGGUCAAAGAUGUGCCUCUCUUUAACAGUGAAUUUUCGUCAUCAUACUGUUGUAAAAUCAGACUUUGCAUAUAUAAUAAGAUGCUGUGCCUGAAAUCCUGAAAACCCUACUCAUUUAGUCUUUCCUUUCGGCCUUUUCUUUCAUGUGUGAAGCUGUAACUUCAGCACUUGUGGGGGGCCGAACAAAUUUGUAAUUGUCUAAAAAGAAAUAGUCAAAUAAAGGGCGAUUCUGAAUCUAUCUGGAAGUGCUCAGGUUCUGACCAACUGCCCUUUUACCCAUCUCCCAUUCUAUGUUCUCCACCACUUACCUUCAGAAUUAUAAAAGGCUUCCUUUCCUUGGUUAUCGAGUCGGUCUGUCUGUGUUUAAAAACACUCUGGUCACACCAAUUUCAUCUGCCGUCAAACAUUCAAUUUCUCGGUUCCGGUGAGCAUACUUAAGACACUCAGACACCUUUUCCAUUCUUAUCAUAAUACGAUAGAAUAGGAUAGAUUCAAAUUUUGGAAUAAAAAUGAUUGGUAGUAUUUAUUUGUUAAAAUAAAAGUGAGAAUAAAAAUGAAUUAUGUAAGAGCCGGUCCAUAUGUUUUUAAGAUUAAGAAAUUAAAUGGGAAUUAAGUUAUCAGUCUUUGAACUCUUAAUUUUACCUUCACUCAAAUCUCAUAAUCUUAUUUUUGUCCUCAAUUAAAAUAUUAUUAAAUUAUUGUUAUUGCUAUUAUUGUUAUUUUGUAAUUGUUAAUAUUAAUAAUUUUAAUUUUAAUUAAUACUACUAUUAAUUAAUGAUGAUAAUGAUUUUUAAAAAUAAUAUUAAUAUUAUUAAUUAAUGAUAACAACAAUCAUUAUCAUCAUUUUUAUGUUGUUGUUGUUGGUGUUGGUGUUGUUGUUGUUGUUGACUUGUUGUUAACAAUAUUUUUUUUGAAUAAUAAUAAUCACAAUUAUUAUAAUAAAUAAUAAAAAUAAUCAAUUAAAAUUAUUUUAGUCAUUAUAGCAAUAUAUUCAGGUUCUAAGAUAAAGUAAACAAAUUAAUAGCAAUACAACUCAUUUUUAUUCUCAAUUUUACAGUUAAAGUAAACAAUUUAUUAUGAUUCUCAUUCCUCAUUUUGAUUCUAAUCCAUUCUUAUUCGAGUCCAUUCCAAUUACCAAUUAAUAAACGCACCAUGAAAUCAAAAUGAGCUAUUCACUUUAGCUGUAGAAAUUGAAAUCAAAAUGAAUAAUUUGUUUAUUUCAUCUCUGAAUUGGAAUAUAUUGUUUUAAGUUAUUAAAAUAAUCUUAGUUGAUUAUUGUCAUUAUUUAUUAUAAUAAUUAUUGUUAAUAAGAAGAAAAAGAAGGCAAAGAAUUAUGAAAUUUUAGUGGAGUAAAAUGGAAAGAUUGAGGUUUCCAUUUCUUCAUCCAAAAAAUAUGUGAGCCCUUCAUAUUUCAUUCUCAUUUUGAUUCUUAUUUUAACAGAUAAAUACUAUCAAUUAUUUCCAUUUUCGAUCGAAUUCUGAUUUCCUAAUUCCAUAAAUAAACAUGCAAUAACCAACCAUCCCUAAAUUAUGAUUUAUGAGUUGCUGCUUCUUGGACGUAACGGCCCUUAUACCUCCACCAACCUAAGUCAGUUUUGCAAUGGCUGUGACCUUGCCUGUUGGGUCCCCCAUUCCACAGUACAAAUACGACAUCAUUAAUUUUUAUUUUAUUUUUUUGUUACUCGGUGUUAAAAAUAAAGUUAGCAUUUUUACAUAUUAAGCUACCGAAUGAUGCAACCGUAGUAUGAAUAUCUAUUUCUAGUGUACUUAAUCUUCUUUUUGUUAAGAAGACUGAAUUCUUUCAUAUGCAUUAUGAACGUUAAUUUUUAUUUCUAAAUACUUAAAAAUAAAUCUAACUUGUUAUAGAUCAAAACAUUUAGACUGUCACCAUCACUUUUUUUUUUUUUUUAAUUUUAAAACCACCAAGAUGGUGGGAGGAGGUGAGACCAGACCCCCUAUCAGUAAUAUAAAUCAAAGAUUAUCAUCAUCACAUAUUUUAUUUGGAAAGUCUUAACAAUUUUGAUCGUGAAUACUAAUAUAUUAUUUGUAAAUUUUUUAAAUCUCUUUUUUAAUAAAAAAAAAAUCUCUGUAAAAAUAAAGUACAAGUACAAUCAUAAUUCCUGAUACUUUUUUGUUGAUUAAGACAAAUAAGGUAAUGUUUAACAUUUUAAAAUGACAUGUCAGUAAACUGUGCUGGUUCGUCUCAUAUGUGAUGCCCAUAUAUAUAUGCCUGUAAUUUGUCUGAUAUUGGGAUCCUUGAUUGUACAACCGGUUAUGGCGGUUUAUUUUAAUAAACCCAAUUGACCGUGCUGAGCUGUUGCUAAUCAGUCAAGAUUACAAUAUUUUACUCUUCUUUUAAAGUUUUAAUCACAGUAAAGGCUGCAUCCACUGGAUGUAAACAUCAUAUUUUUCAGAGACUCAAAAGAGGAAUCUGGCAAUGGCAACUCUUAUGCCUUGUCUGGACUCUUUCUUUAUUUACUUUUUAACUUAUCUCUGUCUGUCUUGGUCUCCCCCCCCUCCCCCCCCAAAGCAAAUUUUGGUUUUGCUCAGGAAGAAAGCAAAUGGUCAACAAUGAAUGCGUAGAGCCUUGUUAAUCGGAAAAUUUAGCCAGAGCCAAGAGAACAUGUAAAGGGUGUGUUUGAUGUAUGACAAAUUUUUGUUAUCACUCACAGGAUGUAUACUUAUUCAUAAAUAAAAGGGAAAGUUUCAAAAGAUGUUACGGCAUAUUAUAAUUGAUGAUCAAAAAAAGAAAAAUAAAAAAUUAGUAACCAAAAGUAAAACUUGUGCAAUUGUAAUAUAUCCAUAUAUAGACACACACAUCGUUUUAUGGAGUAGCUAAUUUUGGAAUAGCUGCUAUCAAAUGGUUAUAUGAAGUUGAAUAAAAAUUAAAGUUCAUAGUCAAUUUCAAUGAUGUAAAUCGCAAGAGAAAAAAAAAAAAAAAAAAAAAAAAAAAAAAAAAAAAAAAAAAAAAAAAAAAAAAGGAACCAUGUUCAUCGAUGAUCAUGAUAUUAUGUUGGCUGUUCCCAAUGUUUCCUCGUCCUUGGAAAUUUUCAUUUAAGUGUGUAGUGGGACUCUGUGAUUGCAAAUACGGACAGAUGCCUUACUCUUACAUUAUGAUUAUAUUAACUGCAUUCCAUUGAUUUUCUUUUUCCAAAUUAUUGUGCAUAUAUACAUACACACAUAUUGAAUAUGAACAUUAUCGUUGAAAGAUUAAACUUUAGAGGGGAUCGCCCCUCCUACUGGGUUAUGACUUCUACAUAAUUGAAAAUCAGUCCAUCAUACGGAUUCAUUUACUAACUUGUCCCUUGAAAAUGAAAAUCUUGUUUCAAAGAAACAAAAAAAAGAAGAAGAAGAAGAUGAAGAGUGACACGAGUCAGCAAUUGAUGAAGAUUUGAUGUUGAAAUCGAUGAUGCAAUGUGCCCAUAAUCAAUAACUCUAAAUUCAGGCACCGUGGAUUCCCAAUGUUUCAUUUUUUAUUUGCUCAGAAGCAUUUUUCAUCCAUUAUUAUCAUUCACCAAGACCGCAACCAGAACAGAACAGGACAGAACCGAAGCAAGCCCAGAUGUUGACUCGUCUUCGCUCAGUUAGAAACAAACAUCAAUGGGCCAGCUCUCUCUUCCUGCGGGGCCCAGUUCCCAAAUCCCGAAAACUAACAGACACAUCAGUAAUUGCCACAACAAAGAAUACGACACCGGUUGGAGUUAUGUUGUCAGGUCGUACGACGUCGUUUAUUUAAGGACAUUAAAAAUAAAACAGAUUGAGGCAGACUACACACAUAUUUGCUUUUUGAGAAUUUUUUUUUUCUUUUUCUUUUCCAUUGAAAUAAAAAGAGAAAAUAAACACAAAACUUAAAAGAUGUUUCUCAUCCACAUUUCAUUCCUUCUCAUAUCUUUAACUGAAAGUUAAAAACACUCUUUAUUUAUUAAUUUUUUUUCCCCUUUGCUCUAACCACAACACAUUGCUGCAGCUCCACUUCUGAUAAUCUCAAUAGCUUUUGAGAACUCAAAUUAUAUUGACAGCUGGUGUUUUUUUUUUUAAAGUUAUCUUUCUCUGAUCAUGCUCUAGGCAUGAAACCAACUUGUUGAGUCUAUUUUCACUUUGAUUUAUUUAUUCAAAGUCUUUUUUUUUUUUUUUUUUGGGGGGGGGGGGGGAGGGAUGGGGGGCUGUGUCUACUAGAGACAGGCAGACAGCUUAAAAACACACCAAAGCUCCCAUUCAACCAAAUUGAUAGGACAUUGUGUGAGAACUGAGAAGGAGGAGAAGUAAAAACUCAUGACUUGUAGUCCUCCAAUUGUGGGGAUGAUGGUUCUGAUGUGUCUUGUUGUUUCCUCCUCUUAAUAACUGAUGACGGACUACUUGUGUUAUGAGAAGAACUUGCACAUGACCUAACUGUAAUAUCCUCAGUUUUAUUAUUAUAGCUCAAGUAUGCAGCAUCCAGUACCCCAUCUGGGCUAUGAGGCAACACAGAUGAAACUGCUGACAAUUCUUUAAUCAGUUCAACACAAUUCAACACUCUUUCCUGCAAGAAAAAUAAAACCCCACUGGAAUCAGUAGAAAUAAAUAUCAUUCGUUUUGUUACCGUGGAAUGAUCCAGCCAAAAUUUUAUUUUACCUUUUCAACAUGUAUGAAACAAGAUAUGGCUUUAUCAAUGUUUUGUGCUUGCUCAUCUUCUCUUGACACAGAAAUUGCCACAGCUGCAGCAAUUUCAGAAGGCUUGAACUCCAAGAAGUCAGUAGCUGCAUGCAAUUUGCCACCCACCUCACUCAUCAAAUCCAUUAAUCCUCAAGAACAAAAAUGGGCAUUCGCAGUGAGAAAGAUACCUUUAAUUGUGCUAAAUAAAAGCUGUACUGAUCUGAAGAUUGAAGUUGCCGAUGGAAGUUGAUCAUCGUUGACCUUAGUCAGAAAGUAAUCAAUGAAUGAGCAAGGAGUAAGACACUGCAUUCUCCACUUCAAUGUGCCCAACACCAAAAGCUCCAUUUUUUGUAUGGUUUUGGCUUCAAACACAUACUUUGGUUCUCCCACCUGCUCAUUAAUACACAACGACCAGGACAAAUCAGAUUGAAAUAAACAAAUAAACCAUCAUUAUCCCUUUUUAGUUAAAAAAAUAAAUUAUUUUGGUUAAUGAAAUGAUCUUAAUUAGCUUAUACCUGCAAUUCAACUAAAAGAGGCACUUCACUCUCCUCCAUUUUGGCUGCUAGAGAUAAACAGGCUACAGUCAGCAAUUGCACAGUCCAAUCUUUGCCUUUCUGUUUGUGCCAAAAGUAUGACCAAAAUAAAAUAACAAUGAGAAGAUUAGACCCAAAUACAAAAAAAAAUGUUAAAUGUAAAGAACGAAAGAAUCAAGCCCGGGAGCCUGAACUUACAGGUAAUUCAUAAACCGAUAGGAAUCGAUCCAAGUAGUUCAUAGAUAGACAAAAACUCAUUGGUCCAAAUCUGUAAUGUGCAUGAGCCUGUUGAUGACAGUACCUAAAACUCAGUCAAUAGCCCAUUACAAGAACCAACAAAGACACCACCUUUAUCAACACAAGGCUGAAUACCAGUCAAAGAAGAAACAUCAAGACUUCAACCCCAUACAAAACUACUAACAAGUUAUAAGAAUACCGAUUAGAAAGAGAAUGCGUGCACAUAAUAAACAAAGAAAAUGUUGUUGAGAAACAAUGAAAAAAUAAAUAAAUCUAAAACGUAGUCAUUGAAAACACUUUAAAAAAAAAAAGGGCAAACAAAGAUGAGGUAGUAAAACGCAAUGAUCCGUGGAUCAAAACAAGCAAAACAAAGGGGGACCCCAGUUGAAAGAAAAAAAAAAACAACCUUGAGAAUCCAAUCGAGAGCCUCUCUCCUUACUCUCGAGUCCAAAUCCCCACUGCGCAAUCUGUUGAGGUAAUCAUGUUUAGGCAAAAGCUCUCCCUCUUUGACAGCCAUUUCUCUGAGCAGCUCCUCACUAACAGUUUGGAAGGGAAAAAAACCCAUCGGGGAAAUGGAUCUCUUGUUGAUAAAGUUUGAGUCUUGACUGUGGUUUUGACUGUUUUGGUCAUCAUCAUCACCAUUUGUGGCAUUACAAUCAAAACCAUCAAAACAAGUGUUUGUGCUCUCUGUACAUGUAAGAUUUGAGGCUGUAAAGUCAGAAAGAUUUUCUGCCAUUUUUAGGCACUGUAAUAAAAAACCAAAUUUAUAAAACUAGUAAAAAACCAAGGAAAGAUUCAUGAGAUAAGUGCUAUAUCAAUGGGUCUGUUGUGGUGGGGGAUGAGCGUUAUUCUCCAUUUUUAUUUUUAUUUACACAAUAAAAGCCAAAAAGAGAGAAAAGACCAGAGCGAGAGCGGGGGAGUAGGGGCUGGGGCUCUGAUUGUGAUUGAAGAGAUGGUAUCGUUUGUGCAAACUGCGAAGAGAGAAGGUUUAUGUAGGAAAUGUACAUUUGUUUUCUAGGGUAACCAAGAGAGUAGUAGACUGAGGGAUCGUAGAUUACACUGCCGAAUAAGAAGGAAAUUAAAAUCUUGAGAAGAAAAUAUUUUUAACAAAAAUGGAAACAUAAAAUAAGAAAAUAAGGUAAAACGCAAGACUCUGAUGAAUAUUUUAUGUUUUUAUGUUUUUAUGUUAUUAUCCCAUUAUAAGUUAAUCAUACAAUUUUCUACUUCAUAUUUCGGAUAUUUAUCAUUUCACAAGUAGGCUAAUAGUAUCAGGAUCCCUGAAAUCAUAGAACUUCUCGAUUAAGGAUAUAAUUUUUCUAUUUGUACCAGAUAGGUCCUUGUCCAGUGCCCGGUGUCACUGCUGUAAGUUGAAACUUUUUUCAUUUCAGAUAUAAUAAUAUAGUUAUCUCUAAAAAGAAAAUAGAAUUAUUAAAACAAAAAAUAGAGUUUUUAGGAUUAACAAUAGACAGAGGAAUAAUAGAAUUACAACCACAUAUAGUUAGUAAAAUAUUAUAAUUUUCAGAUAAAAUAGAAUACACAAAAGAUGGAGCAAUAUAUGAAUUUCGGUUCAAUUAAGCUUAGACAGUUCCCAUCAGGAACAAAUUUAAGUUUUAAAAGCAAGUUUCAAUUAUUAGACAUAAAAUUAGAAAUAGAAAAUAUUAAUUUUACACAACGAGACUUACAAAUUCAAUUAAACGCUAUAAAAAUAAUUGUUAGUGAAUGAGUUAAUAGAAUCUUUAGCAGAAUUAAAAAGAGAAAUUCCACAUUUAAAUCCAGUAACUAAAUAAGGGUCGUCAAUCUUCAUGAACCUAUUUCGUACAAAAUGGACAAACUACGUCCUUAUUUUAAAAAUACAAGAACUUGGGGACUAGCAUAGUAAUAAGGUUUUUGUUUCUAUUGUAUAAGUUUUCUUCUAAAUGUACAAAUAAUACUAUAUAAAACACUAGCAUAGUAAUAUGGGUAUCCCAUGUCAUUGUUAUGAUAAUAUAUUAUUAUUAUUAUUAUUAUUUUAACUUUUAUCGUCCAAUUGCUGCCUAAAAAGUGAUAAUUAUUGGUAAAUUAAAAAAAUAUAGUUAAUAUAUUGAAAAUAUUGAAGUAGCACGCAUCAUGUAUGGUCAAAUAAUGAAGGAUAAAUUUUAGACUACUCCAUGUGGAUUAAAUCAUUCUUUUACUUAUUGAAAAUUUUAAAUUAUCUUUUUUUUUUAUUCAAAAGAUACAGAAAAAAUUACGGAUGGGUUUGACGAAAUUUUUAUCUUUUUCACAAAAUAAAAAAUAAAUUGAGAUUCCAAUAAAUAAAUGACAUCAUUAAAAGAUAAUCAAUUUAUAAAAAAAAAUCUAAAAUUAGUUCAAUAAAAUUUACACCACUGCGUGUGGUUUAAGAGUUAUAACUGUGAAAAUUGGGUUAAAAAAAAAAAACAUGUACCUAACUAAUCAAAUUUAAUAGGUGAUGGCAUAUUUCGAUUGGUUUGGUGAGGGCUUAAUUUGUGUGAUGAAUUCAUAUGAUAGGGGAUGACAUGUUUGUGAUUCUGUUUUAUUAAAUCGAGAUUACAUAAUUAAUUUAACAAGCACCGUACAAAAACGUGAUCUGGUGGGUCCAUGGAUUUUACAUUAUUUAUACAUCUGCCCUUAUACUUGCAGUAUUUCUAACAAGACGAUAGCAUCUAGUAAAAUUUUUACCGGCUUUAUUAGAACAAAACAUUAGGUAAUUUUUAUGAAUUUGGAUCUCCCACUAAGCUGAUGUCGGGGUAGCAAAAUUGAUUCAGUGAUGAAUUUGGUUUAGGGACCAAGGACAGGAUGGGUUUCUAGAGAAACUUAAAUCUUAAGCUAUUAGCUUGAUAAUAUAAUUUUCGAAUUUUGCCUACUUGAACUUAUUGCUUCCUAUCAUGUUUUAUCAAUUAUUAUAUAAUAAGGGUGUAGAGCACAAAAUAUAUGAUUUUAUUUUCAGAAGUUAUUAAAAAAAAAGGAAAUACGAGUUUGCCAUUUGAUAAAAUAAAAUAAAAUAAAAUAAAAUUCUCUCAACACUUAUUAUCAUAUUUAACCAUUCUUAUACAAAAGAAUAUAUAUAUAUAUAUAUAUAACUUGAUGAUAAGUGUCGAGAGAAUCCUAUAUAGUUAGGAAAAAGAGGAAAAUAAUGGGUGAUGAUGAAACGAGAAAUUGUUGAGUACCUUUAUUGUAUUACAUCCACUUGAUAUAUGUAUAAUAUGAGUACAGGAAGAAUUAAAUAAAACUAUCAAUUACGUGAUAAUUUUUUAAAACAAAAUGUACACAUAUCAUACAUAUAUUAAGUGGGUCUAGUGCAAAAGAGAUAUUCUAAAAUUCCUCGGAAGAAGGAUUUUUUUUCUUUUGCGGGAUUGUUUUCCCUGACACCAACGAGAGAUAAGCAGAUGAUUAAAAGAGCCAGCGAAGAUUAAUGUCUAAUAGAGGUUAAAAUGGGAAGCUAGACUGGAUAGAGGAGGCACGAAGGGCAAUGAGGAUCGAUUGAUCAGGGUCAUUUCGUAAUUUCAUUAGACUCUUCGCCCCGGUCAACCGAGAUGAAAGAGAGAACGAGAGAUGGGAGGUUUAACUGAGGAAGUGUGAUUGAUGCAUGAAAUUAAGCCAACGAGGACGAGUUGAAUGAUAUUUUCUUUCAUGGAGUUCCAGACCUCCACCAACCAAACAUUGAGCAGUGAAUUAAUGGAGGUUCAAAAUGAGAAUAAGGAGGAUAGCUCUGGACUACACUGUUAUUUUACUUAUAUUUUUAUUAUAAUUUGUGUCAAAUAGUUUAAUCUAAAACGAUAGCUUAAGGGUGCGUUUGGGAUUAAGGUGCUGUAGCUUUUAAGCUAUAGCUGUUGUGAAAAAAAAGCUGUAAUUAUGAAAUAAAAGUUAAUAAUAUAUAAUAAAUAUAAAUUUUAAAUAAUAAUUUUAUCAAAAUUUUUAAAGAUAUAAUAAAUUUUAUAUUAUACAAGUGAAAAAUUAUAUCAACAUAACUUAAAAGUUACAGCAGCUAGUGUUUACCAAACACUUUAGUGCUGUAGCUUUUAAGCUAUAGCUGCCCAACCUCAAUCCCAAACACACCCUAAAUAAUCUCUAAGCUUCGACUAAGCACAAUAACAUAAAUGAAAUGAAAUAUCAUUUUCUAAAUAUCUACACUUUUGUCACCCAAAUAAUCAAGCUUUGUCCUUGAAAAUAUUUAACCGGAAGAGAAUAUUUGUUCAAAGUUUAAAAUUAGAUAAUUAGAAAAUCACGAUUACCUAAUUUUUAUUUUUUCUCCAAAAAAAAUUUCAAUUCGCUUUUUGUAUCCUAAGCUUACACCAAUCCUUUUUUUUUUUUUGAGUAAUUAUCUUUCACAGAAUCACACUUGCACUUAUUUUUUAGGAUUAAAAUCCUCUCAUGAUCUGAGCACUCAUGAUAUUUUACGAAUCUUGUGCUACUUGUGUUUUAGUGUUAGUGGAUGAUUAAAAUUUAAAUACUUUUUCUUUUUAAUUUAUUAAUCACCAAUCAUAUUAAUAGAAUUUACUCAGACGAAUAUCAGAUCAAGAGAGAAUCUUGAUCUUGUUUUUUAACCCUUUAACCUGCAUGCAGUUCUACGGAAUUGGGUCAGUGUCCAUUCCUUAUGGAAGAAGUGUGAUUCAUGGAAAGUAAAUUUGAAAAAGGAAAAGCAUAAAUAUGUAGCUCCGUUUGCAACCAAUAAAUUACUCUAAGAAGGAUGUACCAUUAGCUGUAUCAUAAAAAUAUUAAUUGAAAUGGGGUGCCAGAAAAAAGCCAGUUGAGUGCAUUGUCUACCGUUUACAUAUUUGAAGAGUGUGAAAUGUGAACUCAAUCCAAUGGGAUGAACAAUGCUUAAUAUGUUUUUCCACUAUUCUUAUUUAUUUAUUUCAAUCCCAUUGACUUGAGUGGAAGUUUGGAACCGGGCCAUAAUUGUAAAUCGUCCUUUAAUCGAGACUCAUAUUUUGAGUUGGCUGGCCUACAUGCUAAAUUCACUUCCCAACCUCUCAUUCCUUACUAUAUUGUACAGUCAAAAAGGAAGCACAUUGAGAGUUGUAAACUACGUGCACCGGCAUUAAUUGACAAAUCAUGUAAUAAACCCCUCUUGCAUCCAUGGAAGAAACACUUAAAAAAUUUAAAAUUUAAGAUAAAAAAAAAAUCAAAUCACCUUCUUUUAAGACACAAAAUUUUCAGAGUGGUGGGCUGCUGCCCUCACAAGUAUUGUGAGGGCAGCGGUUCAAGCAUCCCUCUUUUAAUAUUUCAAGAUAGAAACACGUGCUUAUUUGUUUAAUAUUUCAAAAAUUUCUUCUCCCUCGUGCAAUACGAGUGGAGUAUGGACAUCCCUCUUCUGUAAGGGAUUAUUUGUCUGGGCAUGUACUUCACAGAAUUCAAUGUAAUAAUAUAAGUCCCAAUCAUGUAUUUCUGAUUGUAAAUAUCAGUGUAAUAUAUCUGCUAUAAUAGCAGUUGUAAAUAUCUGUGUAAUGCAGUAAUAUGAUGAUUAAUCAGUAUUCAAAAAAAAAAAAUUGUCUUUGACGGCUAAUGUGGACUCUUACUAGAGAUGCUCUCUUUUUACCAUCUCUUUUAAGUGGUUCUAUCCCAAAUAUUCUCGUGGACAAAAAUAAAGAAGCACUUUUCACCACCAUAAAUUUUAAUUUGCAAAUCACGUGUAUGCUGCAAAACCCAGCAGCAGCCUUAACUUGACUUGUUUACUUGUAAGUGCUUCUUAAUACAGAGAUCAGCAAAGCUCAGAUCAUAUACAACAUGCAAACAAUGGGUGGGGGUUGUGGUGGUCCAAAGGAAACUCUUUUAAGAUUUAGUCUUAUAUUGUGGUUGAGAUUCGAGCUCUCGAAAGUCGGAAGAGCUUCUUCACAAUCCCUCCAUAUUCUCUCUAUAAAAUGCCGUGCCAUCAAAAGCAUGCAUCCAGAACAUCAGCCAUGGCUUCUGCUGCUGCUCCACGAUAAGCGCUGAUUGCAAAUUCAAUUUCUUACAUAAAAAAUGACUUGUUACGCAUCUAAUUGUUUGCCCCCCUUUUGCCAUCUAACCCACUUGCUAUUUAUUUAUUAAAUCUUUCCCAAUAUCUUAACGAUAUUUUAUUACUAUUUUUAUUAUUUUAUUAAUUUUUUUCUUCUUUUUUAAUGUUAGGAGUUUAACUAACAUUAAUUAGCGAUUCAACUCUGAACAAACUGAGAACCUCUCAUUGCAUAAUCAAGAAAAGUUAGUGAUUAGGUGUGCCACUCAUCUGAUAUUCUCAGUUCUACUUCAAUGUUGACCGCGUCUCAUCAUCGUCUAUCAUGGGUUGAUAAAAGAAAACCCACUCUGAACAUCCCAGUCAGCCUCUCAAUAUUUCAUAGUAUGAUAGAAUUAUCAAAUGGACUAUAGAGGAUAUGUGUAGAGAUCAAAUCUUCACUUUUUCUUUUUUUAAAUUAAAUGAGACUAUUACUUAAGAUAUAACAUAUUACAUGAUACUAUAAUUGCUAUUUACAAUCACAUAAUAAUUGAGAUUAAUUUACAUCAUAACUAAUAUUUACAAUCACAUUAUAACUUAAACUAAUUUACAUCAUAACUGAUAUUUACAAUCAUAUAAUAAUUAAAAUUAAUUCACAUCAACUCUUAUAUAUAACAACUUAAAUUUUAAUCAUUUUUAAUAGUCGAGGGACUUCAACCUUCACUCAAGAGAUGAGAAAAUAAAUUUAAAUAAACCCCCACAAUGCUUCUGUAGGAAUUCGAACUGCUUCUGUAGGAAUUCGAACCACUUUCCUCACAAGCUCUAGUCACGGGCUCAGGCCCAGUGGUUGAUCAAAUCUUCACUUGAAACCGAGAUUUAAACCAUGUUUUAAUCUCAGUUUUACUUAACUAUCAAAAAUUCAAAAUAAAGUUUGAUAUAGACGGUUUCGGGUUUGGGGUGGGGAGGUUAAAAAUAUAUAACUUUAUCAAAUGUGUCUCUUCAUGCACAUUGAUACCUCUAUAUAUAAACAUCUAUGAAGCAAAUAGCGUGUCCAUAAAAUAUGGCUAUAUUAUCACUCAUCAGUUACAAUAGAUACAAAUAUGUAUAUCUUUGUAUGUCUUCAAAGAUUUAAAAAUGAAAUUCAUCACCUAUUCAUCUCUCUCUCUCUAGGCAUUGUCCCACACAAGCAACAUAACAAAUCAAGGGAACACACAAUGCGACCUAGACAACCUGUGUACAAGCACAUCAAUUAAUCACGAAAUAAACUAGAGUAACCAUUAAGCUCAUACCCAAUAACUUCUACGUUUGUGUAUUAUACUUGAUUAAAGGGAUUAAGAGUCCAUUUAAUCUUUGAGGAUUUGUAAUAGGUUGCCAGAAUUGGUAUGUAGUUCUAUAUCCACUGGCUAAUAAAAUUGCUGCAGGCUGAAGAAUUUCAAAGCCAUAUAGAAGCUACAUACUUAGCACAUCAUAUACUGACCUACUCGUCCCACUUGCAUAAAGUUUGUCAGAUAUUGUAACGAAAUCCAAAAGGAAGACAACACAAGUUUACAACUGAUACAUAGUCAACUAAAAUCACACUUGCUUUACAAUUCAUGACAUUCAAAAGCCCACCUCCCCAGAGGAGCAAACGAUCCAUACCCUUAUGCCUCAUCUAUCUGCUCCUGCACAAAGCCCAGUAUCACAUCACUAAAAUAUUGGCUAAAAUUUAGUAAAAAAAGACAAUAAUGACCGACAUCGAAGGUACAAUUACCCUGUUACCUAAUAUACAGACUCGUAAUCACUAUUUAUUGCAGACAAAGACCGUGCUAGAAAAAAUUAAUAGUUGAGUGCAUUUGUAUGCAUAGAUUAACAUUAUUUAGUUUCUCAUUGAGUUUGAAGCAAUAUCUAGGAUUUACAAGAUGAGGUCAUCUGGAUACAUGCUACAGACACACUGUUCACUGUUUUGUUCCUCUAAAAAAUGACUCCAAAUUCUUGCUUUUACUUUUGAAAUAUUGAGAAAAUUCAAAAGUUUCUUGUUUAUCUCUUAUUUAUCUCUGCAUGUGCACCUGUAGCACAAGAUAAAUAAAUACCCCUGAACUGAAAAUUGCACUGACCUGCAUAUCUGAGGUCCACAGAGUGAGGUUGUCUCUUAGCAAUUGCAUGAUAAGAGUGCUAUCCUUGUAGGAUUCUUCACCCAAAGUGUCCAGCUCAGCAAUGGCCUCCUCAAAGGCCUGAAAAACUCAAAAGUAAUUAUUUGAAAAGUUCCACAUACAUGAACUGAUUUAGUAAAACAAAGAACUUCAUGCUUGUGUACCACACAUACAGACCAAGAAAAGGAACAAGCAAAAGAUGUUUGUCGUGAUCAGCCAUUAUUAACCAUCAUGGUAUUUAGAAUGCACUUUAGUACUAGGUGAAGUGAUAACAAUUAAACAAUGUUUUAACUAGCUAGGCAUCAAAGACUAGACUCCACACAUAUUAUUGUUUUUGCAUAUCAGCAAUUCUCUCAAUUCCUAAUGAGCUGAGUUGUCUCAAUUCUUUUUACUGAUACGCAUAAUCAACAUUGUUCUGUCUCCAUUUUGGAAAUUUAAAUGGCUACAGCUUCACUAUAGCUUCAUUAUCAGAACUUAUGUUUUAAUCUUCUGAAAACAUGAUCCCUGGGGCUGACAAGUACAGGUGACUUAUUUUUCACAUUUGCCUAUGGAUCUACGCAGGAGCCAGGACAAUGUCAUUCAGAAUUCAAGUCAGCCUUUGGAAUUAUGCGCCUUCCAUAAACCAUUAUUUCUCUACCUUGCAUAACACACUCAGGGAAUUAUCAGCAUACCACUCAAAUACAUUUCCUAAAAAAUAAUGCUUAAUCCUUACCUCCGUAAUGAUAGGAUUUGUUUAAAAUAACACAAUUAACAAAUGGAGAAAAUUCCCUAACUGCAAUCUAGCCCAUAACAUGCAUGCUGCACUAGUAAUAUUCAAUAUACACUCACUUGAGGAAGAUUUAACCAGGUUAGAUCUCAUCAGUCAUCUCAGACACAACCAGCUUAGAAACCAAGAAAAGGAGAAACUAACCUUGUCAAUGUCUUCUCCUGUAAGAAGUGAAAAUGAUGCUUAACUAUUUUCUUAACUUAAAACUCGGUAUUAACAAAAUUGACUUAUAUAGGCAGCAGAGUUACUUCUUUGUGAAAUUGGCUUUCUUCAAAGUAAUAUUUCCAAGACAUAUUUGCAAUUCAAUAACAUGGAGGAAUUUCCAAUACUCUUUUCUUUUGUUCAAAGCCUCUUUAUUGUGAUAAUUGCAUUCUUUAUGAAUACUGAACAUGCAACAUGAUAACAUUAAAUGAUUGUCACAGAAGAAUCAAGAGGCACAACUGGAAAAGCAGUUACGAAAGAAGAGGUAAUUGUGACCAGUAUGAUCAAAUAGAUUUAAAAUCAAGAGUCCUAAAAAGAGGCAUAACUGAAAAUACAACAUGAAUGUACCAGCUAUAAAAUCAAGAGUCUUAAAAGGAGGCAUAACUGAAAAUACAACAUGAAUAACCAGCUAAAUACAAACAGAAUGAUCAACCAGAUAUAAGAUGUUUGUAUUCUCCAAUGCUAUUCUAGUAGAAGCAAGAAGCAGCCAUGAAGAUAUAAAGGCCCAAUUCUAACAGAAAUAAAGUGAGAAUUAAAUUGACAAGUUUAAUGGAUACACAUGAAGAAAGUUAGAACAACUCGUGACAACUCAAUAAGUUAGCAGCCAUCAACAUUAAUUAUAUAUACAAAGGAAUUAUGUUUAGAUAUGAAUUCCGGUGUUAGUGAUAUUUAAUCAAUAAACUCGGCAGGGCAAGCAACUCUGAUACAAAACACUAUAGUAGUUAUAGAUUUACUAAUUAAAAUAAUAAUAUAAUUAUUAUAAGCCUCUGGCAACCAUGAGGAAUGAAGCAUACCUGUUUGGCCAUGGUACAAGCUUUCUCUGAUGAAUUGAGAAUCUCAUAGUAAAACACUGAGAAGUUGAGUGCCAGCCCCAACCUUAUAGGGUGUGUUGGCGCCAGAUCAGUCAGUGCAAUAUCCUUCAAACAAGGGAAUUAAUUCGAAAUUAUUUAAUAACUUGAUGAAAUUUGUUUAAACGGAGGGAAAAAAAAAGGAUUAUAUAGUAAAUCUAAAUUCGAAAUUACCUGAGCCGCCUUAUAAGACAACAUAGUGUUUUCAGCGGCGGCCUUCCUCUCAUCACCAACUUUAAACUCCGCCAAGUAACGGUAAUAAUCUCCCUUCAUCUUCAAAUAGAAGACUUUGGACUCACCAGCAGUAGCCGAAGGCACAAGGUGCGAGUCCAGCAACUUCAAUAUGCUCCCGCACACGUCAGAUAACUCAGACUCUACCUUUGACCGAUAGUCUUUGACCAGCGAGACGUGUUCCUCGUUCUUGCGGCCUUCCUCUUUCUGCUCGAUCGAGGAGAUAAUACGCCACGCGGCGCGAAGAGAGCCGAUGACGUUCUUGUAAGCAACGGAGAGGAGGUUGCGCUCCUCGACGGUGAGUUCAGUCGCCGGAGUGGAGGAAGUGACGAGGCUGUCCAUGAACUUAACCAUCUCUUCAUAGCGCUCGGCUUGCUCGGCGAGUUUCGCCAGGUAAACGUAUUGCUCUCUCGUCGGGGUUCCCAUAGCAGAAUUGCAGAAACUGUAAAGUUAACUGGAGGGGAAUUGGAUCUUCUUCAAAGAAAAAUAUUCAAGUGAUUGAGAUUUGAUUUGAGCGUGGCUUAUAUUACGAGGAAUUUAGUUGGCUCCAAAUGACUGUCAGGAGGACUUACGCGCGAGAGUGAGUAGCUCUUAUUACUCGCUACCAACUAGCAAAGCCAGACAGGCAGUUGCAGUUGCAGUUGUUUUGUUUAUGGAGGGAUACGGCGGCGUUUUUACCGAGGUGCGAGGUUAAGCUGAUUUUGAGCGCGUGUGGAUGGUUUUCUAGGACCAAUAAUGCUGAUAGGAGAUAAGAGUGGGAAUGACAGAGAUGAUAUUGGAUUAUUUGACCAGAAUCCUAUUCUAUCCUACUGGGCCGUUAAGUCAAAGAGUUGUUCUUUCGAUUUGGACUAACAAUUUUCUUAAGUAAAGAGUUUUUUCAAUUCAUUUUUCUACAUCAAGAGUUUUUUACGUGCGAACGUUUGAAUUCUUUUUCAUGAUCCUGACACGGGGAAAAUAUCAUUCACUAAGAAAUUGUAAAAUAGAAAAUGCGUUUAUUAUUCGUUAAUAUAUUAAAAGAAGUGGAUGUGCCAUUUUUCAUGAAAUAAAGUGGAUGUUCUUAGCAAAGGAUGCGGGUGUAUUGAACAGGUUCCAAUAAAUGGGGCGAUCCUUAUCCUGAUUCGUAAACAUAAUGGUUCUGGCUCAAGACAUAUUGCGAGUGCAUAUUAACAAGGUCGGAUUCUCGGAAAGGGUAGGGGUGUAUUUAAUAAUGUGGCCCAAAUGGAGCAAAAUGGCACUGCCAUUGCCGCCCACUUUACUAUUAUUGCUUUAUUCUUCGUCUGAGUUGACUAUUAUUUCGAUAGUAUCAUUCUGCCACUUAAAAAUGAAAAAACUUGGUCAUAUGUUGUUAACGAUAAAAUAGCUUCGCCCAUGGCCUAGUAGUGGCCCUCGGCAUACAAUUGGGUUCGCACCAUGGCUCCUUAGGAAUUGGGAUGGCUUGCUUGUCGUUAAAUUUUGAAAAAAUGAAAAUAUUUGCAAGUUAAUUUGUUGAAGAAGCAUGUAAUUAGUAAGAGUUCCAUGUCUGGUGGUCGUUCAACAGCAAAGCUAUAAACAAAUAAAAUGACUUGUACUGUCGGUGAUACCAGUAUGUUACAAUCAUAGCACUAGAUCACAGUGCAAUCAUCCAAUUAUGUUUUACUAUUGUCACGUACACAUGUGAUGUAUUUAUGGUGACUUAAACUUAGCAAUUAGAGUGUUGUAUGAGUGCACGCAAUGGAUGAAAUUGAAUGACAGCAUGAUGGCAUAGCCAUAUCCACUUCAUCCUCUAAAAAUGAAAUAUGUAGAGGAGCAUCAUCAAUAUUUAGAUAAAAAGAAAAAUUAAUUAGUGUUGCAAUUGCACAAUUACAUAACAUUUAAAUUCAUCAAGAAAACUUACGAUAGAGAGAAAAAUCGAGAUGUUGCAUUCAUCACUUGUUAGUUAAUUUGAGAAAGCUUACACUACAUCAUUACCUCAAUAUUUAUCGUCAUUAUCACUUAGAAAGCUCACAUUACAUCGUCACUACAAUAUUUAUCAUCAUUAUCACAUAUCAUCAGUAAAAGCUAAUGAAUCAACCUCAGUCAAAGUGGAGCAGAAGGUGCGUGCUCUAAGCCAAUGAAUCAACCUCAGUCAAUAUUUUUUACACCGCAUAUGAAUUAAUUAAUUUAGUUAUCAUCAUUUACAAGUUAAUUACAAAGAAAACUGAGAACAAGAAUAAAAUGCAAUUAAUUAACAGAGAAGUUGAGUUUUACCAAUGGUGUUGAGCAUGUGAUGAUCAGAAACCCAGGAUUGAAUGGCCUUCCCAUCUUCUUUUGUUUUCUGCUAUUCAAAUUAAUGUUUACAGAGAACUUGAGUGAAAAAGACUAGAGUGAGAGUGGAGACGGGCACCGACUUUGCUAUUCAUAGAUAAAGACAAUGGUGUUGAGGUAAGUGCUUCUGCCUUUUUGUGGCCGCUGGAUUUGGUUUUUACUCUUUUGGAACACUGGUAACUUCGAGGAAACUUGAGGCCCCCCUUGUGGACAAACAAAAAUUUUGUGAAGGUAACAAGUUUGUCGUUUAUAGUUUUAUGACAAAAUAAAUUAAAUCGUUUGUCGUUUGUCACUGAAAAAUUACUUUUUUUUGUGACUAAACAUUAUGUCUCAAAAAAUAAACUUUUUAAUGUCUUAAUCAAGAGUGGUAACGGUGAUGGAAAGGUCAGUCAUCAAGAUUGAACGUCAAGCGCAUUAAAGUUCAAAUGCAAAUACUCAAAUUAAGUAAAUUUUAGUUUGAAAAAAGAAGCUAAUGAAUGAGAGAAGUCGAUAUAAAGAUUAAAACAAUACCCCAAUACUGAAGUUUGAUUCAGAUGGGCUGCGCUCAACGGUAACUGCUGUGGAGCUGGCGCAGUGGCACGUGGUUGGUGAGGCUGUUAGUGGUUGCUGUGUUUCACGAUUUUAAUUAAUGAGCGGCUAUGUCAUGCUUUGUGAUUUUCAGGUUUUGUUUUUAUUCAAUAAUUAUCUAACAAAGGAUGCCCACUUUAACUAAAGUGGAGGGUACAAUUUGGACCGCUCUAUUUAGAUCCAAUAUCCUUUUUUAAACAAUUUAAAAUUUGAGCCACUCCGCCUUUGGCCGAGUGGUGAGAGCUGCUGCUCUCUAAGUUGGAGAGCAGCAGUUCGAACCCCCACAAUAUAUGUAAGGGUGUUUCUUUUCUUAAAUAAAAUUGAGUGAAGGCAGUCUGCUUCCUUGCCCCAGUGCGAGGAGUAAACAUCUUUCGAAUAUUUGAGAGGGUUAAAAUUUGGGCAGCGCUCCAUUAGAUUUAAUGUAUGUUGGUUCCAGUUAUAGUCUGAUUUGUACAUAUCAGUUAUAUUUUCAUAUAAUAUGAGUUGUAAUCUGAGCAAUAGUCUCAUGUAAUAAAAAAAAAAAACAAUUUAAAAUUUGCAUGUGAUAGGGUCCACCAAAUUCAACGGCUUUAAUUGGUUACGUAAUAAUUUUUGUUAUAUCGAUCAUGAUUCAUGCAUCAUUUUAUUUUGUUUUAAAAAACAUAACGACAAAAAUGCACAGCAGGGCAUAAAGGAAUUAGUUGAAAAGUUAGUCAAUCCCAUCAAACCAUAUCAAUGUACACAUAAAUUUUUGGAAAUUAUUUAUGGCUCAACUGCAAUUACUGUAACAAAAUAAAUUGUUCAUAAAAAUACAACAUUAGUCAAGCCAAAACUUUCAAUUGCCUUUUUUUUUUUUUUUAGUUAUUGAAAAUAAUUAUCUAAGACCAAAAAACAAGGUCUUAAGAUAUCAAAAAAGCAUAAUAGCUUUGAAAUCAAAUUAUCUGUCGUAGAUGGUUUGGCCAAAUCAUAAUAUUAUUCUGUGACUAAAUUUGAAAUUAUUGUAAAAAGAAAAAAUAUAUAUAUAUCGUCUUUCAAAUUCUAAAUUAUUGUAGUGACUAGGAAGUGUCUGCUGCUUGUUUCAGAAUUCAUACUCUCAACUUCGCGCAAAAACAUGUGCUCACAGGCUUACCAUUGAACCCAUUGCAUUUUUAUCCUGGAUCUUGUUCCUAAUCCAGGAACCAUAAAAUGUUCAGAAAUACAGAGAGUAUUUUAAUUCCAGCAUGAAGUCAAUCCAAUCCGUCAGACAUUUAUAUUUUGCAUUAAAAUAUUUUUAACUUGAUUAUAAUUAAGUUAAUUUCUUGCUGACAAAACCAUGGAAACCAUUGAUUAUUGUACGCAGAUACGUGAACUUCACUGAUUAGCCAUUAUUGUAAUUAUAAAUUGAGUUCUACUAAGUUAUAUUUUAACUCUAUUUAUAAAUUGGGAUUAGAAAUUAUGAUUAUCUCAUGAUCUGAUUUUCUCCUAAGUAAAAAUAUACAUGAGUGAUUGAUAGUUAAUAAAUAAAGAAAAUGAUGAAAUUAAAUCUUACCCAUACACUAUUACUUAAAUACACAUGACACAAGAUCAUUAAAAAUUCGUGAGAGCUCAGAUAAAGAGAGUGAUUUUUAUCCUAUAAAUUGAGUCCUGUUAAGUUAUAUUUAUUAUAAAUAAUAGUCCAAUUGAAAAAAAAAAUGUAAAAAUCACACAAUGGCACUUGCCCUAUCUGUCAUGUUACUAAUGUUUAUAUGUUUUGGUUGGAUUGUAGAUUGCAACAAAUAUAACUUAGAAAAACCCUUAUAAAUUUUAUCUUUUCAAUUUAGAUAACUGUCGGGAGCCAGUAGUUUUCUGAAAGUAAAAGCUACAGGGAUCAUCCUUGAAAACGCUAUAAUUUCGCCUAAGUUUGGGACCAAAACGAUGUACACGUUGUUACCUGGACCUACAUACAAGAAGAAUGGCUAUUCACAAAUCACGCGAUAUGGGUUGGUUUGUUUGGAAUGCGAAAGGCGGACAACUUUGAUAAAUGGAAACUGGGUUUGAUCUUGUAAAAUCCUUUUCAUAUCUAUAAAUGAAUGCUGCAAUUUCAGUUUGCCUCUGUAAUUGGACAUCUGAUACUUUUUGCGUCUGAAGCGUUCUGGUUUUGGCAAAUUAACUUUUAAUCAGAUAUAACGAUUGGCUGCUGCAAUCAUUAAUAAUCUGUUUACGUACAACGCCACACAUGUUCAUAUUAGAAAUAUUGUAGCUUAUUACAAGAUGCAGAUAAUUUUUCAAUUGAUUUUUCUGCAAUUGAUCCUGAUCUGUCCAGCACUUCCUGUAAGAGGUUUGAUGUUGCCCAUCUUGAUCAUACCCCUGGCGAAGUCUUUAAAAAAAACAGAGAUGCUAGCAGCGUAUCUUUUGACCAGAAAAUCAGCAGAAUUGCCAUUAAAGAGCUGUUGGUCAGAAUGAAGAAGCCCCUUCUUGUUCAACAGAUUCUUGUAAUAUAAAUUGUCAAAGCACGUUGGAGUUUGACGGUCAAGGUUUGCCAGAACAUUGUCAUUUCCUCUUCUUGGGCAUCUCUGCUGCAAGGACCUGGCGAAGCUGGUGUCAAUAUUGGAAUCGUUGUAAAUGUGUCCUCGAAAUGAUGUGCACCUUGCCUUGCCUACCGUGUGUCCACCUGCCAAUGGCCAUAUACAUAAGAUGAGCUCUGUCAAUUAAUUGGUCUGCUGAGAGUUGCAGUAUGUGAUUAAGGGCGUGUUUGAGAUUGAUAUACUGUAAUUUUUAAGUUACAGCUGCUGUAGAAAAAAAAAUAUAACUAUAAAAUAAAAGUUAGUAAUAUAUAAUAAAUGUAAAUUUUAAAUAAUAAUUUUCAUAAAAUUAUUAAAAAUAUAAUAAAUUUUUCAUUAUACAAAUGAAAAAUCAUAUCAACAAAGUUUAUAAAUUAUAGCAGUUAGUGUUUACUAAACACUUUAGUGUUGUAACUUUUAAGCUAGAGCUGACCAACCUCAAUCUCAAACACACCCUCAGUUAGAUGAUUCACUGAAUUUAAUUUGUAGCAUAUUAGUGUAGACCAAGUAAUAACUACAGUUGAAUUACCAGCAAGAGCCACCAUGUUCUUUAAUGAGAGACCCUGUGCCGAGAAGCUUGAUAUGAGAGCACUCAAAUUAGAAGUGGGUGGAGGGAUGGAGGUAUUUGCAGCUGCCCUGCUAGCAGUGGUAGAAUCUCUUCUUCCCAAUCUAACUUUCCAUGAAGGACCUCCGAACUGCAAUUGUGCCAAAGAAACGUUGCCCCACCCAAAAAAAAUAAUAAUAAUAAUUGAAGCAAGUGGAUAAAUUAGUACAUGCAGGAGACUUGAUGAUAGUCAAGAUUAGAGAUUUCAAGAUCUUCAUCAAUGUAAUUAACAUGGAGACUAGCGGGAGCUUACAACAACAACUGAAUCGCGUGCGGCAAUGGCAAGAAUAUCUGCACACGAAACAACACGGGGGCAUGCUUUCUCCAGAUUAGCUUUAAUCUGAUCCACCACGUUGAACCCUCUGGCCGAGUUAUUGUUAGGAACUGCUGUUUUCUCUCCUAUGAAAUUGGCCGUAUCAUCCAACAGUACCGAUCCAUCGCAGCCCUGAUUGUCAUCAUUCAGUUGAAAUAGCUUUAGACUAAUUAUAACACAGAACAGACAAACGACCCAAAACAAACAAAGCAUACAUUGACAAAGCAGUCGUGGAAAUGAAGUCGAAGUAAAGACGCCCCUACGCGUGUUUCAUUUUUUAUAGCAGCUAUAAUCCCUGCCCGAACAAUAGACAAUGCUUUUGGGCAUGUGGAUUUGUAGUAGUUUGUUGAGAGUUGGGAGUUGGCUUGAUCAAGAGUUGCAGUGACAAAAGUAAGUAUAAGAAGGAGAAAGUAGUAACUCGUUGCUGCCAUAUCUAGCACUUCUGCAGUCGUCAAGAGAGAUUUUUGCCUUUAUAAAUACGUAUAUAUUCGCUAAACAGUGACUUUAAUACUAAGCCCAAGCAACACAGCCCCAAUAAUUCUGCUGAGAUGGCGUACGAUUUUUGUUUUAGUUUGCCGACACUACUCUAUAUUGAGACCAUUGUGGCUUGAUAAAUUUGAAGGAUAGGGAAUAAUGCUUCUAUAACUGGAUGAAAUUUUGCCCUGCGCAAGACCAGUGGGCUUAAUCAAGCUGGUUACGACAUCAUAUUCAUGUGGCCCAGAGCUUACUUUUUUAUUGGUGAAAGAAAAACAACAUGUGAAAGUUGAUAAAGUUUGCUUUCUCCAUGCAAAUGCCGAACAGGUGUCAUGGCAUAAUCACUGCUCAUCUCAAGCUGGAACUGGGGAUACGAGCGACGAGGUUUUGGAAUGCCUAAUUGGAAUUAAUAAUCAAAUUUAUUUCGAUUUGUUUUUAGCUAUUAAUUCGCUUUCAACACCGUCAUCAUAUUUAUUCGAUACGUGCUCCCAACAAUUUUCCAACAAGAUUAUUUGACGAAGGCGCAUGCAAUAAUGAAGUUGUUAAUCGAUGAUAUUGACAUUGGUGUUUUUAUUAUUAUUAUCUUUCUUUUUGUCAAUCAGGGAAAUUUGUGGAGUCGGAGGCGAAAUGAUUAGCAGCGAUUAGCAUACCAUGAAAAAAUUGAAUUUUUUUACGAAAAAGUUAUUUGUCCUGACAUUAACUCCGAAUUACACCCUGAAUUGAAACGCACCGUUUUAAUUAAAUAGAAAACGCAUUGUUUAACCUUUCCUUUUGACGAGAAAUACGAGCAAAAUCUCUCUCUUAGGUGGCGUUUAUUUUUUUGUCUGAAAUCUGAAUAGAUCUGAAUUAGUCUGAAUUCUGAAUAGGUCUGAAUGUCUGAAUCUGAAUAAUAUGUUUGUUUUUUUGUCUGAAUUUCAAAAAAUAAGUAUUAAGUUGUUUGUUUUUUUCAACUUAAAAAGCUGAAAAUAUGUACUUUUACAUUUGUAUCCUUAUUAAAUUUGAAUGUCAAAUAAAUAAUAUAUUAAAUACCACAAUAUUUUAACAUUUAUAAAUAAAACUAUAUUCAAGUGAAUACAUAAUUAUUUUAGAAUUUUAAUAUAUAAAAUACCAUAAAUUUCAAAUUUUAUCGUAUAUAAUAUAAGAAAGAAAAAACAGGGAUAUUGUUAUGUGGGGUAAAUAUCUAUGGGUGAGUUUUGGGAUAGAAAAAGUUAUUUGCCCCAAUUUUAAUCCUGAAUUGCACCCCGAAUUGAAACGAACAGUUUUAAUUAAAUAGAAAAUACACCGUUUAACUUUUCCUUUUGACGAAAAACGCGAGCAAAAUCUCUCUCUCAGUCUCUCUUUAUUCUCAGUCUCUCACACCCGCAAAAAUCUACAAUCACUGAUGGGACAACCGACACAGACGACGGACGAGCCCCAGACGACGAACCACCGCCAUCACUUGGUUGAUGUCUCUGUUGCCAUCACGACAGUCACGCGACAACUGGCACUCACAAAGCUAACACGCAACAGCCGGCAGCACUCCCUCCCGACAGCCGGCUCCCCUUGGCCAGGUCUCCAUUGCCAUCACCGAUAUUUCUGCAUCUGAGGUAAUGGAAUAAUUCUUUUAGAGUUGAUUGAGAUUUUUGGUUGAUUCGAAAUUCCUGGUGAUUUGAUAAUGUGUUUGUGUGUUACUGGUUAACGCAACUGAAGAUGAUGUUUGAUUCAUGGUAGAUAUCUUGCAUAAUUUAACAAAUUAUAAUUUAAUUUAACAAUUUGUGAAUUUGCCAUUUGGAAAACUCGAAUUUGCCAAUUCGGCUAAAGAAGAUGUGUUAUUAGUUGACAAUUUGCCAUUUGGGAAACUCGAGCUGCACCGAGUGUUGAGUGUUUUUUUUUUUAUUACAUGAGACUAUUGCUCAUAUUACAACUCAUACUACAUGAGACUAUAACUGAUAUUUACAAAUCAGACAAUUACUGGGACCAACUUACAUCAAUGCUAAUGGAGCUCUGUCCAGAUUUUAACCCUCACAAAUAUUCGAGGGAUGUCUACUCCUCACUAAUGGGUAAGGGAAAAGACUACAUUUACUUAAAUUAAUUGAGAAAGAAAAUACCUCCACAAUAUUUUUGUGGGAGUUCGAACUGCUGCCCUCCAACUUGGAGGGCAGCAGCCCUGGCCACUCGGGCUGAGCCGAGUGGUUGGGUGUUGGGUUGAAACGAAAGCAAAUAGAAGGACAAACACGUGCUGCACAGCUGCAAUGAAUUAAAGAAGCGGCGUCGUUUGGUUUAAUCAGCAAUGCUCACACACACGUGCUGCAUAGCUGCAAUUAAAAAGGAAAAACGACCGUUUUAAAACGCAGCGUUUUGGUAAAAUUUGGGGCGCAAAUUUGGGGUUCAGUUCGGGUAAUAUAGCAGCGCUGAAUUUUUUAAACCGUAACGAGGGGGAGAGAGGGAGAAGGGUGGCGGCGAAAUUUUCGGCCCAGCCUUUAUAAGUAAAUGGACUGGCCCAGUUAUCUUUCUAAUAAGUUAGGCCGACUCAGAAAUUUUCGACCCAGCCUUUAUUUGAGCGGGGGACUUCUAUAAUUUGUAUGAAACUUCUGUUUUCACAUUUAUAACUUUUUCUUUGCUGAAAAUUACAAUACAAUUUUAAACAAACUAGAAUAGAUUAAUUAAAUUCUAAAUGUACAUUUUUUUAUAAUAAAGUUCUUAUUAUUAAAUAGUUUAUUUCUUCGUUGUCUUUUUUUUUUAAUUUCCUAAAAAAAUUUAAUUAUAUCAUAUAUUAGAUUUAGAGAUAUCUAGGGUUUAUAAUUUGUAAGGACAUUUUAGUUUAAUUAAAUUCAUAUAUUUGUUCUUUAAUGGUUAAAUAUAAAGUUUUAUAACAAUAUUAAAGGGGUAUGAAAAGCAUUAUUCUUGUUAUCACUGUUAUUACUAUUAUCGUUUAGGGUUUGGUUGAUUUCAAAUGAAAAUUCAGUAAACAUUAAACCAAUUGUCAUUUCAACAAUUUCGUUUGAAUUAUUUAUCUAAUGAUUAACUGACUGGAUAGGAAAAUUGUAGUGGAUCUGGUAAUUUCAAAUAUCCUAUGGGUUCAAAUUAUAAUUAUUUCAGAUUUCUUUUUUGCCCUUUUGGACACAAGACCAUGCGAUCAGGAUCUAGUGUCUACAAUAAUAUUAUCCUCAAAUUAAAACGGUUUUUUUUUAUUAAAAAAAAAGGGAAAUUUUUUUGAUAAUGCAUUUUGCUUGUACGUGAAACGAGGGAACCCUAAAAAAUUGAAGCACAGUCCUAUAAGAGUGUCAAAAGCAUUUCCUUUUCCACCAGGGUAAGCCGUGGAAGCUAAUCUGUGCCUUAAACGAGCUCACUUCACGCUCACGUCUUAAACGCUGAGGAGGCUACUGAAAAUGGAGCUCUGUACAGCCAUACAAACACAGUCAGCCAUCUCCAAUCACCACCACCCAUUCCUCACCGCCACUACAGCCCCUGCUCUCGCCCGCACCAAGUCCGCUCUCUCACUCAAGCAAACCACAGUCUCCCGCUCCGGUUAUGGCCUACGCUCCCGUACGAUACAAAACCCUAGGUCUACUUUAUCAUUUUCCGUCUCUUCUUUUUUUAUUUACUGCUGAUGACUUAACAAAUGUUGGUUUUUAAAACCUCCAGCUACGUGGAUGGUUCAGAUUUUUUGCUCAAUUAAAUGUUAUAUAUAGUUCUGAUAUAUUUGUGUUUGGCUAAUAGUCUAUUGCUUGUGAUUCGAUUUUUAUUUUUUUUUCAUUUGGACUUGAAGUGUACAUUUGAAUGAGUCCGGGGCCUUAUUCGUUUAGGCUGUGUUUCGUUGAUUUCUUUAUAUCACUAUUUCAUUUCGUUUUUAAAUGAAAAUGAUUUAAAAAGAUAAAAAGAAAUGAACAAAUUUCUGUAAAAGAACACAUUUUAAAAGUGUUAAGUAGUCUAGAGAAACGCGACAAGAUUAUGAGCAUUUGUUAUACAUUCAAUAUUCUGUGAAUCUUGUGUCGUUUUGAGCAUACUGCCCAAGGCUGAUCAUUAAGAUUUCUACAUGGUUGGUUUCUGGUAGAAUCUAAGAAAUGCAUUGAGAAGAAACACGUUUUUAAUACUUGGAGUGAUAUUACUUAUUUCAGGAAUUCUCUAUUAUACCAACCCAUUGCCAAAAGCAACCUCUGAAGAAACUUCAAGUGGAACAGAUCAGUAUGUUGUGGAUAAACGAGAUGGUGCGACGGCAGCUGAAGAUGUUCCGGCAGUUGAAAAGAAUGUGAACAAUGAAAGUGCGGCUGCGGCAGUACCUAAAGAGGAAUCACCUGUGGAUGGGCUGACUAAUGAACUUUUGGACAACCUUAAAAUAAAGGUUUGUUUAAAUCUCAAGAGUUCGUGUUAUGGUAUUUAGAAGCCUUAUUAUGUAUAUAUAUAUGCUUGUGAGUAUGGAUAUUACACAUUACACAUAACUAUUUUCGCUACAAAGUGAUGAAAGUUAUAUCUUCCAUAACAGAUUUUUUGUUGUCUAAGCAACUUUCCUUCUAGCCCUCAGAUAAAUACUUUAAAACUGCAUUAUUGGGUGCCCUUUAAGGCAUAGAUAGCUCUCACUUGGUUUUAUUCGAUCUAUUGGUGUAAUUUUUUUAGUUACUGCAUAAAGAAGCAAAAGCUUUUGCUGUGAUGAUGCAGUCAACUGGUUGAAAGUAUUUUUAUAAUGCUUGAUGUGACCAUUAUGUCCAUCCUGAGUGGUUACCCGAGCAAUGGUAGAUUUUGAAGCAUUGGUAUGCAAUGGUGCCCCCUUUAUGUUCGUUGUAUGUUGUUUUUAUUCUGAUUUCCUGAUGACCACGCUUACACACCUCUCUCUCCCUUUGUUAUCCCCCUUUUUUUCUUGGGGGAAAAAAUGGUCAUCAAUGGUGAAGCUGAGACAUUUUUUGUUUCAAUUUUUUUUUUCCCUUUGGUGGUUUCAUUUUUGGGGUUUAGAUUUUUUUAUCUCUCAUUUAAAUGCAAAAUGGUUGCUAUGAUGAUAACUUUAUUCUUUUUGAAAGUGUUCUUGAUGAAACGUCGACAAUCAUGUCGAUCUGAGCGGUUACCUGAGCAACAUGUUUUACCAGUUGUUUAAUUUGUUCCUUCAAUAAAAGUAUUACCUUCCUUUCUUUUGUAGUUCCAUUUUUCCGCUUCUUUUUUGUUUCUAAUGGCCUCUAAUGGUCUCUGUUAGUUUUAUCCUGUUGAGUUUUAUUUCUGAAAUUUCUAUGCUGGAUCCCUUCUUGAAAUGCAAAUCAGUUGCUAUGAUGAUUACUAGAAGUUAUAGAAAGUCUUGUUGAAUUCUUAAUGAAAUGUCGACAAAAAUUGUCGAUCUGAGCGGUUACCUGAGCAACAUAUUCUGUUAAUUUUCCCCUUAUGCCUUCAAAAAGGUUACUUUCAUAAAAAUAAUUUUUUUUUGAUAACUGUGUUGAAGACUUUGUCGAUAGCAUGUUUCUCUCAUGCCGGUGGCUUUAACUUCACUAGGUUAGAUGAUAUUUUUCCUCUGUUUUAAGAGGUGCUGAUGUCGUAAAGAUUAAGAAAGUAACCACACGACGCCUUGAGUAUCUCAACUUGGAUUUACAAUUUGACAACUUUGUUUUGAUGAACGUAGUAAGUUAAUUUGUAAAUACAGAAGGGCUGGAUGGAGCACUUUGGUUUAUGGUUUUGAUAGGCUGCAUUAUUCUUUCUGUUGUGUAUCUACCAGUUUGUUGAAUUGCAUUUAUUUUGUUUUAACAUACUUUUGGCUUGAUAUAUUUUUUACUGUAUUGAGGACUUCUUGAAUAUUUGCAGUUUGACUCUGAAGAUAAAUAUUCACUUGUUCUAUAUGGAACCGGUGCUUUGCUUGCUCUGUGGUUAACAACAGUGGUGGUUGGUGCAAUAGAUUCUAUUCCAUUGGUGUGUAUAAACACAUCUUCUACUUGUUGACCAUGAAUAAUUCUCACUUUCCUUUCUUUUGGAAUUUUCUGAUGAUUAACUUUAUGAAUCAGUUUCCUAAGUUGAUGGAAGUAGUGGGUCUUGGAUACACAUUGUGGUUCAGCUGGCGUUAUCUGUUAUUCAAGGUAGCUAUUUUGAGAGAAAUUUGGGCUUUUAUCUUCCAUAGACAUGAUGAUCACAGUGUCCUUAUUGGUUUGCUGCUUGCACUUUACAGAAAAAUAGAGAUGAGCUGGCCACUAAAAUUGAAGAACUCAAGCAACAGGUCCUUGGCUCAAAUGAUGAUUGAUAUGAAAGAAACAAUUGGUUUUGCACAGCCUUAUUUGCAAAAGAUGAACGUAGAUCAGAAAGUUAUAGCUAGACAUUUUGGCAGUUCUUAUAGAAUGGUGUCUAUCAGUGUACAAGGCUCUACCUGUUGUUUUUACAGUUUUCCCCUUGUGUUGUAACUUGUAAGAAUGUCAUCACUGAGUAAAGCUGUUUGGAAUUUUUUGCCCUCUGAUUGGUCAGAUGCACACAUGGUUUUGAUCGUGCAAGUAGAGCAUGGGGAAUUUUUAAGUGCGUUUCCUUGAAUUGGAUUGUUACGGUUGAAUGUAUGAAUCAAGAUUGUAAAGCUUGCUAACGACUGACUGCAUCUCCCUGAAAAAUAGGACAUCUAUAGAUAAGCAAAUAUCAUAACGAGGCUGGUGAUGUUUCAUACAAAUUGCAGGCUCUAAUUCCAAGAGUGAGUUCAAUUGCUGACAAAGCAUAUCCCAGCAAGGAUACCAUAACAUUUACAGCACUCUUUAUGGUAAAGACAUAAACAGCAAAAUAGCAUAACCAUGAUGUUAAUUAUCAGCAAAGUAAACCAAAAGCCUAUUGAAUGACAACAUGGGAUCGGGAGGAGUGGGCUGUGGAUGAAUAAUGUAAGAAAGCUUGAGUGGCUCAUUGAGAAAGAUGUUGCCGGUUUACAAUUUUCUUACUCUCCACGUCUAAAAGGUAUACAACGAAAUUUUAAUGCUCAGCUGUGGAAGAUCAAUCCCCACUAAAAAGAUAUUAUCAAAGAGAACUGUAAAUCGAAUAACAUUACUCACAACGAAGCACUUCAGAUGAUUCACAUGCAACCCCUCUCAUAUGUCAUCAUUCGCUAUAUUUUCGGUGAACUUGCUAAGGACAUGAUGUUUUGCUUGACGCAAGCCAUAGAAGGUUCUAACGGUUUUGAAUAAUUGCUUUUCUACAACAUUAGUUAAGGUUGGUGAUGAUUUCUGAAAUUUUUGGACGAUUUUGAUCUGAAGUGUUGUGCUGCUCUAGGUGACGGUCGCCAUUGGUUACGGGUGGGCUAUUAGCCUUGGGGGGUGAGGCUGGCCAAGUUCGUCCGCCGGACUCGGAAUGCGGCGAGACUUUGCGAGGGCCUUCCGUGUGCCAAAAGUAGGCCGCGGGCACAGCCGCGGGGGGCUGGCCAAGUUCGUCCGCCGGACUCGGAAUGGGGCAGACUUUGCGAGGGGCCUCCGUGUGGCAAAAUUAGGCCGCGGGCACUGCCGCGCCCAAAUUCUAAGGUUAAAACGAAGGAUUAUGCCAAACCACAAACUCUUUGUACAAACUAAUUCUGUAUGAACAUUGAGAGCAGAUCCUUAAACUUGCUUGCGUUUGUUAAAAUAAAACAUCCAUCAAAUCUAAUAAUUGGGACAAAAUGCCCCCUUUGAAUCCAAUAUCCAAAUUAUAUGAUAUUGGAACAGUUAUUUUGCAGUCAAUAUUUUCCAUUAGAUUCAUCAUCACCCGGUAAAAGAAGGAAGGGACAUGGGGCAUUGAGCAAGAAUUGGAUUACCGCUUCUGAAAUGAAAUAGAAACAGUUGUGCUGCAACCAGUAACCAUUAGCAUUAACACCUAACACAGCUGAGCACCUCUAUUUGAAAUUAAAACAUAAUAGUUACAACAAAGAAAGUAAACAAACGCAAUAUAUUGUAUUAUUAUUAUUAUUCAAUCUCUUCUUGCACAGCAAAACAACAUUAUGAGAAUGCCAAGUUAAUCCUUAGCAAAUACAACAAACAACCUAUUGAAUGACAAUAUGGGAGGGGUGGGUUGUAUAAGAAUAAUGUAAUCAAAGAAGCAAGAGGAUUCGUUGGGGGUAUGUAACCUGCUUACAGUUUCCUGCAAGGAAUUUGUCAGGUGAGGUUCGGCCUUUCACAGUUAAUAUUCAAAUUGUGAUAAAGCUUUUGAAAGUGAAAUGGCCAGACCCAGUAGCUGAAGAAAUGAGAUUGCAAGCCCGUGUUGUUAUACAUGAUCUUUAAGGAGCUUCGAUUGCAGCUUUUGACAAAUUUAAAGUACAGCGACGGCCAAUGCAUGAUCUUUUCCUUUUACGGAAUAGAAAAUCCAACCCUUUUUUUUUUCUGACUGCAAAGACAUUACUAAAAAAGGUUAAAAUCUAACGUUAUAAUCUUUUUGCUCAGAUCUAAAAAGAAGAUAAAACUCUUUCUUUUUUGUUUGUGUUGUAUGAAGGCAAUCCAAAUUACUUACCCAUAUCACGUCCAAAAACGAAACCACGAAAUUGAAUACGGCGCUGUCAAAGACCGAACCUCACUUGACAAAUUACUUGAAGAAAGCUGUAAAUCAGGUAACAUCACUCCCAACAAAUCAAUUGACUUCUUUGAUUACAUGAUUCAUAUGCGACCCACUCCUCCUAUGCUGCCAUUCAAUAUUUUUUCGGUGCACUUGCUAAGAACAUGCUGUUUUGCUUCACAAGAAAUUGAAUUGAAAGUGCAGCAUACUGAACGAUUCAAUUGUCAUGGAAACGGAGCAACUAGAUGAUGAUGAUUUUGAGGAGGCGGCCCUGUGGGUCGCUUAUGAUAUGAUAAUGGCUCACUAGGGUUGUGCACGUGAGCAUUAUAUAGUUGACGAAUUAACGAUAAUCUCGUAUUUGAAUUACCUAGUAGUGUAAAUUUGGCUUUUGUUAUUUUUAGUAGGACUCAACUAUGAAAUAUCUCUAAAUUUUUAGGAUCCGGUUGUUGUGCAACUGUGGUAUCGUGCCACAGGUGCAUCCAGCCGUUGAAUCCAUUUGGAUGGAUGGAGUCUAUUAAGAUCCAACAGCUGGAAGCAACUGUGACACAAUACCACAAUUACACCACAGUUUUUCCUAAAUUUUUAACUACUAAUUAAUGAAUAUUAUACUAUUUUAGAUAAUUUUUUAAAAUAAAAAUUUUAAAUUAUAUAUAACACUACUCUUUUUUAAGAGAAAUUAAUAUGAAAGUGGUAGGUGGUUGAUACUUUUUUAUUAUUCUUCUUUUAGAUUAAUACUCCAGACAAGACUUGAAGUUUCCAACUCUUCUGAGUGGAGAGAAAAUUGGAUUCAUUUUCACACCAUGCUUAACAUAUAUAUAUAUAUUUAAAAAAAAAAAAGAGUAAUGUUCUAAUGUUAUCUGAUUGAUGAUGACCAAAUUUUGAUCUCAUAUAUAGUUUGCACAAAACUCGAGUGCAAAGUAUAUGUAUUUCCGAAAAUUUAAAAAAAAAAAAUCAAGCAUAUGUAUUUUCUUUUAUUAUCUAGUAACAUUUAUAUAACAAAACACACUUUGUCAAAAUUUAAAUUUCCUUUUUUUUUCUUUUUAUAUAUUGCAUUGUGUACAGUACAACUAUGAGGGUAAGUAUAAAUCACAACUAAAAUUUAAUGCAAAAGUCCACAACUUGAAACCGGUGCGUGUGUGUGUAAAAAUUUCGAACUUUGAAAUGGAAAUAAAGGUUAAUGAAAGAUAUUCAUGAUUUUUCAGCAGAAAUUAAAGGCCAUACGUAAAUAUUACUUCAUUUCUAUGCUAAAAUGUAAAUUAAUUUCUUGAAACAAAGUUAGUAUUAGGCUUGGGCCAGCUUUGUGAUGGAUAAUGCAUGUGCUGGCCCAAUUUAAGUUGUCCGCCCCAUUUUGUUUGUCCACCUACUACCGUCGGCCUAACCGGACCAAAAAUUCCAUUUUUACCUCGUCAAUCCCACCGUUAUCCCUUGUACGUCAAUUAUAAAUUUAUGCUCAAGUAAACUUUAUAGUUGAAAUAGAUUGGAAAUUUUUCUAGUUACUUCCGGACAGAAUAAUGGUUCAAUCUUUAAUGUUCGGUCACAUUUUGUUCUCAAAGGAAAAAAAAAGUACACUAAAAUAAUUAAUUCACAAUUCAUUAAUUGAGUUGAUUGAUAUCUCAUCUCAUUCCUCUUAUUUUUAAGUGGUGGUUUCAACAAUAUUUCAAAGAUUGUGAGAAUAAAAUUUAAAAUUGAAAACAUAAAUCAAAAUAAUAAAGGUUGUGUGGUACAAUUGUCUAUUGUUGUCAAUCUUCUUCAGCUGACGAUCUUUGAUAAUAGUUGCAAGCCACAUGCAAAAUAAUUAAAAUGGGAAAAUGAGAUGUAGACAAACUUAUUUUUUUUAACAUUGAUAAGGACAAAGAGUCCAGCCAUAUUCCAUAAUCACCGAUCCCCUCGAUAAUGCGCAACAUAUACACAAUGCAGUGCCAGCUAAUUAAUAUAGGCCCCCCUCCUCAUUCUUGUCCAACGAGUCACAUGGCCUGAAAUUGACUAUUGUGAAUUAAUUUUGAGAGAGCUGUUUUAUACAUAAUUAGUCAAACAAUCGUCUCGUUCUUCUCAAAUGGCUUAUGAGAAAUCUAAUUUUGCAUCAGCAGUGAUAUUCUUACAAUAUUUAGCACCACACUUAGCACCAAACGGUGCGUUUUGAGCUAAAUAUUAAUUGUCCACACAUAUUACACACAACACGCGCUGCUCACAGAACACAGCUCAGAAAUUGACUUGUAGCCUGAAUCACCAUAAGUCGAUUCUCCCUCUCUCUCCCCUUCGUCGAUUGCAUCUCCCACAUCACUAAAAUAUAUCUCAAAUAUAUUUUGGUUGUAAUUUUGGUUUUGGUAACAAUCAGCAAAAGAUCAAGCUGUUCGUAUGCAACAUAUCAUGUGCCAUGUUAAGUGUUAAUCUUAAACGAUUGUUCAAGGACGGAAUCCACGAAAUGUAUAAAAUCUUUAUAUUAACUGCUUCACUGGUACAAGAGCACUCUUCUUUUACUUCACUCAAAAUCAAUCUCAAUGCAAUUACUAAUCAAUUUAAACUCACUUGACAACACAAAUCUGCUGUACGGCCAAGGCGGAUGUAUAGAGACCCACGCCAGCUGUGAAGAGACCCACAAAAAGAGAGAGAAAGCCGACGAUGAGUGUUGUGUGGGUUUUGCUCGUUUGCUAUGGGAGUUGUGUGCGUGAGAGAGAGAGAGAGCCAACGGCCAUAUGUGGAGACACCCACGGCGAGAGAGAUGGAGAAAUUUGAUGGAGAGAGCACAGAGCAGGGGAGGAGGAAAAUGAAACUGCUGCGUUUUGGUGUGGGUUUUGCUUGCUCGUUUGCUGUGUGAGUUGUGUGUGAGUCUUGCGCGUGUGUGUCAAUUAAGCUGCCACAGUAACAUUUUUAUGGUUAACACAAAACACACCGUUUUGUGUUAACUUUUGUUCUAAAUGUAGUAAGAGUCUCAUUUUCCAUUUUGCAUUGAAAUUGAUAUUUAGACAGACGUGCCUUUUUUCAGUUACCAGUUUCCUUUUCGUUAAAGUCCCAUGGGCAGCGGGCAUCAUACUUCUUUUUUUGUAAAUAAUGUUAGCACGACGAAUAUAAUUAUCAAAAAGACACACGAUCAAGAAUUCAAGAUCUCGAUGCAGGUGGAAAAAGAAAAAAAAAACAAGAACACAAUAUUUAUAAAUCAUAAAGUCCACCACUGUCACUGGAUCUUUAUACAUGCAAACUGUAAUGGUCGGUGCGUAAAGCCAAGCCUAGUCCGACUACGAGCUUGAAGAACCUUUUGACCACUGCGCGUUCAAUCAAUCCCCAGUGCUCACCAGCUAAGUUGUACAAAUAUUAAUUAAGCAUAUCAACUUCUGCUUGCCUCGUUAUUCUAUCAAUUAUUAUUAUUAUUAUACGUAACACAAGAUAAUACGUGCACGGACUUGUGUUAAUUUCCAUUAUUAUUAUUAUUUUUUUCAUUUUACAUUGAUUACAGAAUCUCUUCAAUAAGUUUCUCUAAUUGGUAGGGUAUGAUACCAAAAUCACGCCGCACGCGUAGAUCAAUGGAAAUGGAUUUUAAUUUAUGCUCUAAUUUUUCCAGUCAACAAAACAUUAUGAAAAUUGAAUUAUUGUUAAUUAAACAUCCCAAAUCCCAUUACUUCGUCAUUAAGAAUCCCAACUUCCCCCGACUUUUCCGCCCAUAAGAUCAGAUUUAGAUUACACAUCUACACUGAGAAUAUCUGGAUACAGCACGCGCACACACACACACUCGCCUACUGAGCAAAGCAAGUGUGUGCGCGAUUGCCCGGGGGUCGCAGCCAUAAUUAUGAAUUCUUUUAAUGUAAUCUCACCUGAAGAAGCACGCAAAUCAUGCGUGCACUCCGACUCUGGGAGCACAAAUUUAAAAGCACCAAUUGUAUGUAUUACCGAACCCGUCUUAAGAACAACAACAAAACCACGAAACACAAACCUUAAACAUUCUUUUGUUUUGUUUUUUUUUUUGUUUGUCGAAAGAAAAAUAAAAACAAGACAUCGACUGAACUGAUCAAAAAGCAAGCACGCAAACAACAUUCGACCGUUACAAAAGAGCGCGGAUUCACCCGCCACGUCAGCUUCACGUUACUCUCACGUCUCCGUUUCCGUUAGUUCUCCUAUAUCCUCUGUGUUUUCGUGCUCUUUUUAAUUUUUAAAUUACGUAGUACAUUGUUGAUUAUCUCUCCUUUUUAUAAAUGCCGCUAUUAUAUUUUAAUUAUACUUUCUUCUCAAAAUCAUUAGCAUUUUUUUAAGCAGUGGCCAGUGGGAAUUUUUAGCAGUGGAGAAAAGGAAAGCUUUAUGUAAAGAGAGAGGCCAAAAAAAAGAAAGAAAGAAAAAAAAUUCACUAAAUUUGAUGAGUCUAUUAGACUUCUAGUUUCUGUUUCCCUGUUGGUUUCAUUUCUCAUUAAUUUGAUUCCUUUUCUUUAUUACUUUUUUCACUUUUGAUGUGUACUUAAUGGCGGUUUAGUGUAGGCAAGUGAAUUUUGGCGAUGUUAUGUGAUAUUAUUCUUAAAUCUUUUCCUUUUCGGGUCUUUCGGAACUCACAUUUUCAUCCUCUAGCGUUCUUUUAUCAUAGGCAAGUGAAUUUCGUGAUUAUUUGAUAUUAUUUUUAUUGCUUUUUGUAUUUUCGUAUAUCCUUUUAGCAUAGACUUCUGGAUGCGAGAUCAGUGUUUUGUUCCACUUUACUGUUGCUUACUCAUCACCCUUUACAUUAAUUGAGUUCAAUUCUGAGUUUUCCAUUUUCUGUUUGGUUCCCAGGAAAAUUUUAAGAAAAGCGACAAGUAGACAAAAAGUAAAGUUCCAAGAUUAUUAUAGCUACUUUUAGCACUACACAUAUCAUCAUAAGUUUUUUUUUUUUUAAUCUUUUUUCAUGAUGGUUCUUAGAUAAUCUUUUUUCAUGAUGGUUCUUAGAUGCACUACACAUAUCAUCAUAAGUUUUUUUUUUUUUAAUCUUUUUUCAUGAUGGUUCUUAGAUGAUUCGAUAGCCCAUUAGAUGUAGUCCUAUAUAUAUAUAAAUCUUGGUUCUGGUAUUAACGUUCUCUCAUUCAUCACAAUUUCAAACACACCAUUUCGUAAGAUUCAGUUUUUUAAUAAUAUGCCUUAAGUUUCUCUCCUUGUUGUUGGUUUAGGUGAAAAAGCUUUAAGACAAUGUUCACUGAAGGUCUCGAUAGUAAUGCCCUUAAAUGGGUCCGACAGGUACGCAAUAAAGAAUUCUAUUUGUUUCUUAAAAAUGUCUUUUAUAUUGUUGUUUUUAGAUUUUCAGGUGUAGUGUUAGUUGUCGGAUGGAAUUGAUAAUAUGUUGUCUGAUUUUGUGCAAGAAGGGUGGUGCAAAGAAAGAUAUAUUUGGUUCUCUUUUAACUCAGAGAUCAAAACAUGAUACUACUACUAAUUUGAGAAAUGGUGGACGAGACAUUGGAUUGGCUCAAGCAUCCAAAUUUCGAAGUGGACAUUCGUCAUCAGGUGUGGUUCCCGUGUCGCAAACAGUACAUGUGAGGGAAAAUGAUAGUGGCUCUGGAUCAGACAUGGACAUAUCGCCUGAUUCAGAUGAUGAGGUCUACCGCGGGAAGUAUUCAGUAAAGUCGCCUCGACAAGAUCACAAGAUUGGCAAUGAUGCAGCUACCAAACCAGGGCACAAACAGGCAGAUUAUGGCAAAGUUGGAAAUCAUUCCAUAUCUAGUUUAUCUAGGAAGGAAGCUAUGCAGAGACAAAUGAAUAGUGCAGUGAGAGUGGAAAGGGGUCGUGGUGGGAUUUUGUUGGGGAAGCCUGGCACUGCAGAAGAAGAAUUGCCAUAUUCGGCUACUCGUACUGAAGUCGUUUUUGCGCAUUCCGGGAGCAACAAUGGCUGUGAUUCUCUGAGAGGAACGUACACUUCAGAUAGUUAUUCUUGUGUCACUUCAGGGUCAAACCUUGAAACAACAGCUAAACAGGUUUCCUAUCCUUGACUGUCAAUCAAAUUUUCUUACUCAUUUAUAAGUGCGUUCUAUUCAUUAAAAUUUUUCUUCAUUAGUCAUCUAUUAUUUAGAUAUGCCUUCAUGCACUUCUCAGACGGAUAAGUACUUGCAGGAUAUUCCCAGUGCACCUCCCUUUGUUAGUUCUGGGUCAGCGAUGGAACAGGUUGUUGGGCAAAGUUCAGCUUUUAGUGCAACCACUUAUGUUCCAAAAGCAACAGGAAGCAUCCCCUCUACUGCCCCUGGCAAGGGGUGCACUGGCUACAAGGUUUCUGAUGUAUCUAACAGGUUGGGCGCAUGCGAUAAUUGCUUCUUCUCUUUAAUUCUUUGACAAGAAUUGUUGGAAUUCUGUUAUUAAACAUAUACCAUGCUGCAGGACUGCAGCUGGCAUACAAAGGGAUACUUCUGCAAGUUCCUUACCUGCUCGUCUCCCCACAUUUCAUGCAAGGUUGAUGAAAUGUUAUCAGACUCAUCAUUUGCUCGCUCUUGAUUCUUGUGCUUUUGACAGACAUUUUACUUACUAAAUGUGUCAAGUAUGCCAUUGCUAUUACUUUGCUCAUCAUUUUCUCUCUCUUUGUGGACUGGAUUCAGUGGACUAGGUCCUUGGUGUGCUGUGAUAUCUUAUGAUGCGUGUGUGCGUCUCUGUCUUCACUCAUGGGCGAAGGGUUGUGAGGAACAAGCUCCCUACUUCUUGAAUAAUGAAUGUGCCGUGUUGCGAGACGCAUUUGGGUGGGUGCCAGUUUCCUAUUGUUUAUUCUCCUGUACUCUGUUUUUACAUUCAAGUAUUUCUGAUUUAGGUUGAUAUAGGAUGAACUAUACCAGAACAACUUUUGAAAUAUGGACUAGAGCUAAUGUCUGGGAAACUACUUAGUUUUUCAAUUUCCAUAUUAGCCGUUUCCUUAGUUUUACAACUUCCAAACAAGUCAUUCCCUUAGCCGCUGGAAUAAUCUUGAACAUGUCAUGCAUAUAUACUUUCUUAAAUGUAGCAAGAAGCAAGUAUUAUGAAAGUGGAAGCAUGACAAUAAAACAUGGGUAUCAGCCAUAUGGUAGGACUUCUAUAAGGAGUUUCUGCCUUCUAUCUACAUAUGAACCAAGAAAUAAUGACUAGUAGUCUGAAUACUUUUUCUUCGCUGGAGAGGGUCAGAAAGGAAUUUGCUUGUAAAUGAUUAAAUAAUUAAAUUGACCAAUGAUGUAGGGUACAAUUUAUUAUCUAUAUUCAGCUCUGCAUUGCGUUCAGGAGAUGGAGGUAUUGAAAUCAGAUUGUAGAGUGUAAAUAUAUGCUAAACAAUAUUAUAGGAACUUACAACCUAAAUUGGUUUAAAUAUUGUGGGUGAAAGUUCGGUUGGUAAAUCUCCUGUGUAGAUAAACAAGUGGUUUGGGUUCGAUUGCCACUCACAUGGGUGGGGAGGGGAUUUGGUUGCCAUUAGCUGAACAAAAUAAAAAAUUACAUUAACUGAAAAAAAUAAAGAAUUAUAGGAACUUAAUCAUGCUUUCCAUUUUUCUCCUGAAUUGUACUCUUUCUUUGCAUUCAAAUGCUGGUAUCAUUUUAGGGUAUAUUAUGUUUAGUACAUGUUUGUAUUUGCCCAUGAAAUGCCCUUUUUUAAUCAUGAUUCAUUACUUCUUAACAUCAUAGUUUACGGCAAGUAUUAUUGCAAUCUGAAGAAGAACUAUUGGCAAAACAAUCUUCAGAGUUGAUCAGUGAGGGAGCUGCUCUGAAAUCCAAGAAGACUUGUGGUAAACUGAAAGUACAAGGUAGUCUUAUUAUUUCCUAAGUAUUUCGUAAUGAUUUCAUGAUAUCUUUUCCACUAAAGGCUGCUAAAAUCGUUUUAAAAUUGUGGUCAUCGUAAAGUGCGCAAAGUCAAAAUAGGUUUAGACCUGCCUCCUGGCUGCAGUUUUUCAUCUUUGAAUCUGUCAAUGAUAAAAGUAGAACUGAUUCGUCAACAUUUCUCCAAUCUGAACUCAAUGGUAAUCUCUGGGUGGGAUGAAAUAAGGAAAGUUCGCAUAACUCCUCGUAUUCCUGCAAAUGGUUCAUUCUCACAACAAAGUUUAGCGUAUGUGCAUGCAAGUACCAAGUAUGUAAAAGAGGUUUCCAGGGUCUUGAGAAACAGGGUCACUACGUCGCAUAAAACCUCAUCAUCCUAUGAAUCAGUACAAGGUAUGCAAAAUCUCUGUAAAAUUUACAACUCAGUAUUCUUAGAUUCUACUUUUUAAAUGUUUAACUAUUCCACUUGUCCAUUAUAUUAUAUGAGCUGAUAUUGCUCUUCCAAGUUGCUACUGUUCAUAUGGAGUUCAAUGGGGGCAAGCUUGAAUUAUCUGUGAAUUAGCUUUCAUGAAUUAUUAAGAAUGAAUGUAAGGGAAAGUAAAGCAUCAAAAUCAAAAAGUAUCAUAAUUCCGAGUCAUCCUUAUACUUGGCUUAGGUCCAAUAUUACUUUAAAAUUCUCAUAUAUAGGCUUGUUGAAGAGCUUCAGUCUAAGACUAAGAUCACAUAGGGGCAUAAUGAUUAAUUAUUUUCCAGUUUCUUAUUUCCUUGAGGCUGCUAGUGUUGAUAUCAUCUCAUUAUAUCUUCUAAUUUAAGCUGAUUUUCUGUUAUCAGAAACAUAUUCUUGUCAGUUGAGGUUGAAAAGUAUAUCCGAAGAAGAUGCGAUUCGGUUGCAAGCAGGAUCUGGCGAAACCCAUAUGUUGUAUGCAUUCUUUCUUUGGCUGUGUUCCCUCUUGUUUUUACUUUUUAGUUUGUCAAAGGUGUUUAUCUGUUUUUACAACUUACUGUAACGCAGCUUUCCAGAUAGCGUUGGUGAUGAUUUGAUUGUUGAAGUUCACGGUUCCAAGGGAGAAUAUUAUGGUCGUGUUCUAGCUCAAGUUGCUGCUAUUGCUGAUGACCCAGUAAGAUUUCCAGGAAUGCUUUUCUGACAUUUAAGGUUCUGGAAAAUUGAUGGAUCUCCCUGAUGGUUUAAGAAUUGCUGUGAAUGCAGAGUGACAAGCUUCGGUGGUGGCCCAUAUACAGUGAGCCAGAGCACGAACUUGUGGGCAGAAUCCAACUAUAUAUAAACUAUUCAACUAGUGAAGUUGAGAAUAAUAAUCUUAAGGUACAGUGCAAUCAUAUCCUCCAAUAAUUUUCUAAAACUUACAUUUUUAAGAUGAGUCCACCGAAAUCCUUUUGUUUGUAUGCAUUUAUAAAUGAAGCAGUAGUGAGGAUGGGAUUAUGCACUUAUGCAGUUCAUAAAACUAAGCUCACUCACUUCUGUCUGUAGGGUGGCUGUGUCGCUGAAACUGUGGCAUAUGACCUGGUGCUCGAAGUUGCAAUGAAAGCUCAAAAGUUUCAGCAAAGAAAUUUGUUGCUAAAUGGCCCAUGGAAGUGGUUAUUGGAUAACUUUGCAUCAUAUUAUGGGGUAUCAGAUGCCUACACCAAGUUAAGGUAUAGCAAUGAAGUAGAAUGGACACUGUUAUGUUUGAACCAUUCAUCAAUGAAGAUUUGUAAUGUUUUUUACAGGAAAACUAUGAGUAUUUAUAUUAAUAUAUAAUGGGCAUAUUACACUUGAGUAGUGCACCAGUUAUCCACACAAGAUCAAUCAAAGCUAUGCAAAACAGUAUCAGUCCUGUCUUCUGUUGUGUAAUAUUUAUGCUUCUUGCAGAUAUCUGUCUUAUGUCAUGGAUGUGGCCACACCCACUCAUGAUUGUCUUGCGCUGGUAUAUGAUUUGCUUUUACCGGUUUUCAUGAAGGGAGACAGCAAGAAAGUGUUAAGUCAUCAAGAGGUAAGGGUUAAAGUCUUCAUAUAGAAGUUUGCACUUUGCAUAAGUAAUAGUUCUGGCACAACACAUGCUGACUUUAAGCAAGGGCUUUGCUAUUAGUUGGAAUGACUAUGCAUCUGUCUUUGGAAUUGAUUAGACCUUUGACAUCUUUUCACCACUUGUGACAUCCUUUUAAUAGAUGCAACAUUGAGUCGGUACUUUGAGCAAUUACUGUUCCUUUAAAAAAGCUCAUGUAGGAAACAUGUAUGGCAUAUGUGAGUAUAUAGUGGAACUUAAUUCUGUUAAUGAUAUAUGAAUGUCAACCAGAAUCGCAUCCUAGGGGAGAUUGACGAUCAAGUUCAGCAGAUACUAGCCCUACUUUUUGAGAAUUACAAGUCACUGGAUGAAUUAUCACCAUCUGGAUUGAUAGAUGUUUUUGGGCCUCCCACUGGCCUUUCUGCUCCUGCUUUAGCAUCUGCUGUCAAGCUAUAUACUCUUCUUCACGAUAUAUUAGCUUCUGAGUCACAGUUGAAGUUAACCAGAUAUUUUCAGGUACUACCAACAUUUUCUGGGCUUGUAGUUUCUUUUAAUCUUUAGAAUUCUUCUUACAGCAAAUGGUGAUACAGGCUGCCGUGAAGAAGAGAUCGAGAAGGCACUUGGCAGAAACAGAUGAAUAUGUUGUGAGCAAGAAUGAGGGCACCUUAGUGAACCCCGAGGGUCUUUCAACUGCUUAUCAGAAGAUGAAAUCUCUAAUUUUAAGUGUUAGAAAUGAAAUCUGCACUGACAUUGAGAUCCAUAACCAACGUGUGCUGCUUAGGUAAAAUACUCCCUAUUUCAUUCUGUAGGAUUCUUUUUUCUUUUUUUUUCCCUUUCUUAAUGGAAAAAUAUAUGCCAUCGCCUUUAUUCUAGAAUUGCAUCUGUUUCUGUUUUCAUUUCUCCUUUCUUGGACCAGUACAGAUGUGAUGAUUCUUUUGUUUUAAGGUUUUCAAACAUUAUAAACAGUAUGUUUGACUUGGGCCUAUUGUAGCCCUUGCUUAAUUGUAAUUUUAUUUGCAAAUACACCUGUCACUUUUUGCUGGUUAUUUGUCACAUGAUUACCUUUACCUAGAUUCUUUAAUAAAUAUUUUCCUGUCUUUUGUUCUCACAAGUAUAAUGUUUGGAUAGCCUUGCCUCCUGAUUGGAAGAUUUAUAUGAACUGCUGUAAGGUUGAGGAGUAGAUUAUGUUGUUGGCAGAUUCAUGCUGUUUUUUCCUAGUAAUUAUUUGAUCAAUCUGUUAUUCUUUUAAUACAGCUUCAUAGAUCUUCCAAAUCUUUCUGCAUCCAUAUAUAGUGUGGAUCUCUGCAAUAGAUUGCAGGCAUUCCUUGCUGCAUGUCCUCCUUCUGGACCCUCACCUCCUGUUGCAGAACUUGUUAUUGCAACAGCAGACUUUCAACGGGAUCUCUCAUGCUGGAAUAUCAAGUAACAGUUUUUCUUCUCUUUUCUCCAUAUUCAUUAACUUGUUUUUUUUUUUUUUAUCUGUACUGACUACAUAAUAUCUCACAGCCAUGUCAAAGGUGGAAUUGAGGCAAAGGAGUUGUUUCACUCAUAUAUAACUCACUGGAUUUAUGACAAACGCCGUGCUUUACUUGACAUCUCCAAGCUAGAUAAGGUAUAAAUUUUCAGUUAACGAUGUCUUUAACACUGUACUGAAUUAAUCAAACUGCUUUUGAUGGCUAGGAUGCAGAAUAAUGUUAUGCUAUUUAAAUAUAUAAGCAAAAGAUCACAGUGCUUUUGCUGUUGCUUACAAUUUGCUCGACUCUUAUAUCUGAAUAUUAGUUGCAAUUUGUACCACUUGGCUAAUUAUUGGUCUAAUUGAAAUGAAUAAUGGCAGUAUUGCAUAAUUCAAUUGAUAUAUACAACACUCACAUAUCUAAGCAUGUGACAUCAUUUUUAUGACAAUUUAUAUGAAACUGAUUACUUUCAGGUAAAGUGGGCUGGUGUUAAAACACAAAACUCAACAACUCCUUACGUCGAUGAAAUGGAUGAUCAGCUGAAAGCUAUGCUGAAUGAAUAUGAGGUUAUUAUUCGCCGUUGGCCAGAGUACGCUGUUGUCUUGGAGAAUGUACGUUUUGACCGACUCUUUUUCAUAUGUAUAAAGUUAAAAUGACAUCUCAUUCUCUUAAGGGUAGUCAUUCUUUACAUAAUUUCACUUAGACAUUGCCAAUUACCCUGAAGUUUUCUAGUUUGACCAUUACAUUGACCAUGCCAUAUCAUAAAUUAAAAUUUAGCCUAUAUCAACCAUAAAUUUAGUCUAUUCCAACCACCUAUUAAACUUUAGCCUACACCAAGAUGUUAUCAUUAUGAUAGUUUGAAACCAUAAAUGUUAAGAGAUUAUUCAAUCGGUAAGCCCUCAAUGAUAACUUGACCAAGGAAUUCAAACUAGGUUAUACAAGUAAUUUUGUAUGAUUUUAAUCAUUUACACAGUUAAAGAUAACAGUUUGUUCUUUAAAAGCGGGUAAGUGAAUAAUCUAGAAAGCUCAAAGCUCAGUGUAGGUUGGUGCAAUUUUGAAACUUCUGAUUGUUAAGUGGACAAUUUCAAGACCUCGUGGAGGUUAUUGAAGUAUAACUAUUUGGUAAACAAUCAACAGUGUUUGAUUUUGUUAAAAGUCUGUUGUUUUUAAUUUUGGGUUUGCUGGUUUUCAACAUGUAAACCUUCAUUUUAGCUUGAUGCUAUGAGUUUUCUAUUUUGUUUCAUCUUUCCUAGAAAUGCGUACUCUUUUUUAUUUUUUUAUUCUCUCACUUUUGGGUUGGAUAUUUGUCAAAAGGCUGUGGCAGAUAUUGAAAGGGCAAUUGCAGAAGCUUUGGAUAAGCAAUAUGCUGAUGUUUUAUCACCACUGAAGGACAACCUUACGGCCAAGGUAUUCGGCCUCAAAUAUGUUCAGAAAAUUGCAAAACGAACUGUGAAUGUCUAUUUUGUCCCAGAUGAGGUAAACUUCUAUUCUUAUUUAUGCAGUUUUUGCAGAAUUAGUUUCUAUAUUUCCCAGAUAGAACUUAAAUUUUUGAGUUUUUCUUUUCUUUUUUCAGCUAGGAAUUCUUUUAAAUUCCAUGAAAAGGAUGUUGGACGUGCUGUGGCCCAAAAUAGAAAGCCAGUUUAAAUCUUGGUCUUCUUGUAUUGCUGAUGGUGGAAAUGCUGUCGUAGGGGAGCAUCUCAGUGAAAUAACAGUCAUGAUGAGAGCCAAAUUCAGAAAUUAUUUGCUAGCUGUUGUUGAGAAAUUUGUAGAGAAUGUGAGUAUCUAUUGCAAUCUGUCAACUUCAUUUAUAUCUUUUGAUGUAGAUUUUUUUUUUUAAAUACUGUCGGAAUAUGUUGAAUAAAUUACCUUUUCAAAAUGGAAGUCAAGUAAUUAGCCUGUUUAGGAUACCUCAAAGUUGAAAAUGCUGAUUUUGCAUCAUUAGAGAUGUAUGUUUGAAACAAAUGUAAAAGCAAAUAGUUGACAGAACCUUAGAUUUCAGAGCUCCAUAUAUUAGAUAAAAACACACCUUAUUAAUGUGAUUGGACCAUUACAGUUGUUUGUUUGAUUGAUGUUUACCGGACAUUGGUGUAAAAUUUGUGAUGCCGCCAUUCAUUUGUUGGACUAAGUAACUUUCCUUGCAAGCAAUUGCUUCCGUUGACAACUCCUUCAUGUUUGGGUCCAGGGUGAUGAUUGUUCAUCCGGAUUAUGGUCUGUGUAGUUGCAAAUUUUGGUUUGGAAAUUGCAAACUUGAUUUAAUAUUUCUCUUUUAGGUUUCUUGGCGAACCCUGUGCUAUGCUUAUUAAGCUAGCAUUGAUAAUGCAGUAACUAGUUCUCAGAUAUAUUUCCUUCACCGCUUUUAUUACUUUUUAAAAUAAUAUCUAAUCUAGUUCUACAAGCACCAAUUUGUCUAUACUGACGGAUUGGGGCAUUCACUAUUGGUUCUUUGUCUUGUAGACAAAGAUGCAGAGUACGACAAAGUUAAAGAAGAUAAUCCAGGACUCGGAGGAAACCUGUGCAGAAUCAGAUGUACGAAGUAGAAUGCAGCCUUUGAAAGAUCUUCUGAUCAAGACAAUGGACCGUCUCCAUACAGUUGUUGAGCCUCAUGUAUUCAUACUCAUUUGCCGAAUUUUCUGGGACCAGAUGGGAAAGGUAGGUUUACAUCUAAAUCAUGUGCUUCUCUGUGAUUGUAAAUAUUAAAAAUAUAUUUAUCUUGAUCUCUUCCUUUCUGGUUACAGGAUGUACUCAAUUUUCUAGAAAACAAGAGAGAGCACAGGUCCUGGUAUAAAAGCUCAAGAUUUGCUGUUUCAGUAAGUUGCACUGUAGCCUCUGUGCUUCCUAAUAAAAAAUGGAUCCCUUUCUUGUACUAGCCAAAUAAGCUUAACAAAGUUAAAGUGCAGAUAUUUGCUCUUACUAUUUGGUUUUGAAGGAGUCAUAAAACUUUCAUGAAAAGGAAAGGAACAUAAGAUUGACAUGAGACACGUCUAUGAAGUUAAAGAAUGCCAGUCUCAAAUUUUAUUUCUCAAACUCUUUUACAACAACUGGUUCUUUCAUCACUCGCUUAUCAUCGUCAUUGAAUUUGCAGAUUUUGGAUGACAUAUUUGCAUCACAGAUGCAGCAAUUGCUUGGCAAUGCUCUGCAAGAGAAAGACUUGGAGCCACCAAGGUCUGUAAUGGAAGUGCGUUCCAUGCUCUGUAAGGAUUCCGCCAAUUACAAGGAUAAUAACUACUAUUAUUAGACUUUACAUAUCUGUAAAUAAAAAAUCAAAAGAGGAGCCAAUUUUGGUAGUAGACGGGAUGACAAACAGCACAAAUUAAAGGGACUACACCGGAACACAAGUUUUGCAUGUUCGAUUUUUUCUGGAUGUAAAGAGUUCUAUCAAUUUUGUUACAAUUUUUGGCAUUUUUUUCUGUACAGUUGUCCCACCAUGGCCUUUUUGGUGGUGAUCAUUUAUAUUCAACUUUUGUUGCAAAAAAUGUAAAAGAUAAUGAGAAAGUAAUGGAACCGCUAUUUUACCCUUUUCUCCUUUCUUGUCUCAAGUGUGAAACACACAACUCAAAUAUGUUUACCUUUCCUACAUUGCUCUUCAUUAUACCCGAGAGUUGAUUCCAUUUCUUUCUUUCCACGACAACUUUUAUUUUUUCUAUUGGUUUGAAAUGAAAGAUGAAGAACUUGUUUGAUCUUUUAUAUGGAAAAGAAGGUUAUAUUCGGUCCACAAUGAAUCUGCUUACUUUUAAAUCAUGUCAGGCACCUUUAUGAUUUUGUUUCUUUUCUCUAGAUUGGUUUGCUUUAUUUUCAUUUUUUCUCUGCUUAACAUUAGUAGUUGUUGGAAUCGUUUUAGUUAGCUUUUGUAAUGACAUUUUGGCAUGUGGACAUGGACUUUAGCUGCCAUGGGGAGUCAGUACUAUUUGAUGAUCGCUAUUACUUUUAUUGUGCACUUCCGCACUACUUAUUGAUAUCUGAGUAAGCUUCAUCUUUAUUCAAGGAAGGGAUAGAAUUUUCUCACAGGAAUUAUGUAAUCUGAUCUGUUUGAGAGACAUUUGUGCUAUUUUCAUGUCCCUUUCAUCCUCUGGUGCAUCCCACUGUGAAAAUAAAUGUUGGAACGUCGAAAAGCAUUAAUUCAUUUGAUUUAAGCUGUCAUAUAAGGGUAAUACGGAAGUUGAUUUACCUGUCGGUGACUUGUCCUCGUAUAAUAUAUAUGUAUGUAUGUGUGUAUAUGUAUGUGGGGAACCUUAUGCAUAAAACUCGGCUGUCACAAUCACAUUGUGGGGCCGUAAAGAUACUGCUGGAUGAUACGGUUCAUGCAUAAACCAUACAUUCUCGUUAAUGGUAGGUAUUCUGCGAUCUCAUCUUGCGACAGAAACCCACUUCAAUUCGGGAUCUUCUUGACAGCCAUGUUCACAAUCCCCGCGCCACUUGGCUUGUGGGCUGAAAGUAUCGGCAUCUUUUUAAUUGUGGUGUGGGAUAAAUUUUUUUCUUUUAUACGGGGUUAAUUUCAGGUUAUUCUAGUGAAUUAAUUAUUUUUAAUUUAAAAAAAAAUAAUUUACCCUCAACUUUUAUUAAAAAAACGGGAAAAAAAACUCAUCUCAUUUUUGUUUUUUGUUUUUUGAACAUUUUUGUUUUAUUAUCUUUUGAACAAAAACUAAGCUAAUUUAAAAGUUUUUAAAAAUGAGGAUAAUAAUCCCAAAUUUACUCUUCGAAUGGACCAUACUGUACCUGAGCCCAUGUCUUACCACGCGUAGGACAUUUUUGUUUUUUUUUUAGGUCGAAAUUUUGUGUGAUUUGACUGAUCAGACAGCUUAGGACCACCCUUUCUCAUAUCACGACGUAUAAAAAUGUUAUUUGCACGUGAUAUUUAUAAACAAAAUACAGUAACAUAUAUUUUAUGUGUGCGAAUAUAUAUAUAUAUAUAUAUAUAUAUAUAUAUAUAGUUUCAUCCAUGUGCGCGCGCGUGUGUGUGUAUCUCAAGGUAAAUAAGUAUUUGGCCUGAAUAAUUGGAUCCAGUCCAGCAUUCUCUCUCGUGAAAACAGCUCAGGCAGGCGCGGAAGAGUCAAAAGGACUCACUUUUAUGGUGGGGUUAAAAUAGGACAGCGUGAUAAUAAAGAGGACCCCAAGAUCCAAAUAGCAACGAGCCUCUCUAAGAACAAGAAUAAAAAUCUUCAAGUUAAAAAAGUUAGCUUGAUCGAUGUCUUUCCAGGAAAUUUAAGCAGCGUGUUGUACAAACCACAAUGCAAUCAAUUAUUGGGCUACUGGAGACAGACAUACGAGCAAGCGGAUAUUAUUUAUUGUAUCAAACAGAUACAAAUGAGUCUAGCCACUAAUUUUCCCACCUAAAGAUGGAGAGUACAGAAGAGAACCCAUUAGCCUGAGCGGAAUCACUGAUAUAUUAAUUAAUCAAAAUCGAGGGUGUGUAAUGGCCGGGGUCCCACUUCACUAAAUUAUUAAGACCGGAAGUUGCAGACUGGAUAUUUCAGAAAAAAAUCAGAACCAAAAGCACCUUCCGAAUCUUGGCGCUCUUAGAUUUUGGUGCUUUCUGAAGAAAGUUCUUAUUCCUCGUUCUGGUUCCACAUACAUACAUACAUACAUACAUACAUACAUACAUACAUAUAUAUAUACAUACAUACAUACAUAAAUGUAUGUAUGCGUGCAUUAGAACAAAAAGAAACGAAUGAAUGAAUAUGAUGCUUGCUUGUUUCUCAUAAUGUUAUUAUAUAGAAGUUAGAGAAGGAUGAACCUUGGUGCCACAGAAAGAGCUGAACCAGUUGGAGACUGAAGAAUAAAUUAAUAAGGCUUUGAUGCAAAGCCUAUAAUUGCCUAGUGUUUUAAGCUAAGAACAAACUUUUUGAUUUGGAAUGUUCCGUGUCCACACACACACACAUAUAAAUAUAUAUGCAAUGUUCCAGAUGUGCGGUAUCUGGAUAUGUUCAUGUGCUUGCCACGUCCUUGAUAUAUAUAUAGAUAUAUAUAUAUAUAUAUAUAUAUCUAUAUAUAUGUGUGUGUGUGUGUGUGUGUGUGUGUGUGUGUGUGUGUGUGUGUGUGUGUGUGUGUGUGUGUGUGUGUGUGUGUGUGUGUGUGUGUGUGUGUGUGUGUGUGUGUGUGUGUGUGUGUGUGUGUGUGUGUGUGUGUGUGUGUGUGUGUGUGUGUGUGUGUGUGUGUGUGUGUGUGUGUGGGGUGUUGUUUAAAGAGAAUAUGUUAAAAGCAAAUACAUAUGCAAGAGAAAAUGUUAAAAGCAAAUACAUAUGCAUGUUCCAAUCUCACCGGUCGAGCCAAAGACAUUAAUUUCUCGUUACAGUGACUUUUGGAGAGUUUUGUUUGUUUCAAGUCCAAGUCCGCAGAAUGGCUGUUCAAAAGAAAUUAAGUUAUAGUUGCGACAACGGCAAGAUACAUAUACAAUUGACUAUUUCAAUGACUUUGCAUGCCCGCAAAAGCUGAAUCACACAUCCGAAGAAAAUUCUAGUCUCUCUUCUCUGCCUCUCAAGUCUCAACUCAUAAUUUCCGCGUAAACAAAACCAUUUAGACAUGCGAACAAACACACCCAGAAGCAAAAUUUGUAUGGGCUAUGGGUCAAUUUUUGUAGCAAUACGCCAACUCAAUUCUUUUGUCUGAUCAGUUUGCUUGCCCUCAAGUAUGGGAAACCGUUAAAGCCUAAACAUUUCAGCAUUUUGGACUUUCCAAGAUCCUGGCCGCAGUUGACUUUCAAAUUUAAUUUAUACUUUGGUUUGUGUCUCUAAAAAAAAUGAGAAUAAAAAAAUUAAUUAUGCAACAAACAUCAAAAUUUUCGUAUCUUAAUUCCAGAACGCGUAUAUGAUAAAUCACAUGCUGCGAAGCAAACACACGAAUCACUAGUACAAGCAUUCUGAAUUGAAUCACAUGUUUAUUUUCUUCCUUGUGAAUUAAACUGCGAAUAAUUAAUAAUAAAUCCACAUCAAAACAUAUCUAAUUUUGAUCGUCGUUGUCGUCAUCAUCCUCAGAAAUCCUUCAUCAACUUCCUGACCUGUUCAAGCGUAACAAACAGGACAACAGUAAACGGCCCUUGUCUGGAAAUCGUAGGGAUAAAACCCUUAUACAGAGCCAUCGGCCCCUCGCUCCGAACCGUCUUCAGGGCACAAUCCAGCGCCCCUUUGUACGGCGGCUCUUUCCCGGCCUCGACCUUCAUGUUCAUAACCCUAGUCUUUAUCACGUCCACAGGAUUCGACGCCACCGCCGCCACAAACCCCGCAGAAAAACUCGCCGUCACGUGGGUCCCGAGGCCGUCGCGCAUCCACCCUUUUGACAGUAUAUUUUCUUUGAUCUGAUCGUAGGACGCCAGCUGCGACGCGGUGACCAGCAUGGCCCGGUUCACAGUAAGGGACGAUCCUCGCCACAGGCUGGUCACGCCUUCUUGUUUGGCCAUGCUGGUUAUAGCGUCGACGACGCUCUUGUAGUUGCGACGCUGCGCGGGAGGGAGCCUUCCGUCAGCCUGCAUGCGGACCAUUGCCACGUCAGCGGGAUUGCCGACGGCGGCUCCUAUUCCACCAGCAAUUAACCCGGCGGCUAUCUUACGCACGAGCGGCAUGUUCCGGGUUUCCGGGUCAGUCCACUUUUGCUUGAGAACGUCGUAGAGACCCAUCCGUGUGGUGGAGUACAAGGUCUGGCGGAGCACCGUUGCGGAGACCCCGGAAAAGAGAGCCGAAACUCCUUCUUGUUGAAUAAUACGGACGCCGACGCCGACGGGACCCAGGCGGGGUGGCGCAGACACGUGGACGGCGGAGGAGUUGGCAUGGAAAGCGAGAGCGGGACGCAUAGACGGAACCUGGUUUUCGCCCUGGAGUUGCAUGCGGACCUUGAUUAGGUCAAGGGGAUGCGUUGAACAUCCAGCAACAAUAGAAGCAAUGCCGCCUUCAACAAAGCCUUUCACACCCAUUUUAACUCUUUUUUUUUUGUUUUCAGAAAACGAAUCAAGAAGAAAUGAUCAAUUUAAUGAAAAAGAAUUUUAGAUCGAAUUAAUUUGUGGGUCAGUGAAAAUUGUAAGUUGCGUUGUUGUUACCAGUUGGAAUUGGAGCUCAUCUCACUGGAGACCAGGAGAUGAGAAUGAAGGCCAAAAGCUAUGGAGGAAGAAUGAGGGACGAUGGGUCUAUGAGACAUACGCCGGGUACAAUGUGAUAAUAAGAAAGAAGAAGAAGGGGCCUUUUCUUUCUUUUCUUUUUUUAGAGAGAGAGAGAGGAUGACUUGGCAAGACUAGGAGAAGUGAAUUUAUAGGCAGAGAUGGGAGGUUGGUGUUUAAUUUGUUAAUUAAUUCGCGAAAAAGAUAAAGCAGCUGGAAAUUAGGUUCUUUCUUAAUUUUCUGCACGCUGUGAAAGGAAAUUGUGUGUACGAAUUGGGCAACUGUGGCUCGUUUAUGAUUUCGCGUUUGUGGGGUCUCUUAUGCUCUCCCUAACGUCUAUAUUGAUCUUUUCUUUAUUAAUUUUUGUCGGCUCCAGUUCUCGCUGCUUUCUAGUCGCUUUGGUUGGCUGGCUCAUUAGCUGUGGCUUCAGCCCCAGCCCCCAAGCACGAUUGGGUCAAACCCUUGAAUUUGAUUUGAUUUGAUUUAAUCGUGUGCAUUCAAAUGCGCGGAUUCAUCUUGUGUCUUGCAUGUAGAUUGUAGAAUAGUAAUCACCUUUUUAUAUUUUGGUAUUCAAUUACGAAAAAUUACUGUGUGCUAAAGUAAUUAUUUUGAGCGGAAGUGACCAAAUCCCCCUUCCCUCCUUUGCAUCAAGAUGAUUUUUUUUUUCGUAAGUUUUAAAAUAAUAAAUCAAAUAGUAAGUGCCUAUUUGGAAUUAUAUUGAGGGGCUCAAAAGUAAUUUUAAAAAAUAAAAAACUAUUUUUUGGUAUUUGGUAAAAAAAAUUUACAAAUCACUUUUGAUAAAAUCACUCAUCGUAGGGCAGAUUUUGAAAAACAGGAAAAAAGUUUUAUACGUGUUUAUUUAUUUAAUAUUAUAUCCAAUUCAGUUAUUUAUAUUCUUACAACAAUUUAAUAGUAACACCAACGAAACACAUAUGAUUACUUUUAAAAUUCACAACAUUUUGAAAAAUAAAUUUUGCCAAAUGUUUAAUUAAUUCUCUUCACAAGUAAUUAUUUUUACAGUACAACUAACAAUAAUUAUUUUAAAGUUACAGUAUUACCAAAUUAGCUCUAAGUCUGUUUAUACUCUAAAAUUAACUUUGAACACUCAUGUUUUUAUUAAAAAAUUUAACACAAAAAUACCCAUCGUGUAAUUUUUAAUUAAGGGCGAUACAAAUGGGUAGAAGGAACUAUUAUUCUUAACACUUGAGUAGCAUACCAUUACAACUUACAAUGAUUCUAUUAUUCUAUUUGAAAUCGUUAAUAUAUAUAUAUAUAAAUGUUCCAGUCAGAAAUUUUAAAGUGCGGGAAACCUUUAAAACCGCAUGGUUUUAAAGGCUUAAAACUGUAAGCUUUUAAAGUCGUGUGGUUUUAAAGUUUUCUCGGACUUUCCCGCACUUUAAAAUCCCUGACCAGAAAACUACUCAUAUAUAUAUAUAUAAACUCAUUUAUGAAGAAAAAAAAUAAAUAGUUAGAAUGAUUCGAACUUCAUAAAAAUAAUAGUAAUAGAUGUGGUGAUAUGUAAAUGUUGAUUUCAAAACAUUCUCUCCAAAAGUCCAUAAAUAAUUGACACGAAACUUAUCGGCUUCACUUGCUUUUAGUAUUUUAAUUCUUGCACCACAAUUUCCUCUUUGAUAUUUGUUUCUUCGUUUUUAAUAAUUUUGUUUUUAGAAAUUGCUGUUGUUGCAUAUAUGAUGACGUUUUAAUGUUCUAAACUGUUGUUCGUCUAUGUCUUUUCAGCAGCAACAAUUGGAUUUAUAGAAACAUGAUUAUAGAGUUGAAGAACUGUAUAGAGAGCAUGCAUGGUAGAAAAUAAAUAUCCUUAAUAAGAGAUCUUGUUAGGGAUUAUUCUGAUAUUUGAAAGAUCGUGUACAAUAUAAUUAAUUUUUAUAAUUUAUUAAAAUAGUGUUAAAAAUAAAAAAGUGUUUAAAUAAAUUUUCAGAGUAUAAAUAAUUUAACCUAAAACAAACUAAAAUUCAAUUGAUAACUGAAUAUAGUCCACCAUUGGGAUGUUUUGUGAUGAAUUGUCCUCUCCCAUUUUCCCAAGAGAAGACUGAAUCUUCGAUCAGAUGAUCCCAUGGGAACUGAACCAUGUGAUCACAAAAUUUUAAAUUUCCCGAAUAUGUCGUUGUUGCAGCAGCUUACAAGUAGCUGGGAAAUUUAAAGCCGUGUCGGCUGCUACUUGAGCUGCUAAAAGUAAAACUUCAGAGGAAAUUACUAGUUUAACAAAAGGUCAAAAGGGGCACAUUUAGGAAUCAAGAAAAUUAACAAUAGAAUUUUAAUGGCUACAACCUUUUGAAGUUUCAAAAGAGACCCGUCCAUUUGUUAGGGCCAAAUUACAUUCUUGACCGGUGUUCCUUUCCUUUCCCACUUGAAAGUUCAAGUUGGCCUUUUGAUUUGCGGUCAUAUAAAUGGCAUCCACGUGUCAUGGUUCGAGUGAGUGACUGAGUCGACGGUGAACGAGGGAGUUUCGAUCUCAUCCGAGGCAGGCGAAAUGAGCGGCUUCGUGUGGGUUCCAUUGGCAUUAGAAAAUUCCUCCUUUUGGUGCAAUCGCGACCGCUGAUUCCAACUUUCACGGAACCGCAGCUAGAAGAAGAAGGGAAAAAAAAAAACAAAAAAUCCCUUAAAUAAGAGGACUCAAUGUUGUCAAUUCGUCAGUAUUCAUCAUCCAUCAACAGUCAACACAUACCGUAUUGUGUUCACUUUUUAUUUUUCCCUCACUAUGCAUGAUAAUGAUUGGCUGCUCUCAAAACUCAUUUAACAAUGCCCAUGUUUUAGUGCAUAGGUCACGGAUGCUGCGUUAUGACGCGUAUCUACCUGAAAUUUUAUUUAAAAAAAAAAAAACCCGAAAAGUUUACUAGUAGGGCGAGUCCAAUAUUUUAAUUUUCGAUAAUUUAAUGCAACGAAUCCAUAAUUAGUUUGUUUCUUUAUAUGUCGAUGCUUUAUAUGGAACCAAACAAUAGAAAUAUUCACUGAACCUAUAUUUGAAUCGAUAUAGAAUUAGUCCAUAUGUAUAUAUGUGAUAUUAGAAAAUCAAUUAGUUAAAUUUGGGAUGCAUUUGAUUGAUUGCACUUAAAUACUCUCGGUGUAAUUAUUUUGUAUUUAAAUUGUACUCUGAUCCUGAGAUUUUCAGUUUUUUUAGAGCUUUAAUUUUUCAAUUUCAUCUAAUACUUGUGCUAUGAAUUCGGUUAACGAUCAAUGGAAUAAUUGAGGAAUUCUAUUACUAAAAUAUUAUUUGAUAGAUCUUAGUUUCAAAAACAACCCAAAACUUUGGUUCACUUUCCUUUAUGGGCAUGAUUAAUUAGUUGAACCUUACUGAAAGAAAACACCGAGCUAUGAUGUUGUAUAGUGGAUAAAAUAGUAUAUGUAAAGUCGAGAAGUGCAAGAAAGGCUGAGAUUAUGUUUAUUGGACAUAAGGAAAUUACCAAAAUACUGAAAUUAAAAAAAAAAAAAAAAGAUUUUUCCAUCAGCUGAAAACUUUUGGACGAGGAAGGUAGUUCAGGAGCCAGUUUGCCAGGUAUGUAAAAAUGGUUGGGAGACUGUUUUUCAUUCAUUAGUGGGCUGUAAGGCUGCAAAGAAAAUCUGGAAAAUUACUCGGUUUGAAGAUGAUCUCAAGGGGAGUGUUGAACAAGAUUUGUUGAGCUUGCUGCUUGGUUUGAAUUUGUGAAGGAGCAAAGCUGAUAUUGAACUGCUGGCUACAAUCUUUUGGGCGACGUGGAGUGCAAGAAACAACUGCUUAUUUAAAGGAAAAAAAAAAGAGAGUCCUCAGCUGCUAGUUGCCAAGGCUGAAGCUAUGAUUGAGGCCUAUAAAAGAACUCAAUUAUCAGCACCAGCAUCCAUUGGCAACCAAAGGCCCUAGAACCCACCCCAAAGUGGUUUCUUCAAAGUUAAUGUUGAUGCUGUCACUAAUUCAAAAAAGCAACUUUCAGGCAGUGGCGAAGCUACCACCAUAUUUUUUGGUGGGCUAUUAAGUUUAUUUUUAUAUUUUUUAUAAGUAUUAAUAAAAAUAAAUUCAUAAAUUUUAAUUUAUUAUUAUUUUUUUUCAAAAAGCUAACUCGGGUUAGCCAACCCUUAGCUUUGCCACUGCUUUCAGGGCUAGGGGCUGUCAUUAGAGACGAGUCUGGGAAUGUGAUUGCAGUUGCAAUUAAGAUCUCAAAAUUCUAUGGUGAAGUAUCGUUUGCAAAGGCAGAAGCAAUGGAAUGUGGAUUCUAGAUUACAGAACGUGCUCGGUUAAGGUUCUUGGUAGUGGAAUCAGACUCUCAAGAGGUAGUUAAGCUGGUGAACAACAGGCAGGGCUGUAGAUCCGAGAUCUUCUGGGUUAUAUCAGAAGUGCAUAGCCUAAUGAAGAAAUUUGAACAUACUUCUAUCCAUUAUGCUCAUAGAUCUUGUAAUGGUUUAGCACACUCUUUAGUUAAGCUAGCUUUAGAGAGAUGCGAAACUGUUGUAUGGAUGGGUUCAUACCCUUCACAAUUAUUGUAUCUGUUUUCUUCUUUUCAAUCAAGAUAUUUUCCAUAAAAAAAAAAAAAAAGAUUUUUCUAAGUAAAAUUUUGUUAUCACCUUGAUGAUCCACGUCUCGUGGGUGAACAUAAUUUUGAUGUUAAAUACUCUCCCAAGUUUUGUAAUGUAGAAGCUUGUAUGCAAAAUUAGUGGAGUCAUUAAGAUUGUGCUACAUUGUUUAAAUUGCAUACAAAAUUAGCCAGCAUCGAAUCCCAGCUCUCCGUCCGGCGAUGAAAUCGAAAAAAACAAAUGGUGGUUUUUGGAUUUCUGUUGAGAGGAAUAUAUUACAAAUGCGAGUAUACGCAUACCAUUUCAAGGAAAAAAUCCCAUGCCCUUUGCUCAAUAACUUUUUAUUUUAUCAAUUCAGUCUUCGCCAUUGAAAGGUAGCUAGAUCUACACAAAUGAAUUAUUGUGAUGUUGAAAAAUGUACAUAAAAUUUCACACACCAUUGAUAGCUGUAAUUUUCUAAAAUUUUAGUCGCAAUUGCGUGAUAAACUUGAGAACUUGAGAGAAACCUACUUUGGUGUUGCUUUCAAUUUCCAAACCAAAAUUAGUUCCAACUUUUGCAUCACAUAUUCUAAGAAAUCUGUAUUGUAUAUCAUCCGCUUUUUUUUUUUUUAAUUACAUGAGAUUAAUGCUCAGAUUACAACUGAUAUUAUGUCCAAAUUUUACUCUCUGUAAUAUUUGAGGGGUGUCACAUGAGAUUAAUGCUCAGAUUACAACUCAUAUUAUGCUCAGAUUUUACCUUCUCUAAUAUUAAAAUAAUGUCUACUCCACUCACAUUUCGAAAGAAAAAAGACUGUCUUCACUUAAUUAUAUAUUAUAAUUAAGGAAUGAAAUAAGUCCCUACAUGUGUCGCAGGGGUUCGAACCGCUACCUUUACAAUUGUGAGUGCAGAGUCUACCCACUGGGCUAAAGGCCCAAUUAUUUAUAUUACUAGAAAAUAGACCCGCGUUUCACGCGGCUUUGAAAAAAGAAUUUAGUAUUAUCAUUUUUUCUUACUUUACACUUGAUGAAACUGAUAAAAAAUAAGAAUUGAUUUUUUUUUUUAAGAUGAGGCAGCCUUAUAAAAAAUAAAAAAAAANNNNNNNNNNNNNNNNNNNNNNNNNNNNNNNNNNNNNNNNNNNNNNNNNNNNNNNNNNNNNNNNNNNNNNNNNNNNNNNNNNNNNNNNNNNNNNNNNNNNNNNNNNNNNNNNNNNNNNNNNNNNNNNNNNNNNNNNNNNNNNNNNNNNNNNNNNNNNNNNNNNNNNNNNNNNNNNNNNNNNNNNNNNNNNNNNNNNNNNNNNNNNNNNNNNNNNNNNNNNNNNNNNNNNNNNNNNNNNNNNNNNNNNNNNNNNNNNNNNNNNNNNNNNNNNNNNNNNNNNNNNNNNNNNNNNNNNNNNNNNNNNNNNNNNNNNNNNNNNNNNNNNNNNNNNNNNNNNNNNNNNNNNNNNNNNNNNNNNNNNNNNNNNNNNNNNNNNNNNNNNNNNNNNNNNNNNNNNNNNNNNNNNNNNNNNNNNNNNNNNNNNNNNNNNNNNNNNNNNNNNNNNNNNNNNNNNNNNNNNNNNNNNNNNNNNNNNNNNNNNNNNNNNNNNNNNNNNNNNNNNNNNNNNNNNNNNNNNNNNNNNNNNNNNNNNNNNNNNNNNNNNNNNNNNNNNNNNNNNNNNNNNNNNNNNNNNNNNNNNNNNNNNNNNNNNNNNNNNNNNNNNNNNNNNNNNNNNNNNNNNNNNNNNNNNNNNNNNNNNNNNNNNNNNNNNNNNNNNNNNNNNNNNNNNNNNNNNNNNNNNNNNNNNNNNNNNNNNNNNNNNNNNNNNNNNNNNNNNNNNNNNNNNNNNNNNNNNNNNNNNNNNNNNNNNNNNNNNNNNNNNNNNNNNNNNNNNNNNNNNNNNNNNNNNNNNNNNNNNNNNNNNNNNNNNNNNNNNNNNNNNNNNNNNNNNNNNNNNNNNNNNNNNNNNNNNNNNNNNNNNNNNNNNNNNNNNNNNNNNNNNNNNNNNNNNNNNNNNNNNNNNNNNNNNNNNNNNNNNNNNNNNNNNNNNNNNNNNNNNNNNNNNNNNNNNNNNNNNNNNNNNNNNNNNNNNNNNNNNNNNNNNNNNNNNNNNNNNNNNNNNNNNNNNNNNNNNNNNNNNNNNNNNNNNNNNNNNNNNNNNNNNNNNNNNNNNNNNNNNNNNNNNNNNNNNNNNNNNNNNNNNNNNNNNNNNNNNNNNNNNNNNNNNNNNNNNNNNNNNNNNNNNNNNNNNNNNNNNNNNNNNNNNNNNNNNNNNNNNNNNNNNNNNNNNNNNNNNNNNNNNNNNNNNNNNNNNNNNNNNNNNNNAAUAUAUUAUAGAGUGAUUUUAUUCAUUCCAAUUGUGUGUGUACAAAACAAAAAGAUGAGCUCUCCUUUUAUAGUUACAUAAUCACUCUAUGAAAUUAAUGAAAAAUUAUGGAUCAUAAUUUCUUGUGAGAUAGUGGGAGUUAUAGGGAAGCUAAAUGUUGCUAAUGAGAGAUAGUGGGGAGACUAAAAGAUAUAUGUUAUGAACAUUUACAUUUAUUUUAAUAAAUUCAUAACACUCCCCCUUUGAUAUUCAUUACAAAGAAUAUGCCUCAUUAAAAUCUUUACAUAAUUGUUAUUGUAUAAUAACAAUCAAAUUAAUUAUGAGAAGAUAAAAAACCAAAUCUAAAAGAAAAAUUCUCUAUUUAUUAGAUAAUAGAGAAUAUACAAAGAAGAGAAAUGGUGAUGCCACAUCACCUCCUCAAGUCCCAACUUUAUAUAGAUAUAUAGAUUGGCUUUUGAAUUUGCUGAAGUUACUUAUGAUGUAAUUUAAUAAGACCUAAUAUAAUAUAUUUAUUUCCAAAGUCUUUCUUUAAUUCUCAUUUUUUAAGUCGAUUACCUAAUUAGUCCAUAUAACUUAAAAAAUAUCUAAAUAUCGCUAUAGUCACUUUCGUAGCUAUAUGAUCUAAUCUUUUCAAGGAUAAAAUAAUAAUUACGUGUGAUAUAACAUAAAAUCAAACAACUAUAGCAUACAAAUAUUGAAAUAUAAAGAAUAAUUAAGUAGAUUUUAAAUGAAACAAAUAAAUAAGGAUUUUUUUUGUUAUUCUUGGAAAUUUAAAGACUAAGAAAGUAAUGAACUCAAAUUAUAAGACAAAAGGAGUGGUUGCUUUAAAUAAAUAAUUUAAAUUUAAGAAAACAAUCAACAAUACACAGUGGACAUUUAAAAAAGAAAAAGAAAAAUUAAACAUGUUAUACUCAUGGGACCAGAUAUAUUGGAAAUUACUUAACAAAUUUAUUAAUAAAACAAAACAUACUUUCUUUCUUAUGCUUAUUUAGUCAUGGUUUAAGCUAACUACCUAAUUAAUCCUAAUAUUUUUUAAAUCAUACAAAAAUUUAUAUUGUAUAUAUGUCCUAGUGAAUUUAUAUUGUAUAUAUGUUCUAGUGAAAUUUUAUCUCAUUCUUCUUCAUUUUUUUAACUGUUGCAUGUUUGACUCUUUAGAAUUUUAGCUUAUACAAUAACAAUACUAUUUUGCUUUUUGAAAACACAAAAAUUAAUUGAGUAACUAUUUCAAAUAAUAGAGACAAAGGGAAUAUUUAUCUAUUUGACUAUUUUUAAUAUUUUCAGGUUUAAAAAUAAUAAAUUUGAAGACAUGCCAUUUUUUUGUAUGACGCAUGAACAGAAUUUUGUGUCAGUUUUUCCAGUGAGUAACAGUUAUCGGACAAAAUGGGGGAAAAAAAAAAAAGCAGCUUGUAUUUACUUAGUUCGUACCACACAACAAGACAAAGAUUAGAAAACGGAAAAGAAGGAAAAAAAAAAGAUUCUUGCUCAUCAAUCUUCAUCCCAUUUCCAUUUUGCUUUUCUCAAAUUCAGAUGCUUCAUAAAUUAUCUAAUCAAUUCAGCGGCCUCUGUUAUUGCCCCACUAGCCACCGCUCCAAUCGUCCUCCGCCGCCGUCACCGCCACCACCCUUACCACUGUUGAAUCUAUGUAUAUCUAUACUAAAGCCAUUGCAAUCCUAGGGUUCCUCUUUUGUUCGGCUCUCAUUCUUGGCGCCGGUUAACGUUAUUUUUAUUUGUAAAAUAAAAAAUUUAAAUGCCGGUACCCGGGUUUCUAGGGUUUCACGGGUUGCUGGUUGUGGUUCUAUUGGUGUUUUACUCUCUAAUUCGGCAGAAAUGCAAGAAUGCGGUGGCGAGGAAAGAGGAGGUUACGAAACUCAUGGCUGUGGCGGCCGAGGAGUCGCUCAUGGAAGAGUUCCAAGCUGCCAAUCAGCACAGCUUCCUGCCGAGCUCUCCACCGCGGUUAUACCAAUGUGCUGUCUGCUUUCGUUCCACCACUACUCGUUGCUCUCGGUGCAAAGCUGUUCGUUACUGGUUAGUUAGCCGGUUCGCUUUGUUGCAUUUUGAAUCAAAAUCAAAUUUUUUUUUUUUUUUUAAAUAAUUUAUGUCAGUGCUUUGAAGUUUGAAGUUUGGAAAUUUUUAAAAUGAGGAGAAUUAUCUUUCUUCGUUACUUACUGGUUACUUCACUGCUUGCCUUAUGGUCUCAGCAGUAAGACCUCUAACAUUUUUAGUCAUCUGAUAAAUAUUUAUUCAUUGCGACACUUUCCAUGCCAGUCAUGGUGUCUCACUCUAUGUAUAUCCAUAUAUGAAAAUGUCUCUGCAGAAAACACUAAUUUAUUUAUAUUGUGCUUUUCAUGUUGGUUGAGAGAGGAGCUGGAGUAGGUUUUCAUAGGUUUACCAAGUAAAGGCUAUCUACAUAAUACUUGCAACUUGUCAUGUCUUUUAAUAUGUUACUGAGUAUAGACCUCCAAGUAAUUUCUGACUGUGUCUUUUGCUUGUUCCGUCAAUAAUGUUUCAGCAGUUGCAUGACUUAUCUAAUUACAUUAGAGCUAGUUAAGCUGGACCUCAAUCAUUGUGAAAACUAUUAGCUUCACUUGGCACAUGUCAUGAAAGUUUUGAUAGAGGGAUAAACUACAACACCUAUAGAGAUGAGUGUGUUUUAUUUUGCCUACAUAUUAAGGUGUCCGUUAAUCUUUUUGCUGACUAUCUGCAGUAGUUUCUUUUGAAUGUGCCCAGUUGUUCUUCUUCAGUGUCUCAUUAUGGUAUUUACUUUUUUUUUUUUACUUGUAGUUCUGGCAAGUGUCAAAUUUUUCACUGGAGGCAAGGUCAUAAGGACGAAUGUCGUCCCCAAAGAAUCAUUACGCCAUCAAGGGAGGAUGGUGACUCUGUAACAGUAGCAGGACCAGAAAAGCAAUUUGAAAUUUGUGGUAAUCAGGCUCUUGGAUCUAGCACAAUUGACAGAGUGGAGAGUCCUAUUUGUGAUUCUAUUACUCCUGAUGUGCCUGAAACAAGGAGUAGAAUUAAGAAGUCUAAACAGACCAUGUCACCAUCUGCGGACUCUGCUAAUAUGGUCAUUGAUGUAGAUGGCACAUCUCGUGCCAGUAAAUUAGAUAAAAUGAAAUUGAGUCAUAAUGAUGAAGAGGUUAACAUUAGACCGCAGAUCUCCACAGCCAAGACAACCCUGCCUGAUGAUGUCCAACCUGCAAAAUUGGGUGACAAGAAGUCCAAUGGGGGAGCUGCUUCACCUGAUUUCUUAGUUAAAGAUUCUUCCACGUUUAAGAGCAGGACAUCUGUGGGCUGUUCAAGGUUUGAUCCAGUAACUAAAGUUGGUGAAGAUGAUUCACAGAGUUUUACAGGGAAACAUGUGUCAUCAAGCACUCCUCGUUCAUCCUUAACUAUUGGAAGGCAUUCUCUAAGCAAUUCUAAGUCUGAAUUGCCUGCAAAAAUUAGUAGUAUCCCAAGCUUGCCUCAGAAUGCUUGUCAUGGGCUGAAAUCAUCUAUGCAGAAGGUUGUGCAGCAAUUUAGAGUCUCCAAACCAUUGAAGUCUUACUCGUUAGGUUCUGAGGACGAGGUUGUUGGAAAAUCCAAUGAAAAGGUCAUCUUGCUGUCAUGAUUUGCUUUCUUGAGAGCCCCGUUGGUUUCUUUGGUAUUUCUUAUUCACUGAUUGACUAUUUCUUGGCAGCCAUUAUUUCCAUAUGAUUUGUUCAUGAAACUCUACUCUUAUGAUAAGGUGGAACUAUACCCGUUUGGCCUUAUAAAUUGUGGGAACAGGUAAAAUUUUUUGCCUUCUUUUUUGCUAACAUGUAGAUGUAUUGUUAUUAAGUUUUUUAAUGUCUACACUCUCAGCAUUGUGUUAUGAUGGAUUAUUGUAUGAGAUUUAUGAUUUAAACAAUGUUGCGGUUUUGUGGAUUUGUAGUCCUCCUAAUCCUUGUACAUAUUUCUAAUAGUUUUAUUUAAUCUUUUGCUUCUUAGCAAAGAAAACAUUGUUGCUGUUUUGGACACGCUUCAUACAUUAUAAAUAAUGUAAUAUUGGACUACGAAAUAUGGGUUACAUCAAAAUUCAGUUUCUUAUCUUUAAUACAACAUAAUUUUCCUUGAAAUUUUUGCAGUUGUUAUGCUAAUGCCGUGCUCCAAUGCCUGGCCUUCACUCGACCUUUGACGUCAUAUCUUGUGCAAGGGCUCCAUUCUAAAGCAUGUAAGUUGUCUUAUUGAGUUAUAGCUUCAUAUGAGUUCAUUAUUGGGACCCUUUUGUUGAUUGCCUUUUCAAUUUUGAAUUUUUUUCACCUUGUCCAGGUCAAAAGAAGGGGUGGUGUUUUAUUUGUGAGUUUGAGUGCUUAAUUCUGAAUGCAAAGGAUGGGAGCUACCCUGUGUCUCCAAUCGGCAUACUGUCCAAGAUUCAAAAAAUUGGAAGUCAUCUUGGUCAUGGGAGGGAAGAAGAUGCUCAUGAAUUUUUGAGGUGAAAACAGGAUUACUUUUAUAUAUGCUUCUGUUCAUUACAUUUUGAAUCUUUGCAAGUGUGACUUACAGCAUUACUUUGUAAGGUGGCAGGUGUGCUGUUGAUACAAUGCAAUCUGUUUGUCUUAAGGAGUUUGGGGCUAAAGGCAAAAUUGCAGAAGAAACAACUUUAAUAGGCUUGACUUUCGGGGGUUAUCUUCGAUCUAAGGUUGUUCAUUAUUUUGAUGGUACAUCGAUCAUCACAUUCCUGUGUGAUUUAGUUUUGCUUUAUUGAAGUACUAUUCAUUCCUUUUGUUAUCGGAAUUCAAUUACUGGGAUUUUCAGAUUAAGUGCUUGAAGUGCCUCGGUAAAUCUGAGCUGUAUGAGCGGAUGAUGGAUCUAACCGUUGAGAUAGAUGGGGAUAUUGGAACUCUUGAAGAAGCUCUUGCACAAUUUACAGCUAGUGAAAUCUUGGUUGGGGAGAACAAGUAUUAUUGCAGCAGGUUUUGAUUAAUUUGCUUGUUUCUCUCAAUUCAUGCCUGAGCUUCUAGAUAUCAAGUUAUUUUGCAUGUGCCUUUGCUUUUUUCUCCCAUAUUUGCAUUUCUAAAUGUAAACAAGCAGGCUUAUCUCAGCUAAUUUUUGUACAUUUUGCCUCUUUGUUGUUGUUAAACUGCUUACUCUGCAAAUAAAGCAGUUUUAUUUUCACAAUUCCUACUUUUCUUAGAAUGUAAUUAUCAAAUAAAACUUGAGGUGAAAUUAGUUGUUUGAAAUUUUAGUGAUGCAAAUUGAAAUUUAUGUCUUACUGUAUUAUUCAGGUGCAAAUCAUAUGAGAAGGCUAAAAAGAAAUUGACGGUAUUGGAGGAACCAAAUAUACUUACUAUUGUCUUAAAAAGAUUUGAGGUAGUUUUAUUUUUAUUUUUCAAUUUUAAGUUUAAUUUCGUGCUCUUAAUGUGUUUUUGCUCUACAACCUGUGCUUGUAGUCUGGGAACUUUGGGAAGUUGAAUAAGUCAGUUUGGUUCCCUGAGGUCCUCAACAUGGCCCCAUAUAUGAGUCGAACUGGUGAUGGAUCUCCUAUGUACAGCCUAUAUGCAGUGGUUGUUCACUUGGAUGUUACAAAUGCUACAUUUUCAGGUCAUUAUGUGUGCUAUGUGAAGAAUUCCCAUGAGGAGUGGUUCAGAAUUGAUGACAGCACUGUAUGUCCCUUGAUCUCUGAUAUGUUUAUUUUAUCAUUAUUAAGAGCUUCUAGCCUCAUAUUUAUAUUUGGACCCUAAAAUAUCCCUUUUAAUUGAUUACAAACCCCCAUAUAUAUAUAUAUAUAUAUAUAUAGUCGUUUAUGUGUAUUUUACCCCUCUCUGUGGCAGAUACCAAAUGCUUAAGGUGGUGAACUGUCAAUUUAAUUUUGCAUCCUUGAUUGUUUGAUGCUCACCUAUUUGAAAUCCUGAUUUAUUCCUGCAUCUUAUAGGCUGGAAUUUCAUCGUACAGACACUUCUAAUUUUUUCCUUUUCUCCUGCUUCAAAUUUAUGAAAGAGACUUGAUAGAAUGCAUUAGAAAACAAUAUAAUUGGUGUGCAUGAGUGGGUGUGCAGAUCUGAAGGACUAUGGCUGCUGAUUGGGGCUGUUUUCUUGAUUCCUAGCUUUGAAAGUUUAUUUUUGUUUGUUCACAAUUUCUGGAUAAUUUCCACAGUAAUUAGCUUGAGAGGUUUUUUUUUUUUUUUUUCAAAUUUAUAAAUCUGAUGGUUGGAUGUUGGUUUUGUGUAGGUAAUACCGGUCAAAUUGGAGAGGGUCUUAUCAGAGGAGGCAUACAUGCUUCUUUAUGCGAGGUAAUGUUGUUGUGCAGCAUGAUUGGUAUAAAAUCAGGAUUUUCUGGUUUGCUGGGGUGUAAAUAGAUUUAGAUUUUUCAUUCAGGCAUUCUCCGCGACCACCAGCUUUGAUAAGAAAUAAUGUAUCUCAUGGUGUGAAGUCCAAGAAAAAGAGCUUGGAAGCUGUUGGCCUUAAUAAUACAUCCAAAAUAAGAUCGAACUCAUAUAUUCCUAGUUUGGAUUCCAAGGCACAGCAGAAGCCUUGUACAGACAGCAAUCAAUUAUUUGAUAGAGAUGAAUGGAAAUUCCGUUCAAUGCAAAGAUCUCCUGCUGUGGAUUCAUUAAGUGAGAGCUCCUCCAUUUUCAGCUGGUCUGAUGUGAGUUCUUGCAGCACUGCAAGUACAAAGGAGUCUUCUAGGAGUGAAGACUUGUCUGAUUUAAUAUUUGGCGAUACACCUAGUUGGUACAGAAGUUAUGGGAUUACAUCAGACUCAAUUGCAUCUUCCUCUUAUCAAAACUCAAACGUAGGAUCAGAAGGGGAAAAUGAUGCUUGGCAGCAUGGCUGGAGAGAAGGCUUGGGACGGGAUGGAAACCCAGCAAUUUUGUUUACCGAGUCAACUAAGCAAUAUAGAAACUUAGGCCACCAGUAUGUUAGUAAUGGUAGUAGUAGGGACAUUGAUUCUGAUCGUGUAGGGUGGGCUCACCCUUCUGAUGUAAGAUUAAGGAGAGCAAAUGGGGACUACAGAUCAGCUCAACCGUUUUAUUGAGGUUUGAGUUGAGAUUAAAUUAAGUUCGAAAAUUAAUUAAUCUAUGGGAAAGUGCUCUCUCUAUAUUUAUGCUCUGUGAGUCACCGUAGUUUGCUAGAAAAUCAAAAACAUUUUACCGUAGAUCGGUGUUUGUUUGAUCUUAAAUAGUGUUGGAAGUUGAGUACUGGUCAAAUAUUAAAAUCUCACAAAAGCUUGCCUCAUUGUUUUGUUUGGCCCAACUUCCGACAAUAGCUAGUAUUUUGGAAAGCAAAACGGUGUCGUAUGAGUGGCCAGGAAAAAAUAAAUAAAAAUGAUUUAAAGGAAGCCGCCGAAAAGCGAGAACCCACCAGCAGCAGCAUUUGAGAAUCUCCUAGAAAACGAAACCAAAGAAACGACAGGCAAAUGCCUGUGGCAUUAACAAUACCAAGCUGCCACCAUUGCUGCCAGAAGCUAAACAAUCGCAUUUCUCCCUCACUAUUUCUUUUCAGCCGCUGCAGUAAAACAAUGGUGACCUCCGGCAGCAGCAGUAACAAUAAUGCAGGCGCUUUCACGACAAUCAAAGAGACAGUCACAUUCGAGAAAGAAAUUAAAAAGAGCAAAUUCAUCGCCAUAGCCGGCCCCAUCUCCAACGAACAAUCUGCCCAAUCCUUCCUUUCGCAGGUAACACUAAUUUAUAAUUAAUCUUCUUCCACAGCUCUCCAACUUGAUUAUCAUAUUUCAAAUUAAUAUCUGGUGAACGUUUCUUUUUUUUUUUAAUAUUUAUUAUAGGUCAGUGAUCCUCGUGCUACUCACAAUUGCUGGGCAUAUAAGGUAUUAGGCGCUUACAUGAUCGUUAAUCUUGAGUUUUCAAUCUAAUAUUUUCAGGAAUUGGUUUGAUUGUUUAUUAUUUUAUGUUAAUUUUAUAGGUUGGAAAUCAAUACCGGUCUAAUGAUGAUGGUGAACCAUCGGGAACAGCUGGCAAACCUAUUCAUUCUGCAAUUGUUUCUUCAGGUUUAGAUAGAAUCAUGGUUGUAGUCACAAGGUAUUUUUAUUAUUAUUAUUUUUUAAUCUCGCGCGUUCAUCCUUUCAAGUUCCGUUCUUUUAUACAUGUGCAUUAUUACAUGUUGAAUGAAUUGACAAUCUGCAGGUAUUUUGGAGGUAUAAAACUGGGUACUGGGGGACUAGUUAGGGCUUAUGGUGGAGUGGCAUCCGAAUGCUUAAGAAAUGCUCCUACAAUUCUUGUGAAAUCUAGGGUAAUUCAGUCCUUUCUCAGGCUUUUUUUUUUUUUUCAUAGAACUAAUUUAUGCUUAUGCCAUACAUUAUGGUUAAUUUUCUACUAAUUUGAUUUCAUGAUUUUUAAUCUUGGAAUUUUGUUUCUAUUUUGUAGGUUCCAAUGGGUGUGGAGGUUCCAUUUGAACUUCUUGGAAUUUUAUACCAUCAGGUAAAUUUGGACUUGUAGUGAUGCUUUGGUGUAAUUUGGAUUUUGCAUUCCACAUGAUUGGAGUGUAAGAAAGAACUUCUAAUUUUUAUUCUCUUUGUUAGACCGUCAUGUUAUGUUAAGUUCAAAUUUUACAGGAUUAUUUGAUUGUAUUUCACAUUUUUUAUGUCCCAUUUACUUCACCUACCUGCUAAGGCUUUUUUUUUUUUUUUUUUAAAUUUAUUCCCUCAAAAGAUCAUAACCUUUGUGAUGUUAAGUGUUAAAAGACCUUCAUGGAAUAGAAUUCUAACUACUUAUGCAGUCUGUAGUCAUUGUGGAUUACUUUUUUGACAAAUGCUAAUUGUUGCCUUAUGUGACCUUUUCUGGCUCUAAAAAAUGGAACCUGUGACCUUCAUGUGGUAAUUUCAGUAUUUUAACUUAUUUCUUAUCUUUGAUGCUCACAGCUGCAAUUGUUUCAAGUUGAGGACAUCAACCAAGAUUAUGACACUGGUAAAGAUGGAAUCACCAUGGUAACUUUCAAAGUUGAUUUUGAUCGGGCUGAGAAUUUGGAGGAUGCUAUCAAAAACAAUUGUAGGCGAGAUCUUGUGUUCUAUAAACACUGAGAACGACUUGGCUAGUUAUCAUAUUUCAGUUUAGAGAUUGCCAACACUUCAGAUUCAAUUGGGGAUUAGUAUGUACAUCUUUUUCCGUGCUUUAAAACAAUUUCUUGUGCUACAUAUGGGAUUUUUUUUUUUUUUUUUGAUUACAUGAGACUAUUGCUCAGAUUACAACUCAUAUACAUGAGACUAUUACUGAUAUUUACAAAUCAGACUAUUACUGGGACCAACUGACAUCAAUGCUAAUGGAGCUCUGCCCAGAUUUUAACCCUCACAAAUAUUCGAGGGAUGUCUACUCCUCACUCAUGGGUAAGGGAGAAGACUACCUUCACUCAAAUUAAUUGAAGAAGGAAAUACCCCCACAAUACUUUUGUGGGGGUUCGAACUGUUGCCCUCCAAGUUGGAGGGCAGCAGCCCUGGCCACUCAGGCUACUGCCCGAGUGGUUGCUACAUAUGGGAUUGAAUAUACUAUUAACUGCACAUUUGCAUAAAAUUAGCUUUGAGAGGUAUUAUCGGUACAGUUAAAUACUGGUGGCUAGUAUUACAUUAUUUUUGGAAAGUCUUGGCUCGCCUGAUAUGUUAAUAUUGUAUAUACAAUUUCAGGUUAAUACUAAUUCUGUUAUUUGUUAUUCAUAUUUGCUUUGUUCAUUAAUGCAUAGCUUUUACUUUCCUUCCUGCAUCAAAUUCAGAUAAGUGAACCCCAAAGAUAUUAUUAAGCCUACUCAGAUUUGCAUUAAAGGAAAGAUGAAGAAAGUCAAGAUCAUCAACCCUUACCUUAAGCUGAGACGUGCUUUAUGGUUAGUCUUGAAAGAUGAAAACUAGUGAAAUGUGUAAAACAAGUAUAUAUGAACCAAAGAAGAUUGAAAAAAAAAACAUGGGAAGGCAGAGACACAAGCAUAAGCACCAUGGCAGGCUCUGCAGGUAUCUGACUUCAAGCUCUUCCAGCAGCAGUAAUAUUGCAUGUCAAGGGCUAGCAGUCAUUUUGACAAGGGUGGGGAGAGGAAUGGAAUGAUUGGUAUUCGUGUUGGGGUAUUGGGGGUUGAAGGGAUUGUUGUUGGGAUAGGAGGCAGAGGAGUAGCUGGCAAUGGGGGUAGUGUAAAAACCUUUUGGGCUGUAGGCAAGGUAGGCAAUGUUGGAUUUGGCAAAGAUGGGUCUUGGGUGCUUGGCAAAGGGGAAGUGUAGGCUUUAGUAGAAUUGGUUGCGUUGGUAAUGUGGGCAAGGGAUAGAGGGAAGUGGCGGCAAUGUGUUUUUUGGGGAGUUCGGAAUGGGGGUAAUGGACGCGAUGUGGCCUUGGGCAAAUAUGGUAUUGUAGGCAGUGUUAAUGCUGGGGAUGUAGUCUCAAUAUAGAUACCGGCAAGCCCAGGCCUGAUUGAGCAUUCUCAUUCAUGGAUCAUCUGGCCUUUUUGCCAUAUACUUUGAAGUUCGAACUCUUUCAACUUUAAUGAGGUUUUGCUUCUAUACAUGUAUCAGUUCUGUUAUUUCUCACCAAUUUUGCUUGGUUAGUUUUAAAAUAUGUUGACUUAGACAGGGAAACAAGUCACAGAAAAUCAUUGAGGAACAUUUCGUGAUUUUAAUUUUUUUUCUUUGUUUUUUAUUUAUCUUUUUUUCACUUGAAGAUAUGGGUCCGGUUAUAUUGAAAGGCCAAUAACAAUGCUCACCAUGAGACUUGCAAUACUUGGUAAGCUAUAAUAUUCGUGAGUUAUUAUAGCCGAUCCUAAGUUAGAGCUAUCUGGUACCAUACAUAUUCUUUGUGAGGAUAUCAGAGCUAAUUACAUGCCGCUUUCAUUUGUGCCAUUUUUUUUUUUUAAAGAUACUUCAAAUUUUUGGUGAAUUCGUUUGAAUUGUCACUUGUGGGUUUCCGGCUGUUGUUAAAGAUACUUCAAAUUUUUGGUGAAUUCGAGGAUAUCAGAGCUAAUUACAUGCCGCUUUCAUUUGUGCCAUUUUUUUUUUUUAAAGAUACUUCAAAUUUUUGGUGAAUUCGUUUGAAUUGUCACUUGUGGGUUUCCGGCUGUUGUUAAUAAGGAGUUGAUCAUACUAAGCUUCAGGAAAACACAGCAGUCAAGGCUGUAUGGACAUUAAUGCUUUUGAUGGUUAAUUUAUAGAUAUUCAAAAAUAUUUGAAUCUCCCAAAUAUUGACAGGUGCAAGAUGGUGCUUUGUUUCCUUUUUGCCUUAACUUCAAGUAAGGACUUGAAUUAAAAAAAAAAAAAAAAAAAAAAAAAAAAAAAAAAAAAAAAAAAAAAAAAAAAAAAAAAAAAAAAAAAAAAAAAAAAAAAAAAAAAAAAAAAAAAAAAAAAAAAAAAAAAAAAAAAAAAAAAAAAAAAAAAAAAAAAAAAAAAAAAAAAAAAAAAAAAAAAAAAAAAAAAAAAAAAAAAAAAAAAAAAAAAAAAAAAAAAAAAAAAAAAAAAAAAAAAAAAAAAAAAAAAAAAAAAAAAAAAAAAAAAAAAAAAAAAAAAAAAAAAAAAAAAAAAAAAAAAAAAAAAAAAAAAAAAAAAAAAAAAAAAAAAAAAAAAAAAAAAAAAAAAAAAAAAAAAAAAAAAAAAAAAAAAAAAAAAAAAAAAAAAAAAAAAAAAAAAAAAAAAAAAAAAAAAAAAAAAAAAAAAAAAAAAAAAAAAAAAAAAAAAAAAAAAAAAAAAAAAAAAAAAAAAAAAAAAAAAAAAAAAAAAAAAAAAAAAAAAAAAAAAAAAAAAAAAAAAAAAAAAAAAAAAAAAAAAAAAAAAAAAAAAAAAAAAAAAAAAAAAAAAAAAAAAAAAAAAAAAAAAAAAAAAAAAAAAAAAAAAAAAAAAAAAAACAAACUUCAUAUAAGAACAAAAGAGUAGCAGCAGCAAUAACACAGACCCAAUCAUGAGACAGAGGAAUCUGCCACUCCCAACGGCAAGAAUGUUUUAGUCAAUUUUUAGUGAGUUAGAACAUUAGAGGAAAAUGGUCUUUUGGGGGAAGGAAUGACAGAAAAGUUUUUCUUUGGAAAUAUGUGACGGUGUAGGCGUUUUUAAGAUUUAUAAAAGAGAAUACCAUUAGAAGUUGGCGCCUGAGUGAUCGAUGACGACACUUCAACGUCAAAUUGGGCUGGUUUGAGAGUAAAGAAUGAUCAAAGAGCAAUAAUGCAAAGAAGAUGAGUUAUGAGGAAGAAGACGUCUUUUACAUAUGAAGUUAAUCUUUUUUACAGGUUGCCCCUAAGGGUGUCUUUGAGUCGGUAUAGACACAUGGGAGAGACUUAUUGGUCCAACCCCUCCCCAAGUGGGGGCAUGAUGGUAUAUUUGCUUUACAAUCAAAUGUUGGAGCCCUCGGGAUAUUUCUCAUGGUUGUACACGUGUUUUUUUUUUUAAUUAGUUGCUUCUUUAGGUUUAUUGGGGUUGAAAAUACCUUAUAGGUAGUAGGUCAUUUUUAGAUCUUAAUUACCUUAAAGAAGUCAAGGCCUUUCUGAUUCUUGGGGGGCAGAUCAUGUUUAUUAGUCUCCUUAAGACCUCUAAUUAAGUUGAUGUCCAUUUCAUCAGUAGGGAGACGUUUGGCUUGUUUAGUGAAGAAGAUAAUUAGUUAGAGCGAGCCUUUUGGUCUAUGGAAUGGGUUGUAUUGAAGGUCUUAUCAUGUCAAGACUACGAAGGAAUUUAAAGGGAGAAAGAUAAAUUCUAAAAUUCUAAUAUCAUUUCCAUUCUCCUUCCUUUACUGUUUGGUAUUUCUUUGGGCAUUCUCCAUAUUCUUGGGGCUUCAAGACCCCCAAAAAAUAAAUAUAGUGAAUUCCGUCUAAUAAUUAACUAUCAACAAAUAAAACUAAAUAAAAAAUCCAAAGAAAAUGACUCCACAAUAAAAGAAAAGUCAAGUCCUUAAAUCCUUGAAACAAAUAAAAAUAUGGACAACUCAGGUCUAUAAAGAAGAAAAACAAAAGUAUGAAAACCUUGGUAGGUUUUAUGAUAUCCCAAAUUGAAAAACAUGAAAGGAAAGCAUCUCGUUGUGGUACACCAAGAAGCCUUUAAUGUAUAUAUGGCGGCAUCCUGAUGACUAGGUGCAUGGUUUAGCUUGAUGGUGGUGGAGAAAGGAAGGGAAUUGUUGGUAUGGUUGGAAUCGAAGGGAUUGUCGUGGGAAUUGACGGUAAUGGAGCUGUGGGCAAUGGAGGCAGUGUCACCUUCGGUGCUGCAGGCAACGCUGGAUUAGGCGGAGAUGGGAUUUGGGUGCUUGGCGAUUAAGGUGGGUUUUGGCAGCGUUGGCAACGGAGUAGUAGAAGGUAAUGGUGGCAGAGUGGUUAUUGACGGCAUUGGAGGCAAUGUGGCCUUUGGCAGAGGUGGUGCCGGAGGUGGCGCCACUGCUGUCUGCAGAAGGUGGCGAGCUGCCAUGCUUAUUUCAAUGCUUGACCAAGACAAUGUUAUACUCAUAAUUAACAAUAUCAUGAAACAUAGCUUAAGAGAAGCCCUGGUUUAUAGAAGGAGCUAGCUUGUUUAGAUUUGCCUGUAGUGCAUUGAGGAAAAUUCUAAUAAGUGCGUGUUGAAUAGCAGAGCAGUCCUUGUUCAAUAAGUUUUUUUUAUAGAGAACAAAUAUUGAAGGUCUGUGCAUAUUUGGACAAAUCGACCAUAAGUUUGAUGAGUUGUGGUUGGAAAAAACUGUAAAGUAACAUCGGUUAGUUGACCUCCCUAGCCACACUUUUUUCAAAUUCAAAUAAAAAAUCUAACCGAAAGAAACCAUGUUUCUUUCUCUGUCUUUUCUUCUUAGCAGAAGUGUAAAGUAACCAGUGAAAGCAAUUCAGUGGCUUUGAAACGACGUGAGAAUAAUGUGUUUUGGUGUUUAAAUACAGAGCUAACUAAAACGGCAUCUAUGACUGUCGUUUAAGUUAGUGAAACACAUGAUGCGCACGUGAAUGGAUUCUAAUAAUCUAAGCUGUUAAAGUCGUUAGUGAAGCAUGGCUUGCACGUGAGCAUCUGGAAUUGUUUCCAGGAAGUUACCAGCAACUGGAAGGAGCUGAUUCUGUUGCAAAUAAGCUGGCUACGAGUCAUGAGUAUAAAGGGGGGUUUAUCUCUCAUAAUACAAGAGUGGAAUUCCAUGAGAUACAAUCUGUAAUUCUCUGUAAUCUUGAGUUCAUUCAAUAAAAGCUGAAGUCUUGUUCCUCCGUGGAUGUAAGCUAAGUGAUUUAGCUGAACCGCGUUAAAACCUCUUCUGUUCUUUAUUCUUUAGUUUGUUUUUCAAUUCUUUGAUUCUUAAAACCAUUGAUUGUUCAGUUUAGUCGCAGUUCUUGGUUAAACCUUUUUCAAGUCAUCUAUAGUCAAGCAUCUAGAAAUCUGAUCUUGGAUCUUGGGCAGAAGCUGAAGGUGUUAGAGCAAUUGAGUGCCCUUCAGUUUCUACAAAGGAAACAGGAAGAAACUAUUUUAGCUUUAUCUCACCCUAGCGACAUAAUCACCUGGUUAUGAAUCGUUACUCCCCACUGGGCAAUUGAACUGAUCAGAAUGCCAAUGAAAUUAUAUCUUUAAUAAUUUUGUCAAAAUUAAAAUUUAUAUUUACUAUAAAUUAUUAAUUUUUGUUUUAUAGUUACAAUUUUUUUUUUCACAGUAGUUGUAAUUUUUUUAAGAUAUAACAUCUCAAUCCUAAAUAGGACCAUAACCAAGCAGAAAAAUCAUUUCUUCAUAAGAUAAGAGCAUAUUUGGUGCCCAAAUGCAAUCUGUAAUCUAUAUAAUUAAAUAGAAGUAUAUGCCGAAGCAUACAUAUAAACGUUUUAAAAUCUUGGGUUGAAUUGUUUCGUAUGGUGUACAUUAGUCUUCCUUGUGACCAUGAGUGAAUUCAAAUGAAUUAAAUAGGACACUUUCGUUGGUAAUGCACGCCAUACAGUGAUUUGAUUGUGAAAUAUGUACAUUCAAAGGAAUAAACUUGUGUGAGCGGAAACAUUCGCAAACAAUUUUCCAAGUCUCGUUGUUUAUAGUUUCUUGGAAAUAUGAAGUACAUACACAACUUCUGUGUUUUGUUAUCAUUAAUUCCUGACAUAUUUGGUCUAAUGUCCGUUUUUAUGUUGGAGAACUGUAUAUCUAAUCCAUUUUCGCUUAGACUGAGUGGAACAAUCAGUUGUCACUGAUAUUUUGUCAACUUCAAUCGUUAUACUCAUCAUGAUGUGAUGGAAUCUUUUGGAAGUUUAUAUUUUUUUUUCACUUGAGUCAAGCUGGUUUUCUGCAGCCAUUUUUUUUUUUUUUUAGGUUCCUGAUGAAAGGAGCUUACAUAUACCAGAAUAGCAAAAGAAAUGAUAUACUGUAUUCAUUAUUGUAAAAAUACAAGUGACAACUACAUAUCUAGAGUAGCGCACUGCAAUGAAACAGAAACGAGUAUAGAAUGGCGGCGCCACACAUAAAAUAGAAUUGAAAUACCAGUAACUCAAUACAAAGUAAGGUACACAAUAUUCACUGAAUCCAGUAUAUAACUAAAAAUUGAAGCAGAACAAAUAAACGGCACUGAGGAACCCAUGGAACUGCAGCAUCCGAAGAAUAGAUUAAUUAGUUAGACGGAGGUGGAGAGAGGAAAGGAAUGGUUGGGAUUGUGGAGGGAAUGUUUGGAAUGGAAGGGAAUGUAGUGGGAAUUGUUGGAAGUGGAUUUGAGGGCAAUGGAGGCAAUGUCACCUUUGGUGCUGCUGGCAUAGGUGGCAGAGUUGGCAGCUUUGGAAGUGUUGGUUGAUUUGGUAGAGUUGGCAGAGGUGGUAGUGUGGCUUGAGGCAAUGUUGGGAUUGAUGGCAUUGGAGGCAACGCCACCUUUGGCAUUGGUGGAAGUGUUUGCAAAAGGUGGCGAGCCGCCAUGCUCAUUUCAAAACUUGACAAUGAUAAUGCUAUAAUUAUGGAGAGCAGGAAGCAAUGCUUAAGAGCAGCCAUGUUUUUAGAAGGAAAUAUUGGAGAAAGCAGCAAGUUUUUUUAAUUUUUAAGGAGAAGUUCUGUCUGCGCUCUGAGUUGGAGAAAGCAGCUUGUGAUGGCUAGCUACUUAAUAGAGCAAGGAAUGCUGAAGGAUUCAUGGAGUUUGAUGAGAUGUAGGUGGCCGAGUUUUGAGAAAUAGUAUUGGUUAGUUGACCUUCUCAUCUAGACUUGUUGCGUCUUGAACUCUUUCUUUGAAAUUUGAAUGGAUGACGCAGCCAUUGAUAUCAGUUAUCAAUGCGUCUGAUUCAUGAACAUGCCAGAUGAGGAAUUUUUCUCAACCGUCAUACUUCGUUCAAACAACUUAGCCACGUCAUGGAGUUUAGAAUUUGAAUUCAUGGAAGUACGAGUGGAGAUGUGAAAUAGCAAAUAGCAAUCAAUCAAAGCGUGCGAUGGCAGUGUCCUUAAGAUUAAAUCUUAAACCUUAAGAAUUGAUAUUUUAGUGUAAGGAUUAAAAAAGCAGUUUAAUCUUAAGGAUACAAUAACUACUGUCGUGAUGCUAACUUCUAGCACGAUAAACUUGAAUAGCUAAAAGUAUAUAAAUGAUGAAGAGAAUAGAAGAAACAGAGAGAAAAAUUUUUAAAUACAGAUCGUGUGAUAUAAAUAAUUCCUUCCUCAAUAUAAUUCAAAUAAAAAUAAAUAAAAAUAAAUCAAAGGGUAUAAACAUAAAUAGAGGCCAAACCUAUGUAUGUUAAUAGGUUUUUAGUAUGAGCUCCUUUGUUGAGAUUGAUUUCGUGUGCAUGAGCCUCCUCUUAACGGGUUUGUUACCAUAUUAUAUUUGCUUUCUAUACAUAAAUCAAUUUGUACUCUCUUCUUUUAGUAAUGCGAAAUAUUAGUAUUUUGAAAUAUUAACCCAAAUCUCUAACAUUAACUUGAAUGACACUAGUUAAAUAUUUUAAGCUAUAAUUUUCUUUAAAAGGUAGAACUCUUAAACAUGUUUUUUUUUUUUUUGGGACCAAUAAACAAAGUACUUGUAGAUAGCUAUAAGCUCAAAAUGAUCUGAAGACUUGCUAUUAGAAGAUAAAUCAAAGCAUGGCAUAUCCCACCUCUCUACCUUUUUUUUUUGGGUUUUUGUAUUUUUUUGGGGGGAUAUUCUCCUUUUUUUAAAGUUGGAAUAGUAUUUUUUUUAUUCUAUCUCAUUAAUUAUUAUUAGUAUUUUUUUUUUUGAAAAGAGAUUUCUAUUAAUACAAAGCGGAAAAAAGAUACAUCACUUGUGGAGGGUAUGAACCCUUCCAUACAACAAUUUUGCAUUUCUCUAAAGCUAACUUAGCUAAAGAGUGGGCAAUAGCAUUACAAGAUCUAUGCGUAUACUUAAUACUAACAUGCUCGAAGUUUUUCAUUAACUUCUGAAUUUACGAAACUAUCCAAAAGAUCUCGGAUCUAUUGCCCUGCCUGUUGUUUACUAAGCUGACCACUCAUGAAUUAUUAUUUUUAAUUAAUUGUCGAGAGGUAAAAAGUUUACUAUCGGCUAGAAUUUAUCAUUCAAUGAUCUUCAAUUUUUUACCGUCAGGAACAGUUGGCAAACUGAUACAUUCUGCAAUUAUUUCUUCAGGUUUAGAUCGAAUCUUUUUCAUAGUCACAAGGUAUUUAUUUAUCUAUUUUUCUUGCUUUCAUUAUCCAAAUUGUUUUAUUUUAGUAUAAUCUGUGUUUUAGGGAAAAUUCAAAAUUGUGUUUUGUUAUUUAAUUAUGUACUGCAUUAAACUAUGUUUGAAUGAUUUUUUAGAUAUUACUCAGUUUUAUCUUUAUGGAUAUAAGGUAGGAGCAUUAUCCAUUAAUUAUUAGUCUCAAAAUAAGCAAAAGCUUGCAUAAGCAUGGUUUGGAUUCAGUUCUAAUUUGAGUUUAUGGUGUGCUUAAUUUUUACAAGAUUGUGAUCGUGUUUAUUGUCUAAAUCCAAAAUCUUAAGCAUAAGUUUUAUUAAUGAUUAUUUAACUCUUGUUAUUUAUUUUGAGAAUGUACACAAUUUUUUAAUAAGAAAUUAAUUUGGGCCCAAGGGAACUCUAUUUCUAAUUCCCAUUUUUGUGUCAGGCUGUGUUUUGAUAAUCAAAUUUCAACUACGAAUGUCAACUUCAAAUCGUUAUGAACAUCAUAAUUUGAUGGGAACAUAUGGAAGUUCAUGAAUAUUUAUCAUCGUUAAGCUAGUUUACUGCUGCAUAUUAUUUUCCUGAUGCAAAUAAUGUUUCUCAUUUUCUGCGGGGAGGAGGACUAAGGAGUAUAUAUACAGAGACACACAACACACCAGCAUAGCAAAAUAAAUGACGUAUAGUAUAAAUCAUUAUUAAAAUACAAGUGACAAAUACAUCUGCAAUCAAACAGAAACGAGCGAAGACUGAUGCUAUAAUGCACAAAAGAGAAAUGAAAGAUCAGCAACUCAGGCACUAACAGUACACAAGACUAGCUCAACCCUGUAAGCAAACCCGGCUAUAACUAUAAAUUGAAGCAAAAGCAAUACCAAGGCUACGAGAAACACAUGGAACUGUAGCAUCCGAAGAAAAAAUAAGUGGGUUUAAUUAGUUAGAUGGGGGUGGAGAGAGGAAAGGAAUAGUUGGGAUUGUGGAGGGAAUGUUUGGAAUUGAAGGGAUUGUGGUGGGAAUUGGAUUUGAGGGUAACGGAGGAAAUGUCAACUUUGGUGCUGCUGGCAUGGGAGGCAGAGUUGGCAGCUUUGGAAGAGUUGGUUGAUUUGGCAGAGUUGGCAAUGGUGGAAGUGUGGCUUGCGGCAGAGUUGGGAUCGAUGGCAUUGGAGGCAAUGCUACCUUAGGCAUUGGUGGAAGCGUUGGCAGAGGCCCCGCUGGUGCUUGCAAAAGAUUGCGAGCUGCAAUGCUCAUUUCAAAACUUGACAAUGAUAAUGCUACAAGCAUAGAUAACAGAAAGCAAUGCUUAAGAGCUGCCAUUUUAUGUUUUACCAAUAUUGGAAAAAGCAGGAAGCAAGCUUUUGAUCUAUGUGGAAUAUGGACGCAAGUUCUGAUUGUGUUUUGAGUAAGUCAAAGCAGCUUCUUAUGGCUAUUUAUAGAGAAAAUGUUACUGGAUUCAGAGAGUUUGAUGAGAUGUAGGUGGGGGAAGUGUUGAGAAAGUACAUACAUUGGUUAGUUUACCUUCUCAUAUCUAGAUUAUGUUGCUUGUUGUUGAACUCAUUCUUUGAAUUUAAAUUUUAAGUGGAUGACACAGCCCACUUAUCGUGGAAAACAUAUGCCAGAAGUGGAUAUGUCUCGUUAAAAUGCCAGUUGAGGAAUUUUAUACUUUCUUCUACAAGAAUUAAUCUCCGAGAAUAGAGAUGGAGUGAGAGACAUUGGGAUAUGUUUCAUAAACUUCAUGUCUCUAAGGUGGAAGUUGAACCCAUUAAGUCGAGCCGAUUCCAGAGGAGUUCAAGUACGUAUCUCUCAAGUCUGGACCUAACACAGAUCCAUAUCGUUUGGCAACGACCCAAAUAUGGGUCUGUCGAGUUUACUUGGGCCUGACCCAUUUAACUGUUCUGAUGAUCAAUGAAGUAAUUAUAUUUGAUCCCUCUAUUUAUCUCAUUAAAUUGAUUUAUUUUCUUGAUUAUCUUUUAUAUAUAUAUAUAUAUAUGUGUGUGUGUGUGUGUGUGUGUGUGUGUGUGUGUGUGUGUGUGUGAAUAUAUUCAAUUCUUUCUCAUUUGCUAUUUCUCUCGUCUCUUGGGUUAUUAAUUUUGAUCAAAGAAAGGAGAGUAGCUGGUGCCAUUAGUCCUCAUUAUUGUGUCCGACUCCUGUUGUGCAAUGGAGAGAACUCCUGGAAGACUGAAAAAGCAGGUAGUCUUCUUCUAAUUAGAAGAAAAUGAUUACCCCCCCGCCGCGAAAAAAAAGGAAUAUAAUCAGAUUUUUGCAUAAAGUUGUCAGCAAAUGGCUUAAUUCCUCUGAGGGUUACUUGCCAAUUGCUGUCAGCAACUAGGGGACAAAAGCAAGGUGACGAAGGUAAUGUAGUCAAGCCGUCAAAACUAUAAGUGAGAGGUUUCCCCAUGCUAUUCAUUGAAAAUCCAAGAAAUUGAGAAGAGAGCAAUUGAGAAUAUAUACAUAUAAACAUUAUUUUUCAUAAGGGUAAUUAGGAGAUAAAUAAAAUUAAUUGAAAUGUGAGAUGUAGUGAGAUAAAGAGGGAGGGUCAAAUAUUAUUGCUCUUACUAAUGUAACCUAUCUAAAGGGAUUGCUACAAUCUUAUUCUCUCAUUGUUAAUAUGAGAAGUAUAUAAUGAGACAAUAACAAUAAUAUAUAAUAGACAUUUCAAAUUGUAUUAUGUGACAUAUCAUUUACAUAAGUACUUAAUAUUUUUAAAAAUAUAUAUAAAUUAAUUAAUUAUAUUAUUUUAUAAUUCAAUUAAUGAAUCACGUAUUAUUUAUAAAAAAAAAAUAGAAUACUUAGCACUUCUUUUUUUUAAAAAAAAAAUUUACUUACAUGUACUUUAUCUUUUGCAUUUAAUGUGUCAUUUGACUUAAAUAUUACUCAAUUCUUUUCAAGGUUAUUGCAUCCAUACCACCAUGUCCAUGUGUUAACUCUACUUUAGUCUUACAAUAUUAUCUUUUAAAAUACUUCAAAAACAAUUUUUUUCUGUCAAUAUUCUUUGGACCAAAUAAAUUUAUUAUUUAUUAUUAGUUGUUAAAAACUUAAUUGGAUUUUAGUCUUACAAUAUUUUUUGGACCAAAUAUUCUUUAUGUUAUCUUGUCGCAUAACCAUGCUCUAUGAGCCAUUUUGGUCAUGACCUAUAUUAGAUAUUUUGCUUCAAUAUUACUUUCCAAGUAAUUUAAAAGCCUCAAGUAAUAUAUACACUUUUUCUUUAAGAUUUAAAUGCAUCAAGCAUUUAUAUUGCAAUGGUCUAAUUAUGGUGUUGGGUCCAUGAGUCCAUCUCAUUUGGGAGCCCAAAAGCUAAAAGUCUAAAAUGACUUUCUUGAUGUGCAAUUAAUAUAAAAGUUUAGAGUUGGAUGAAAAUUGCCAUGAAAUUUACCUGUAAAUGCAAGCGGCAGCUCUAAUUUACAUAAUCGUAAAAAAGACGAGUGGGAAAAGGGAGAAGAACCCAGUGGCUGGGAGCAAGAUUUUCAAUCUUUAAUUGGAUGAUCAGAAGGUAAAUUAAUUUUGAUUUUUCUUAAUUUUUGUGGGUAAAUUUUUGACAUCGUCUUUUAUAAUUAUAUUAGUCUUGAUUUUUAUUUACCUUCUCAUUGACUAUUAUUUGAGAUAUUAUUUGUUAUAGAGAUAAUUAUUAGGAUGUUAUUGUAAGCUAAAAAUAUUGAAAUUUUUUAUGUUGAUAGCUUUUAAUAUUAUUCAGAGAAAAAUUUGUGCAAUAAUUCUAUUAAAAUAGUGGAAGAUUUUAUCGAAUUACGGUACUAUGAUUUUUUCUGCUUUGAGUUUUCUACAUAAAAGACAUAAAACACGAAGGGCAAAAAGCAACCAAUCACACAAAACACAAUCGCCAGGGCCAAAUUGUUUGACAACACUACAUACAAACCUGUCACAAAUGCUAGUGUCAUGGAUAUGAGCGCAAUCUAAGUGAAGCCAAUGGCCAACGAAAGUGCGUCCAUAAAAGAUUCACUUUUGAUCAAAAUACGGUAACGGCUGCAGUCAUGGCUGAAGUCACGAUUAUGGUAUCUAGGGUGUUCGCGGAUCGGAUUUUAUGGAUUAGAUAUUAAUUUAUAUCCGAUCCACAAUUUUACGGAUUAUAAUGUUUCAAUCCAAUCCAAUCCACGGAUUGAUUAAACUCAAUCCAAAUUCAAUUCAUACAUCUGCGAAUCGGAUGCGGAUUUGACUCAAUCCAUAUCCAAUCCAUACGUCUGCGGAUCGGAUGCAGAUUUAACUUAAUCCAUAUCUAAUCCACCAUUUUGCGCAUUAGUUUCCGAAUUAAAAAUUUUUAGUUCUCCCCAAUCCAUGAACUAAUGAAAUUAAAAAAAAAAAUCUAAUAUAAAAAUAAUUUUACUACCGAUUAAAUUUAAAAUUGAAUAAAAUUUAAACAAAUUCAUUGUUUAAAUAAAACUAAAAUAAUAUAUUCAAAGUUUCAAAAUAUAGCACAUCGAGAUUAAUUGUUCAAAUAAAACUACAAUAAUACGUUUAAAGUUUCAAAAUAUAAUAUACUAAGAUUAAUUGUUCAAAUAAAGUUACAAUAAUACAUUAAUAUAACACUGAAAUUAAUUGGUCAAAUAAAGCCACAAUUAAUUGAAAUGACAAAGUUUCUGAAACCAAGCACAGACUGAUCCUUCACCAGGGCUAUUGUACUUGUCGAAAAGUGGUGAUUAUGGAGCCGUCAACGAUGGGAACCAGGAGAAGUAUGGGUGGCGAUCUUGAAGGUUAUGAUAGUGCAAUUGUUUGGCUGGAACCAAUGAUUGUGAAGUGGCUCGAUGGAUUCGGGGAAGAAGAUGGUUUGCUCUCCCUGGAAUCACGGGCCGACGUCCUUCAAAUCGGUGUCGAGAGUGUAUCGAACCAGUAGUGGGUGUUGCAAGUGCGUGUGACAACGGAGAAGCUUAGGGUUUUUUGUUUACAAAUUGUUGGUGACUUGACGUUAUGUUAUUUUGCUUUUGGGUGACUUUACAAAUUGUUGGUAACUUAACGUUAUGUUACUUUGCUUUUGCUAGUGCGUGUGACUUUGCUUUUAUUUUGUUUUACAAUUUUUACAAGUUAUAUUUGUAUAUUUGAUUAUUUAAUUAUUUUUUAUUUAAUAUUAUUAUUGGGUAAUGGCUAAAAUAUGUUAUAGUGCUUAUGUAAAUAUAUAAUGUCACAUUUAUAAUAUUCUUUAAUUAAAUUUAUAAUAAUUUUGUAACUAAAUAUAUAUAUAUAUAUAUAUUGGCGGAUUCACGGAUUUACAUAAAUAAAUCCAUAUCCAAUCCAUCGACUGCGGAUUUUUAAAUUUUCAAUCCAUAUCCAAUCCACAGAUCUACGGAUCGGAUUUAUACGGAUAAGACGGAUUAAGCGGAUCGAUUGGAUUCUGAACACCCCUAAUGGUAUCUAUGAUGACAAAUGCAUGGAAACUUGCUCUUCCAAGCAGAGUUGCCAUGCCUGCAUCAAGAUCAUCACUUUUGAAAGACCCUGGAAUUGUGAAGGUUGCUGUGAACGUGAAUGUGGCAAUAAGUGUCGCCAUCACUGAGAGUGUUUGAGCCAUUUAUGUGUCUCAUGUGGUUAAUUUUUUGUUUGGAUUUUAUUGGUUUAUUUUUCUGCCUAUUUAUUUGUGGUGCACACCUUAUUUUUAUCACAUAAAGAGGGAAAAAGUUUUGUUUCCGCUUAAUUUGCAGCUACUUGUGGUUGUCUCUUUCCCAACAUAUGGCUAGAAAAAUAGUUUCUAAUGAUGUUUAAUAAUAUUCAUAAUUGCUUUUAUAAAAGGUGCACUUAAUUUCUAACCUAGAUUGUAUAAGGAAACAAGUGUACAUGGUUGCUACAAAACUUUAUGAUAACAAACAUAUAUUGAAUGCAUAAAAAUAAGUAAAUUUAUAGUCCCUUCACUCAUUAUUGCUCAAGUUAAAAAAAAACAAGAAAAGGAAAGAAAAAGAAACACUCUAAUAUACUAUGAGUUCUCUAAACAAUUUCCUCUCGGUAGUCUCAUUUGACUAGAAAACAUAAGCACAAUCUCUGAAUUGGUUUCAGUUUCAGCCUAUUCAUAAGCUUUAUGUGUAUGGAAGGGAUCAAAGGCAUUGAUGCAGAGACCCUCAUGAACUAUUCCAUUUAGCUUGGCCCUUGCACAAUUGAUUGUAAAUGGUCAAAUAUAUGUUAAAGCUCUCUUUCUUAUUUUAAUUUAUGUCUGUCUAAGAUGAUGCUUGCAUUUUUUUUUUUUCAGUAUGUCAUGUGCCUAUAUAUUUCUUUUGAUAAUCAUCAUUACAACAGUAAAGGAUUUUGGAAAAUUGAUUUGUAGUUCUUUUUUUUUUCAAAUUUAAAUUAUUAUUUAUUAAAAUAAAAAAAUCUCAAGAUUUUUGAAUUAUGGUCGGGCUUGGCAUUUUUUCGAGCCCGACCCGUCUCUCAAAGGACUGGACUUUUUAUUUCCGUUAUAGGGUUGGGCCCGGGCUUUCCCGAGUCCAACCUGACCCGUUGACAUUCCUACGGGCAGGAUGAUAAUGUGAAUUAACCCUAUUAAUUAUGUCAUUUCCGAUUACGUGCACGUGAGCUGUAAAAAAAUUUUGAUACAUGGAAGACAUCUAGAAAAAGAUCCCAAGAAAAAUGAGUUCCUAUGUUAUUCCAAUCACGCAAUUGAACCGUUGUAAUAGUGCAAAUGAUUAAAAUAAAUAUAAUGUUAAAUAAAAUUUAUUUACAUAUUCAUGAAUAUAUAUAAAAAAUAUUUUUAUUGUGUAUAUUAAUCACUGAUAACUAAAAUAAAUUUUUAUUUUAUUUAUUUUUUUAUCUCAAUACAAUUGAUAUUUAGCAAUAAUAAUAAUAAUUUCUCUAACUUUAAUAAUUUUAUGGUAUAUGUGAUCAUAUAUACGAAAUUGUAUUAACUAUGAAAUUGAUUCUCAAAAUCAGAUUUUAAAAUGUUAUUUUUUUCAUACUUUUUAAAAUCUCCCGUACGAUAAAGGACCCGUUUGAGAUUUUUUUUUAGAGACUUAAACGUGAUUUUAAAAAGAUAAAAUCUAAUUUUGGUGUUUGGUUAAUUUUUUUUUUAAAAUCAAUUUUGAUAAAAUCACCCUAUCUUACCACAAUGUUUGAAAAAUGUGGAAGGAUUAACUUUUUAAAAUCUAAUUUUGAGAAUCACUUUUAUAUUUAAUACAAUUAUAUAUAUAUAUAAAUUUAAAAUUAUCUUUAUUAAUUAGGAAAUGAAAUCACUAACUUUAAAGAGAUUGUUAUUUUUACCAUUUAUAUUGAGAUGACAAAAUAAAAAAUAAAAUUAAUAGUAUAAAAUAUUUAUUUUAGCUAUAAAUAUUAUAUAUACACAGUAAAUUUUGUUUAACAAUAUAUGCUAAUUGAAUUAUUUUAAUAUUCUUAUAACAAUUUAACAAUAAUAUUUACUAAGCACAUUAUACUACUUUUAAAACUUACAAUACUUUUAAAAAUAAAUUUGAUUAAACGUUUAGUUAAUUAUCUUUACAGUUGAUUAUUUAUACUAUACAACUAACAAUAAUUACUUUAAAAACUACAGUAUUACCAAACUAACAUGAAGUAAUUUUAUAAGAAAGUGAUUAUUUAAAAACUUUACUAAACACUAAAAUUAAUUUUUAUCUUUUUAAAAUUACUUUUAAUUUCUCAAAAUUAAUCGCAAGACAUCCCUGAAGCUGGCUGAGUUGCUUGCGGCACAAGUAAUGCAUACCAGCUGAGUCCCGUGCCUUUUCUGGCCCCAUUUCCCCAAAUGAACAAAACACUCUGUUUAGCGGAAACCCCGCCAUCAGAAACACUGUCAGCCCGUCACUCACCAUCUGUCAACACAAAGCCACCACGUAGUCAUUCACCUUCAAUCCUACGGCUCUGAUUUACCAAAUGCAUUCGACACACUGUCAUUUUCCUCAAAACAUCCAGCACUCUUUUAUCUCUGCACUGAGUUUUUCUUUCAAUUUUUUUUUUUUUAUUAUUAUAGAAAAUUCAGUGCUUUCUCUCUGCACUGAUUUUUUUUUUUUUUUUAAAUUUCAAUUGCAAACAAAGCUGUGAUUUUUGUUUCACUUUUUCUUUGACUACCGGUCUGGAAGGAAAAAAGGAAAAAAGGAAAAAAGGUAAUUGAGCAAUUGAAAGUGAAGCAAGAAAGCACCAGAGCCGAACCCGGAAUGGAGUCUCGACCCGAACUCGCUAGUCAUUGCAAGAAGGAGGAUAAGGGAAAGAAUGUUUAUAAUGAAAUUAAACCAAAGAAAACCCAUUUGAGUGGGAACAACGAUGGGUGCAAAAAUAACGAAAAGGGGGCGCAAGAAAAUGCUGAAAAUAAGGAAAAGAAUGAUAAAAAUGGAACCUUUUGGACGGUGUGUCCGUACUGUUACUACAUGUAUGAGUAUGAGAAGGCGUUUGAAGAGUUUUGCUUGAGAUGCCAGAACUGUAGGAGGGCGUUUCAUGGGGUGGCGGUGGUGGAGCCAAACAAGAAUAUGUUGGUUGAGGGUAGAGAUGAGUACUACUCUGGGUUAGGGUAUUUUGUUUUGAAGUAUUCGUUGAAGCGUAGUAAGAAGAAAAAAGAGAGUGGUGAUGAAGGGAAGACUUAUAAUGUUGGUGAAGUUGUGGAGAUUUCUGAUGACAGUGAUGAGGAUGAUGGUGGCGGUGUGAAUGUGAAGAGUGGUAAUGGGGCUAAAGAAGAUGUUUUGAAGGGAAAUGUGAAGGGUGUGAUGCAGGAAAGUGGAAAUACAGAGGUGAUAAAUGAAGAGAAGAGAGUGGUGGCAAGGAAGAACGUGAAAUCAGUGCCGAGGAAUUCCAAGAAGGUGAUGGGGAGAGGUAUGAAGAUUAGGAAGAUUGACGGAGGAAGUGUUAGGGGGAGUGGAACUGGAGAGACUGAUUUGGAGUUCAUUGAGAAAGAUGGUGAUGUUUAUGUAGGUGUUAAGUCUAUUUUUGAUGGGUAAAUUUGGAGAAUAUGCGUAGGCUCUUGCGAUUUGCUGAUGGGAAUUACUCUUUUUUCUUCUGUUUGUUUAUUUGGUUCUGACAGUUGAUGGUUAUAACAGUGGGGGGCCAUGGUUUUGGGAUUAGUAUGUUGCUUGAUAGACAUAGUUGAAAAGAAUAGUGAAAUCAGGUUGUUAUCUGACAGAUGAAAGUAAUGGAAAAUUAUUGUUUUUGAGCUUUUAUUUGACUUUCUACUAUUUGAAUUCUUAGGGGGUGGCAGGAUUGAUUGAAUUUUUGGAAUGAUUUUGUGAUAAUCAUGUUGCUUCACAAUUGUGGAACAACGGUGAAGUAUAUAGAAUGUUGAGAAGAAAUCUCUCAUAUUUCAGUAGAACUAUUCAAUCCUUUCAAUAGAUAUACAAUUAAUAAAAAAAUAAAUUUGUUUGUGGAUUCUUCUCAGAGAAGAUAUCAACCCAUAUCAAGCAUUUCAGACUACAGAAUCUUAAAAGUUAUGAUGAAAUCGGCACUUGUAUUACUCAUAAAUUGCUAUUUAUUAGGUUUUUUUUUUGAAAUGGCUAUUUAUUAGGUUGAUGUCGCUUAAUCCACCUCACCUCAAUGCCAACUUAUUUAUUUGAUUUACUGGCAAUAACAGCAUUUGGCACUCCUAUUCCCUUUAUUGUUUUACAUCAUUGGAAAGGAACUGUUUUUGUAGAGGCAAAUUGGUGUUGCCACCAUGGUUUUACUGCAACAGGUAUCAUUUGUAAUCAUUUGCUCUGUCUCUCUCUUUCUUUGCUUGUUAUUUUAAUAUUUGUUCUGCUAUUUGUUUAAAAAGUGCUGUUACCUUUUCUGAUUCUGCACAUUCAGUUAGAACGAGGAGUAAAACCCGUUCAAAGUUACUAUAAUUCAAUGGCUUACUUGAAGCAACUUAGCUUAACACAAGGAUCAAUCUCCAGCAACAUUUUUUGCUAUCCAAGUUUAAUCUCGAAACCUAUAUCCAAAGUUGAAGCCAAAGAACUGGCCGCCAAGAAACAUAGUGAGGCUGAGAGGAGACGAAGACUGCGAAUAAAUGACCAGUAUGAUAAUCUCCGGAAAAUCCUACCAAACUUGGUUAAAGUAAGUGAUGGAUGCACAUUUAUUUAAGAGCAGAACUAUGCGACUAAUGUUUAUGCUACUUUUGAUGCAUAUUCUGAUUGUAAAAGGUUAAUAAAUGCAUCAACAAAAUUGCUCGUCAUUGUAAAACAACAGGUAGACAAGGCAUCAGUGCUGGCGAAGACAAUUAAAACUGUGAGGGAGCUACAGAGGACAGUAAGAGAACAGAAAGCCCUUUGCCAGGUUCAUGAGGAAUGUGUAUUCCCCAGUGAGGCAAAUGAACUAAGUUUGCGCAACUGUAACAGAGAUAGGGGGAUGUUGAAAGUGACACUGAGUUGUGAGGAUCAGCCGGAACUAAUGUCAGAUCUAUCAAGAGCACUGAGAUCAGUGAAAGGGAGGCUGGUGAGGGCAGAGAUGGUGCCAGUGGGUGGAAGGAUCAAGUGUGUACUGUGGGUUCAAGGUUUCAAAGGAAAUGAAGGAAUGGUGAUGCUUAAGAGAGCCUUGAAUUUAGUCAUAGAUCGGCCUGUUUCGCCAGGAAACAGUAGCAAACUUCGUUUUUAUCACUGACUAUUUGAGCUUAUGGAAACUGAUAUGAUAUAAUGGUAAUACAGGUAAUAAUAGGAUGAAGGAUAUGCUUUUUGGGGCAGGGGGUUUUGUAGGGGUUGCUGUCUCAGUCAUCCAGUGAUGUAAUAAGGUAAAUAAAUAACAAAGAAUGUAAAGCAAGGAAUCUGCAGAUUUUGGUGACCAAUAAUCUCAACAACUAUACCAGUAGCUUAGAAUACAGAUUAUUGGCUGACGCUGGAAUUGUAAGGUUGGCUAAAUCCUCGUUAUAAGUUGUAGUAGUAGCUCAGUUCAAAUCUAAUGCAAGCAUAAAAGCUUUAAGGUUAUUGUGAAAUGAAAACAUUACAAGUGUAACAGUUGAUGUUGUAAGUUGACAUUCCUUGAAUUUGUAUAAUUUGUGAUGACGCAUGCUGGUUCAGUUCAAAUCUAAUGUCUAGUCUACCCUAAACUUUUCAAUGUUAAGUUGCCUGUAAUAUUUCUUUCCAUAGAGGAUGCGUUACAUAACUAGCAACAAAGCUAGCUAGGUGAGAAGGUCAACUAACCAAUGCACUUCUCAGGACUUUCCCCACCUACAUCUCAUCAAACUCUCUGAAUCCUGCAGCAUUUCUUCUCUAUAAAUAGCCAUAAGAAGCUGCUUUCCCCAACUCAAGCGACAAACAGAACUUCUCUAUAUAGAUAAAAGAUCUUGCUGCCCCAGCUGCCUUCUCAAAUAUUCCUUAAAAAACAUGGCUUCUUUUAAGCAAUGCUUCCUUCUCUCUAUAAUUAUAGCAUCAUCAUUGGCAAGCUUUGAAAUGAGCAUGGCGGCUCGCCAUCUUUUGCAAGCACCAGCGGCGCCACUGCCGACACUACCACCAAUGCCAAAGGUGGCGUUGCCUCCAAUGCCCUCAAUCCCAACUUUGCCACAAGCCACACUACCACCUCUGCCAACUCUACCAAAUCAACCAACACUUCCAAAGCUGCCAACUCUGCCACCUAUGCCAGCAGUACCGAAGGUGACAUUGCCUCCAUUGCCCUCAAACCCACUUCCAACAAUUCCCACUACAAUCCCUUCAAUUCCAAACAUUCCCUCCACAAUCCCAACUAUUCCUUUCCCCUCUCCACCUCCAUCCAAUUAAACCACUAAUCCUUCAGAUGCCACAGUUGCAUUUGUUCCACGCAGCCUUGUCAUCGGAUUCUUCAUAUAUCUACAUAUGUUUGCUUGAUGGGUUGAGCUAGUCUUCUGUCUGCGUACAUUAAUUUGAUUCCGAGAUUCGAGGUUCCUGAGUCAUUGUUUGUCUGCUAGCUAAUAGUACCUAUUCUUUCAUUGGAGUUCUCGUAUUAUAUUAUUGUUUUAUGUUUGUCUGUUGUUUUAUAUUGUAAUAAUGAAUGUGAUCAUUACUUUUGCUACUUCGCUAUAAGUUGCCUUCUCUUUUGAUUUUUCAAUACGGCAUUGAACAGAUCUAGACUUCCUUGAAAUGAGCUACCGAUAACAGGAUAACGACUAACAAAUGUUUUUGCUUGCAUAAGCAUGUGCUUAAUAUUCAACAAGUUUUUUUUUUUUUAUUAAAAUUGAUUUAAUAACAAUGGUCAUUGUCGAUGCAACAAGUGUUUAGAAGAGAUGUAAAAUAUAUAUGUUAAAUUUACAAUCUGUCAAGUUUGAUUUAUAACCCAAUUUGUUAUUUUACAAAAAAAAAAAGAAGGUAAAAAUUAGAAAUAAAUGUUGUUUGAUAUUUAGAGCUGGAUUUGGUGGUGAUGAAGAUGGGUGCGGCAGUGAUCCUUGGAAAAGAGAGAGAAAGAGAGUGCAAAUGCGAAAGAAAAGAAAGGUUGAAAAAUAAACAUUAAUUUUGAGUUUUUAAUGAGGAUAAUUCUAAAAAUAAAUGAGAUUAAUUGAAAAUUGUGGGCUGCUGACAUGUAUUAAUGGAUCAAAUAUCAACACUUGGCAAACAUCUUUGUUAACCUAGCCCAAACAUCGGGCCUAAGCCCACCAGCACAUAUCCGCCCGGUGCAAUUUUUGCCAUCCCCUAGUUUGUUUAUUUGUUCAUUUUGCCGUGCUGUAACAAUGUGAUUGGUUAUAGCACGAGAAGCAGGUGUGGGAUUACUUACCUCUACUCAGUAACCAGCAGUUAAAAGUAUUAACAAUAAAUAAAUAAAUAAUAUGCAUGCUCUUUAUUUAAUCCAAGAAUCUAACAUUUAUAAACAUGCUAUCAUAAAUCCUAGAUGUGUCAUAUCCCAUUAGCUGAAUUUUCAUUUAAAUGCCAAGAUACUAGUAAUUUCAAUCCUCAGUUAUUACGAAAGAAAUAGCCCCAAGUGGUCUCGUUCGUGAUUAUCGUUUCACUACUUCAAUGAUUUAUUACAUUAAUCAUUGUGGUGAUAUCUUGACAUAUGGAAGUAAAAUAAAAGUAUUAUUAUCUUAUUUUUUAUAGUUAAUAUAAUAAAUGUUGUACUCCAAUAAUUCGUGUAACGGUUUGUUAUUUUGCUAAAGUAGUGAAAGAAUAAUAACCCUAAAUUAUUCUUAGUUGAGUGAGAAAAGGUUUAGAGUUGAUUUUGCAGUUGAUUACUUUUAUAAAAAUCGUAUGACAUAUUUUCUACAUUUUGAAAAUAACAACGACAAUUCAUGGCGCAUGUUUUGAGCCUAAACCAAGUUUGGGAGCUCUGAGGUUGAAUUACAAGUUGGUUUUUUACAUGCAAGUAGGUAUUAGUAAAACUAAAGCCUAGGAGAAAAUGAAAGCCGAUUCCGAGGCCCGAAAUAAUUUUUAAAAAUUUUUAAAAAAUAAACGAACUUGCUGAAAUUUUGGCGGAGGCCUUCUUAUGCCCCAAAUAGGAUUUUAAUGGAAAAACCCUAAGAAAAUAAAAGCCGAAGCUCUAGGGCCUAAUGUAGGCCUAGAAUCGAAAGCUUAUAGCACAAGGUCCAAAUUGGGCUUGGGAGCUUUACAGUUAAAUUUCGAGCUGGUUAUUUGCAUGCAAAUAGGUACUUACGGAACUAAAUGAUAGGAGAAAACCAUAAGUCAACUCUAAUGCCCGAAAUAAUUUUUAUUAAUUGUAAAAUUUUCUCGAAAAUAAAAAUUUUUCAAAAAAUUAAUAGAACUUUUCGAAUUGAUGUAAACUCUGAGAGAUGUCUUCUAAUGACUCAAAUAGGAUUUUGAUGGAAAAGGCCCUUGGAAAAUAAAGCCGAAGCUCUUGAUCCAAGUUUAGGCCCAGAACGGAAGGUUUAUAGGAGAUGGUUGGCCCUGAACGAGGCUCGGGAGCUUUGUGGUUGAAUUUUGAGCUGGUUAUUUGCAUAGGUGCAGGUAUUGGUGAAACCGAAGUAUAGGGAAAAACAGAAAUCGAUUUUGAUAUCUGAAAUAUUUUUCACGUAUUUUCAAAUAUUAAAAAAAAAAAAAAGUUAGGAGAACUUACCAGAUUCAAUGUGAAAUUAUGGAUAGGCUUUCUUAUGACUCAAAUAAGGUUUUUGUGGAAAAUACCUUAGGAAAAUAAAGUCCAAGCUCCUAGGCUCAUUUUAGGCUUAGAACCAAAGCCUAUAAGGCCAAAAUCAGGCUUGAAAUCUUUAUAGGUGAAUUUUGAGCUACUUUUUUGCACGCACAUAGGUAUUAGUGAAACUAAAGCAUAAGAAAAAAAAAAGAAGAAGUCAAUUUCAAGGCCUGAAAUAAUUUUACGUAUUUUGAAAAAAUUUCAACAAUAAAAAAAUCCCGUAAAAUUAAUAGAUCUUGCCGGAUUCAUGUGAAACUCUAGGAAGCUCUUAUUAUGCCAAAAAAAAAAAAAGAGUAAAAUAAAGCAGAAGCUCCUGGGCCUAAUUUAGGCCAAGAAUGGAGGCGAUAGAAUAAAGUUUUGGGCCUGAAUCAGGUCUAGGAGCUUUGUGAUUGAAUUUCGAAUUAAUAUUUUGCAUGCACAUAGGUGUUGGUGAAAUUAAAGCAUAAGAAAAAUAAAAGUCGAUUUUGAAGCCCGAAAUAAUUUUUAUGAAUUUCUAAAAAAUUAUCCAAAAAUAAAAAGAAUCUCGGAAAAUUAGGAGAACUUACCUUGAAACAUUGUGGUAGACCUUUUUAUGCCACAUAUGAAGUUUUAAUUGGAAAAAAAAACUUAGGAAAAUAAAGCAGAAGCUUCCAAUCCCUGGUUAGGCCCAUAACCAAAUGUUAUAGCACAUAAUUUUGGCCCUAAACUGGGCAUGGAUCUUUGCGGUUGAAUUUUGAGUUGGUUUUUUCACAUGCACAUAGGUAUUGGUGAAAUUAAAGUAAAGGAAAAAAAAACAUAAAAGUCGAUUCUAAGGUCCAAAAUAAUUUUUUUUUUUUUUUACAAAUUUUCAAAUUUCUUUAAAAAAAAAAAACUCCCAGUUUUUAUAAUAUUUUCUAUAUGUCAUUUUUGUAGUAAAUUUAUAACUACAUUUAGGGCUGGGCAUUAUUCGAUUUGGUUCACACUUUUUGAACCAUUUGUUUCUUACUACUUGAACCAAGCUGAACCAAAUUGAAUGUCCACCCCUUGAUAUAGCAUACAUUAACUUUUAAUAAAUUUACUAUUAUCAAUAAAAUAUUUUUAGUUAUCUAAUAAUUAAUAAAUUAAAAUUAGUAUAUUAAAAUUUUCUUCUAAAUUAAUUCCAUUACUUGAGUUUAAUCUUGUAUCACAUAAAAUACAUAACGAACUAUAUAAUUAAAUUGAAUUCUAUGACGUCCAGUUCAACCUAAUCUAAUCUAAUCCUCUUUAGCUCGAUAUACUAUCUUGUACUAUGAGAUAUUAAGCCUCCCAAACUACUGUAUUUUGGUUAUUGAUGAUAUAUUUAAGAAAAAAAAACCAUAGCUGAUGAUGCUUUUGAUGAUUGUAGGACGUGUAUUUAGUCAAAUAACAUGAGACUUGAAUAGAAUUAAAAAAAUGCUCCCUUUUCAGAUGGGGAAAAAAAAUGUCGUAUAUAAUAUUCAUUGAUCAUUUUAUUGCUGCUAAAAGAAAAAGCUACAUUUUCUUUUUCCUUUUUCUCGUUAUUUUGUUGAGCGAUGUGAUGAAGACGUAAGUUUGAGGAAAUAAUCCGGAAAGGACCUCAUGGGUCAUGACCAAAAUAGGCGAAUGAAAUGAUCAUAUAUCUAUCAUAGCAAUAAUACAAUAAAAAAAUUACACUACAUAUAACAACUCACUCCGAAGAGUGAAGUAUGAGAAUUAAAAAAAUACAUUAUGGCAAUAUAAAACUCAGAAUCUCGGAGACAAACUAAUGUAUAUAAGACAAUCCAUCAAUCGAACAAACUCAUGUAUGUAGAAAUAACAGAAGUAUAAUCAGUAGCAAGCAAGACUAGGAGAAACACAUGGAACUACAGUCCGCAGAAUAAAAAAGUGGGUUUAAUUAGGUAGAUGGGGGUGGAGAGAGGAAAGGAAUAGUUGGGAUUGUGGAGGGAAUGUUUGGAAUUGAAGGGAUUGUAGUGGGAAUUGGAUUUGAGGGCAAUGGAGGAAGUGUCACCUUUGGUGCUGCUGGCAUGGGAGGCAGAGUUGGGAGCUUUGGAAGAGUUGGUUGAUUUGGCAGAGUUGGCAAUGGUGGAAGUGUGGCUUGCGGCAGAGUUGGGAUCGAUGGCAUUGGAGGCAAUGCCACCUUAGGCAUUGGUGGAAGUGUUGGCAGCGGCCCCGCUGGUGCUUGCAAAAGGUUGCGAGCUGCCAUGCUCAUUUGAAAACUUGACAAUGAAAAUGCUACAAUCAUAGAUAACAGAAAGCAAUGCUUAAGAGCUGCCAUGUUUUUGAAGGAAAUACGAUGGAAAGCAGCUGGGACAACAAGUUCUUGAUUUUUCUGGAGAAGCUCUAUGUACUGAGUGGGGGAAAGCAGCAGAAUUAUGGCUAUUUAUAGAGGCAAAGAAAUGCUUCAUGGCGUUUGAUGAGAUGUAGGUGGCCAAGUGUUGAGAAGUGCCACUGGUUAGUUAACCUUCUCAUCUAGACUUGUUGCUUGUUAAAUUUAGUUUUUGAUUAUAUCUCUUUUGGUGUCGGUGAAAUUUCUUAGCAACACAACUAAACGUCCCUGUUCGCUUUACCAUCCCUUCAUUUCUUCUAAAGCUCAAACACAGUCAACACACCACAUUAAGAAAUUACUAUCCUCCACAUUGUUUAGCUAAGAAUUAUUCCCUCCAAAUCUGAGCAGCUUCCUUGAACUACGCCACAGUUAAUAUAACAACGUUUCUAUGGACAAUAUAUUAACGUUUCUAUGCACAAUCUCUCUCAAACAAAUUAACGGCGCCAAGUCCGCUGCCCAUUGUAAGGUUGUUACCACUCCGUAAAGUUAACUGCAAUCAGAGUUACAUUGAGUAUGAUGACUUUUGUGCCCACUUGCAUUUAACGAAAUAAAAGAAUCCGUUAUAAUUCUCAAAUCUCUAUUGCAGGUCAUUCCCAAUGAAGCAUGACCAAAGAACAAUAACUUUUUUACAUUAGAAUGAAAUUAUACAAAAGCGACUCAAAAUUGUCAGCACUCAGCACUACAUUCUCUAGUGUAUUAGCAUUGGCAGAAUCUCAUAAAAUCAAAUGAAGCAAAGGGGCAACAAAAGAAUGAUUAGUAUGAGUUGGUUUAAAAGUCUCCAAACUUGAGUUCGCGUAGCUCCAAGCAAUGAAAGUCCGGUUUUAUAGAAUUAGUGCUCCAAGCACUAUCUUCUGUCAUUGGUGAUUGAAACUUGCAUAAUUUUUCGCUUGCCCAGCACAAGGUAAGUGUAUGUCCCAGUUGCGGCCACAACAAAGAUCCCAAUGUAGAUGCAAACUGAAGUAGCACAUACAUAUAGGUACCUAAAGGAAGAAUGCGAGACCGAGACUGUUAGUUUUAAACUAAAGCACAUACAUAUAGGUACCUAAAGGAAGAAUGUGAGACCAAGACUGUUAUUAGUUUUAAACUAAAAAAUCUUUCCAACCGCAUAUCAGGAACUACAUGGUUUUUCAAGUAGUUUUUCUAUUAUCAUUUUGUUAUCAGAGAGCAGAAUUCCAUGCCCUCUGGAAAAAGGUCAAAUUUUGGUUUCAGUACUUUUUUGUGACACUGGCCCCUUUGGUUAUAUGACUAGAGGUAAAUGCAACAUAUGUUAUACAAUGCUUCAAUUAUUUAUGAAUAAGUCAACACCAGUUGAGUGCAGUGAGACUUACUUCGGAGAAAAUACACUCCAAACAAAUAAAUGAUUCCUCAUUAACAGCAAUACAAUUGUGUAUGCUGUCAAUAGAAUUGAAUUUAAGGUCAGCGGAACCAGACAAGGAAAGCCCAGCAUUGUCUGGAGAAGAUGUCCUGAAUUGACAUUCUGAGUAACAAGACAGCCCUUCACAGACAUGUAGACCACCAAUGCAAAAAGAACCAGCAAGGGAGAUGCAUAGGUGAUUAUGAGCAUUAAAACGCCAGAAAGAAGAGUUGAGUGACUAGAGAUGCCCUGAAAAAGUGUUGAUCGAUGUCCAGACAUAUUAGAUAACCAUGUUGGCAAAUUAAAAGGUUUGGUGAAAUGAAAAUAGUAUUGGAAAAAAAGACCCUGAUGAAGAGCACCACGUACAAUAAAAGCUCCAGCAACAUCAAUAGUGGCUAGACUGUUGCUGUUCCCCAAAGCAAAGUGGCCAGCCAUUCCCAGAAAAUACAGUGUAGAAAUCUGAGAGAAUGAAAAAAAGUAUCCGGCAUUAUAAUUGGACAUUCUUAGUGUAAAUAAAAUUUGUUGUAAAAGUAUACAGCAUAUUUGUUGUAAAUUAUAAAAGCACAUAAUACAAUUAAUACCUCCUAACUUUGACUUCCAGAAUAGAUUAUUUCCAAUACAGGUAAAUUGAAAAAAAAAAGGAACAAAACAAAACAAAAAGAAUGCAAUAAUUAACCAUUAAGCAAGGCCCUUUUAUUUACUAGAAGUUCUUUCCUCUCACUUCCUAGUCAAGCAUAGUCAAGCAUGAUAGCAACAUAGAAAGGGCUACUCCCGUCUCAUAACAUCAAAGAUUGUUGCUUUCAGAAAAAUAAAGAAGAUAAAACCAGUGGCUGGACAUAACAAGAUGAUGCGACCUACCUCAACCCACUCCUUAUGAUGCAGUCCGCUGUAAGAAAAAUGUAGCAAGCUAGUCAAGAUUUGCACAAGAAGCAACAAUAUAGGCAUUGCAUUAAUCGGUUGUUGAAGCAAAAGCUGCAGAAGACACCAGGAAAAUAUGUAUGCCCAACCAAUCACAUAUAAAGAAUCCUUUAGUGCCAUCAGUAGAGAUUUGUCUUUUACAUCACUGGGAACCGAAAUUGAUGAAUAGAUAUCACGACUUGAGCCCACUUUAGAUAUCUGAAUAGGCAUAAACCAAGGUGACAAUACAGCAGUGCCAACAGUAGUGCUGCCCAGAACUGCAUAGAUCAUUUGUGCCGAUAUAGUGGCACCAUAACUAGAUCUUGCAAAUGCGUUCUCUUGAUAUUUCACUAUAUGUACCAAAACCAACAACCCAGAAACUAAGAAAUUGAAUCCAACCACUAGAAUGACAUUUUUCUUCGAAGAAAGCAAAGAUAGAAAACAGAAGCCUAAGAUCACAACUGACACACCUGAGACUAGCUGAACUGUUUUUACAUGAACACCCCCAGAAUUCUCAAGCCACUUAGAUAUGUCAGGAAGAUGAGUCCAAUUCACACCACCUUGAUGGCAGCCUCUUAAUAUUCUUCCAGAGAUAAGCAGCACAAAGACAGAACACAUUUGAAACUUAAAAUUUUUGGUUCCCUUGGACAAGCUAUUUUGUGCCGGAAGCAACUGCACUGUUUUACGAAGUAAUAUAAGAAACAAGGUGGAUGACAUAAAAUGCCAGAUAUAAUGCUCUUCCUCCACCAUAGAACUAGAUGCCAUACUUAUAACAAGGAUCAAGAUAACACCCAAAACAAAAAUCUCAUCCAAAAAACACAUUUGCAUAUCAUUGUUUGAGUGAUAAUGGUGUAGCUUCUCAAUAAGGUUAAUUUCUCUACCCAUAUGAAGUGUAAGGCUCAAUAAUACCAGACAUGAUAGCAGCAUUGCUGUCACUCCAAAAGCAAGUAGGUCAACAGGUUUCUGCAGGAUAAUAGAAGAAAUGACAUUAAUCAGCCAAAAGUACUUCUCUAGCUAACCAACCCCAUAAAAAAAACACCAGCUACAGCUCAUCUCUUCAACGAAAAAGGGUUCUUUGUCAAUUCAGAAACCAUUAGAAAGAGGAAAUACAUACAUCAGUGGCUCUGCUUGAUAACCACUCACUAGCAGUUUUCAGGAACUUGUGGUAUGCUAUAACAGUGCUGUUGUAGUCCUCCCAACUGCUAGACCUACAUGAAUAAAUUAAAAUGAAAUGAACAUUAGAGCAUCAGAAAUGAUCGAAAAAGAGAUUUAAGUAAGUACUAUCAAUUACUAAUAUUAUAUAAGAAACACUCACUGUGAGACUUUCUUAGACUUCCAGGUACUGUGAAGAACUGCAGCAUUCAUAUAUAGGCAACAGAACAUCUUCUCUAAACUAUCGUUACACUCAGUGGUUACAGAUGGUUGACCAUCACUGAAAUCAUUCAGUGAAAUAUUUGCACAUGAUAAACAUGAAAUCUGUGCGUCCAGCAAUCUGAAUAACUGCCAGGAAUUCAACUCCAGUGCCCUCAGCUGAUGAUCAUCUGAGUUCAUCAAGAACAAGAACAAUGAAUGAGAUCAAAUCAUCUACACUGUACAGGAAACAUAAAGGGCAUAAAAUAUUAUCAGCAAACCAAUACUUUUUCUUUGUGUUCUUUCUGAAGCAAGAAAGAAAAUUCAUCUUAAUAAUAACCAUGGAUGGGGAAAUGCUAAUGAAAGUAACAAAACAAUGCCGAUAAUUCUACCUAUACUUAACGUAGUAAACUGGAUACCUGGAACUCCAAAACACAGGUACUCAGAAAACCUAUGUUACAUAUAUUAUUUUGCAAAGCAGAAAAAUAGAAAACAGCAGAGCUUUGUAUUAUUUUGGUUGCUCUCUUUGGAUUAUGAUCUUGACACAAACACUUGAAAUAGCAUUCGAAUCUGAAAAAAAGUUUCAUGCAUCUCUCUCUAAAUUAAUAUGGUUUUGGAAUAGAUCCUACUUCAAAUUCAAUCAAAAAGGUUGAAGGUAAAAAUCCAUCACUCCUUUAAAGUUAAAAAUGAAGAAGAAAUCUCAAAUCAUGCUUCUAUCCUCAUCUUUUUCAUUUUUCCCUCUUUCCUUGAUUUUAUUUUUUUUCCCCUUUCUCUUUUAUGAUGCUUUCAUGGCAAACCAAGAGAGAAAGAGGGGGAUAACCUUUCAAUUGAUCAAAAGUUUCAGCAAUCAAGACGCCAACAUUGUUUUUUGGAAUUGGCACACCAAGCAGAAGAGCCAAAGUCGGUGCAAUGUCAACCUGAAUCACAAGAAUCAGAGGCAAGUUUUUGAAAGAUUACUACCUCAAGUAUCAGUUCGAGUAAUUAGCUAAACAAACGUCUGCCAAAUAAGAAUAGACCAAAAAGAAAGAAAGAAACAAUAUGGUUUUGUCUAGAAUGUUUCUAGCUCUAAAGAUGACUCCAUUUAUGCAUGUGACACUUUUGAUCGUCUGAGUGUCGAAGUUUUGACUCUGCCUACAUUGUGUUAUGUACAAGUAUAACCAGUUCACAAAUCAGCAACAAAUGGGAGAAGCUUCUUCUAGGAUGGCAAGAACAAUUAAAGAUGUUUGGACCUCCUGCCUUUUUUGGGCUAGACAAUGUUUAAAUAUCAAUUGGUGAGCCCAGGCAUCUUGUGCCAGGCUUAUGAUGACUGGAACUAUGCUGGGAGUGGCAGGUGUCUUUAAUAAAUAUAGAAAUUGCAAGAUGAAGGUACCAUCAAUGUUGCCUCCAAUAUUAUACCAUGGAGUUAGCUAACCAAAAUACUAAAAUUGGGAUUGCAAACGAACUUCAGAUAGCCAUCUAUUUAGGACCAUAAAGUAGGCGAGAUGUCAAAAAAUCAUUAUGUGAUUUAGGAAUCAGAUAAGCUUGAAACCAAUCAUACCUCUUACAUUGUUAUCAAGUUUAGUACAGUUAAGUUAAUCCUUUAAUCUAAACAAUCAUUCAUGUUUAAAGCUCAAAUGCCACAGCACUGGCAUACAGGACACAUACAAGAGAAGCGCCUACCUACCUGCUCAAAAUAUUCACAAAUUGCUGGGGAAAAAAAUUGAAAAAUCAAAGGCAGGAUAAAAUGAUAGCCAACUUAAGGGUCUUUAUGGUAAAAAAUAUUUAUUUGAAAACUAAAGGAAAUUAUCUCAACUGCAUAUACAUGUGAAUACUUUAGAAUGAAAAAUGAAUAUAAAAAUGUUCAAAGUUGAUAAAAGUGAGAAACGGAAUAAAGCAGAAGGAAUACCUUAAAAAACUACUGAAAAAUACAAAGGCCAUUAAAUACCCUUUAUGCACUUUCAUAGGAAAUGAAGAAUCAUGUUCUUUUCUCUUAGUCAUAUCCAUCGCAAAUAUGGUUUAAAUUUUGAUUUAUAAAAUGAGGGAAAAUAUCAUGUGACUGUAUAUACUCAAUGCUAAUGCAUUUCAGGCCAGCAAGUCGAAAGGAAUUUCUGGUACAAUGGUGAAAAAGGAAAAAGCUUCAUCUUUCAAUUAAUUAUGGCCAUAUAUAAUAGUCUAUACUUUGAAUACCUGCUGAGCUGUGUUCUGUGUGGCUGAUUUGUAAUCAGAUACAUGACCUCUCAGGCCAACAAAAAGGGCUAGAGAGUCGGCUUCUUCAAAUGAAGACCCCCCAUGAUUUCCAUUCUCAGUCAUGCCAUGAUCGCUUACUACCACCUACAUAUGGAGUUCAAAACAGAAAUAAAUAAAUCAUAAGAUUCCAAUUCUUGAAAAUGGACCCUAUCCUGAUAAAUACGAUAACUUUGAGGGUUUAAUAUACCUUCAAUACUUAGCCUGCCCCCAAAAUGAAAGGCUUUCAAUAUUGUAAGUAUAACUGACAUAGACUUCAUUUGCAAUGAAGAGUAAGGAAAGGGUUGAAGCACUAACCAAAAGUGUCCAUCCCUGGUCAUUUUCUCGAGUCAGAAUACUAGUAUGAAUCAUCUUCACUACUUCAUCCAUCUCAGCAAGUUUUGGUGCCAUCAAGAGACUACAGUAGUUGAACAAACACAAAAUAUGAAGCUUAAAAGAAAGAAUAGGGUUGAUAAUUGUCAGCACAACUGGUUUGAGGCAAUACCUGCUGCGCCCACCAAUAUGUCCAACAUGAUCCAGGCCUAAAUAAUGAAGAAUCUGAAAUUAUGGUUCAGAAGAAUUUAAACCGUAGAAGAUAUGAACUAUGGAUCUGAUGAAAACUAAAUUCAUUUUCAAAGUCCCAAAUUCACUUUUUGUCAAAAUAACUACAAAGUAACAGUAGGUUUGGAUAGAAUUAUUAGCAGGAAAAUACUAACCAAGAGAUUCCAGUCAUCUCUGCUAAGCUCAUCUACUAAAUGUCGAGAAACAUUUUGAUCAACUUGUAUGGUAUCUUUAACCUAAGAAAAAAGAAACUUUCAGGGCAUUGCAAAAUAGCAUAUAAACAGAAAAAAUUCAAGAGAAACUCAACUCUUGCGUAUAAAUUCCAAAAACAUGGACAAUGAAUCACAAGGAAAACAACUGUAGUUCACCUAUUGGCCCAGAAACACUAUGCCACAAGAUAUUAAUGGCAUGAAGAUACCUCGAUAAGACAACUAAGCCUGCAUAGUUGGGCAGUGUAGAGCAUAUGAGUACUAUCAGCAGGUAAAACAUAUUUCCUAGAAUAGGUUUCAUAAUUGUCAUAAGCAAGCUUUCACCGAGCCGACAAGGAGAAAAAGAGAUAGAAAGUAUAAAAGAUUGCCAGCGACCUGAUAGCAUAAGAAUUGCAUAUAUAUAUAUAUAUGCCUCUAAAGAAGGCAUCCUCCUUAACAAAACGAGGAUGCCAUUAACAGACCCAAAAAAAAAAAAAAAAAAACACAGUAAUGUAUUGAAAUCUUUUUUUUUUUUUUUUGUAUUUUAGUGGCAUCCCCCACUUUAACAAAAUGAGGAUGUCCUAAUUAGAGGAGAACUCUCUCUCGCUAUAUAUAUAUAUAUCGUCUCUCAAAUGAGGAUGCUGCUAACAGACAAAAAAAUUACAGUUUCCUAUGUGUGUGUGUGUGUGUGAGUGAUAACUCUUGUGUAGCCAUUCAAAAGGAAAAAGGAAAAAGUAACUGAAACAAGAAAAUCAAAGUAGUUGACAGAAAAAAGGGAAAAUAUUCAUAUCCUGAUAGAAAGUUAUACUUACAAAGAAACUGCUAACACCAUCAUGCCUUGUAAAUAGCCCAGGAAACAACUUCAGCCACGUGUCAUCACCAUGCAUCACCAUUUUCCAACCAAUACUUGAAAACUGGCCUGAAAUUAAAAUUAAAAAAAAAAUGAAAGACUGAUACAGUUUGCCAGCUUCUAAUAAGCAAACUUAAAAUGAUUGCAUCAACGAACCAAGAAGAUUAUCAUCUGCCAUAGCUUGUGUGUUAAAAUUGAAAGCCACAUCCAAGAAUCCUCCAAUCGCCCCAGAAACCAUAGCCUAGAAUGAUAUGCUCAUAGAAUAUUAGGAAAAGUGUAUAAGCAUAAUUCCUCAAGAAAUAUGGGAAAUGACCCUCACCUUCAAACGAGGCAUGGUAACAGUUGGAGGGGCAGCCUUUGCAUGAUACCCAAUUGCCAUUCCAUUUGCUAAAAGUGACUGAGUAUAUGGCAUUGCCUCCAUAAAAGCCUUUCUUGGAGGAUUACCAUCCUUGCCAAGCACAAACUCUGCUGGAAGGCCAUCAAUAACCUAAACUAACAUUAGUUCCAAAAUAUAAAAAUAAAAAUCUAUCGCCGGUUCACCCAACACCAGCAAAUCGAAAAUUAACAAAUUGGCGCGGUUGUGUAUCAAAAAGUUUGAAAUUGUUAUCAUACCAGUAAAAUUAGCCGAUCAAAUGAUGGAGGAAUCCCCGAUAGAUCCUACAGUAAGAACACACAUUUCUAGUAACUAAAGUAUUGCAAACUUGAAAAAAAAAAAAAGAUGUACGGUACAGCAGAAUAACUUUUUUACAUUAGAAUGAAAUUAUACAAAAGCGACUCAAAAUUGUCAGCACUCAGCACUACAUUCUCUAGUGUAUUAGCAUUGGCAGAAUCUCAUAAAAUCAAAUGAAGCAAAGGGGCAACAAAAGAAUGAUUAGUAUGAGUUGGUUUAAAAGUCUCCAAACUUGAGUUCGCGUAUAGAGUGAUCUAAGUUGAUGAGGAGGUAGAGAAAUGUUACCGUAAUUCUCAUCGGAGUCAAACGCGGGUGCACGAUAACUCUCUGGACCGCUAGCAAAGAAUAACAAAAAUAAAAAUACAAAUAAAGCAAGAGGAAUUCAUAAAUGAAUGUAUUAAACUGAAGAAAAGUUGUACCUGACGCCGGUGAGAGCUGGUUUGACGGGGAAAAAGCCCCAGACGAAGAGUGAGAGACCAAUCAUUUGAAUGAUGACUCCAGCUAGGGUUAUUAUUGUCAAACUCUUGCAAGUCAUUUGAGACAUUUUUGUGGUACUGAACUGAAUCGGGAGAGAAGAUCUGGGAGUGGACGGGACUGUCAAAGUACCGAACAACUUAAUUAGUAGAUGAAAUUAAAUUUGGAGGUCCCCUAGUUCCAUUCCAACUUCCAAGGAAACAGCAUUCUUUUAUUUUUAUUUUUUUCCUGGGCAGAUUUUUCAUAAUUUGAACUUGAUUUCUAGAGUUCUACAUUGCAUCAUCUUCUUUUUUUUAACACCUGUCUGUGAUGCAUACAAAUUAGGAUUAAAAAAACAUUGGGACCCUAACAUUAUUUUAUUAUUAUUUAGUGGCCGGGUUUAUUUACGAUGAUUCACUAGUUGAUCAGUGUACCAUUCACCGUUGCUCAAUUCGAUAAUGCAAGAAAAAUCUAGUUUUGCAUCACAAAGUGUCCCGUACUUCCUCAAUUACAAUUUCAGUCAAAGGAACAAAAAUAAAGAAUAAAAAUACCUCAUCCUCGGCUCUCGCCCUCUAGCCAUUGUAAUUUACAUUUUAGUAAAAGGAAAAACAAUCCUCGGCCUUAGCUUUAGCCAUUAUAAUUUAAUUGGGGUAAAAUUUGUUUAGUUGUUAUAUUUUGAGGUUAGUACUUCAGUCCUUAUAUUUUUAAAAAUACCUCAAAAUAUUCCCGAUAUUAAAUUAUUAGCACAUUUCUAAUAUUAACCUCUUACAAUAUAUUUUUGGACAUUAGUAAAAAGAACAAAAAUUAAUUAUCAAUUUAAUCUAAAAAAAUAAAAUAAAAAUAAAAUUAAUAUAUGUUACUUUUUUGAGGAAUUAAUAUAUUAAUUUUUUUAUUACUAAUGUCCAAAAAAAUAGGUAAUUUAAUUAUUUUUACAAUAAUUUUUUUUUGGACACAUGUAAACUUUCACAAAAAUUAAUAUAUAUUCUUUUUAUUUUUAUUUUAUUUUUAAAGUUAAAUUGAUAAUUUAAUUUUUGUUCUUUAUAUUAAUUUUAUAAAAAGAAACAUUAUUGUAAGAGAGUAGUAUUAUAAAAGCAAAUCAAAAGAACAAAAAGUGAUGUCAAUAAUUUAAGAGUAUGGAUGUUUUGAGACAUUUUUAAAAAUACAAGGAUUAAAUGAACACUAAUCUUAAAAUAUAGGGAUGAAACGAACUUUUACCUUUAAUUGGAGAGAAAUGGGAGCAAUUUAAUCCCCUUGAAAAAAAAAACAAUUAUAACUUAGUCUUCGCCGUUAACUUUUCAUACAAGUUUAUUGGGAAAAAAUAAUUGGAUAAAUCAAUUUCAAAAACCAUCACGAGCUCCAGCAAACAAUUAAAUAAUAUAUUAAUGAUCGAUGUGUUGCACAAAAUUGCUAUUAGUGUCAGCAAUGAUCAUUGCGUGUAAAUACAAUGCACAAUAGAUUACAUUACAAGUUUGGUGUGCAGAGCUUCCUUUUCCAGAAGCAAAGCAAAAUCCAUUACAUUUUGCCGCACCAAUUGCAAUGGAACCGUCCGCGCAAAUACAAACACAGAUGAGCGAGCAUACAAUAUCCAUCUAAGGCAAACGACAUUCUCUCUACACCACCCAUUUUCACGACUUCACAUCUUUUAGUACUCCACCCUUUUCAAGCUCACCAACUAAGUCUCUCAAUGAUGGAACUUUCAUGGCCAAAGUCCUGUACAGUCUAGAAUAUCGUGCGCGGGUUCCGUCUGCCGUUCUUGCAAGUGCAAGCAAGCUAAGUGCCUCGGGAAGCUGGGAGAAUACUUGUUUCAUCUCCUCCAGGGUCAUAUUUUCCAGAACAGAUGGUCUUGGCACAACCCGGACAAUUUCACCACCUUUUGGUUCCUGAACCCGGGCAUCUGCUUUAAUGACCAGUUCAGAAUUUGAGUUUGCACCGCAUUUGAUAAUAAAUGGGGUUGUUGUGCCUGUGUUAAACUGCAAAACAUUCCAUUGGGCCACAUCAGUUUCAGUACCAGACACCAAAUCUGCCGAUUGUGUUCUAACAUGUGAUGUUUCCAGAACAUGGUCAUCUUCUUCACGAAUUGUCUGCAGCAAACAUAUGAUGAUGCCAAUUAGUUGAGGGAAAGAAACUAAUUACAACCAAGUACAAAUUCAGAUAGAAUGGGGAUGCAUUAAAAAUAUAAAAACAUUCAGUCUCUAACCCCACAAACUCCUUUUGCCUUUGUUGUAAUGUCACAGAUAAAUGCAUACAUGGUAAAAUUUAUAUCUAUUUCCUCUAAAUAUAGCACAUAUUUAGGCCAUUCCGAUAUUUUACCUUAUUUUAUUUUUCUUGAAAAUAUUCCUAUUUUAUUUUAUUUUUCUUGCAAAUAUUCCAAUAUUCAGAACACAAACUCCUUUUAUUUAUUUAUUUUUUGGGGAAAUAAGCCCAAGUCUUGAUAAUUAUGAAGAGGAACAAAUUUGUGACAUGGGACCAAGUGAUGUCCUAGCUUACUGACAGGGUUAGCACCACCCACGUAGAGAGGAUCUGUUUGUGAUAUAAAGCCAACCCCCAUUAACUGCAAGAACCUCCUCUGAUACAUACCAAAAACAGGAAAUGAAAAAAAAAUGUUCAAACAUCAAAUUGAAAAUAAAAUAAAAAUCUGUGUACCUCAACCAUACGACGAGCAUCAGCAAUUUGCCUUUGGGCGCAAGGAUGAUCAAUAUCAAGAAGGGAAGGCAUCCGUUCUGCAAGUUCAUCUAGAGAAGUAAGCAUCGCCUUCUUUUUACUUCUACUCAAGGUGUUUACAGAGGACUGUCUCACAGCAUCCUGUGAAAAAUAUGCAAUGCUGUUUCUUUAUUUCUCUAUGGGAUGAACAGCAGAAAGAGAAUAUUUCUCAUAGAGAAGUAAAAACCUUGACUUGAUUCAAUAUGCCAUCCAGAGAAAUGAGAGAUGCUAAUCGUGCAUCUUCAGCUGCAGUAGAGGGAUUCCGAAUAGGGGAACCACCCUCUUCCAAUGUUAGCAAGGCUACAUCACUCCUCAUCUGUUGCAAAACCUGGUUACAAGAAACAAUUAGUUCUAAGAUCUGCACUUGCAAAAUGGACAAUUUCUAGAGAUAAAACACACGAUCAUAUGGUACCAGAAAACAUUGUCACUAUAAAUGUAUUUAUAUGCGUGAUACUGCAAUAUAUCUAAACAUUACAAUCCUAUCCAAGUAAGGAAUAGAAAAGAAGCUGAAAAGACAAAUACAGUGGCUAAAUGAAAGUGACCAACCUUUCUUCUUCUGUGAUCGACAGACUCAAGAGCUGAACGCAGCUUAGAGACUUGUGAUGCAUCUUCUGCAUCUUCUGUUGCUAAGGUGCCAGCAAUAUCCUGAUACAGAAAACAUAAUAUUAGCAAAAUUUUGAAUGAUCCAUUGAACUAGAGAAUUAAAAUGAAACAAUAUAAGUGUGAACAACUAGACAUGUUCAAAGUAUUCAAAAGGAAAAAGGAAAAUAUCCAUCCUUAUUACAGAGUAUUUAAAGAAAAUUUAAAGAGAAUGCUAAACCUCAUUCCACAUAGCAAGAACACAAAGAAAAUGUUUAGGUGAUCUCCACCUAUAUAAAGUAUCUUAUCUCUUCCUAUCGAUGGGAAUCAGAGUUAUCAGAUCAGGUAAAAUCAUCCUUAAAAGUUAAGGAAGCACUUUGGAAACCCAAGAGAAUUCAAAGCUGAAGAACAAUGAACAGACAAAUAAUACUGUAGCUCCUUGAACGCCAAACAUUAAGAACCCUAGAGCCGUGUGAUUUAUGGGAAUGUGUCGUAGGCGUGUUCCCAGGCGAACCAAUAACAUAAUAAAAUUCGGAUCUGUAAGGAGUAAAUGCCUUCCUUCUUAAAAAGGAAAAAUAAAUUCUGAAAGGAAUAAUCCCUAAAGAAAGCAAUGCAUCCAUUAAGAGACGAGCAGUGACCUAAUAGAAUCAAGAUACUGAAAAGUUGUCAAUAGAAAUUCGUGCCAGCAACUAUUCAGCAGGAAUAAAAAGAACACAAAAAGACUGAAUCAGUCCCGGCCUACUUAUCCAAGAACUUUUAGCAGCCAAAAAUUUGUAGUAGGGCAGAUAUGAAGGGAAUUUACUCUGCAGAGAUUUAAAAUCGAAGGGAAAAGGCAGAUCCAGCUGCUAUGGAACUGAAUCACACAUUUAACUCCAAUAUGUCAAAAUGAUAUUGCUGGGACCAAUUAUACUGAGGGUCAAACCAAGAAAGCUCCAGCCAGUGCUUAAGACAUACCUUUAAGUGCUGCAACUGAGAAUUAUAGACCCGCUUUGCAUACUCCGACAGAAGCUGGCCAAGGGCAUCAGUACUUGGAGGCACAGCACCACCAAGUCCAGCCAUCCAACCAUCCAUAAUUGCAGUUGAAAGAAGUUCUAACUGACCAGUGGUCCCUCCUGAUGCAUCAUCUCCUGUGACAGAAAGAAAUUCAAAGUUUUCUGCAAGCCAGGACCUAAUUUGCCGCUGCAGCUCACCAGCUGGGGUAUGAACAAAAAGAGCAGCAAGAGCCUUGUUUCCUGUGGCAAAACUCUUGGCUUCCUCUUGAAUUUCCCUUAGCUUUCCACCGGUGACCUGAUGCCUCCAUGUAUCCUGUAGAUUUGAGUUCAUAGUCUCACAUAAGAAGUUUUUCAGGUCACUACAAGUGAAAUACCUAAAGAAGAUAAGAUCCCAUUCAUUUGUGGAAAGGCAGGUUAUGCUAGGCAGUCAAGAUAAGAGACACCGAUAAACAAAAUGAAAAAAAUGGGAAGGAGAAUACACACUGCUCUAAUUUUACAUCAAACCCACGUUUAUACGUAUAUACCAAAGAAGAAAAGCAGAGGGGAGUGGGAGGGAGGAGCAAAAAUGCCAUGAUAAAAAGUAACCUGAUCAAUUCCUCGCAUUCUCAAAACAACUGAUGAUAACUUGGACUUCUUUUCUGGCUUUAAGUUUAUUUUAAAUCCUUGGAUCUUCUCAUCGACAUAAUGCACAGGAGAUCUUGCAGGGCUGCUACCUCGACUGGAGCUUCUACUACGCCCAGUAUUAGACUUUUCUAGAAAGCACUCUACAGGAGAGACCUACAAAUUUGAAUCAAAUACAUAUUGAUCUUAACAUGAAAAAAAAAAUAAUGGAUGCUCAAUGAAAGAAACUGACAGAUAUGCUAGCAUCUCAAGUCAAAUUACCAUGAUGGACUGCAAUUCAGGUGAUCUUGCAAGCAAGGAUCUUAUAUACAAAAUUCUGACGCGGGAAACCAGCAUAGUGUCCAUCACCCUAGUUGGUUCCAUUUUACGGAUAAAAGCGAAUACAGCAUCUCUAAUUUCAGCAAGUAUUUCAUGCUCUCUAGAAGCACCUGCUUUAAUAACUGCUGCCAAAACCUGCAAUAAUUGGACAACUAUUUAUUUAUUUUUUAUUAUCUCUUUCUUUUUGCUGGUGUUUAUGGUGGCCAAAAGGGGUGCGGGGAAGAGAAUUAAUGACUUGUCGUUAUUCAUGGCAUAAAAGCUACCAAAUUUUUACUAAGUUAAAAUUUUGAACAAACAAAUGCAAUUAAAUCAUACAACACAAAAUCACCAACACUUAGCAAUCAGUCAUCCAUCAGCAUAAUAGCCAUAAAUACAAAUACUCCAUCCAUGGAACAAAAAGGCACUAAAACAAAUCCUAAAUAAACAUUGCCUGGAUCCAAAAACUUUAAUACGGUAACAAAAUGUCAAAACCUGUUCUAAAAAUAUCGUUGAGGAUCAAGAAAAAUAGUUUUGGAAGAAUCUCUAAGUUUGCAAUCCUCAAAGUUUUAAAGCAUGCGCCUGUUGAUAAUUUCCUAUGACUAAAGAAACUAAUCACUAAUGGAAGAUUAAGAAACUUGAAUAUGUAUGUUCUUUGUUACAGGAAACACCAAUGUCGAUAUAAUUCUCUAUAAUUCCAUCCACAAUAGUAGACUUGAAGGACUGUGUACAGUGAUCCUAAAGUAGAGCACACACAAUGAUACCAUUGCAGAUCUUCCCAACAACACAGAACAUAACAUGACAGUAGGAUUGCAAUCUGAAAGACGUAGCUGAUAUUGAAACAUACCAGCAUCAGAAGCUUGUUUGCUCCAUCUGAAAUGACAGCAAGAUUGUCAUAUUGUUCUGGAUUAAAGUCAUUAAGAGCAGCAGUAAGAUACUCCCCUGCAGGUGUAGUUUUAAUUUUCUCGGAACUUGAUUUAACCAAAGCGACUGUGCCCUCAGUCUUGUCUGCAGAUAAUGGCAAGGGAGCAACAUCUACAGGAAGUCCCUUGUUGUUAAUAUCAUUCCUGUGUAAAAAAAAUCACAGAAUUCAAAAAACAACUAUUGAGGAACCAAGAAAAGAAAGCCACAAAAAAAUAAUAACUAUCAAACUCUAUUUAAAUACACACCUUGCCAUGUCCCGUGGCUGAACAUUCACUGAUCCUUUAGAUAAUGGACUUGACAGCUAAAAAGAAAGACAAAAAAUUAAAAUCUGGAACAAUUUUUAGACAAACAAUAUAAGUACCUGUUACACCGACGUAAGGAAGAAAAAACCACCUGGGGGGAACUAACCGAAGAAGCUUUCUCUGUUAAUCUAUCAAACAAUUUUUCAUUUUCUUCAUGCAACCUCUGCAGAAGCAACAAAUCAAAUAGUCCAUUACGAUGAAGCCAUAUUGAAGGAACGAGUGUGUGUUAACUUUGCAAGGGAUUGAAUCAUUCGACAGAUGGACUGAGGAUCUAAUCAGUUAAAUCUGGGAUAGAAUUGAAGGUCUUGAAGUUUGUGAAAUAUUCUUGGUGCAUAUUUCUAUACUCUUUUCCCCCUCAGAAUCUAUAUUCAGAAUUAUUCAAAACAAAAUUUGUUUCUCAGUUACCAUUACAAGUACUCAGGGAUCCAAUCCAAAGAAACAGCAUUUUAUAGGUCUCACUGAUUCAACUACUAUUAGCAAUAGCUUCCAACAAGGAGGAUAAGGAACUAUAAAUUUUGCAUUGCCAGAAACGAAAAUGUAAAAAUAAGACAGAUUCAAGUUGAACGCAACUCAGACAACAGCAAGGUCAAAACAAAAGAUUCCAACGGCUAAAUGCCUAAAAAAGAAUAACAAUAAUGUGGCAGACCUCAAUCAGGGCAUCACGUUUUUUGAGUUCUUCCUCAAGUUUCUUGCUUACUGCUGAAGAAUCCAUACCAUCCCCAGUUGUCCUCAAGACUGAUGAAACAGCAGGCAUUGGUUCUGAGCGAAUUGUUGACCUUACUUCACUAGAAUGGAGAGCUUCAUUGAGUUGAGAUUCAAUGCUGUUAAUCUUGGCCUAGAUAAGAAUUUCAAAACAGAAAUAUCACCAUUACAAUGAAAGUAUGUGCAAAAUAAAUUCUUUUAUCAGAAUAAACAGAAGUGUGAACUGCAGAAAUUUGAUGUUGAUGAAAGUUCAUCCUAGUCCAACUCAUAUUUUUGUCAUUAAAAGUCAAAAUUAAAUUUUCUGCAAUAUUUACAGUUACACUUAGGCACUAAGCAACAGAAGUUUAGAAAUUAUUAUUAUGGACAUUAUUGUCUUUGAUCAGAUUGACUAUUGAUAACAAAUUCUCCUUUAGUUCUGAAACAUAUAAAAGAAUAUUUUAGAAAUAAAGAAAAAAUGGUUGUAGGUAAGUUAUCACCAACAGAUUUAAUUUCGAGAGAAUACUAUGAAACAAGGCAUUUUCUCCCAUGACAUUUAAGUGGCUGUGUAUGACAUCCAAUCACCCUUGUACUUAAGGAAAUAAGUUGAAAAUCAUUAUAGAGAUAUCAUUGCAAAAUGCAUCUACAGCAAGGCCAAUCAAUGCACCAGAACUACUCCUUUUUCAGUAUUAUAAAAUUAAAAAAAAAUGUUAAUAGGAAAACGAACCUGCAAUGUCUUAAUUGUGGAAUCUCUCUGUUGAAUCUGCAUUUUCUGUUCCUGUUCCAAUUGUAACAAUUGAGCUACCUGAUUUCUGAGCUGGGCAUUUUGUUCCUUCUCUAUCUUAUGCUUGUCGGCAAGCAUAUAAUUUUCUGACUGCAUCGAACAAAAUUAAUGAAACAGAUUAGCAACAUAAUUACUGGAAAUGAUAAAAAUAGGAAGCAAUGCACAGUAUGAACGUCAAAAUUAAAAAUUAAAAAAAAUGAAAAUUAAGACAUAGUACUGGAUGAUGUAUCAAACUCGGACCUUUUAAUAAAACAAUGAAAAAUUUAAUUGUGACAGAGAAGAAAAUGUAACUGUGUAAGAGAAGGGCAGAAACUUGAAACCAUCUUUUCCUUCACUGUUUUGUGGCUUCAAAGUUAUGGUACAAGUUGUGCAAAGAAGCUAAUUUUUUGUGGGUCAUUCCGGGGUGUUGCGAUUCCCUUCUUAUGGAGAAUCCCUUUGCUUUUGGUAGAGGAACCAAGGCUAAAACUCUGUAGAAAUGUGCAGUGGCAGCUUUGGGUUGGGUAAUAUGGGAGGAAAGAAAUGUUCGCAUUUUUAAGGGCAAAAGUGUGGAUAAUGUUGAAGAGAUGUGGGAUAGAGUUCGUUUUCUUACUUCACUGUGGGCUUCAGUUUCUAAGGAGUUUCAAGAUUCAUCUUUUUCUUCACACACCUAAAUUGGGUUGGGGUUUUGAAAUAGGAAGUUAUAUCUGGUUCUAACCUUGUUUAGGGGUGUUUGGGUAUACUUUUGUAUAACGCAAAUAGUGAUAGUCUUUGUUCUUUGUUUUUUGGGUGGACUGCUGGUCCACUCUGUUUUUUCAUCUUCUUUAUUAAUACACUUUUCAGUUUCUUAUCAAAAAAAAAAAAACCAAGAAAAUGUUCACUGUAUGAUAUAAUAUGGAAGACUAUCAUAAGAUAAUAAAAAUCUCAAGCCAAAAAGGGAAGUAAGAUAUAAGAAUGCUAAAACUAUCAAGUAAGAUGUUGCAGAAUGCUAAAACUAUACCAAACCAUGAAAUUACAGAACCUUUAAAUCUGACUGUAAUGUGAAAGACACUUUCCAAGCUUUCUGAACUUCGUUGUAGAGUAGGACACAUUGAUCAUUUGCUUCUUUAAGUGCUUGUCUAAGUCCCAAAAUCUCUUGUUUAAGAUCUUGGAUUUCCUUUUCCCUUUCAUACAACUCCUUACGUGCAUCAUUUGCCUACAAAAACCAUCACAAAAAUAGAAAAUUAUAGAAUUGGUGAUUGCAUCGGUACAUUACCAACACAACUAGCAAAGCAUGAACUAGGAGCACAAGUUACAGUUGAUGUAAAGUUAUAGUGAAAAUAAAAUAAAUUUUAGAAAAGGAAACUCAAUCCUUGAUUGUAUGCUAAAUAAGUGCUACACUACUUAUUUGUGCUUUUCUGAUUUCCUUGAAGCUUUUUGGUUUCUCAUCAUCAAUGUAAGGUCCUUGCCAAUUACCAUUUGCACGAUAUAAACAUUCUAGUAAUUCAAGAUAAUAUAGUAGUUAUCAGAUGAGAUUCCUUCAGACCUAGGUAUUGAACUACUGGAGGGUGCGUGCAGUUAGCUCACCAGAAACAAGUUAAUUACUACUGAAGAAAUCACAGCUUCAUAAAAUCAAUAUGGACACAAGUUGAAAGAACAAAAUAUCCACUAUAGCAGCACGUAAAGGAACUCACAAUAUCUCUCCAUUUCUUAAUUGUAUCUCGAUUUCCAAGGCUCAGAACAGUACUACGAGCUCUAGAAGAGAAAUUGAGAGAUGACAGCGUCUCAGACAUAUUCGCAGCAUUUGGACAUAUAUUAACGAUCAUCAAAGUUUUAGAGCUUUCCCCUACAGAAAAUAUGAAAGUAGUAAAAUACAUUGUAAAUAGUUUGAAAUUAACCAAUUUCAGCAAUAAUUAAUCUUCAAUUGCUCUUGACAUUCUGCCAAUCACAAAGUCCGACCAAAACUAGCUAACAAGUAGAAUAUAAUACCUAGAGAGUCUGCAAGCACUUUGGUCAGCAUUGAAUUUUCAUAAGGCACAAUAUCCUUUCUUGAAGUCAAAGAAGACAAAACAUCUCCCAAUCUGAAAAAUUUACAUAUACUGCAAUUAGAACAUAGCAGAGGAUCACAGAUAUAAUUCAGAAAACAUGACAAUAUUACUACGCGAUCAACCUAUAACCUAUAUGAAUAAAUCACAAAUGCAGUGAAAUCCCCACAAACCAAUACAGUGAAUUAAUGUGUUUAUACUAAUCAAUUUUUUCCCCUGAAAAGCAGAUAAAUGAAUAACGUAUUUAAUUAACCAAGAGACAGCAACACAACAUUGAGCGACAUAACACUCAAAGAGGUGGGGAAAAAAAGCUUCAGAAUUACAAUGUAUGAAUGUAUUCCCACAACAAGAAGCAAGCAGGGACCAUAUGUGCCCACACAUUGCAACUUGAGAGGAACAGUAAAUAAAUCAAAGGAAGAAAAGGAAAAAAUGGGCAUACGCUGAAAGUGAUUUCAUGACAUGCAGCACAUCUGUAAUACGCUCCCCGCUAUCAUCCUCUGCAAUCAAACCUUCACUUCCAGCCAAGUCAACAAGAGAAAGCUUACUAUACAAGUUUUCUCCAGUGAUCAAAUUAUUAUAGUAUAUGUGUAUCAUAAUGAUCCUGACAACCACAAAAGAAAUCCACACAAAUGAAUUAGAUAAUGGCACUUACUAUCAGGACGAUUAUCUGUGCACGACAACAAUAAAUAUAUUAGUUCAAUAGAAUGAAAGGAAAACUUUGAUUCAGUACAUACAAAUGAGAAACAUUGAAUUUAGAAACAUCAUUUCCUCGGCUCUGAAAAGCAGAUUUCAAGACUUUAGAAAACUCCAACGGGUUAUCAACUUUUUCCUGCACAAGUUCUAUAGAAGACUCUAGAGAUUGCAAGCGAAUUUUAGCUAAACCAUUCCCUGUUUGUGGGAGCAACUCCCUUAGCUACAAGAACAAGAAAAGGGUCUUCAUCAGAACAUUUCAAAGAUGCAAUACUUGAAGCAUUAUUCAACAAAAAUAAAGCCAAAACAUAAAAAAUUGUGAAAAACAGACAAAGGUGGGGAAUAAUCAGUAAGUGAAAAGCAUGAACAAACCUGCUCGUUGUAAAGCUCAAAAACUGUAACAGCAAAAUUGAAUCGAGCAGUUGCAGUUGUAUCAGAAUUCGAUAAAUCAAAAAGCUCCUCAAAACAACGAGCAUAUAGACCACGAUCAUGGCUAGAUCCUUCCUGGGCAAAUGAAAAGCAUGUCAAAUAAUGCAAUCAUUAGAAGAUUAUCAUGAAUUCAGUUAAGAAGUAUGUUUAACCACUAUCAAGUUACGAUUUAUCAUCAAUAUUGUUUACACCAGGGCACAACAAAAAAAAAAAAAAUACAAACUAGGCUAUACUAAACCCUGCAAUGGAAUGGAAAUUAGAAUCCCUUGAAAUUUAACCUAAAAAGUAAGAAAACUUAUCAAGAGAGAGAGAGAGAGAGAGGCCACCAUGGUGUGUGUCUUUCCUGAGUGAGUUUGUCCAUAGGCAAAUAUAGAAACGUUAUAUCCAUCCAAAGCUGAUUGUACGAAUGGCUGAACGUCACUGAACAGUUCGGCUGCACAAAAGUGGUGCACUUCAUUAAGCCUCUUUCUUAUGGCAUUUCAAACCUGUAGAAUAAUGAAUGACUAGGGAAAAGUAAAAGGAAAAAAUUCCACACUGGAAAAUGAUAGAGAAAGGAAAUUAAACAAAGAAUUAAACGCUUGCCUUGUCCAACAUGCGGUCCAUAAACUCGAUCAAAUUCAAAAUCCUUCUUGGGGUUGGAGAUGGUAUCAUCACCAGUGUUAACACGGAUGGUGCAAUCAUCAGUAAAUUCAACAACAGAAGGUCCUUCAUCUUCAAAUAAUGGUCUUGUACGACAAAAUACCUUUAUGUUUCCUGAAAUUUACAAUCUCGUUUCUUCAAACAAGAAGAGUGGCAGAAAUCGCUUUGAGAAGUACAUGUUUAAAUAAGUACUGAAAGAACAGGGAAAAGAGAGCUUUUACAUGAAAUGAGAAUGUGUAUGCGCAUAUGUGCAUGUCUGAGAGAAAGAAUGAUCGAGGUCAGGGUUGGAAAGGGCAAACGAUGAGUACCUUUGGCUGUCAAUAAGUCAUUAAACAAUCUUUUCUUCUCAUUGAUCAGUGGAGAAAUUCUAGCUUCAGCUUCAAGGGCAACUUGAUCUAACAUUUAAAUUUACAUAACAUUUAAAAAUCGAUAACAGAACCCAAUAGCAAUCUAAGCUAGAGAAGCAGAAUAUAGCUUUGGCAUUUGAGAUGCAAAGUCCUUAAAAUUGGAAAGAUUCAUAAUUAUACUAUCUCCGGACAGAAUUAUGCGCACAAUAACCCUAAUAUAACACAAACCAUAAAUAUUACGAGUCCUGUUACAUUCUUUGGAAAGUGAAUUCUAGUAAGCAUGUCAAAUAUAUUACGUAUAAACAAGAGCUUGGGCAUAUACUCAAUCAAAUAAAAAGCAGAAAAACUAAAAACUUAGAAAACAUCAUAAUUUUUUCUUUUAGACCAAACAACUCAGUUACUUACCUAGUUUACGAGUUUUAUCAGCAAGAACACCUAGAUAUCGCGUAACUCGGUCAAUCUUUGCAUUAGAGUAUUCUUGCAGAUCAGUUGCUUCUUGUCUCAAUUCCAAGUAAUCUUCUUUCACAAACUGCCCAAAAAAAAGUAAUACAAGUAUCAUAAAACUGAAUAAACUACAUGAUCAACAUCAUAUCAACAGUGAUGUUAACCAUAUGAAAGCAUAUCAUCUUACAGAAAGACAAAAAUGACUUAAGGCUCAAAAUUGUCUUCAUUAGACACUUGUAGUUCUUAAUCUAUCUAAUGAUAAACCGAAUUUUCAGUACUGAUAUUGCUGCUCAAAAUAUCUUUUUGCCCACUUUAGCUAUGAAAUAUUUUACUCACUUAGCCACAUAUCUUGUCCAGAAGAUAGCAAACCUUGUCUAAAAUAUAGUGAAAAAAAGAAACAAUAUAAAGGAGCUUAUCCACACAUUACAGGUUCUUGGAUCCUCAGAAAAUGAUUCCUAUUCUUCUCUUUUUCAAAAAAUAAUUAAAAAAUUGUCCCAUGAUCAAUAUUUAUUCCAGACAAUUGAAUACUCAAAUAUUAAUUGCUAACCUUGGUAAUUUUUAGAACCAAAAAUAUUGCCAAGAAGAGUUUUUGCACGAAUUAGAGUCCAAACCAUUGUUAGUAUUUCUUCAACCUUGCUAUGAACUAGUAGACUUGUGAAAAAAAGAAAAAAAAGAACCACUAUUCUAUCCCAUCCAAUAGCCUACUCGAAUAUUGCAAUUUCCUCGGUAUAGUAAUGAGCACUAAAUGAAAACAGUGCAGAAACUCAUAAUAAACCAAUACCACAAGUUUCAACAAUCAAGGUCCUGCAUCAUUAAGUGACAAUUUUACACGACCUUAAAGAAUAAAUUCAUAUAUCAACAAUUCAUUACAAGACCUCAACUAGUCCACUCAUUCACAACCGAGUCUCCCGUUCUACUAUGCCAAGGCCAAUGCCACAAUCUAAUGAUGCAUCAUGUCUAGAGAAUCACAUAACAGUGCCAACAAGCGGUGCUAGACCUAGGACCCCCAUUCACUGCGAAAAGAAAGGUCACUCCUAAUCAUAAUUAUAAUUGGAAAGUUUAAAUUCAAGUCAGUUGCCAACAACACAAUGAACUUUCGUUUUUCAAACAUGCCAAAUAAAACAGCAACAAUUUUAUAACAAUUAAUACAUAAAUCUAAGUAAACCAAAUAGAAAUUCUAAAAUCACUUUUUUAUCGGUUAAAUAAAUUUUGCAUGUCGCUAAUCCGUUCAAAUUGUAUUAAAAAGAAUCGAAAUUAUUUUAACUCCUGCAUUGUAUUCUUCACCAACACAACUGCCUAACUCUCCCGUAACUUUCAAUGCCACAAAUCAUUUCACACAUUGUAAUUAAUUCAUCUGGUCAUCACUCAAAACCAUCAGUAGAAUAACUCAACAAAACACAUUACCUUUAUUUCGUCCUUCAACCGCUGGACCUUCGUAGAUAGCGCCUGCUUCGAAAUCUCCGACGAAUGCGGCAAAGCAGAGGCAGCGGAGAUCGCGUAGCGGCGAACCACCGGAGCAUCAGGCCUCCGGUCCUCGCGCUCGAACUGCAACGACGACGACGACGAAUUCCUCGGCUCAAAACCACUCACCUCCCAGUUCCACCUGUUCUUGUUCUCCGCCAUUACAAACAAACAAAACCCUAGCUCACUCACCCACUCACAACACUCUUUUAUCUUCUUUCAAAAUUUCAGUGCAAAUUGCAAAACAGUUUCGGCAAGAGACGUUCAUCUAUCUGAUCCUUUUUCGUUUUUGCGCAUUUCCCAUCAUUUCCCCCCGGCCUCGGAUAAAAAUGAAAGGUGGAGGGUACACGUACACUGAGGUGAUACGACGUCGUUUGAUAAUAGAUGAUUAAUAUAAGGACACUCUACGACCUUUUAGAGCACAAGUAAACUUGUGCUUGGCAUUGGUUCACGAUUCGCUUUCUUAAAAGUGUUUAUUAUUUUUUCCUAAUAUUGGACAUCUUUGCUUAUUGAGUGAGCCUGAGGUGAGAGAGACAGAAUGAACGAAUUAAUUUUAUUUAAUUAUAAGAAAGAAGCAUGUUGCAAUAUGAGAGAAGGGAGCGCGUGGAGAGUUCAACGCCAUGAUGGCAGACGGGUUUUGUCGGGUUGGCAUGUUUUGAUUGGAUCCAGUAAUAUUACCCGCCUUAUUUAUUCAAAUUUCAACCAUUUUGAUCACGGCCAUAGUGGAUCCUUUUGGCCCAUCAAUGGAUUAGUACGUUACACUUCAAAUGAUGAAUUCUUCUUCUUCGUUCACUUUAUCUCUGCAGAAAUUUUAAAUUUUUCUGAAGUGAUAUUCGUAGCUCAUCAUAUUUCAAUCCCAUGUUAAAAAAAAAAUGAAAUUAGCGAUUCAAUUUUUUUUUAAUUUAGCUAUUUAAAUAAUUAAUAUAAAGAAACCCUCCUCUAUCACGUUAGUCCAAAAACUACAAGAGGUGUGGUGUUCGAAGAUUUUUUUUCUUUUUUCUUUUUUAGUAUUAUCAUUAUUUACCAAAUACACAUUUGACUCAACUUACAUCAAGUGGGCUGCCCAAAAAUGAUGGCAUCUACCUUGAAACAUGAUAGAAUUCUAUUCUUGAUUACUUAAAAAUAUUUAAAUCUCUAUCUAAAUUGUAAAGACCACCUAAUCAAGCGGUGGAUUUCGACUUUAAGAUUUUUAAAAACCAAUUAACAUCGUAUUAGGUAAUUUGUGUCUACCUUCCCGAAACCAACAAAUAUUAGUUAACAUUGUAUUGCUCACUUCUAACGAAAUCGUUUGAUGAAAACGAUAAAUGUUAUGUAUAUUUUAAGUAAUACUUUUGUCCGAGAAAGAAGCAAACUUCCACCACAAAAAUAAUUAAUGCAAUAAAAUUUAGCAACGGGAGCAGUUGACUGUUUUAGUGGGAAUUGAUUUCAAUCGUAAUAGCUUAUAUUUUAGGAUUAUGCUAAUUUCAUAGUAGUAUUGUUAUACAAUUAAGAGCCAUUUCUUAAAUUAAUUUCAAAUUCCAUAUUGUUGGGCAUUCCCUAGCAUGGCGAUAAAGAGGUUUAAGAAAUGAGAGUUUGAAAAUGUUGAUUUCCAAGACUUUUCAACUUACCCCGGUGAAAAAGCAAAAUUUGUUGUAAUUUGUUUUUUUUUUCCCGCUUUAAUUGGGUUACAAAAUCCAUAAUUUGAUUAGUUAUUUUAAUAUUAUAAAAAUGAAUUACCCGCCCCAAAUAAUUGUUAACUCACAAAAUAAUAAUUUAAACUAAAAGAAUGUGAAUUUUUAAGUGCUAUUCUUAAUAAUGAUAAUAACAAUAAUAAUAAUAAUCAACUAACAUGAGCAAACCCUAGAUUUAUUAGAAAAAAUAAAGAAAUGAACAAAACCAAGACACCGAUCUUCUUAAGUUCUUCAUUUUAAAAACCCAAUUACCCAGCCCCUAAUCUCACAUGGCAUUUAUUUAUCAUUUUCAUUGUUAACUUGUUAAGACACAUUUUACAAAUCAGGUAUUGACAAUGAAACUUUCAUAAAUCCAAAAAUGAUAGUUCAAAAUAAGAAUAGGUUUAAUCAUUGAAGAUUACAGUUACGGAAUUAUAAACUGUUAUAUUUCUAAAUUUUUUAAAGUGCUAAGUUAGGCAAAAUUUUCAAAUACUCUCUAGAUGUUAUAUAAGAUAUUAUGGAACGGCUCCAAUUUUAUUUUACAACAUUAAGUUAAGGUUUAAUAGUAUAUAAUUACAGACUUAUGGACUCUGUCUAUGCCUCUCUCAUUUUAAAGUAAUCUUUAGAGAAUAAUAAUAAUAAUAAUUAUUAUUAUUAUACCCAAAUGAGCUGGAUAACAGACAGCAACUCUCUCUCACUUUUUCCUUUUUUUCGAUUUAAAAAAAAAAAAAAAACCCAAAAUUUGUUUAACUCUUCUAAUUUUCAAGUCUGCACUUUUCAAUUUGCUCCCUGCGCAAGAGAGAUUUGAUGUACGGAAGAAUCCAUAACAGUAACAAUAAAGACAAUAAAACAUUUAAUUUAAAGCUGGAUGACUAUUGAUAAGUGGCGUGGAGAGGCAGACAUGCUUGGCCAUGUCAAGCACCUGUUUACCUUUGCCUGACUCGAGAUUCUGAAUUGUCAAACCAAAAUCUUUUGCGUUUUCUGAUUCAAAGUCCCCAUUACGGAACGAAAUACGUCUUAUCUUAUCCAUCAGUCAAGCCUUUUGGUUUCAUUGUUUAACAACACAACAAAACGAACACUUACUUCAUCAAUCCUGCCGCUGACGCCUGGUGAUCUGUGCUUUCACGUACAGUUACUGUUUUCCAUUAUUAUUAAAUUACCCAGAACUGCACGCAAUGAAACGACGACACUUGGAAGUCCCGCAAAAUAGGUCUCUAUUAUUUUUCUCGGUCCUAAGAGAAAGCAGGUUAAAUUUCUUUUUCUUUUUCUUUUUCUUUUUUAAUACAAGGGAGCCUAGUAUUGAUUACGAGCAAAACAAUACGAGAAACAGAAAUCUUAUACGUAUCAUUGUAUUACCAAUAAUCAAGCACAUAUGUCGUGAAGGCUGAGAGGUAAGGAACCUGUAAGUUUGCCCGUAGAAUCAACAGGAUCACCUCCAGCUUAAUGCGUAAGUUUGGCCACAUAUAUCACUUUAUGGUGAUUUGCCAUUCUGUGUUCAUCAACUCCUUGAUGCAGUGAUUAGAAAAAAUGGGCAUUAGGCAUCAAUCUUGUGGAAGAAAUAAGUUGAGAGUCAUAUUAGCUAUUCACCUCUGCAAUCAAGUAAAGAAUACCGCGAUCCCAAGCAAGGUGAAGACCUUGAAAACGACCCCAUAGUUCUGCAGUAGUCACUGAACAAAGCGAUGUUCAUGCCAAAACCGAACUGCCAGUUGCCAGAGCAAUCCCUCACCGAGCCUCCAGCACUAAGCCAAAUCGUUCUUUAAACGAGAGCCAUCCGUAUUCAAUUGUCAAAUCAAAAUUGAGGGCUGGUUUCGCAUUGUGAAUGUCACGGACCCAAGAUGGCAAUUCCAAACCAGCAAGCCCACUCAUUCACAAUCGCAUUUGUUGUUCAACUCAUUUGAAAUUUCUUCUGUAAUAUGAUUAGCAAUGAUAAGUUCUUCCGAAACACAGCACUAAUGCCAGUAAUAAUUAAUUUUAAGUUACAAUACUGAAGUAUUUGAUAAAUACUAACUGCAGUAGUUUAAAAAUUAUUUUAAUAUAAUUUUUUACUAAUAUAAUAAAAAAUUUAUUAUAUCUUUAAUAAUUUUAUCAAAAUUAUUAUUUAAAAUUUAUAUUCUGCUGUACGGCCAAGGCGGAUGUACGGUACAGCAGGAAUUGAAUGAAACGUUAACUUGGGCUGAGGAAUGCACACCCUUGGCUAAUUUGAUUCGAUAGAGAGAUAAACCAGUGGCCCUUUUGAUAAUGUAAGUAGUGAGAAUCGCUACGAUCAAUGUUGUCUGUUUCCACCAGGUCUCCAGUUAAGAUCAGUCACUGCAACAAAAAAUACUAUAGAUUUAAUUAAGGCUUAAGUAGUACAAUUCAUAUUAUUAAUUUUUAUUUUAUAAUCAUAAUUUUUUUUUUCAUAAUAGCUGUAAUUUAAAAGUUAUAGAAUAUCAAUUCUAAACGCACUCUUAAUCUAUUUUCAAUCGACCAUCUCAUGCCCUACAUCACAUAAGUUCAGAUUCUGCAUAUGCUUUUGCUAAGAUAGGAGCUGCGCUUAUUCUCGAAAGUGAGAGGAACAAAGUCUGAAGCAACCUCAUAUUUAAAACUCAGAACCCAAAUCCAUAAGUAGUGAGGAGAGAGACCAGCAUAUUUCACCCAAUUUUAAUUAGAAGAGCAUUAUUCAUAUCCGUAAGAUUCUUUAACCCAUGAUCACCUCCGGCUUUCAGCGUACAGUUCCUUUCCCAAUUAAUCAAGCUGAGUUUAAGCCUUAACUCUUUCUCUCCAAAUGAACUUCCGAGAAAUUCAAUCAAUCCGGAACUCCCUCAGGGAUCCUUGUCGUUUGCAUGGCAAAAAUAGAUAGGGACCGCUUAAAUUACUAAUUGAGCUAGAGUAAAUUCUUUGAGCUAAGGAGAGCUGCAUUGCUUUCCACCGGACAGAAUCUGUUGUUGUCAAAUCAGAGCUCAAUUCACCCAGCAAAUCGUGUGUUCACGUAUAUAAAUGUUUCAUAUGAAUAAGAGUGAUAAAAGAGAAAUUCGAAACGAGAUAUUGGUAUCAUACGUAUCGUGUAUGUCAAAAUUUGUAUUUACACGCAAUUUCUCUCUACUUUUUAGUGGGUCAUCCUGUCAGUGGCUCACUCUCAGGCGAAUGGCCAUUCUGGUACGGAAAUUCAUCAUUUCCAAUAUCUUAAAAUUAAAAUUAUAGUCAAAAUAAAAAGGACUAUUCUCUUGCAAUCUUUUUUAUUAUUGCUAAGGUACCCUUAGAUUCCCUCAUAUUUCAAUUUUUUUAUUUUAUUUCAUAUUAGGAGGGUUAGCAUUUUUUUAAGCACAAUAUUUUUUACUAUUGUUGUCCUAUUAUUGUCCUAUUAUUAUUAUUCUUAAAUUUAUGAUGUCCGAUGAGAUGCAUUCAACUUCCAAACUUGUAUGUAUGUGUAUGUCUGUGGGAAUCAAAAUGCUUUAUCUUAAAGCAAUAAUCAUAGUUUUAAAAUCAUUCACUUCCUCGAUAACAACAAAGGUUUAUGAACAGAAAUCGGUCAUAAUUUCAUCCUUCUCGUAAGUUCCUUUAAUAGGUACAUGUCACUAUUAUUGUGAAUAAUAAUCUUUGCACAUAAAAUUACAUAUCAAUUGCACGCGACACCUAGGAUACCGAACAUAGAGACAAUUAGACAAAUAAUCAAAUAAAUAAGUUUGACUGUAAAUGUUUCUUAUCUUUUAGUAAUAUUUAUUGGGCAUUUAUCUUUUGUUUGAUAAACAUUUGUAACUGUCAUUUGAAAAUAAAAUUAAUUUUAUCUCGGAUUUACAUAAUAAAAAUUUUAUAAUAUUUUUUAUUAAAGUUAUUAUCUGCUGUACCGUACAUGAUCCUCCCCACACUUGAGUAAAGCCACAGAAAAGUAAGGGACUAUGAACUGACGACGCUUGGCUACUAUAAAAUACAAAAUCUUUUCCAAUAUCCACGAACACAUUAACUUACUCAAUUUUUUUUUUGUUUUUUUUUAAUCUCUUUUCCUUCUCCCAUAUUCUCUCGUCUCUCUCUAUCGCUCAUUGGUGGCAUUUUCAAAGUCUCCAUUCCGAAGUUUUAAACUCUCCCACAAAACCAAACCACAUUACCAGCCGAUCUCCAUAAGCCAAAUUGGGUAAGAGUGCUAAUAUCAAUAGUAAUAAAAACGCAAUUAUUAUUAUUAUUAUUUUCAAAGAUCUCGAAAACAAAAUCCUACACCAAUCGCCAUGACUUAUUUUCUUCUUCUUUCGGCAUUUUUUUAAGGAAAAAAAACUGUAAUUUGUUCAGUUUUUGGAUCUCAAAAAGCAUACGUGUUUAUGUGUGUGUCCUUCUGUCUCUCUUUAGUUGAACUAGGGUUUGGUCUCAGAUUCUAUCUCUAAAUUUAGCAAAAUGGCGCCACUUUUAUCUGAGAGCUGUCCCUCUCUUCCCUUAAACAACCUCUAAAUAUAGAAACUUUUGCCUUCGCUUUUUGUUGUGGGUGCGUUUGAUUACAUGCUGGUUUAUUCCCUGCUCAUCAAAACUUACAAAGUCAAUAUACAAACUCGAGAGCUUUUUAUUUCAUAUAGUUAUUCUUUUUCAGGAAGAUCACAGCAGUAACAGCUAGCAAGCAAGGGCAAAGAGAUGGCGAGAGAAAAGAUUCAGAUCAAGAAAAUUGACAACGCAACGGCGAGGCAAGUCACUUUCUCUAAGAGACGAAGAGGGAUUUUCAAGAAAGCUGAAGAGCUUUCUGUUCUUUGCGAUGCCGAUGUUGCUCUGAUCAUCUUCUCCGCCACAGGCAAGCUCUUCGAAUAUUCCAGCUCAAGGUCUCUCUCUCUUUCUCUACCUAUCCAUUUCUUUAUCAUCUUCAUAAUAUUAUUAUAGUUCCCGUUAAGAUCACUGAUAGGAAGAGGAAAGAUUUGAAGAGAAGAGACGCACCAUAGUGGUCUCACUAGAAGUUGAUGCUUAAUCGAAUUUAUUUGUAAGUUAUAAAAUAUUGAUGAAAUAUUAAUAAGGACAUCUGCAAGUUUAUAUGUAUGAGUUUGGCAGACAGUGUUGGAUUUCUAGCUAAAUGAAGUUUAAAAAGUAAUAUAUUCUUUAUUAGAUCAACUUUGUUUCUGUGUAGUUUCUUCUGUAUUCUCCAUUUUGGUACUGUAUGUUAUAUUAUUAUUUUAUUGAUUAUAUAAUAGUUUUUCACAAGUUUCCUUGAUGUGAGUGUGAAUUUGUUUCAUGGAAGAUUGCUAAGAAUAUGGUUUACUUGAAUAUUGGUUUGUAUUUUCUCUUCCUCUUGUUAUCUCUGUAAAUUACUCUUUUUUUUUUUCACUUGUUAUUAAGUUUAUUGUGAGUUGCAGUUAUGGUCUCAUGUGUAAUCUACGUUAGUACAGUGAGGAAUAAGGUAUUUGAGGACUUAGAUUCCAUCUUCUUCUUUCUGAUAAGAAAUUAAUUCUUCAUCAAUAUCUUUUGAGUAUAACACAUUGCACAUGGUUAGAUAACAAAAAUAUGUUUGGAUAACCAUUGCUAUGGAUUAUGCCCAGUUGAUACUAGAGAAAACGAAAUUAAACUAAAAUCUGAAGCCUUAUCACCAGCAAUAAGGUCACGAGUCUCAUAGGAAAUUGCUCUUUCUUGCUUCUUUUUCGAAACAGCCAUAUCAAUCAUCAGCAUUUGCAGUUAAAGACACAGCUUUAGUAACUUGCUUUUUGUUGAUUGUUUAUCUUCCCUAUCUUGUUCUCUUUUGGCUUUAUUUUCUUUUUCUUGUGGUCCAAGCAGCUAAAGUAGAAAAUAAUGAUUAAUGAAUUGAAUGUGUGGAAAGUUUCCCUUCAUUUAGGGAUUGACACCUAGCAACUUGCAGGCAAAUGGAUUCUCAGUGCUUGAGGAAGUUAUACUGCUGAUUAUCAUGACCAGCAAAGCAUAAUUGUGACAAAAUAGUACUGGAAUGUCCAAUUUUGAGUCCCGAAACGUUUUCUUUUUGUGAUUACCAAGCAACAUAUUAUAAUGUUUUUGUUAUUUCAAAUUGUUGCUUUCUGAGAAUGACCGAUCAUGUGAUCAGCCAUGUCAUGGUUAUUGAAAAUUUUGGUUAAUAUGCAACCAAUAUCCAAUAGGACCGGAGGGGGAAAAAAUAUUCUUUCAGCUCUUGCUUGUUAUCGUUAAGAAAUUCUUCUAAUAGUGGGCUGUUAAUGGUUUCACAAUCCUUAAAUGUGAUGGAGACCUUAGAUUCUCUCUUGCGUUAGUCUAAAAUGUCAUGAAUUGUUAACAGGGUGAUUCAUCUCCCAAUUCCCAAAUCAAGCUUGAAGAGAGAUUUAAAUUUAAUAUUGUGUUUAAUAAGUGGUUUGGGAUAAAGGAUUUGAUUUUGAAAAUUCAAUUUAUUUUAUCUAUCUUGCCGUAAUGCCAUCUACAAUUGCUUCACACUCACUGUAAGUUGACUUAUUUAAACUUUAUACCUUUAACUUCUGGAGGUAUUUACUACGCUAGUUGGUUUAAAUUGAUUAACAAUAUUUGAACGGUUGAUAUUUGAUAACUUCAUAGAAGCAUGUAAGUAGUAGAAGAUGAAACUUCAGAGUUCUUAACUGGAGCUGCAGAUUGUUAUUUGCAAGGAACAUGUUGGCCCUUUUACGUGAAGUGGUAGAAUAAAAAGAUGAGUAAAUUGCUUUAAAAGUGCCUGAGAGGGAAUAUGGUGUAGUUAAUGAAAGGGAAUCAAAAUGGGAAACAAGAAUAGAGCUCAUCAUACUGGUUGGCAGUAAAAAACGAGAAAUGGUGCUACCAGAUACAUUGAAAUCAUGUUGCCAUAGUUUAGAUUUUAAGAUUAGUUAUACUGAGAUUGUAUAUCUGGUUGUGAUGAAAGUUUGUAUGGAAAACACAUUGGCUUGCUGAGGUCCGGAAUAAAGUAAAGAAAACCAAGGUCUAAUAUUAGAUUCUUCUCAUAACUAAUAGGAAUGUGCUCAUAAAUUGUAUCUAUUGACAGAUUGGUAUUCUUAGAGGAUUUUAUUACUUAAAUCCAUAGUCAGGAAUUAAACCUCUUAGAAUUGUGGGUUCCUUUUGAACUUGCACGCCUUAAUGAAUUGGCUAACUAAUUUGCUUUUGUAUAAUCACUGCAUUUCCUUUAUUGUCCAGAAUACAUGUGGAAUAUGCGUGAAAACUUGAUAGCUUUUAAGCAGAAGGGUUGCGUGUCUGUUGAGUGUUGAUGUUAACUCUAUCAUGUAUUUUAUGGAAAUCAAUCCUUUGUCUUAUCUAAAUUAAUAUAAAGAUGAGAAACUGAUGAUACUGGUGAAUAUACAUACAUAUAUAUAUAUAUCAUACGUUCAUUCUAUUCUUGACAAAUACUGAAGAAAUGUCAAAUAAUAGUGGCCUUACAAAUUUAAGAAUAUACUUCACUAAAUAGAAAGAGUCUGUAAUCUGAUCAAAUUAUUUCCAUCAUUUUCUCUUAGAGCAAGUCUGUCUUCAGGCCUCCAUCUUUGACGCCAUUAUUUUUAUUGGGGUGGGAAUAUUGUUAAAAUAUUGCCAAUUUAUUUGAAUUUGCCAUGUAUAAUAUUCAAGCUUUAGGGUGGUCCUGCCUAGUUCUUUUCCCAUUUAUUUGCGCAUACUUUAUUAGAAGUUUUUUUUUUUCUUUUCAUUUGCAUUAUUGUGAGGUUUUAAAAAUUAGCCUAUAAAGUGAAGCAAAAUAAUAAUAAUAACUGCUGUACCGUACAUCCGCCUUGGCCGUACAGCAGGUAAUCCUUAACAGCAAAAAAGAAACUAGCGCAAACUCACCUCAAACCAAAAACAAAAUUACGAAAAAAUAAAGGUCUCAAUUGAAAUUUCACCACAUUUACAUCAUUUAGUACUACUUCUAUAGAAUUUCAUUUCAAGCUGUGAUUUUUGUUGAAACAUCUUAUUUUCAUUCAUAAUGAUGCUUUUUAGAAUUUAUAAACCAAAAUAAGACGGUUGGUAGUUUUGUUUUGGUAGACACAAGUGACUUUAAGUUACUUUUGUUUUCUGAAGCAUGAAGGAAAUCUUAGAAAAGCACCGUGUGCACUCAAAGAACCUUGAGAGGGUGGAUCAACCAUCUGUUGAGUUGCAGGUUAGUGGCCUUGGUUUCGCAUAUUUUUAAUGUUUUCAUCAUUUUUUCCCGUGCAUCUAUAAUUAUGUUGACAGUAAUUUUGUAUGACAGCUUCCAUAAAAAAAAUUAUGAUUAAAGUACUUUAGAUGCAUUAUAUCGAAGUCUUGAUGGCACAGACAAACCCUAAUCAACUAACAACUUCUGGAAGUGAUCCUUCUUUGGGCUUAGUUCUUUUUCUCCCUUGCUUUUCUUGUUCUUCUGUAUUUUCUUCUUGUUGAAAAAUCCAUAUUUCUAUAAAUCUUUGAUGAAAAUGCGUGUUCUUUUCAACUUAUGUCUUUUUUAUUUGCUCGUGCUCUUACAAUUUGUUUUGGCCAUAGAAAAUUUGCAAGUUCUGUAUUAUCAUACUGUAGCAUUAGGGUUGGUAACGGGAUAGGACGGGUUGAGAUUUGUCGAUCGUGAUCUUGUUCCAAACAGUAAAUUAGGACAAAAAAAUAUCUCGAUUUCGUCUUGAUCGGGAUCUCGAAUUUUCCUUAGCAUGAGUUUUCUGACAUAAGUUGCAGAUUUUGUCAUAAACUACAUGUCAUAUGAUUAUAACCGACGAGUCAUUUGUAUAUUGUAUUUUAUUAACUAAAAUGACUUGUUAUACACGUUGACCGACAUGUUAUAUUUAUGUAAUUUAUUAAAAUGACUUGUUAUACAUUUUUAGAAACCCAGAUUUUAGGACAUUUGGGACCUCGAUUGAGAUUUUCAAAUGUCCCGAAUCUCGAUUUAAAUAGUAAAUCAGUGUAAAAUUUUAUCAGGAUUUGGAGAAUUUUGCCAAUCUUAAGUACCAUUAAUGUAUCUCAAAACAACCCCAUCAUUUUGAUAUUGAAUUUGCGUUAAAUCUUUGAUGACAAUGCAUGUUCUUUUCAACUUAUGUUGUUUUCAUUUGCUGACAUUCUUGCAAUUUGUUUUUGCCGUAGAAGACUUGCAAGUUUCUGGAUUAUCAUAUGGUACCAUUAAUAUAUCUCAAAACAACCCCAUCAUUUUAAUAUGAAAUUUGCAUUUAUAAUGUUCAAUGUCAGUUGUCGCACCUUAUUCUUCCUUGUUUACUAAUAUGGUAUCCAUGUUAAUUAAUGUAGCUGUUGGAGAACAACAACUACUCCAUGUUGUUCAAGGAAGCUGCUGAAAAAAGCCAUCUGCUGAGGUAUGUGUCAAUUUAAUGUUAGGCUGUUUUCUGCAUUGAUUGAUUUGUUGUAAUGUGCCCAUCGAGGUAUAAUGCCCCAUAUAAAAACAGGCAAAUGAGAGGUGAGGAGAUCCAUGGAUUAAGUUUAGAAGAAUUGCAGAAGCUUGAAAGGUCUCUUGAAGUUGGAUUGGGACGAGUGAUAGAAAAGAAGGUUUGAAGUUUGAACUAGAAAUGCAGUGUUGGUCUCUAAUUUCAUCAUUUGGUCAUGAAUCUUAAUGUAGUCAUGUUUUAUACUUUUCAGGAAGAAAAGAUUACAAAGGAGAUUAAUGAACUCCAAAGAAGGGUUAGAAAUAUUUCGUAUUUUACAAAAUUCUUUUGUUCAUUGAGCUUCUUUUGGUCAUGAUUGCUUGAACUAUUCUUUGAUUCAGAAUUGAUGAAAUAUAUAUGCAGGGAAAGUUAUUGAUGGAGGAGAAUGAGCGAUUAAGACAGCAAGUAUGCAGACACUCAUCUUCUCUUUCACUCUUAUUGUUUGUUGCAUGUUUCUACUUUUGUUAAUAAUGAGAAUUUUAACUGAAGGUGGCGGAGGUAUCAAAUGCAUACGGUGAAGAAGGCCAGUCCUCAGAGUCUGUUAAUAAUAUAUGCAAUUCAUCAAACGCUCCUCCACCUGAAUCUGAAAGCUCAGACACCUCCCUCAAGCUGGGGUGAGUGAAAUUCGCUCAUAGUUUUCUGAAAAAGUACUUGAUCAUUUGUUUCAGCUUUACUUCAAAAACUCAUCGUGCAAGUAGUUGAAAUUGUUUGUUGAGCUUAAGUUUUGCAUUUCUUUGCAGCUUACCAUAUGCUGGCUAAUAAGUAGACCCCAGGUGUUCGCUUCAUCAACUAAAGAUGAAUUUAUAUGGUCUUUUAUUUUGGUAAGUAUUAAUUGUAGUAAUGGAAUCUGAAUCUAACCUCGGCUUUACUCUGUACUCACGGUUAAUUAAAAAUAUGCACCUCAGACUAAUGCGAUGUAAUGUGACAUCUACAUUUGUUCAAGUAUGGUAUUAGUAAUGAUAAUUAAUCCCUUGAGCUUGACACUAUGUUACUGUUGAUGAUAACCUCUUUCAUUAAGUAAAAAACAGUCCGCUGACAUUGUUCAUAAAAUGAAAUCGUAAUUUUGCGUACUCAAUGAAAGACUUGAAAGUAAAUUGGAACGGUAAAAUCACAACGUGAUAUAAAAGAGAAUUUUUUUUUUUUUAUUACAUGAGACUAAUGUUUAAAUUAUAACUCAUAUUACAUUAUUACAUGAGACUAAUGUUUAAAUUAUAAAAUUUUUUUUUUUUUAUUACAUGAGACUAAUGUUUAAAUUAUAACUCAUAUUACAUGAGAUUAUAAUUAAUAUUUAUAAAUUAGACUAUUAUUGGGAUUAAUUUACAUCAAUGUUAAUAGAGUUCUACUUAGAUUUUAACCCUCACAAAUAUUCGAGGAAUGUUUAUUUUUCACUCUUGGGUAAGGAAAUAGAUUAUUUUUAUUUAAUUUUUAAUUGAGGAAGAAAAUAACUCCAUAAUGCAUUUGUGAGGGUUCGAACUACUCUGACCACACGGCUCAAGUGGCUUAAAAAGAGAGAAUAUUUUAAAUCGCUAAUAAGACGUGUCUUUUAACACUACUAGAGCGGAAGGAAAUAGCUCUUUUUUUUGUGGUUUUUGUAUUAUCAAAAUUUAAUUGAUUGAUUGAUCUCCUUUUAUUUGAAAACGCACUCACGGAGCUCACUUUCGAAUUCAAAAAUCAUUAACAGCUUUCAUUUUUUCGAAAGUAAAUAAGUUUAACGUUUAUAAAUCGUACAAGAUAACGGCACUUCCCGAGUUAUUAACGUCAGCAAGAAACAACGGACUUGUACCACUAGUAUUUUUCUGUGUUUUUCGAAAUUAUACUUUUUUUCCCCCCUUCUUUGAAGACAAUCGUUUAGUGGACUCGACUAGCUUACAGAAUCUGUAAGGUACAGACUGCAGCAUCAGCCGUUGGAUGUGGUUGGAUGUGGAGUGAGAAACUAAACAAUAGAAAAUCGGAUGGUGGGAUGACGGGAGAUGUUUGUUACAGAAUCUGUACCAUAGACAGGUCCUCGUUUAGUUGAAGGAUAUGAUUGGACAGAGUAUUUUUAAUUUGCUUUUCUUUACCUCUUAAACCCGUAUGAAUUGCACAAAGCCGUACAAGGCUUUGCUUUGCAGAGAAAAAAUUGUAGGAAGUCCACUAAAAUUGCACGUCCAAAGUUUGGAGGAAAUGGUUAGGUUAAUUAUUAUAAACAAACAAAAGUUCUAUCAAGAUCUUUGAUAGGAUACACUGAUAGACAUUGCAGUUAAAAAACCAUUUUACUCUUUUUUCGAUUUCGAAAGGGCUUUCUUCCUCUGCCCAAGCAUAUAUGUAUACAUAUGAGGACUACCUGCAUAUGAUAAUGCCAUGAAAAUCGAUUAGGAAAAAUGCAUAUCAAUGAGAGGAAAUUGACUAAAUAAAUUACACAGAAGAAGAAUGUCGAGUUCAUGCCUGGCACAUAGAAUCCAAGCACAAGAAUUGCAGCGUAGAAGUAGUCAAAAGAGAAAUUCCAUUUGUUUGGCAUUCUAAGACAAUACGUCUCGGAUUCCUGCAAAACUUGGUUUAUAAGAUCAUAUUGCAAGCAUAUGAAAAAGUGGCACAACUUUAUCAAGAUGAAAUACUUUUAUAGGAUACAUUAGCAAGAUGGGUCACUUCAAAACAGGAAAUAUAGGAUACAUUAGCAAGAUGGAAAGAUGCAUUUUUCUGUCUACCUGUUGUAGGAUUAACAAGGACAAGCAACAAAAAGCCUAAGAGAGAAGAAUUUCCAUAAAUUUCACCAUUGAAAGACAGACAUGCCAUCUAAUCAACAAUGUUUUAAGUGAAAACUCAGCUAACAACAUUUUUGCUACAUUCCACACUGAUUGAUCUAUAAUUUUUAGGAAAGCAAACAACUUCAUGGCAGUUAGACAGAGGCAAUAAGUACAUAAAGAACUAUAAUUCUGGUAUGAAAAAAAUUAGUAGAGAAGAAAUCUUUACUUUUAUGUAUGGAAGGGCAGUGUAAAUAAGACCAACUUCACUCGUAAUGCCAGAUGGAUACAACAGCAAAAAUGUGCUAUACCUGCAUAGCAUUAUUAACUAUUUAAUCACAUAAUCACAAAUGACUCAAUCACUUCCAUAGCCAUCCUGAGAACAGAAACUCAGCUUAUACCUCAGCCACAAGAGCCAUGAAGGUGCAAAACCAAGUGCCUCCUUCAUGCCAAAGAAAGAGUAGCGAAUAAUCUGAAAUUAAAAGCAAUUAAAAAUCAGUUCCCACUCUAAUCUGGUCCAUAAAACUUAACACAGAAACCAACAUGAACAAUCAUAAAAUCAACAAAUACCAAUAAACAUAGGAUCCAAUCCCCCAACGAAAACAUGUGUCGUGAAUAUUACAGUUCUGACUUUUUAUACACAACUUCGCAAAAAAGCUAAGUUGCUUCGACCGGUGGUUCUCAAUAUUACAAGUUGUUUUGAUUGAGCUGCACACAUCUUCAAUUGUCAAGCAAAUUAAGAAUAAACAUAACAUAAGAUUUUGCCUACCUGCUAAAGCGUAAAAAGUACUUCAUUAACAAAGAAAGGGCACGAUAACAAGCUUUUCUCAAAAGAAACGAUUCUCCAAAAACAGAAGAAAUAUAAAUCCAGUAUAAAAAAGAUGAAAGAGAACUUCACAUAUCAAAGAAAGUCAUAUAAAAAAUUAAAAAUAGUAUACUAUAUAAUUUAUAACACCCACAAACUUCCCAAAAAUUAUUAAGAAUUUUAGAUAUCUCACGUCAAGAAAUUUAUUGCACUGAGGAGACUCCAACAGCCAUAACAACCAAAACUAAUGGUUGAAGCAGAUUCCCUAAAGAUAAGGAUAACUGCCUGAUAACAAAUUACUCUGUUUUCUGCUUCACAUUAAAUCAAUAUAAAUAUAUUCCUUCUAAAUCCAACCAAUACAUAUAAUACAUACCCUACUUACAUGAACGGUAAAAUUUUCAAAGAUUUGGUGUUCAUGCAGUGGGUAGCUAGUAAUUAAAUGUCCAACAAGGAAAAGUACAUAAAUCAACGGGUAAACAGAUUAAAAUGACAAAUUGAGAAUCACUAACCUCAGUUAAGGACCAGCUGAUCACCAAUGAACUAACAAGUAUAUGAUUCUGAGUCUGCCAAACCAAAAGAUUGAUCAUUUAAUUAGUUAAUUUAACUGUUUCGAUCAUUUUUAGUAAAAUAAAAUUUCAUAACAUAAUAAAAGCUUAUACAAUUUAAAAUAAACCUGAGGAAAACUCCAUAAAAUGCCCCAUGUAACAUACAAUCUAGAGCUAAUUUGUGGCAGUGUAGCUGUUAUUGGAGAUCUCACCAAGCCUUUGCAAUAAACAAAAGAAGAAUGCCAAAUUUAAAAUUGAGUUAUUAUGUUUGGAAAAAACAAAUUAAUGGCAGGUAAAUAAUAAAUAAUUAAUAAACCACAUCAGUGGUAAUUGGUUUAGAGAAAAAGGGAAGUGGAGAGAGAACAGACCUAGAAGACCAUGAAGAAUCUCCAAAACGGCGGCGGUUUGGGCGAGCUGGAGAGGCCUUUCGACGGCUUUGUAGACAUUUUCGUGGCCGGACUCGUUUAAAGUCUUCAAAGCAAGGUACAAAACCUGGGCCCUGUUAAGUGCAAAACUAAUUUAUUAGUGAAACAACAAAACGCGGAUGCGUGAAACGUAAAACGCAAAGAGGGAGGGAACUUGCCAUCCGGCAAAGACGGUCCAGUUGUAGGCAGUGAGGUACAGGCGUCUGAGAAGCGACAAACAACCCGCCAUCUGUUUUGUAUUGAAAAUUGAAAGAUUGUAAACUGGGAAGCAAUUAAAAGAGAAAAUUUAGACCAUUUAAAACGACAGCAAUUAAGGGAGAUGGGGAUGGGUGCGAAGUGAGAAGAGACAGGUAAGCUGCUCAACCACUUUCGAUCUAACCGCCUAAUUUAUUUAAUUUAUUUACUACUUGAUCAGCAGUAGCCAUUCCCAUUUCCAUGUGCCGAUCAGCUAUCAGACUCAUCAGUAAUUGCCAACAUUUAUUGAUUAAUUUUUCAACAAAUGAUUCCAUAGGUAUUAAAGGGAGUGAUAAGUUCAAAAAAAUAUUUAUAUGUGUUUUAGCAUAUUAUAGAAUAAAAUAUAUUAUAUUUAAAAAUAUGUUUUAGUUGCCUUUUAGUUUAUUAUGUAUUUUAAUAACUUAAAACGAUCUAUUAUUAGAUAUUACAAAAAGAAUCUUUUAUUAGAUAAUAACUCUUAUUUAUUAUAUUAGAAAUAUUAUUUUUUAACUACUUUAAAAAUAUUAAAAGUGUACGAAGACACUCUAAAUUCGAAUCAUCCUAAGUUUUAGUUUUAUAUCACACUUUUCUAUCAACUUUAUUAGCUAAUGUUAAAAAAUAUAAGAUAAAAGAUUAUUUUGUCCUUAGAAUCUAUCAAAAUAUUGCUCUACCUUUUGGAUGAAUCUAAAGGUAAUUUAGUCUUUUAUCUUAAAUUAUUUAAUGGUGUCUAAUGGAGUUAAGAGAGUAAGUAGUUGGUUCAUAUAAAACUAAAAAUUGAGAUGAUUCUAAGACAUAAUUAUAAACUCCUGACAAUUAUUUAUACUUUUGAUAUAUAGUUGUGGAUAAUUUUCUAAUAUCUUAUUAUUACUUACUGUACACACGCACACCCUGUUUUAAUAACCUCACAGUGAGUAAAUAAAAGUGGGCCAAAAUAACAUUAACGGUGGUACCAUGGUAGCCAUAAUAGGUGAGUGUUUAGGGGAAAAUCUAAUUGCUGACAUGGGCUAAUAGCUUAAUGACAUGUGGUAAAAAAAGUCAAGUAACGUAUGGAUAACUCACAUAGAUUAUAAGAUAAGCUCCCUCAUAAAAAAAGACAGUUUCGAUAAAUAUGCCCCAACAUUUGAUUGUUAGAUCCAACAUAUGAACAAUAUCAACAUGUGAACAAUAUAUAAUUAUAUAUCAUCAUGAAAACGAGUAAAAUAUCCCUUUUUUUGAGAUAAAAAGUAGGAGCCAAUAGGAAUAAAGAUUCUUUAAGCGAAGUUGCAAAGUAAUAAGAGAGGCUCACGUCAGUUGUCCUUUACUGCUCUGUAAAAAGUAGCAGGAUCACACUACUGAGAGCCUAUCACAUGCCCAACUAUAGAAGCAAAAGGAGAUCGGAGGUUUUCUUACCUCCAAAGCUUAUGGAUGUCACUAUUAAAAGAUCCCAAAAAACUAAAAUAACUUCACCUAAGGACGUCUGCCAAUAAAUAAACACCAUAUGUCCAAAUAGACAAAAUAACCUUAAGACACGCUCUAAUAUAAAGCUCAAGGUUUAUUUGAAAAGAUAACUUCUUCCUCGUCUAAAAAUAGAUUCAUCUUUUUCAACAUAAAAGCAAGAACGUUAUUAUUAAAGUUUCAAGGUUCUUUGGAACUUGAGAUCACAACUUUAUUGUAUAAAAUCUUACUUGAGAUACAGAGUAUAGUUGUCGGGCACCAUCGACUUCACCUCUAACCUCAGUUUACUUAAUUUUGCAGACUACUAAAGAUCAAAGGCCUUUCGAAACAUUCUUUUCACUGAAUUGUUUUCCCAAAGCAUCUCAUUAUUAUAGAGUAGUAUAUUAGGGCGUGGGUUAUUGCAAAUACACAAAGAGUGGAGCCUUUAGCACCCACAAAAAAUUCUUACAACACCCCUUUUUUAUUUUAUUCUUUUAAAUAUCCCAACUUAAUUUAUAAAAUACUAACUCAUAAAUUAAAAUUAAUUAUUUUGUCAUUAAAUUUCUUUCCAAAAUAUUAAAAUAAUUUUCUUCUUGUUAUUUAUAAAUGCAUACAAAUCUUAAAAUAUUAAAUAAUUUUCUUCUUGUUAUAUAAUUUUAUAUCUCCAUAAUUCUUAAUUCUUAAAAUUUUAUUAAAAAAAUACUUUCAAUUAAAAUCUAAAAUAUAAAUAUAAAUUAUGAAAUGGGGUGGGUAUAAGAAAUUGUUAAAAGAAUAUUUUAAUUAAUUAUUUAAUUAAAUUUUCGUUUAAAGUAAAAAAGAGUAUAUUUAUAUUUUUUUAUUUAAAUAAUUCAAAUUAAAAAAGAAUUUUAUAAGAAAUUUAGUACCUAUUGAGUAUGUCUUAUCUAAUGACAAUAAAUACUUAUUUAAUUUCAUAAACUCUUUUCAAAAUUUUUUGUUGUUUUUAUAGUAGAGCUUUUGCAGAUAAAGGAAGCUAUUUUGCCUCUACUAAUAAAAAUUCAAAUUUCGGGAUUUUAGAAGUAGAGGUUGAAUAUUUAAAAUAUUAAAAUAUUUAAAAUAUUAUUUACUUAUUUGACAAUUUUAUUUUAUUCUUUUUAUAAUAUUAGCCCAACAAGAACUCUUGGUGGGCCUAAAUGGUUUAUCUAGUUCUUGUUUAACCCAGUUUUAAGUGAGCCUAUCAUUUCGGACAGGUUGACGUUUUCCCCUACUCUGUGGCCCAUCGGUUUGCUUUUCAUGAGUUUCUGAAGAAAAAAUCUAGACAAGGAAUCAAAUUUAUAAUCAGUUUUGCUAUAACUUCUUUUUAUUAUUAUUAUUAUUAUUAUUAUUCUUUUAAUAUUAUAUCUACAAAUGGAUUAGGAGCCAUCCGAAAAUAUGAAUCCAAAAUUAAUCAACGUAUGUGUGUGGGUCUCUCUCUCUCUCUUUAUAUCUAUAUAUAUUUUCCGAAUGGAUAAUCAACUGAUAGCAAACUUUCUAAAUAUGGAAAAAAAAUUCUUAUCCAUCAAUGCAAAUAUUGUUUUUGAAUGGUUUAGUUAUUUCUAUUUGUAUAUCUCAUUAUUAUUUUUUCAAUUGGAUUAUUACCUCUGACUUCAACUCAACCUAUUAAGGGUGUGUUUGGAAGUGAUGUGCUGUAACUUUUAAGCUGCAACUGCUGUGGAAUAAAAUCUAUAGCUCUGGAGUAGAGGUUGGAAAAAAAAAAUGCUAAGCUAACAAAGCCUAACUAAAAGUGUUAUCAAACACCUUAAUAGUUGGGUUUUGGCAGCCCAACUACCUCACCACACUCUCAAACAGACUCUAAAUCAAUACAAGAAAUAUUUAGAUUAAUUGCAUGUCAAACAAACUUUAAAAAAUUUAGAAAAUGAAGAGAACAGAGUUUCACCUAAAUCAGCCCGAAGAGGAAAAAAAAAGCAUAAAAUUUUUGAAUAAGAAUAUUUAUCCAUAAAUGGCCACGGAUUUGUUUAACUAACAUCAUUUAUCCAUAAACCAACAAGAAGAUGCCGACGCACGUGACCAAUAUAGAAUCAGAAAACAUGACGUGCCGUGAAGACAAAUGCAAAGGCACUUGCUUUUUCGUUGAUCAAUUAUCGAGCAAAUAAUGAAAUUAUCUCCAUUAUAAGCAUCACAAUGUCUCAAUCAAUUUCUUUUUUUUUUUUUUUUUUUUGGGAUAAGAUGUCUCAAGCAAUUUUGAUUUCAGUAUUCAUCACAAAGUUAGAAGCAUUUAAAAAAGAGGAAAAGAAAAAAAAAAAAAGAUAUUUCUUCUUUUUGGUGUCACGCAAUUACUGUUUUGCAGGAAUCAUGCAUCAACAUCUUUAUCCCUCGAGCAAAGCAGAUUCUUCAAUGCUAUUUUUCGGUUUCAAUCGAGGGCCCACAAAAUACUUGCAACAACAUCACCACCAUUCUCAUAUAAUUUUUCGAGGUGUCGGUGCAGGACCAAAGUGAAAAAAGUAUGAACUUUAUCGAAAAAAGUAACACAGAACCCAAACAGUCCAAUUCCGUUCCCUCAACGGCUUGACAUUAAAAGCUGAAACCAGCCACUGGGUUAAAGCUAAUGAUUAUAAUCCAAGCCCCUACAAAUAUAUUGUGAAUUUUUUUUCUUAAUUUAAGUAGAGAUAAUUUUUUUUUAAAAAAAAAUAAGUGGAAUAAAUUUUUCUCAAAUAUUAAAAAGGGUUAAAUAUUUUUUUAAAAAAUAUAAGUAGAAUAAAAUUUCCUUCAAUACUAGAUUGGAUUAAAAUCUGAGGUAAGCAUUAGGUUCACUAACUAAAAAAAACAUUAAGCUGAAACCUGGAAAAUAGGCAAAUACAAAGAAAAAAAAAUUGAUAAAACUGUAGUAAGUGACCCCAAGUUUAACGGUACAAAAUCUUUAAACUUAGUUUGUCCCACUUGGGUCCCAUGAAAAUGACGGAAACCAAAGUCGAGGUUCACAGGUGUCCAUAUGAAGAUGCCUUAGAGCAUUGACAGAAAGAUAGAUGGAGGGAGUGAUGAUACAUGUGAUAAUGGCCGCUGCUUUUUGCUGUUGCCAUUGAUUGUCUUUUUUUUUUUUUUUUUCUUAUUUCUUGGUUAUUGGUUUGGUUUUCGCUAUCACUCAUAUAUAGGGCGACGAAGUUAUUUUGAUCUGGGAGGCCUUGAGCUUUCAGAAAAUGAAGUUUCAGUACAAGAGUAAUGAUUACCACCAGCCUCAAAGAAAUGGAGCUCUUGCUGGGCUGUUGGUGCUUCUUUUUCCAGUUUUAUUGCCUAGUUUGUUCAGCCCAUUAAGCCAUGCCUCGCCUUCUAUGUUCUCGGUAUGUUCAUUCUUUCAAAAUUAUUGUUAUUUUUUUCAUGAGAAAUUUUUUUUUCUUUUUUUCAUCAUUAUUUGAAUGUUCCCGAUCAAGGUUUUAUUUCAUUUUAUUUUUUCUUUUUUGUUCUCCCGUUGUUGGAGUUUCGGAAAUAAUGUUCCUAUUGAUGUUUGCGUCUUUAUUGCAAGAUUACAGUCUAAUUAGUUUCUAGUGAAGUGAUACGAGGAAAAAAUGGAGGAGUAGUGAAAGUUACUAAAAAUAAGCAAAUGUCAAGACAAAUGGCGGGGGAAUUGGUGCAUUUUUGUAGUUAAAUUUCAAAUUAGUCAGAAAAUGUGGCGAGUUAAGUUUUGGUGAUUAUUAUGUCUGCUGUGAAUCUGGUUCAUGUGGGGGAUUUAUGAGUUGUAUGCUUGACUCAGAGCUCUUAAUACUAUUCUCUAUGAAGUGGUGCUUGGCAUGUGUGGCUCAAUGUUAUCUGGAAGACUGCCUAAGUGACCUUAGCUGGAGGAAUUUUUUUUUUUUUUUCCAAACCCUGUAGUUGCCGUAGAUUUAUUCUCCAUAUCUGGAAACUAAGAUGAUAAGAAGUGACUGCUGUUAGCUUAAAUGGUCGGUGAUGCAACCUUAUUUGUCAUCAAAUUGAUUAAUUAUGUGAAUACCAAAUUAGGCGCUUGUUUAUUGUUAGGUCCAGUCUCAGCUUACUGAGAUCAAGAUGACCAAGAUAGCAAUAAUGACACCCAUUACUUCAUCACUUUGGAAACUGUUUUCCCUCAGAAAAUCCUGUAGGCAUCUGGAUUCUGGAACUCCCUCGAUAACACUGAGUUAUAUUGGUCCCUGUCCUCAUGGGAUGGAAAAGACAAUAAGGUCAUUUGGGUAAAACUCAGCAUUGAUUGAAAACAAUUGCUUCUUAUUCCUUGUAAAACAUCUUUGCAUAUAGACCUUAAUAAGGUAAAUCUGUUGUGGGAUAUUGAUAGCUUAUUAUGCGUAAAGCUAUAUGCACAUUCCCAUGGAUUGCUUUCCAUUCACUUAAGUCACAUGCCACUUUUAGACUGAGAUGAGUUCAUAUGCAGCAAUACAUGCUUACGGAUAUGCUGUAUUUAAUCUGGUACAGUGAGUGUAUAAUCGAACCUUUGUGGAAAGUACUUUUAUUUAGUUAUUGAUUUGUUUACUGCAGGAAUGGAAUGGUCCAAAACCUAGGCACCUGCCUCUGCUCAAGAGUGCUUUGCAACACCAGAAAGUGAGUAUCGUUAUAUUGAGCAGAUGUGCCUCAAACUUUUGUAUGCAAAUGUUGUAUAUUUUGUCUUUCUAUACUGUUGACUUCUUCAUGCUAUGCUAGUUUAAGGGUUUUGUUUAUGAAUAAAUCAGAACUUAUUGUAGACAGCUAUAAACAUGGACAAAGAUAACUUGCAUGAUGGUAACAAUGGCAGUCAACAUUGAAUCACACUGGAAGCUAGUUUUCCUUCUCAAAACCAAUUGACGUCUGGGAGUCUCUGCAUAUAAGUGGGUUAGAUUGAAGGUGGAACCUUGCUUCGUGGGUGCAAAACAAGGCAAGGUUAUAUGGGGUAGUAUUUUUGCUCUUAAAAUUUGCAAUAUGAACAUUUCACUUCAUACUUGUUGGAAAUCAUAUGGACAUACAGAAGUUCACAUGCUUGUACUUUUUGCUGGUAAUGCUAUUUGGAUAACCUCCAAAGUAGAACGCAAUGUUUGAGAUGGGGAAAUUGGUAUGCAUCGGAAAGUACCUGUAAUCAUGCUAUAAUUUGUGCUUUUCGUUGUUUUUCUUUGUUAUGCAGGAACCAAAUGCUCCUAAGCCUAGGCACUUACCUCUGUUCAAGAGUGCUUUACAGCGCCCAAGUGUAAGCAGCAAUCUGUCACUACAAUCCAUGUUUUCUUUGUAACUUUCUGUUUCGCAAGUUGUAAAACCCCAGUUUGAUUUCCUUUGUAUUUUAUUCAGGCAAAUGCCAAGCAGUCUGAUCUCUGGCUACCUUUGGCCAACCAAGGAUGGAGAUCAUGUGCUCAAUCUGCAAAUAAUCCUUGUAAGUGCAAGAAAUAAUAUUACGCAUAAGUUGUUUCUUCUGUAAUUUUCAAUAGAUGCCAUGCAGAGUAUGGAACUUAAAAGUUUCUAUUUUCUCUUGCUUAAGUAUCUUCUACCUUCUUACUUUUCUCCCAAGGUUAUUCUUGUUCAUGCUUCUAAUUUUUGUUGGAUGGACUCAUCCAUUGUUUGAAGCAGCAUUACCUCAGAAAUCUCAAGGAUACAUUCAGGUAUUUCUUGAUGGAGGGUUAAACCAGCAGAGAAUGGGGGUAGGUACUUUAAGAUUAUAGUUUAAAAUUUGCCUAAAUAUCUAGUGGUGCCAAGAUGCUAGAUCAUGAAAUUUCUACUAUUCUUUUUGAACAAAUUUUGCCGUCACUCAAACGCUGAUUCUUCUUUUCUUCAUAACAAGUGAUGAUUUUCAAGUUCUUUUCUUUGUAGAUAUGUGAUGCAGUUGCUGUUACAAAAAUUCUGAAUGCAACACUUGUGAUCCCAUAUCUUGAAGUAAAUCCUGUUUGGCAGGAUUCAAGGUAAUUCUUUGCAGAAGUAACCUUUACCUUCUUUUUUCUUAUCUAUUUGUGUAUAAAUCUCCUUGGAUCUUGAGGAAGAGAUUUUUCUGAUGUUCCUUUAUUUUCCCUUGCAGUUCCUUCAUGGAUAUAUAUGAUGUCGAUCACUUUAUUAAUGUAUUAAAAGAUGAUAUUUCUAUUGUCAAAGAACUUCCUAAUGAGUUUUCUUGGAGCACAAGGGAGUAUUAUGCCACUGCUAUUCGUGCCACCAGAAUCAAGACAGCACCAGUUCAUGCUUCAGCUAACUGGUACCUAGAGAAUGUCUUGCCUGUACUCCAGAGGUUGGUUACCUGAAACUGUUGAUUUCAAUAUGGAGUAAUUGCAGUACCAAGUUCUCUACUGAUCCUUUCUGUUUGCCUUACAUUUAUUUCAAGAUUUAAAAAAUGUACUAGUUCUGAUAAUUCUUCUUUUGGAUAGUUAAAUUAAGCUGAGCAUUAUGGGGUUGAAACCAUAUUUGAAAGAUUUGAUAUUCGCAUUACUUUAGUUCCAUAAUGCUAAACCUUUUCAAUUUUUGAGAUGAGCUUAGUUCUGGGGUUAUUUUGAAAUUUAGCUGGUUAGCUUAAGAAUUCCUGAUAUUUUAAUUACUUUUACAUGGUCCAGUUAUGGGGUUGCUGCAAUUUCCCCAUUCUCUCACCGUCUGACGUUUGACAACUUGCCGAUGGACAUUCAACGGUUACGUUGUAAAGCAAACUUCCAAGCAUUGAUUUUUGUACCUCAUAUCAGAGCACUUGGAGAUGCCCUUGUCAGUCGCCUAAGGUAUCCUUCAAUAAAAAAUAGAGGACUUGAUGGUGUCCACCUGGAGGAAACCGCUUAUACAAAUAAAAUACAAGAGCCGCUGAAAUUUGUUGUGCUACACCUUCGGUUUGAUAAGGUAUGACCCAAAGCUAUUAGUGUUUCAGAGAAUCCAAUUCUUGUUGGUUUGGGUUGGGUUAAAUUUGAGGUGUUUUACCAUGUAGUAUUUAAGCUCAUUAAAAGUCAGAAAAACCAGUGAUUCAGAUUCUUUAGAAAAUGCUUCUUUUAAGUUUUAAUUUUGCAUCUUUGCUUUGUGCUCGAUUCAAGAAUCGGAGUGCUGAAAACUCAGGGAUGGAAGUUUGACAUCGAUUAUAAAUUUAUUUGCUUACAUUGUAACGUUAUCUGUCCUUAAAAUAGUUUUUGGGCCUGCCUAGUUCUUUAGAUAAUUGUUAGAGUCCAUUCCAAGUAAUGAAUUGUUCUCUUCAUAUAUAUGACAUCCAUCAGACUAAGUGGAUGUAAUUGAUUAUUCUCAUGGAGAAAAAAAUUCACUUAAUGUAAUUGGCUAACAUGUAAUUCGCUCAUCAGGUUGUAAGAUAUAUCUGACCCUAUGCUCUUUACAUGUGAUUAUGCAGGACAUGGCGGCUCAUUCUGCUUGUGAUUUUGGUGGGGGCAAAGCUGAAAAACUAGCUCUGGCCAAGUACCGGCAAAUGAUUUGGCAGGGAAGGGUUUUGAAUUCCCAGUUCACUGACGAAGAGCUGAGGAGUCAGGGGCGUUGCCCAUUGACCCCAGAAGAGAUUGGUUUGCUACUUGCAGCAUUGGGGUUUGACAAGAGUACUCGUCUUUAUCUUGCCUCCCACAAGGUCAAUUUCCUAUUAACAUCGGCUGUUAGAGAAGUGUUUUGCUUCCAAGAUUUGAUUCAUUAAGAUCACUAUUUUCAGGUAUAUGGUGGAGAAGCUAGGAUUUCUGCUUUACGAAGAUUGUUUCCACUAAUGGAAGAUAAAAAGAGCCUUGCUUCUUCUGAAGAAAGAGCAGGGGUUAAGGGAAAGGCUUCAUUGUUAGCUGCACUGGAUUACUAUGUUAGCAUGCACAGCAACAUUUUCAUCUCUGCUUCCCCAGGAAAUAUGCACAAUGCAUUGGUGAGUAAUAUUUCCAAUUUUUAAGAGAACUUUUUAAUGCAUCUUAAUUUGGCAUCACAAAAUCAAAUGCUAUGUUCAGUCUGGGAAAAGCUGUGCUUUGCUCUGCAAAUAUAUUGUGGUUAUUGCCCAUCCAAAUCCAUUCAGGUUAAAGAAAAUAACUUUGAAUACUGUAUUUUAUAAUGAGCCAAAGCAAUGGUUGAUUUUUGAUGCAGCUCAAGUGAAAAAUUGGGAUUUAGUCAUUAAUUAGUGGUGACAGAGAUGGGAAAUGUGAAGUUAGAACUUUUGAGAAUCAUUAACCAUAUAUUUAUACUUCGAAUUAUUGUUAACUAUAUUUGGAAUAAUAUUUAAUGAUUCUUAUGCUUUUUAAGGACUAUUAUCUGAUGUCAAACUUGUAUGUGAAAACUAGGCUGCAUAAGCCCAAAUUAUUAUUAAAAGGACUUUGUUAUUGCCUAAAUCAAAAUUCAUUUAAAAAAUAAUAAGAAAUAUUUUUAAUAGUAAAUGUAAUACAUUCAUAAACUGUAGUUUGCUUAGGAUUCCCCAGAGAAAUAAAAUGAAUUUGUGAUGAUAACAGAUGGGACACCGAACUUAUGAGAACUUGAAGACUAUAAAGCCGAACAUGGCAUUGCUGGGCCAACUCUUCUUGAACAAAAGCCUUAGUUGGUCAGAGUUUCAGCAGGCGGUGGUUGAAGGACACGAAAACAGACAAGGGCAGAUUAGAAUAAGAAAACCAAAACAGUCUAUAUACACGUAUCCUGCUCCUGACUGCAUGUGUCACGGUUAAGGUGCUGAGGGAUAAGAGUGGCUUUUUUUAUGAGCCUAUUUAGUUCCACAUUUAUUUAUGACUUUCAGUAUUGGUACUAUAAAUAAGCAGUCAUGCAACUUUACCUAUUAUUAGUACAAUCUUGUAUGUAAUUGCUCGUGAAGUGUAUUGGAGGUGGAAAAUAAUUCAGGGACAGGCUUGGUUCCGUAAACAUCUUCUGGGUCUUUUAGAGGUUAUUGAGCUGCUUUUGCCGAACAGACCUACAUUGUAAUGUAUCAUUCAAUAUUACACGUCUUUUUUUCAUCUCUCGCUGUUUGUAAAGCUCAACACACAAUCUGUCCUUUUUGUGUUAAAAGUAAUUUACAAGAAACUGCUCAUGCUCUGGUGAAAAAGGUGCCAUAAGAAUAGAUACUGAAAGCUGACUAUUGCUAUAAAGUCAUAACAGAAGAACCUCUCAAUAAAGAAUUGCUACCACUACAGUGUUGAUGGUAGUAUCUCGUGAAUUCCUAUUUUGUCAGGAUACUACAGUAAUCCAUUAAAUCAUGUCAAGCUAAGUCUCUGAUCUUCUGUAGAAACAAACAAAAAUGAUUAAGUAUGAUGCUGUGUAAAACUGUGUAUUUCUGCAAUUUCUCAAAUCAUUUAACUGUACGAGGACUGCAGUCAGUGGCCUAAGGCCACACAUUUAUAAAUGUGAUAAAUGAUACAGUUGAACAGCUGAAAAAUUGUGUAAUCUGUUGUCUCGCCAGUACUUUGCAAUUUCUUGACAGAAGAAUCUGAUGGCACCAAUCACUAAGAUAACAGUGAGAACAUGUACAAUGUAUGACGCAUCUUCAAAAACCAGAGCCCCAGUUCAAUUUUCUGGACAGAGGUUAGCAAUUCACAGGUGCAAGUAGAAUAGUACAUCAGCUACCCUAAUUACUCUCACUAACACCAGAUGUUGCACUGCGUGUUGAUGGAAUCUGGCCGUCUUUCUUUUCCUUUUCAGCAGUUGAAGAUACAUUCCCAUUUCGGUUUGCAGUAGUCAGUUCCUUCACCACUGGUUGAGAGGAAGGCAUUCCUUCCUCAAUAGGAAGCGUUCUCUUUGAGCCCUCCAACGCGACACCAAGAACUAUAUUUUCUUCCAAGGCAGGCCUUGAUACUGGUGGUUGUGUUGAAGGCAACUUGUUGCUUUCCUGUUUUGAUUCCUGUAAUCCGCCUGCUUUGUCAGAGCCACCUGAUGAGGAAAUGGAAGGAUUAUCAAUCUUGCUGUUCUGCGUUGCGUUUCCC
rnacentral:lncRNA from 1 species